GCUCUACUCGACCUCGAAGGACCGCAUCAAGUAUGAGCUCGACGGGUUCCACUACGAGAUCCAGGCGACCGACCCAUCCGAGGUGGACAUUGAGGUUCUGCGGGAGCGGGCUCACUGAAGCUGGUUCGCCUUUGAAAAAGAAGGGACCUGUGGAGGGCCAUGAACCUUUUGGUUAGAUGCAAAUCCUAUUACCAAUGAUGAAAGCUCCCACCUUGGUAUUUGUUAUUAAGUUUCUGUAAGCAUGUCGUUUAGGCGCGACACGUGACUCUACCUGGUGAAGCGUUAUCAAAGCUGUAUCUGUAUGAGCUUUGGUUGUCGAGCCUAUAAACGAAGCAAGGUUUGCGUACUUGUUAUAUUAUGGUAUUGAUGGUACUGGAUUACUGGCUGUGGGUUGCUGGGAAUGCCUCUGUUGGUCUGGUAUGUGGGCGUGGUUGUUGUUCGACCAGGAAUGGGCCCUGUUGGUUUGGACGUCCGAAUCUGUGGAUAGACUGGUGUUAAUCAAACGAAUGCUAUUGUGAUGCUGGAGACUGGUUUGGAGGAAGCUUUGUCCGUUGUUGUCGUGUUGGGAACUUUAGGUUCUCACAUUUUCCAACUAUAUGGAUCUGUAUCUAUCGUUAUAUAAGCUAUGACUAUGGUUAGUCUUUAUAGACUAGCGCUUUAGUGCAUAGUUUAGUUAUCUCAAUGUUACGUUAGCUUUUUAACAAACUUUUAGGUAGCAUAAAAAUAAGUUAUUUUAUUAAAACAAAAGUAUAUUUGAUUACAUAAACAAAUAACAUUACAUAAUUUGUAAAGCAUAAAUUAAAAUGAUAUAAUUCAGUAAAAUAAAAGGUUGUAUUAUUUAUAAAUAAAACCUAAUUGUGUAGAUUGUAUAUAUGCUUUAUUAAAUAAUUUUGAAGCUCCUCAUGGACAAGAUCAGUAUGGAUUAUGGCUUCAUGUUAAAUGAUGGUUGCAUAGUUCGGUUCAUGGAUGCUUCAGAGUGAUGAUUGAUAAUGCAGUAAAGGACUUGAAUAUCCCAUAGUCAUCCACAUCAAAUGAUCUUCUAUACUCAUACUCAAUGAUUAUGUUGUGUUGAACAAUACAUGAACAUAUGGUCAUCCUGAAUAUUCACUGGGAAAAAGAACGACUUAGGCUAGCCGGAAUAAAGACGCUAGCCUUAGGUCUUCUAAAAUACAACAAAUACAUGCCAUUUUAGAGUCUAUGAGAGAGAACUAGUAUGCACCGGUCACUAGGAGUAGAUGCCAUCGACAAGGUUGUACUCUUGGUUAACCUCAUGUCCAUUCAUUGUGAAGUCCAGUUUGGUGCUUCUCCCUUAAGCACGUCAGAACAACGACAAUUGGUUGUGCACCUUGACAUCAUUGAUCGGCCUUGCUACCCAAAAGGGAAUGUCAAAUUAAGUCAUACAAAAGAGUAUUGAACAUGCUCUUUCCUCUAGGAUAUAAAUCAUUUAACACACCUUCCAAACUUCUAUAGCUUGAUCACCAAGAAGAAAACCUCAGAGUAUGGUUGAUGACAUUAGGCUCAUCAUUAAAAAUAGUCUCGAACGUCUAUUUUCUUUUAUUUAUGAGAUAAUGCAUUUUUAUAGAAAUUAAUAGCCAAGUCCCCUCUUAUAUGAACAAAACAAAUAGUUAGAAUAGACACGUUUGUAGUACUUUUGACAACAAAUACAACAACACAUAUCACGUUGAUUAACUAUAAGGGGUGUUUGGUUUGAGGAAUCACUUCAUCGAAGAUAAGGUGAUGCAUCAUGAGUCUAUUCAUAAAAUUUAAUAGAAUGAUCUCAUUCUUAUAUUAGUACUAACUAUGAGAAAUGAGGUGAUGAUGAAUCAACUCAUUCCAUUCCACGAACCAAACAAAAAAGGUGAUAAGUGAGAAGAUGAUGGAAUAACUCAUUCCUCGAACCUAUCACCCUAUAAGUAUCUAAACAAUAUUGUUUGUCAGAGUAUAAAUCCCAAAGCGACCAAUUGUUUGGAAACAGAUGCUAGUAUUUUGGAUCAGGUGGUGGACAGGUGGACUACAUGACACUAUACUAACAAAAAAGAGCUGCACAUAAAGUAGGGAACUAGUCUCGCAAACCUCUACUGUCCUGGUACUGGUAGUAGAAUCGUAUAGGAGUAUUUGUAUGAGCUGUGUUUAAGCACAAAAAACUACUUUGGCCAGCGGAUACCGUCACUUUGGACACAGCAAAUAAUGAGGCGGUUUUAUAUGGCAAAGAUGAAAGGGUGUAGAAGUCUAGAAGAUGAGUCAUUAAGGAAUCAGGGUUACUAGCUCGUUAUUACGCGUGUGAAUUGUGCUUUUACAAUCCCUUUCGAAAUGACUGAGAAAAAGAGGGCAAAUGUGCGAGUUCUUUGCUCAACCGUAGUCUCAACCAGAUGGUGGAACAUGCUACCACGGAUGAAGAGGUCAGAAGUACAACACGGUGCAGGGCAUUCGUCACUCGACUGUUGCCUCCAGGUACAGACUCCAGCCAUGCCAGGCCAGCUCCCCUCCCUCUAGGACACCAGCGCCAACGGCAACGGUCACUUGCCGCUACGCUGUCAGACAGUAGCCAGCACACUUCACAAGCUUCUUCUCUUGCAGGCUCCAGCUGCAGCCCGACCUGCCUCCUUCCCUAGGAUUCUUUUGCAGCUUCCAUUGUCUCCCCAGCUAUUUAACCCACCCACCCCCGCUUCGUCUCCCAUGUCCCAAAGCAAAGCAAAACAAAGCUUCAAAGCAUCUCUGCUGGGAUUUCAGCAAGCGACAAUGACCUAACGACCCAAAAAAGCAAUCAAUAGUCACCAUAUCUGCUCCUCUCGCUCCACAUCCCCCUGCUCUGCGACUUGAGGCAGGACAGGAAGCAGAGACAUGCAAUGGGGUUCAUGCUGGUGGUCUCUCUACCCUUCAUCUUCCUCUCCAUCCUCCUCGGCUUCGGCUGCUACUUCCUCGGCAAGCAUAGGGGCCGGAAGGAGAGCGGACCGGCGUUGGCGCACAGAUCUACGGCACGCCGCUGCCGCCGCCCGGCAUUGUCGGUGCCUCCUCGCCGCCGACUCAGCCGUUCCAUAGCAAGAAAUAAGGGUCCGAGGCUGUGUGACUGAGAUUCAGACGUCUCUCCAUCCAUCCAUUCUACUACUACUACUACAUAUAUGUCUUGGUGGUGAUGUUGGAUUUAUAUUCUUUCUUCUUUAAUUUCGCCCUGGUUGUCUUGAGAGUGUAGAUUGAGAGUCAAAUCUGUGCUUGUGUCUAAAGAUGGUGUGUGUGUGUGGAUGUUGUGAUAUGAUUGCAAUCACACUUUAUAUCUUCUGUAAUCAUGCAAUGGCGUUGCAGUAGAAUGGCUUGUGUGUGUGACUCCUGCAGGCUAUAUAUGUGUUUGAAGAUUGCAACUGAGCAUCUCCACAAGAUCUUUCAAUUUAGGAUAAUACAAUAGAGAAAUGUUAUAGCAGGAUCAUCUAAAACUUGUCUGUCGUAAUUCUUGAAAUGUGCUGUCAGAUGUCUGAAGUUGGGGAAACGUCUGAAGGAGCGUUCGAUAGGGAGAAAACCGAGAUACCAAAAUGCUGCCAAUUUCCAGAACUAGGUUAGCCUUAUUUGGGUUAUUCGGGAAGGAUUUUAAGGUUUGGUUGACUGCCUCACCGUCCACGCCACAGAUUUGUCGCCGUCGCUGUGGCGGCCAAAUCGAGCGCCGCUGCUUAGGCAGGGUGUGGCAGCGUUAGCGCCACACCAAACAUGCCCAUAUGGACUAGGAUAGGAACGAACAGGCCCUCAAAAUCCCCUCAAAUGUAGAUUGGAAGGAAACUAAACGAGCCCCUUACCAGUUCCACCAAAAUGAACUCACAAGCAUUAACAUUAAUAGGUAUCAUCGUAAAUUCAUAAUACCGAGAGCAUUUACUCUCUGUUACAAUCAGAUCAUUUCCUUAUUAUUAUUACAAACAGAUAAAACCAACACCAAAAUUCGCAGAACAAACAAUUCUGCCCAGAACGAACAAGGAGGAGAAGAGGCCAAGAAGGCAAGGCAAGCAGCACGUGCUGAUCGCUUCCCCACCUGACCUGGCUAAUUGCAGAGCAGGAACCUGGUGAGCAUGAGCACCCCGCAGGCGACGGCGAAGAACGCGAAGACGGCCAGGUCCCUGGUCUGCCACCUCCUGGGCCUGUCUGCUGCGCCCUUGGCCUCAGCGCGGAGGUUCUUGGCCCUGCGCACAGUGUCCACCUCCUUGAGCAGGUCGAAGCGGAGGCCCUUGCGCUUGAGCUCAGAGACGCACCUAGCUAGGUGCAGCGCAUCCUCGCGCUCUCGCGCGAGGACGCGCUCCAGGAUGGCCUCCGUGUCAGACUUGUACCACAGCGCCCAGAUCAUGGCGAGCGAGGAGAGCAGCGAGACAAGGCAGAGGAUCCAUGAUCGUCUGCACGCUGUUGUCGCUGCCGCCAAGCCAGCGGAGGAGGAGGAGGAGGAGGAGAGGAAGAGGAGCAACACGGAAGCGGAGUGGAAGGCGAAGAAGGCGCAGUAGAGGAAGGCGAUCUCCUUGCGGGCGCCGUUGAGGCAGGCCUCCCAUAGCACCACGCGACGCGCCAGCAGGUCCUCCUCCUUGACCCACUGCUUGAGCAGCAGCCGGUGCGUCUCGCUCGCCGCGAUCUGGCUCAACGGGUGUUGCUGUCGCGCCUCCGUCACGACGAGGGCGCCAGAGUCAGCCAUGUGCGGCGGCGGCGGUUUCGUCUCGUGCGCGUCCUGGUUCUGUUAGGAUGGAUGGACCGAUGGAGGGAAGGGAGUUUAUUUGGGGUACAAGUGCAACGAUCGGGGGAGGGCACGUGGGCUUAAAAAGGUUUGGGGGAAAGAAGCCGAAAGCAAACGGGUUCGCGCACAUGAGCGGCGCAACAGUCGGAAUUUUCUCGGGCCGAAUCAUUCGCGUUUCGUGGUGGCCGGUGGACCUACCUAGCACGCAUUAAGACUGGGCCACUGUGGACUGAGAUUUUGGUCCACUAGUCGAUCUCAGUCCUGCAAGGGAUCGGCCCACUAGACCGUCGUCAGUUCUCGGACUCGAUAUUUUUACGCAAAAAAAAACAUGCCAAUCAAUACUGCAAUAGAGGAUAGCGGCAUGAAUUUCAUACCCUAGAAAAAUGCUUCAAAAAGUCUUAACAACGCCCCAGUGGAGACACACUAAACACUAUCCCGGUGGUGUCACUGUCCUUGGUCAAUAAAAGGAUCAAGUACUCUCUAUAAAUUGGUUCUUCAUCGUUCUGGUGUAGUGAACCGCUCACAAAAGUGUGUUGUGUCAAAUAUUUUUUGUGAUCCCUAUUACCUAGUGGACUUGUACACCAGACAUAAAAGUUACAAUAAGGGUGACAACAAUCAUGUUGUAGGUGGGCGCUCAGUCACAUUGGACAUUUGUGUAAUGCAUCUAAACGACACUACUACAAAAGGCUAGCUGCAUAGGUGCUAGAAUUUUGUGAAACAACACAAGACCUUUUAACUCUAAUCCGAGUUCAUACAAUGUGCCAACAAAAAUGAUCGUAUUGCUACAGGAAUCAAAUGCAGCAGCUUCCAACCUGAGUAAAAUGUCCAUGUGCAAUCCACACUCACUAUAUUAUACUAUAAUGAGUAAAAUAUUGUUGUAAUGAAUGUUCAACUCCCCAAUGGUUUGCUUAUUAACCUAGCUUUGUCCAAGUAUGGAACUCAUUUCCUGUAAUUUUUGGCUUGAUUUUAUUUGGUGGAGGCUCUAUACUUUAUUUUCCCCCUUUGGUGGCUCCCAACCCGAGUAUGUCACUUAUUAACAUGAGAGUGUGGUGUUAGUGGAGAUCGUGUUCCAUUACUGCUUGUCAGGUUCACACCAUAAAUCAUAAUGAUUAUCCCUUCAUAUGAUACACAUAGUGAAGGUAUCCACUAUUGGAAAAGUAGACAUUUUUGGAUUAAAACUAGAAUAGAGAUCAUGACCUCGAGACGAUGGAGCUAAGGCCAUUGUUAUUGUGCCAAGUUGGCUUAAUUAGUGGUGCUCCAAACAUAGUUGUAGCAACAAGUGUAGGCUACCAGUUACCACAAAGGUGACCACACGAGUGGUGAAAUACCACUACCCGAUCAAUGAUAUUCUAAAAAAACAUUGUGCAAGCUCAAGGUUCCCUAUGACAAAUAGAUGAAGAAAGGACUUGUUCCCACAUUUUCGUUUUCGAUAUACCUCGUUCCCGUUCCCGUACCGCAAAAUAAAUAUGAAAAUGAAAACAGUAGAGGUGUUUUACCGACCGCUUUGAUCCCUAUACCAAGCUCAAUGAGAUCAAUGGUGGUGCACAAUAAUUACACCCUUAUGAACUAAUGAGAUUGCUAACCAAGCGAAUUUCAACUUUCAAAUCCCUCACUAGGUAAUGAUUCUUUCUCACACUCAAUAUGAGUAUAAAUGCAUGAAGUGGGUCGAAGAAGAUGGGUAUAUUUUUGCCCCCUACAACUUCAGGUAACUAAAAAGGUUGUUUUAAACAUAUAUGUAACUAUUGGGAUCAACCUUUUCAUAUUUCGAGAUUUCAAACUUGUAUUGUUUGAAUGGUGCAAUCCUGACACUAUGGCUUACUAGACUACAUUUCUAAUCUAUCCAUAAUAUGGACAUGCAGUUAUAUUAGACUCUUUGGAUACUCUAAAAAAGUGUACAUUGACUUUGAAAGCAUAUUGAGCUUGCAAGUGAUAGUACUUAUUAUUUUGUAUUUAACAUACAUGUUAAAUUUGUCGUUACUCCUAUGGUUUUUAUACACUGCUUACAGAUGUACCUCGAGGAUUCUAAAUCCGUCGAUCCGAGAAAUGAGAAGAAGAAAGAACAUGAUUAACCGUUAGGCGUGACUUCCUGGUACGUAUCAAUGUUCGUAUUUUGUAUUAUAUCAUGCAUGCUAUCUAUAAGUUUUAAUCGAUUGCAACCACCCAGAUACUAUUAUGUGGAUACUAUGCUUGUGAGGACCUGAGAGAAUCUCACAAAUGCAACAUUAGGUACAAAUAACUAAGUAAUGCACAAGUCUGGUGGACAAUAGAAUGUAUCACCCAAAUGCAAAUAUUGAGAAUUGUAGGACAUAUGUGGAGUCAUCUUGCACAAAUGCGUGAUGCAUAAGUCCUAGUGGACAAUAGAAUGUAUCACCUAGAUGCAAAUAAUCAGAACCGUAGGACAUAUGUGGAGUCGUCUUGCACAAAUGCGUGCAUCAAAAUGCAAAGUUCUUCAACAACGCGAACUGACAUUGGACAAGAAGUAUGACAAGUUCAGACACUGGGAGAAGCUACCAUUAGGUAAUCACAAGAUGCCUGGAGUGCAAAAUAUUACAAAUCAUAUGUAUAUGGCAUAUAACUAGUAUUGUUCACGUGAAUAGCUUUUGUACUUAGUUUUUUUUAUAUCUUCUAGUUAAAAUAUUUAAUCACCAAACCAAUUUUAUAUUUGUAUUCCCUAAGAUUUCUUUUGAAAAAACAAGACCACACAUGCUAUAUAUAUUUUAAUUUGUUAUUACUCAGUUAUUCUAAUGAUUUACUGUAGCACCCCAAAAAUUCAAAUCUUGAAAUUUUUCCAAACUCGCUCUAAAUUCAAAAUGAAUUUUAAAUUUCGUUUUAAAAUGUUUGUUUGCGAGUUGAUCUCAACAAAUAAAAUAUAGUGGUCUAUAUUCUCUCCAAAAUUCUCCUCAAAUAUCUUACAAAUAUUAUCCUCAGUGAUCCCCUCUGAUUCUUUUCAGAAAUACUGCCCAAAUAUUCCACCGAUAAUUCUCCAAAUAUUCUCCUCCUGAGAAAUACCUGUUGGUGACUUGCUCUCAAAUACUAUAAAUCAAGAGCAAGGCAACAUAAAAUGUUAAAUAAUAACGCCCUUCGUCCUUAAAACAUUAUUCCCUUCGGAAUAAUGAAUUUUGGACGAAGGUUAAUAAGAGUAUGAUUACGAAGUUGAACCUUCGUAAUCAUAUUUCAAUAGGCAUUUAUAAGAUAAUACAAAAAGGUAUAAUAUGUGUAAAUAAAUCAUAUACUAAUUAUAUUACAUUUAUUUACUAUAUUGGAUCAUCAAAUACCAUAAUACCUAUGCCUUGGCAGAGGUUGAAUUCCGAGAGAUGCGAUUGCAAUCGUCAGAAUGCGUGAAAAGUAAUGGAAUACUGUUCACUAUUUAUAGGCACAGGACGCAGCCUGUGAGGAAUUACAAGUAUGCCCCUUAUAAAAACUUACAACAUUGACUUAGACCUUUAUGGACUAAAAGGUCAUUCUACCUUUAAGUCGGUUUAUAAUGCCGAAGCUUCGCGAAGAAGAACCUUCGGCUAUCUUAUACAAACAGCUUCAGCCGAGGACCACUUCUUCUUAUAAGACCUUCGGCGACGAAGCAUAAACCCAACAGUAGCCCCUUUCGCGGUGCUAGAUCGUUUUUCGUAACGAGCUUGAUCCGUGAAAAAAGUCUCUUAAGCUUCGGAGCGCCGAAGGUCUAAAAAACACCUUCCCUGAGCUCGUUGUCGAGAAACGAUUCAAUCUCCCAGCGUGUAACGGCCCCACCUUGCAGAGUUACUGUUCGGUUUCUGCGGUCCACCAUGCAGCGAGUGCGAGCGGGUGUCCGCCUGGUGUAAAAAUUCUGGCGCUUCGCCUUCUUACCUGCAGCACUAUAUAAACAGACGAGUAGGUGUGAAGUUACCACAGCAUUCAUUGCUAUUUGUACUGUUUUGCUGCCAAAAUUUUUAACUAUCGCCGAAGCUUGUCCGUCGGAACCGAACGAAGCUCCAGCCUGAAACCUGCUUCGGAGGAAGAAAGUAUUAAAGUUUCGCAAGUUCAUAGUUAAAUGGCCAGAGUGCGUUCUACUGCCAGGGUUGAGCGUGAGGGAGGCGAAACUGAAGCUUCGGAGACUGUUCCCAUCUCCGAAGCCAUGCAACGAUCCGGGCUGGUAGUUUCUGAAGAUAUUCCUGGUGAGGGUGCAGAACAAACACAACAAGCAGCUGCCGGAGUAGAAGAAGAGGUUAUUGAGGAAACUGAUCCCGAAGACGAUUAUCGUAUUGUCAUGCCAAGUAAGCCCAGCCACUUGGACUUUGGAAAAUCCACCGUUUCGAAGGCUGAUCUCUCCAAAAUGGUAAAGUCAGGCUUUUUCAAUGAGGAUCAGAAGAAGCUACUACGCUUCGGGGGAGAAGAGACUACCCCGAAACCGGAAAAAGAUGAAAUUGUCAUUUUUAAGAGCUUUUUAAAGGCUGGAUUAAGAUUCCCCCUUCACGGGAUUAUUGCAGAGGUGCUGAAGAGGUUCGGUAUCUAUUUUCACCAGCUGACCCCCAACGCUAUCGUUAGGCUCAGUGUUUAUAUCUGGGCACUCCGAAGCCAAGCAGUGGAGCCAUUUGCGGACAGCUUCUGCCGGGUUCACGAACUGCAUUAUCAGACGAAGGCUAGAAAGGAUGGCUUGCAUGAUAAUUUUGGUUGCUACAACUUUGCUUAUCGGAAGACUACGAAGUUUCCUGUAAUCAGCUAUCGGAGUAAAUGGGCAGCAGGGUGGAAGUCUGAGUGGUUUUAUGUUAAGGUUAAUGAUGACAAGGAGAAACUCGUGCAAAGUCCACUCGAACUAAUCUUCGGAGAAACCCGGCCUCUCUGCAACAUGUCAGUAGACGGUACCACACAAAAAGCAAUGGAUGAAUUCAGAAUUGUUGCAGAGCAUAUUAGUACAAGAGACCUGGUACAGGAGUUCUUGGCUUUCCAAGUCUUUCCUAGUUUAAAAGAAUGGGAAAUGCCGAAGCUGAAGGGGAAAAAGAAAGAAGGUGAACUUGUGCGUUUGCCUUACUAUUUUAAAUUUAAGAAAUACUUUAAAACACCUUGCCAAGAGUGGUUGGAAACAAUUGAAGCAAUGUGCAAUGAAAUACUUGGCAACUAUUCCAAAAAAGAAGAUCAAUUGAUGACCGCAGCCUUCGGAGCCCGUCCGAAACGAAGGCUAAAUCGAGUGUUGGAUGCCUUGGGCUUUGAUUACCCUGAUUAUGAAAACCUGAACAAAGGUGCUGGGGGUCAAAAAAGAAAAAGGAUAACUGAGGCCGUGGAUGAAGAAAAAGAACCAUUAAAAAAGAAGAUUCCGAAGAAGAGGAAAACGUCUCCGAAGCAACAAAUAUCCGAAGCAGAAGAAACCCCCGCAUCACCUGCUGUUGCUGACGUUGAGGAAAUUCUGAAGGUAAUGACUGAAUCCUUACCUGCGAAGCUAAGUCCACUGGGUCCUCAACUGACAAAGUUUUUUCAGAAGGACAAGGAGCCCGAGAAAUCGAAGAAAACAAUCAGGGCAAAGAAACAAAGAAUUAUCACUGUGACAGAGGUGAUUGACAAGACGCCGCCAAGAGCUUCGGCCCAAAAAACUCAAACGGCUGCAGAGGGGGCAGAUAUUGAAAUUGCACCUUCGGAGGCCGCAGCUGCCGAAGCUGCCUCAGCUGAAGAUUUGAAUUUGGAGAGCACAAUUGAACAUAUUGACCAAAUACUGUUAGACAUGGCUGCAGAAGAAGCUACCACUGCUGCCGAAGAGGUCGUGACCGCAGCGUCAAAGAAAGGAAAAGAAGUUGCUGAUGAAGCUUCAGAAGACGAAGCCUUCGCGUUCCAAAACUUAGUUGGAGAACAUCUAUCCAAAGCUGAAAUAGAAGAGCUUAAAGAGUAUGCCAAAUCCUGUGGGUACAAACCUGGGGCACUCCUCUUCGGAGGCGUUGAUGAUGAAAAAUUAGAGUGUAUUCGAGACCAAACAGGGGCCAAAGUUAUCAGUACCCUGUCCAAGAAUAUUGGAUUCCCGAAGCUAGAAGCAGACAUCAGCCGCUACCGACGACAACAUGUCGUUGGUAGUUUAUUUUAUUCCAACUUCAAGGUGAAUAACUUGUCCCUUAACUUUUAUUGCUUCUAAUAAAAACAUGUCUGACGAAGGUUGUGUUCGUGUAGAGUAUGCUGUUGAGUAAAGCCUUGCAAAUGCAGCAAGAUCUUGAAGAUAAAAAGCAUGAAGUUAUAAUUGGAAAUUUGGAAAACAAAAUAAAGGAGCAAUCAGAUGCUUUCGAGAAAAAGAACUUUGAGCUCCAGGCAACCGAAGGUUUACUGGCGGAAGCUGAAGCAAAAAUAUCAAAACUGAACACGAAGCUUCUCCGUCAGUCUGAGCAGUUCGAACAAGAAAAACAAAAUCUUAAUGCAAAACUUGAAGCCGAAGCUCAGCAAAAUUCAGAUUUGAGAAAACUACUGACAAGUCUUCAAGAAAAAUGCUUGGAAUUUAGCAACAAGUGCAUUCAACGAUUAAGAAAGAUUUUUUACUCAGUUGGAGCCAGCAGUGAAAAAUUCACCCCCUCAGCUGAAGAUUUACCGAAGACCUUCGAAUAUAUUGAGGGGGAGAUUGACGAGCUCGACGAAGUCAUAGCUGGGCAUGGUGACUUCUGUGCCUGGGUGGCUUCUCGAGGGACUGCUGCAGCUUUCCUGAAGGCUGGCUAUGAUCAUGGGAAGAUUGUCAACAGGCCAAAUUUCACUUUAUCACCAUCAAUCCUGGACGACAUUCCCGAUCUUGCCCGAAGUAUCUCGAACAGAUUUGUAAAAAUGAUAUGGACAAAAGGAGGGCGAGAGAAGGCUGGAAACGAAGCUCGUAGUCACCUUGAACCAGUAAGAAACCAUACCUUGCGCUUACCUUUUCCUGUAAACUUGAUUUUGACUUCCAACAACCUUAUUCAUGUAGGAUGACGAAGCCGAAGCUGAUGAUUAAAAAUAACGCCGAAGCCGAAGCUCCUUGGAGAUUUAGAUAGUAGACUGUAGACAGUACUUGAAAAACUUUUGAGAUAACUUUUGUAAAUGUAACCAAAACUUGUCUUUAAUGAAUUCUGUUCAUACCUUGGUAUAUAUCCUUAUCCUUCCAUUGGUGUAUGAGAAAUGCUUUGCUGUGGACGAAAUUUUCUUUUGAGCCGAAGGCGAAAAAACACCUUCCCUUCUUUUCGUACGCAACGAAGCAUAGAAAACAACAUUUUCCUUUCUUCUUUGUGCACGAAGCUCUUUUUUCCCUUUCUUUUUUCUUUUUGCCGAAGCAACCAUUUAUGCGAUGAAGAUGAUUAUCCUACAUAUGCCUAGAUGAAUGUUUAUGAAUGCAAAUGCUAUGAUGUAAUGUGAUGUGCAAAUGAUUGGCCAAACACGUAUCCGAAGCCAUAUUCAUAGCCAUUAUUUUCUUAAAAACAAUCACACCUCAGCUCUGCAUUCCCUUAGGAACGACUUUGGAGCUUCUUCGCCUUUACUUUUGGCGGAAUCAGCGUUGACUUUUCGCUGUAAGCUCUGCAUUCCCUUAGGAACGACUUUGGAGCUUCUUCGCCUUUACUUUUGGCGGAAUCAGCGUUGACUUUUCGCUGUAAGCUCUGCAUUCCCUUAGGAACGACUUUGGAGCUUCUUCGCCUUUACUUUUGGCGGAAUCAGCGUUGACUUUUCGCUGUAAGCUCUGCAUUCCCUUAGGAACGACUUUGGAGCUUCUUCGCCUUUACUUUUUGGCACUCGAUGGUGCGCUCUCAGCUUUUACAUUUACAUUCUUUGGGGGAUUUUGCUCUUAUAGAACUAAAAAAGAAAAUUACAUAUGCUGGCCCCAUUAAAAACCUUUCUCCCCCUUUGGAAAGGAAAAGGGUGCCAUGAAAGAAAAAAUAAAAAAUAUGAAAAAUUACAUCGAAUUAUACAUAAUAUCGCCGAAGCUCAUCCGCAUUCCAAGACCUAGGAAUGUCGUUGCCGUCCAUAUCCUUCAAUCUGUAUGACCCGGGUCUUGACGAAGAUGCUACUAAGAAAGGUCCGUCCCAUUUCAACUGCAAUUUGCCUACUGUUUCUGGGUUGGCCACUCUCCGAAGCACCAAGUGCCCUGGCUCAAUAUUUUUUAGCCGAACCUUUCUGUCCCGCCAUUUGACUGUUUCGGCUUGAUAUUUAUUGAUAUUCUCCACGGCUUGCAGUCUGAUCUCUUCUAAAGCAUCUUUUUCUAUAGAAUAAGCAGCUUCGGAAUCUGAUUCUGCCGAAGCUACUAUCCUUAUUGAUCCGGUCUUAGCUUCCUCUGGAGUUAUUGCUUCGUCACCGAAUAACAACUUAAAUGGAGUGAAGCCUGUAGACCUUGAUGUUGUCGUGUUGUGGCUCCAUACCACUUUGGUUAACUGAUCUGGCCAUUUUCCUCUGGGUUGAUUGAAGAUUAACUUCAUUAUUCCUGUCAUUAUAAUGCCGUUGGCUCUUUCAACGAGUCCAUUUGACUCCGGGUGCCUAACUGAUGCAAAAUGGAUCUUCGUACCAAUUUGGUCACAGAAAUCCCUGAAAGCUUCGGAGUCAAACUAUGUUCCAUUGUCCACAGUGAUAGCCUUUGGCACCCCGAAACGACAAACAAUAUUCUGCCAGAAAAACUUUUGGACGGUGGCCGAAGUUAUUGUGGCUAAGGGCUUCGCCUCAAUCCAUUUAGAAAAAUAUUCCACAGCUACUACAACAUAUCUCAGGUUCCCUUGGGCUGGUGGUAACGGACCUAACAAGUCAAGGCCCCACCUUUGCAAUGGCCAAGUGGGUUGUAUGAGCUGUGUUAAGGACGAAGGUUGUUUUUGAUCUCUUGCACAUUUCUGACAACCUUCGCACUUUUGAACCAAUUCUGCUGCAUCCGAAGCUGCCUUCGGCCAAUAAAACCCUUGACGGAAAAUUUUUCCAAGCAACGGCCUAGAUCCGAUGUGAGAUCCACACAGGCCUGCAUGUAUUUCUUUCAUUAAUUCUAUACCUUCGGUUCUGGAUAAACAUUUGAGCAGCGGAGCACAAACUCCAUGUUUGUACAGCUCCCCUUCUAUUAUGACAUAUGGACGAGCUCUUGCCUCUAUCCUCUUGUUAUAAGCUUCGUCAUCUGAAAGGAAUUUACCCUGAAGAUAAGAGAUGAUCUCGGUUCUCCAAUCUUCGCUAAAAACAGGAGAUAUGUUAAGGACUGCUCUUUCAAGAAGUUCCACCGAAGGUGCUUUUAUUGUUUCGAAGAACACAUCCGAAGGUAAAGGCAGCCCCUGUGCUGCUGACUUAGCCAGCAAAUCGGCGUGCUCAUUUUGUCCUCGAGGGAUAUUUUUGACAGAAAACCCUUCGAAGGAAGCUUCAACUCUUCGAACCAUAUCCAGAUAUUUUUCAAGCUUCGGAUCCUUAGCCUUGCAACUCUUGUCAAUAUGACCCGAAACAACCUGGGAAUCAGUUUUAAGUAUGGCCCUUCUGAUUCCCAUUGCUUUUAACUUCCGAAGACCUAGAAUCAAUGCUUCGUACUCAGCAAUGUUAUUUGUGCAAUUAAAAUCAAGCUUUGCCGCAUAACAAGUUUUGACUUUGGAAGGUGAAACCAACACAGCAGUCGCUCCUGCUCCGAAGGUUCCCCAAGAUCCAUCACAAAACACUGUCCAGGCUUCGUUGUCUUUAUUCGUUUCCUCCUCCUGAGCCCCUGGCGUCCAAUCAGCAAUAAAGUCUGCCAGCGCCUGUGACUGAAUCGAAGAUCUAUGAACAUAUUCAAUACAAAAUUCAUUGAGCUCUGCAGCCCAUUUUCCAAUCCUUCCAGUAGCUUCUCGGUUCCUCAUAAUAUCCUUCAGAGGUUGUGAUGAAGGAACAAUUAUGUUGUAAGCUUGGAAAUAGUGCCGAAGCUUCCUGGAGGCCAUCAAGACAGCAUACAGUACCUUCUCCAACUCUGUAUAAUUUUUCUUUGAUAAACUAAGAACCUCGGAAACAAAAUAUAUUGGGGCCUGCCUUUUGACUUGACCAUCAAGCUUCUCCUGGACAAGCGCUGCACUUACCGCUGAGUGCGAAGCUGCCACAUAUAAUAAUAAAGGAGCCCCUGGCAUUGGUGGAGUCAAUGUGGUUAGAUCUAUUAAAUACUGUUUCAGCUCUUCGAAGGCCUUCUGCUGGAGUGGUCCCCAUUGAAAGACUUCGGCCGACUUCAGCACUUCGAAGAAUGGUAAGUUUCUCUCUGCUGAUCUGGAUAUGAAUCUAUUGAGAGAUGCCAAUCUUCCUGUCAAUCUUUGAGCCCCCUUCUUUGUAGUUGGUGGUUCCAUCCGAAGUAUAGCUUCAAUUUUACUUGGAUUAGCUUCAAUUCCCUUUGUUGAAACCAAGCAUCCAAGAAAUUUUCCCUUCUUUACUCCGAAGACGCAUUUUUCUGGAUUUAACUUUAAGCCAGCUUGCCUGAAACUGGCGAAGGUCUCCUGGAGAUCAGCAAUAUGAUUCUCCUGCUUCGUGCUUUUUACAAUGAUGUCAUCAACAUAAGUUAGCACGUUUCGGCCUAUUUGAGGUUGGAGAACCUUCGCAGUCAUUCGGCUGAAACUUCCUCCAGCGUUCUUGAGCCCCUCAGGCAUCCGAAGAUAGCAAUAUGUGCCACUUGGAGUUAUGAAGCUAGUCUUCGGCUCAUCUUCCUUCUUCAUCCAAAUUUGGUGAUAACCUGAAUAACAGUCUAACAGACUCAUGAGCUCUGAAGAAGCUGCUGCAUCAACUAAAGAGUCUAUCCUUGGUAGUGGGAAUUCAUCCUUCGGACAAGCCUUGUUAAGAUCUGUAAAAUCGAUGCACAUUCGCCACUUGCCAUUGGCCUUUUUUACCAUAACAGUGUUAGCUAGCCAUUCUGGGUACUUCACUUCUCUAAUGACUCCUGCACUGAGGAGUCUUUUGACUUCGUUGCGAGCACCUUCGGCCUUAUCAUCUGACAUUUUCCGAAGCCUUUGCUUUCUGGGUCUGAAGGAUGGAUCGACAUUGAGCGAGUGCUCAAUAACAUCUCUAUUGACUCCGCAGAGAUCAUUGGCCGACCAUGCAAAAACAUCUUUGUUAUUGAACAAAAACCUUAUCAAAGUUUUCUCCUGCUCUUCGGAUAAUUGAGAGCCUAACAGCACCUUCUGCUCUGCUAUGUCCUCACAUAAGAGCAUAGGCUUCGGCUGAUCUGCUGAAGCUGCUUUCUCCCUUCUGAAUUUGUACUGUUCACAAGCUUCAGCUCCAUCUAUGUUAUGGAUUGCUUUUGAGUCAGUCCAAUUGCCUUCGGCCCUUCUUGCAGCUUCCUGACUUCCAUGGAUAGCAAUGGGUCCCUGAUCCGAAGGUAUCUUCAUGCAAAGAUAGGCAGGAUGAAGGAUUGCUUCGAAGGCAUUGAGGGUACCGCGACCAAUAAUUGCAUUGUAAGGGUAUUCCAUAUCGACAAUGUCAAACACAACUUGCUCAGUUCUAGUGUUGUUGAUGAACCCGAAGGUCACUGACAUGGUAAUCUUUCCCAGUGCUACAAUCUGUCUUCCUCCGAAGCCACAGAGAGGAUGUGUAGCAUCAUGAAUCUUAUCCUCUGGCUCUUGCAUCUGUCUGAAGGCCUUAGCAAAUAUGAUGUCAGCUGCACUGCCUGUAUCAACCAAAACAUUGUGGACCAGAAAUCCUUUAAUAACACAAGAGAUAACCAUGGCAUCGUUGUGUGGGUAAUCUUUGAGCUGAAGGUCCUCUUGGGAGAAGGUAAUAGGAAUGUGAGACCAUCUUGACUUGAUGAAGGGUCCUUGCACCCCAACAUGCUGUACUCUUCUCUGUGCCUCCUUCUUCUGUUUCUUGUUAGCUGGCUCUGAGGACGAGCCACCUGUGAUUGGGAGCACCAGCUUCGGGUCCGAAGCAGCUCCAGCUUGGUUGUUAAACGAAGCCAUCGGCUCAAAAAGUGGAAGUGAGUUCACCCCACGGUGGGCGCCAAUGUUGGUGACUUGCUCUCAAAUACUAUAAAUCAAGAGCAAGGCAACAUAAAAUGUUAAAUAAUAACGCCCUUCGUCCUUAAAACAUUAUUCCCUUCGGAAUAAUGAAUUUUGGACGAAGGUUAAUAAGAGGAUGAUUACGAAGUUGAACCUUCGUAAUCAUAUUUCAAUAGGCAUUUAUAAGAUAAUACAAAAAGGUAUAAUAUGUGUAAAUAAAUCAUAUACUAAUUAUAUUACAUUUAUUUACUAUAUUGGAUCAUCAAAUACCAUAAUACCUAUGCCUUGGCAGAGGUUGAAUUCCGAGAGAUGCGAUUGCAAUCGUCAGAAUGCGUGAAAAGUAAUGGAAUACUGUUCACUAUUUAUAGGCACAGGACACAGCCUGUGAGGAAUUACAAGUAUGCCCCUUAUAAAAACUUACAACAUUGACUUAGACCUUUAUGGACUAAAAGGUCAUUCUACCUUUAAGUCGGUUUAUAAUGCCGAAGCUUCGCGAAGAAGAACCUUCGGCUAUCUUAUACAAACAGCUUCAGCCGAGGACCACUUCUUCUUAUAAGACCUUCGGCGACGAAGCAUAAACCCAACAAUACCUUCAGAAUCAUUUUUAAAGUCUCCACAAAUAUUUUCUUCAUAAUUAUCUGCAUGCUCAUACGUAUACGUACGCCUCCGGUGUCAUACAGUGAGCUCUACAAGCUAAUUUCACUUAUACACGACUAAUACAUGCUUAUCUCCCACUAAUCCUCGCCUCCUCCCCCUAAUCCCCCCACCUAGCCUAUAAAUAGAGGGGCAAGGGCCUCCUCUCAAGCCACCCCAAGCCAUUUUAUGACAACUCUCUCCCCCCAACACGCCCACUCCAAGUCCCACACAAGAACACGCUAGCACAAGGAUCGUUCGGUUGUUCUUCAAUCGUUCGUCCAAUCGUUCCAAUUUAAAUAUUUAACUAAAAGAUUAGUUCAAAAGAUUUAAUUAAAAUAUCGUUCUAAUUCAAAAUUAAUAGCUUUUGUACUUAGUUUUUUUAUAUCUUCUAAUUAAAAGAUUUAAUCACCGAACCAAUUUUAUAUUUGUAUAGUAUUUUAUAGUUGUAGUGAGGUAUAGAGUGAGAUUAUAGGGGAACCACUGUGGAAGAUAAAAAAAAUAGAGGAUAAAAUAUUGGUAAUAUGACAAAAAUAUGAUAUAGUAGGAAAAAUUUAAGGAAACCGCUGAAGAUAGUCUAAGCAUCGGUAACAGGAUUAGUCGCUUCUUACAAUAUUCAGAGUGAAAGAUUGCUAAAAUUUUGUCGGGUCAAAAGCAAUUCAAAUUUGAACCACGUUCGGAUCACAGGCAUUUUUGCUCAAAAGCCUGCGUAGAACCAGCUGCACGACGAUGGCGGAAACGAAGGGAAGGCAGUGGGACUUGGCAGCGCGGACGAUGGCGGCCUGGGCGUGGGGCUCGGUGUUGCAGUGCACGACGGCGACGACGCUAAGUGAUGCCAUGGCCGCGGCCAUAGCGGCCUCGGAGACAGUGUCCAUCGGGGACGCGACGCAGGGGAUGGAUAGCGGGGUGCGGCGGGAGAGGCAGUGGAGAGGUCGACGGUGUCGGCGGGGAAGCCGAUGUAGCCCGGGAGGAAGAUGACGUCAUCGUAUGUGUAGGAUACACCCUGCGAGAAGAGGCGCGGCACCGCGAAGCCGUCGUCGGUAAGAUAGGUGCUGCUCGACACCAUUGGUGGAUUGGGGGUUUAGGUUUUUUUUGCUGCUGCGGUGGCUGACGUCUGGGAGAGAGAGAGACAGGGAGACGAAGGGAGGCGUGAGAGAGCUCUGCUUGUGUUCGUGUUGGUCUUGUAGGUGUACAUUUGGGCCGCCCGGCCCAAGCCCGAAAAGACCCGUAUUGUUUGAAUUUCGGGCCGGCCCGACCCAUUUGAAUUUCGGGUCAUGCUGGGCCGGCCCACGGCCUGACCCGUAAUUGCUUUAACGUGUCGGGCUCAUUUUGAGCGGCCCGAAAUUAUAAAAGCCCGAAAUUCACAUUAGGACCCAAAAUUCAAUUUUUGGUCCGAAAUUCACAUCAGGGCCCGAAAUUCACAUCAGAGUUAAUAAAACAAAUAAAAGAGAAGACAAAUAAAUGUAACCAAAAGCAAACUUAAUAUUUGUAUUAAGUUACCAGAGCUAUGCAAUGACUACCUCGUUUACAAAUCAUUUUGUUAGAAAGAAAUAGAGUAUAAUCAGCUCUAUAUAAAGUUUGUAAGUUCAGUUCAUUAUAUAAUGUUCAUAACAAAAAUAAAAUUACAUCACAUACUCUAAUUCAAAGCUAUAAAAAAUAUCUAACUAACAUUAUCUCUAGCUUUGUGUUCUUUAUCAAGUACAUGAAAAUAUGGAAUGAAGUGUGGUUUUAAUAAAUAUAUGGGCCUUUUUGUGCCUCUAUAUGGGCCAUUUCGUGCCUGCCUUAAACGGGUUGUGCUCGUGCCCGCCCAUGGGCCGCGACCUCGGCCCAAACCCGACCCGAUAUAUCGGGCCGUGCCGGCCCGACACUAAAAUAUUUCGGGUCGUGCCGUGCCUAGGCCGUGCUUUUUUCUAUGCUUCGGGCCGGCACAUCAGGCCCGGCCCAAAUGUACACCUAUAGUUAGUCUUGCUGGAUUUGCAUUUGCUCUUUGUUUGGCAGGUAGCAAGGCGCAUAAUAGUUCGAUGACAAGUGGACCCUAUUGUCCCGGCGGCUAGCCGGAUUGUGAGCUGGGCUGGCAACCCAGGACGACAGAGGCAACGAGACGGUACCUCCCGACUCGAGCGUAGUUCAAACUUCAAAUACGCGGUCUUUGUUUCGGCUUUUUCCUAACUUCUCACCAUCCAAGCUGCUGCGGAUUAAAACACUUAGCUUUGUUGUAUGUAUUUUUAUAGUCGUUUAAUUUAAAAUCGUCUAAAAUCAACGUAAACAUUGAAUCGGUCAAGUCAUCGCGGUAGUAGAAAACUAAGAAUCCAUCACAUUCUAGAUUCUAAAUCUUAUUCUUUCAUCUUUCUCCACGCAUAAUCCUCUUGAUAAUCAGAUUCUCCUCACAGCUAUAUUCUUCUCAUAGCCAGAUUCUGAAAAAUAAAAUCGUCAAAACAAAGCUGAACAAACAUGCCCUAGCAAAAUAAACGGUCUUUCUGUCACAUCCAUAUAUCGCUUUUUAGAGCCUGAUUGUAGGGAUUCUUGUCGCCUACCAUUUUACUCGCAUGUAUAGCAGUUAACUCUUCACUAUUAACGUAGGAUCCCACAUGUCUCUCUCACAAAAGUGUCAGAGAGGCCCACUAGUUAGCAAAAGGAUGAUGAACAGAUUCGCCGUAGAAGGACCCACCCUUGGAUACUCCCGAGGCAACAAGCCCCAAAUCGGGCGAGGCGGAGCCAGAACGGGGUCGGGUGAAUCGAGAGAAAGCCACUCUAGUGCAUUUCGCGCGUGACCCAGGAUUGACCCACCAUAAGUGAUCGACCACAUUAACCGCAUUUGGCACUAAGCCGCAGCAGGGGUAGUGGCGGAGCCAAGGGGGUCCCGAUAGGGGCCAUGGUCCCUCCCAAGGCUCUCCUCGUCUCCAUAGAACCUCGUCGUUCAUCUACCAUAUAUCGUUUACGUUACCGUUGAAAAAAUUAAGGGGAAAACCCAAUUAUAAGGUGACACAAGGUUAUAAUCACAAUUAACCCUGAAUUAACAAUGUUAAAGGUAAGGAGCAAAUGACGGCUUCGUUUUCAAAGCAGAUGGGUAAAAUCACAAAGUUGUAAAACUAGAGAUAAAAUCACCAUUGUAGAUCAGAGAAAAGUAUGGUCAUAAUUACCCCUAAUAAUAAUUUGAGUGAUAUAAGUUGGUACUCCUAUCACGACCGUCCAAUGCACCGCCGCCGAGCACCACCCACCCCACCUCCCCUCCUGCGGCCCAGGCCCGCCGUCCUCUGGCCCCACACACCUAGCCGAGACCGAUGGACUGACCGACACCCCGACCCUACUGUCACCCACGAGGCGUGUACGCCACACAGGCCCCCACCCACGCACACCCACACGAAGCGGCGGCGCGUCCGUGUCUAUGGAGAAUUUCGCCCCACCAUACGAAAACGAAAACCCUCAGCAGCCCCGUGGAAGCAGCCCGGAUAUAUAUAAAAAAAUAAAGAAAGAAAAGGAACCCCACAGCCAAUAGGACAAUAGGGGCUCCCUUCCCUAGUUCUCCUUGCUUGCGUCUUCCGGGUCCCUUCAUCCAAAUUUUAUCUCAGAAACUGAUUAUUAAGAGUAGGCUAAAAAGUUUUAAGAGUGAAUUAUGAUGAGUACUUCAAGAGUUCCUUUAAAUGUGACAUGUGGUGUAAUCUGUACAGUCGUCGGAGAGGUUGUGGAUGAUCUGAUACGUUGAAGAAUGAAUUGGGGAGGGAUGGAACACACCAAAAUAUGAGGGAGAUGAGGUUGUGGAUGCGGGACGCUAAUUUUUUUGGGGAAGAAUGAUUGAGCUGUUGGAGUAAGAAAACCACUAUUCUUGACUAAUCUGUUUUAGGGUUAGUUUACACGUUAUUUUGGAGUUGCUCUCAAGGCAAUAACGUUCAGUUCAUCCAUGAACGAAUAUUCUUGCUUGCAUAGACUUUUGAUCCUAUGAGGAAUGGCCAUGGUGGUAUAGUCUUAUUCCUGCUUCGUUGCUUCCACUAAGCGCAAAUAUUUGGAGUAUGCCUCUUACACCCGAUUGCCCGCUGCCUGCUGCCUGCUGCCUUUUAGGUUAGUGUAGGGACGGUGAACUGCUUCUCACACAGUUGGCGAUGCAAUUGAUUGAAUUAAAAUUAGCAUGGAUGGUUGAGCUUCUGUUUGGUGUUGUGCCUAAUCCUAUCCAUUAUUGUGCAAUCACUGAACUUUUGAUUUGCCCAAGUGAUUUUACAUGUUAUGAACCAUGCUUCUAAUUUUUAAUCCUGGAAUAGGCAGUAUCUUGAGGGAUUUUCUGUAUAUCUGUAUAAUUUUUUAUUAAGCAAGCUUGCUGCAGCAGUGUUACCUAGGACCGGUGGAUUAAAAUUUUGUACGGCUUCCUGUAUGUGGAAGGUUGGAGUAACUUUUAUGGAAUCAUGCCUACAUAGCUGCAGUUCAUACAUUGGAUGAUCAGAAUGUUAUUAAUCUUCUAGUUACUACUUAUAACCCCUCUAUAUAUCUGCCCGUUCAAAAUUGAACAAUUAAUCUUGUAUUUCUGUUUUCUAGCCUUGGUUUUCUUUUAUCGUCUACACAAUUCCUAGGAUAUUAAAAUGAUAAAACAUUGAAACGCUCAUGGGUGAAAUUUUGACAUUUAAACGUUUAAACAAAGUUUAAACGUAGUUUAAACAACAUAGGAAAAAUACCAAUAUAUCAUAAUUUCAGACAAUUCUCCUACGCGUUCGAUAAAAAAAAUAAUUUCAAACAAUAACAUGAAGUUAAAUACCAAAAUCGAGAAGUUAGUGGUUUACCAAAACUUCACCUAUGAGCCAGGUUGGACCCCAAAAGUAACUAAUAGACUAGGCCCAAAAGUAGCUAAUGGUCUAAAACACAUGAAACACUGUGUUUUACGGUCUAGAACGCCAAAACGCGGUUUCAACCUCUAAUUAGAAUUUUGACGUUUAAAUGUAGUUUUAUGAAAUAACACUGCACAAUUCUAUGCAGUCAAAUGCAUCUUCCGGCAUGGGAGUUGCUCCUAACAUUAGGGAGACGUUUGUCGAGCUCCAAAUGAAGAAGGCAUUCCGAUAUGUUAUCUUCAAAAUCGAAGAAAAGCAAAAGCAGGUAGUUGUGGAGAAGAUGGGGCGACUACUGAAAGCUAUGAUGAUUUUCUGGCCUCUCUGCCGGAGAAUGACUGCCGAUAUGCGCUAUAUGAUUUUGAUUUUAUUACUAGGGAGAAUGUGCAGAAAAGUAAGAUUUUCUUCAUUGCCUGGUAAGUUUCAGAAUCAUAUAUGCACACAUCUUUAUUUUGUUUCAUACAUGUUUAGCAGUUUCGUUAAGCUGUAAAGCCAAUGCCAAUGAAACUAGACUAGAAUACUAGAUCCAUAGAAAUAGCUGAAGAUGUGAACUGUUCAUGAGUUAGUCAUUUGAGGAUCUGAAAAAAGCUUAAAAUGCACCAAUCACAGUAAACUUAACAUACUAGUUGUUUAAGUACUUAAUCUUUUAAAGUGUUAUUAACUCAGUAUUGAACUGUAAAGUUGGAUUGGAUAUUGUGAUGUGAUCUUGCUAUGAUAGCACUUGCCACCUCUACAUUAUAGUGAUUGCUGGUAACCCAUACUAGUUAGCAUUUUAGUAGUUCAGACCAAAAGGAUUAACAAUGCAUGUGGCGCAAUAGUUAAUAUUCUUGGCAAUAAUUGUUAAUCUAUUAUGUAGAUUCUGAUGUUGUCUUUUUGGACUGCACUAUAUGUAUCCCUGUGGUGCCUCAUAUUCUUUCAUGCUCAAUGCAUCCGCUCUGGCCUUCAUGCUGGUUUCACUUCACCAAACCUUUUACCUAAUCCACCGUUACCCCAGGUCCCCGUCUGUUGGGGACUUGUUCUCAAAUGCUAUGAAUUAAGAACAAGGCAACACAAAAUGUUAAAGGUUAAUGCCCUUCGUCCUUUGAAGCAUUACCUCCCUUAUGAUAUAAUGAUCUUCAAACGAAGGUCGUGAAGGUCAUACCUUCACCAUUGCAGUGUAUAAUAAUGAAAGAAUAAUCAUAUGAAACAUAAGAGAUAACAUGAAUAAUUAUACAACAUCUUUAAUAUGUCUUUAUUAAAUCAUCAUAAACGAAUAUAAACAAUAUUGGAUUACAUUUGUACCUUCGGCUGGACAGAAGACGAAAGUCCAAGCGUGACGCACGAAUGAGUACAAGUCAGCGUGAAUAGUACAGGGGUACUGUUCAUCUAUUUAUAGGCACAGGGUGCAGCCUGUGUAAAAUUACAUUCAUGCCCUUUAUGUUUACUAUUGACCUAAUGACAAUCCAACAAGGACUAGAUAGCCUUUUCCCCUUUAAGUCGGUUCCCUUUUCUGUCGUUGAGCCGAAGCUUCCUUGUGCAUAGCUUUAGAACUGGUUCAACCUUCGUCCUGACCCUGCUUUUCAUAUUGUGUACAACUUUAUCCCGAGUCCGAAGGUUCCUGUACAUAUAUUACACUUGGGAAACAUUGGUAGUCAUGUUUUUGAGGACCUUCAGAAGACGAAGGCCCCCAACAGUAGCCCCUCGCAGUAUUAAUUUGUUAUAACAACGAAUUCAGACUGCGACAUGAACGAAGGCCUUAAGCCGAAGGUCCGAAAAAACACCUUCCCUUUGCUAGAAUAGCAAUACUCAAUGACAGACAGGGCCCACCAAGUUGCAACACACUAGGCGUAUAAAUAUAAACCAUAGCGGCAGCAUUUGAUACGCCAUUUCCACUAUUUUCUCAAACUUUUUAGCUCUUGCUCACUAGCUCUCGCCUGAUUUUCAAGCUUUUCGAGCUUUGUUUUAAGGACGUGUUUUCACCAUGUCUGGGGAGAUGAUGAGUGAGGAAAAGAAAAUGACUGCGGAAACGAAGGUAACUGAGGAGACGAAGUUGUUUGAAGAAAAGAGAAAUGUGGAUCCUUUUAUCGCCGGGUUUGUUGAGUCUAUGUCAAAAAUAAACACAGAGAAGAUUACUAAAGAGAUUCUAGAAGGUUUGUCCGAAGAUACUGAUGAUAGUGAUAGUUAUGACGUGGAGAGUGGAGACAAAGAUUCUGAAGAUCGGCCCUGGCGACCAAGCCAUACUGUCUUCGGAAAAUCAACUAUUAAACAGAGUCAUCUUGACAACAUGAGAGGAAGGUACUUUCGAGACAUGUGUAUCGUGAGAGAUGGCGGAGACAACACCGCCCCUGCCCCUGAGGAAAAUGAAGUUGUUAUCUUCCGAAGCUUUUUUAAGGCUGGUCUCCGGUUUCCUUUGAGCAAGUUUGUAGUUGAAGUGCUGAAUAUCUACCAGAUCUUCCUUCAUCAGAUCACCCCCGAAGCUAUAAUGAGGAUGGGGAUUUUUGUCUGGGCUGUAAGGAGUCAGGGGCUAGAGCCAAGCGCGAAGUGCUUCUGCAGUAUGCACGAGCUUUUAUAUGAGACGAAUGCUACUGGCAAAGAACAGUACCACAACAACUUUGGUUGUUAUGGAUUUAUUGCUCGCCCCAACGCAAGCCACCCAGUGCCAACAUUUUGGAAGAGAUGGCCCGGAGCCUGGAUGGAGGAGUGGUUUUAUGUGAAGAAUGAUUUAAAGGCAAGAGAAGAUAUUAAAGAAAUCAUCCAGCACCCUAUCUGGUGCCACUUCGGUCUUCGAAGGUCGAAGGUGGAAAUUGAUGGCAAUGUCGAAGCAUGUCAGAGGGCUUUCAGCACUGUGGGUGCCUUCAUUGGCACAAGGGAUUUAAUUCAAGAGCAUAUAUCCUUCAGGGUAUGGCCACUUGUGGAGAGCUGGGAUAUGCCGAAGGAGACCACCACCGACUCUGGUGAGGGUGGUCUGGUCUGACUGAAGUAUACCUUCAGAUUUAGGGAGAAGUUUGAUGAGCCGAACGACGACUGGCUGAAGUGCAUCGAAGCUACCAGUGAUGAGCUGCUUGGAGCAUACUCUAAGGCCGAAGAUAAUGCUCUAUCCGCAGCCUUUGGAGGUCGAGGCAAGAAAAGAUUAAAUAGCGUAUUUGAUGCUAUUGGCUUCGUAUACCCUGAUUACCGCUACCCGCUGCGAGGGCAAGUGAAAAAGAGGAAGAUUGCUGCUUCGGUCACCCCAGCAGAGCCUGUGCCGAAGAGCAAAAAGGUGAAGGUUCUGACCCACCGACCAUGUUAUAUUGAACCGGCCGUAGUUCCUGAAUUUGGCGCAGGGUCCUCCUCAGCAGCCGAAGCAACACAAACUGCUCUGAUUGCACAAAGCGCUGAAGAGGCGACCGUAGUGCCGAAGGUACCCAUAGCCGAGCCAGUCGAGGCUAAGGUUGAUAAGGCUGAAGAGCCAAAAGUUGAAGAAAUAAUAAAAGUGCCAAAAAUUCUGAGCCCUCCGACAGAGACAAAACUGACGAAGGUGCAAAAGGCUUCUACCGCAACUCCCAAGAGGAGGAGGAUGACUAACGUGCUGGAUGCUGUGCUGGAGACUACAAAGGCCUUGAGCCCUACUCCUACAAAGAAAAUUGCUAAAGCUGCCAAAGCACAAGCUAAAGCCGAAACUGGACAAGUAGAAGUCGAAGCUAUGAAAAUUCAGGAUGAAGCCGAAGCUGGGCCUCCAGCCCCCGUCGCGGCGAAGCCUGCCGCGCCUGAGGAAAAAAACAGCAGGGCAAGAUAUUGCAGAAAGGGCAAGAUCUCCUGCCUCCGAAGCGCAGGCCGAAGCUGCUGAUUACAUUUAUCGACAUGCUUCGGGGAAGAAAUUGUCCGAAGAUGAAAUUGCGGAAGCAAGGCAUUAUGCUCAAAAGCUGAAAUAUUCGAAAGGAGCCUUAGUAUUUAACAGAAGUAAUGAAGAUGAUUUCCUGUACUGUCUCCCGGACAAUAAAGAAAUAUUCGUUUGUCGGGAGAUAGGUAAGAGCAUGGGAUUCCCGAAGCUAGAAGAUGGUCUUUCGAUUUUGUCGAAUGAUGAUCUUGCUGACAGCCUAGCAUACAACAGUAUAAAGGUAUAGAAGUUAGCUUUGAAUUUGAGAAUGACGUAUUUUAUUUGUCAUGCUCAAUUCUUUCUUGACUUUUGUUACAGGGCUUGAUUCUUAGUAAUGCCCUGAGGGCACAGAAGAAUAUUGAAGACGAAGGUUAUACAAUGGCUCUGAAUAACCUUCGUUCAGAUGUGAUUGAAUUGAGAAACAAAGGUCUUGAAAAAGACAAAAUCUUAAUUUCAUUGGCAAACAAAGUGAAGGAAGACAAAGCUAGUUUCAAAGCUCAGGCCGAAGCCCAAAAGACUAAAAUUGAAGACCUUCAGAGACAACUGGCCGAAGCUAAGGAAAACUGCGCACUCGCACAAGCUAACCAAGAAAUUAGCGAAUAUUGGAAAAAUCAUCUAGAGAAAAAUGUUGAAGAACUUCGCACAUCCAAGGAAAGGUUCUUUGAAAAAUCCUUGGAUUGCGUGAAGAAAAUAAAAGCUAGCUUCGCCAAAGUGGGUGCCUACUCUGCUGAAGAAAACUUCAUACGAGGUGACCUCGAAGGCGUUGUUGAAUGGAUAAGCGGAGAAGCCGAGACCUUCGAAGAAAUUUUGAGUGAUCGCGGGGAUGUUUGUGCGUUUUCUGGUGCAUGGGGAAUUUCAGCCAUCUUGGAGAAGGCGGGAUGUGAUCAUAUUAAAGCCGUAUCCCAGGCCAAAGCUGCCUUCUGCGUAGAUGAUACGAAGGAUCCUUCAGCUGAGGCAACCUUGAUGGGCAGGAAAUUUUACAAUGAUGUCUGGGUGAAUGGUGGCCGAGAGAUGGCCCAUGAAAUUAUAAAGAAAAGUGAAAAAGACACCCAUGACGCCCGAGCAGAAGCAAGACGAGCUGAAGAAGCUACAGAGCGCGAAAAGCGUAUAGGUAUUAUUUUUUGGUUUUUAGCUUUGGCAUUUAUUUUUGUGGCUGCGGACUGAUUAUUUUUUCGUACUUCAGCUGAACUAUCUCCGCCGCCGGAACCGUUCGAUCCCUUAGCUGAUCCAGAAAUGAAGGAAGUGCUGUACAUCAUAAACAUGGCUGAAUCUAUUGUCGACGAAGUCGUCAACAAAUUGCUGAACGAAGUUGCAGAGAAAGUCCUUAAAGAGGAAUAGAUUUGAUUGUAAUAAACAUUCUGAAAAACUUGAUGUAUAUAACAAAUGAAGGAAGAUUAGUUUUCUACUGUAACAAAACUUUGUUAUAUUUGGAGUGUGUAAUGUUGAAUUGAAUAUGUAAAUUACUGCAAUUUAUUUCUUUGUGAUGUAUGAAUAUUACACACAUACCGUUUUUGAGCUUCGGCGAAAAAACACCUUCCCUUCUUUUCAUGCUUCAUAAAGAAAAAGAUCCAUUAUUCGUAAAGAAAGAUAUCCAUGCUUUGUAAAGAGAGAUCCCUUCUUGUGACAAGGCUGAUAAAACUGUAUUUCCCGAAACUUACUUCGUGCCUUAUCACCUUUUUAUUUUGACGAAGCAUUUGCCGAAGAUCAGCUUCGUAUUCAAUUCUCGUGUCAUUGAUGCAAUAUGAUGUGAUGUUAUGCGAAAUGAUGUGAUGAUAUGAUGCAAAAUGAUGAGGAUGUCGAAGACACACACCCACAGGCCCACACUGGAACACACAAGCUCUGCAUCCCCUUAGGAACGAUUUUUGAGCUUCUUCACCUUCUAUUUCGGUGAUAUAAGUUCUGCAUCCCGUUAGGAAUGACUUUUGAACUUCUUCGCCUUAUAUUUCGGCGGUAUAAGUUCUGCAUCCCCUUAGGAACGACUUUUGAACUUCUUCGCCUUAUAUUUCGGCAGUAUUUGGCUCUGCAUUCCCUUUGAAACGAGUUUUGAGCAGAAAACUUACGCUGCGGUCCCUUAGGAGUGACUUUUUGUAGCUUCGGCAAAUUAGACUCUGCAUUCCCUUAGGAACGACUUUUGAGCUUAAAACUUACGCUGCGCUCCCUUAGGAACGACUUUUUUGUAGCUUCGGUAAAUCUAGCUCUGCAUUCCCUUAGGAACGACUUUUGAGCUUCGUAAAUCUGUGAAGAAGAUGCAUUUCAUUCUGAUAGAAGCAAAAUCAUUACAAUAAAUUAAGACUAAAUUUACAUUGCUUGUUCCUUAUUAAAAAGCAAAAUGGCAUAGAACAUAAAAUUCAGAAGCAGGAUAUCGCUCAGUAUAUGUGCUUCGAUUCUGGUACAGUACUAUUGACUGUAUGAGCUUCGGAUUCCUCCCUAAAUUCACGUUGUUGUUGGGAGUGCUGGCGCCCUUCUGGCUGCUGGCUUCGGGAAUAAGUAGGUUGCAGUAGUGGUGGCGGUGGGAGUUGAGGCCAAGAAGCCUGUGAAUGGCUUGCCGAAGCAACAGAAGCUACAGGUUGGUUGCCCACAUAUUCUGGUAUGUAGGGAGAGUGGCACGAAGCAGUAUGUAGGACUUGCUUCGGCUGAUUCUGCCGAGCUUCUGCUUCGGCAAUCUCUUUUUGCUUCAGAAUAGUGAUCUGGCAGGUUCUUGUAGUGUGGCCUUUGUCCUCACCACAGAAUAAGCAAUAAAUUUUUCUGGGCUGAUCCCCAUAUCUUCCUCCGAAGCCCCUGCUGCCUCUGUCCCUUGGAGCUGGUGGCCUGAAGGAGCUUUGCUGCUGUCCCGAAAACUGUGAGGUGUGAUGUGGCCUCUGAAGCUGGCUUCCUUUGUCAUCAUUCUGACUGGAGUUGUGGAUUGAUCUGACAUGCCUAGGGUGGACUCUUCCUCCGAAGCCCCUAGUCAUCUUAGAGAAUCUGUAAGCUUCCUCCCUUCUUUGGCGGAAGUCGUUGUCAGCUCGGAUGUACUCAUCCAUUUUUUGAAGCAGCUUCUCUAGACUCUGGGGGGCUUCCUGGCAAAGUAUUGGGUCAUAGGUCCUAGCCGAAGACCCUUGGUCAUGGCCUCAAUGACAAUUUCAUUGGGCACUGUGGGCGCUUGUGCUCUCAGUCGCAAGAACCUUCGGACAUACGCCUGAAGGUAUUCCUCAUGGUCUUGUGUACACUGGAAGAAGGCCUGAGCUAUGACUGGCUUCGUCUGAAAGCCCUGAAAACUGGUAACCAGCAUGUCCUUGAGCUUUUUCCAUGACGUGAUUGUCCCUGGUCGAAGAGAAGAGUACCAUGUCUGGGCCACGUUUCUGACUGCCAUGACGAAGGACUUUGCCAUGACAGCUGCAUUGCCUCCAUAUGAGGAUAUUGUUGCCUCAUAGCUCAUCAAGAAUUGCUUUGGGUCCGAGUGCCCAUCAUACAUGGGUAGCUGAAGUGGCUUUGUAAGAUUGUGGCCAUGGGAUAGCUUGCAAUUCUGCUGCCAGGGGAGAAGCAUUAUCAAAAGUAAAGCUACCAAGGUUGAAAUCAUCGUACCAUUCAUCUUCAUUGAACGAGCCCUCCUGUCGAAGCUCCCGGUAUUGGGGCCUUUGGUCGUGAUCAUCUUGAGUAAGAUGACGCACUUCCUCAGUAGCUUCGUCUUUUCUGAAGGUCGGCCAGCCGAGCCAUCUUCUCCUUUUUCCUUUGCACCUGCUGGUUAAUGAUUUCGAGGUCCCUGAUCUGCUGGUCCAACUCCUCCUCCUGAAGUGUUGGACUGGUGGCUUUUCUCUUUUGGCUUCUGGCUUCUCGGAGAGAGAGAGAGUAUCCUGGUUUGUGUCCAGUGGUUGCAGUGUAGCCCCUGGCGCUGUUGUCUUCUUCGGCGGCAUGACAAAGGUUGAUGCUUUGCCGAAGAUUGUGGAAGUGAGUACACCGGAGGUGGGCGCCAAUGUUGGGGACUUGUUCUCAAAUGCUAUGAAUUAAGAACAAGGCAACACAAAAUGUUAAAGGUUAAUUCCCUUCGUCCUUCGAAGCAUUACCUCCCUUAGGAUAUAAUGAUCUUCAGACGAAGGUCGUGAAGGUCAUACCUUCACCAUUGCAGUGUAUAAUAAUGAAAGAAGAAGCAUAUGAAACGUAAGAGAUAACAUGAAUAAUUAUACAACAUCUUUAAUAUGUCUUUAUUAAAUCAUCAUAAAUGAAUAUAAACAAUAUUGGAUUACAUUUGUACCUUCGGUUGGACAGAAGGCGAAAGUCCAAGCGUGACGCACGAAUGAGUACAAGUCAGCGUGAACAGUACGGGAGUACUGUUCAUCUAUUUAUAGGCACAGGGCGCAGCCUGUGUAAAAUUACAUUCAUGCCCUUUAUGUUUACUAUUGGCCUAAUGACAAUCCAACAAGGACUAGAUAGCCUUUUCCCCUUUAAGUGAGUUCCCUUUUCUGUCGUUGAGCCGAAGCUUCCUUGCGCAUAGCUUCGGAACUGGUUCAACCUUCGUCCUGACCCUGCUUUUCAUAUUGUGUACAGCUUUAUCCCGAGUCCGAAGGUUCCUAUACAUAUAUUACACUUGGGAAACAUUGUUAGUCAUGUUUUUGAGGACCUUCGGAAGACGAAGGCCCCCAACACCGUCGACAUCCCACAUCCGUGCUAAGAUGUUGUACUCGACCUCGAAGGACCGUAUCAAGUAUGAGCUCGACAGGUUCCACUACGAGAUCCAGGCGACCGACCCAUCCGAGGUGGACAUUGAGGUUCUGUGGGAGCGGGCUCACUGAAGUUGGUUCGCCUUUGAAGAAGAAGGGACCUAUCUAUGGAGGGUCGUGAACCUUUUGGUCAGAUGCAAAUCCUAUUACCAAUGAUGAAAGCUCCCACCUUGGUAUUUAUUAUUAAGUUCCUGUAAGCAUGUCGUUUACGCGCGACACGUGACUCUAGCUAGUGAAGCGUUAUCAAAGCUGUAUCUGUAUGAGCUUUGGUUGUCGAGCCUAUAAACGAAGCAAGGUUUGCGAACUUGUUAUAUUGUGGUAUUGAUGGUACUGGAUUACUGGUUGUGGGUUGCUGGGAAUGCCUCUAUUGGUCUGGUAUGUGGGCGUGGUUGUGGUUCGACCGGAAAUGGGCCCUGUUGGUUUGGACGUCCGAAUCUGUGGAUAGACUGGUGUUAAUCAAACGAAUGCUAUUGUGAUGCUGGAGACUGGUUUGGAGUAAGCUUUGUCCGUUGUUGUCGUGUUGGGAACUUUAGGUUCUCAUAUUUUCCAACUAUAUGGAUCUGUAUCUAUCGUUAUAUAAGCUAUGACUAUGGUUAGUCUUUAUAGACUAGCGCUUUAGUGCAUAGUUUAGUUAUCUCAAUGUUACGUUAGCUUUUUAACAAACUUUUAGGUAGCAUAAAAAUAAGUUAUUUUAUUAAAACAAAAGUAUAUCUGAUUACAUAAACAAAUAACAUUACAUAAUUUGUAAAGCAUAAAUUAAAAUGAUAUAAUUUAGUAAACUAAAAGGUUAUAUUAUUUAUAAAUAAAACCUAAUUGUGUAGAUUGUAUAUAUGCUUUAUUAAAUAAUUUUGAAGCUCCUCAUGGACAAGAUCAGUAUGGAUUAUGGCUUCAUGUUAAAUGAUGGUUGCAUAGUUCAGUUCAUGGAUGCUUCAGAGUGAUGAUUGAUAAUGCAGUAGAGGACUUGAAUAUCCCAUUGUCAUCCACAUCGGAUGAUCUUCUAUACUCAUACUCAAUGAUUAUGUUGUGUUGAACAAUACAUGAACAUAUGGUCAUACUGAAUAUUCACUGGGAAAAAGAACAACUUAGGCUAGCCGGAAUAUAGAGGCUAGCCUUAGCUCUUCUAAAAUACAACAAAUACAUGUCGUUUUAGAGUCUAUGAGAGAGAACUAGUCUGCACCGGUCACUGGGAGUAGAUGCCAUCGACAAGGUUGUACUCUUAGUUAACCUCAUGUCCAUUCAUCGUGAAGUCUAGUUUGGUGCUUCUCCCUUAAGCACGUCAGAACAACGACAAUUGGUUGUGCACUUUGACAUCAUUGAUCGGCCUCGCUACCCAAAAGGGAAUGUCAAAUUAAGUCAUACAUAAGAGUAUUGAACAUGCUCUUUCCUCUAGGAUAUAAAUCAUUUAACACACCUUCCAAACUUCUAUAGCUUGAUCACCAAGAAGAAAACCUUAGAGUAUGGUUGAUGACAUUAGGCUCAUCAUUAAAAAUAGUCUCGAACGUCUAUUUUCUUUUAUUUAUGAGAUAAUGCAUUUUUAUAGAAAUUAGUAGCCAAGGCCCCUCUUGUCUGAACAAAACAAAUAGUAAGAAUAGACACGUUUGUAGUACUUUUGACAACAAAUACAACAACACAUCUAACGUUGAUUAACUAUAAGGGGUGUUUGGUUUGAGAAAUCACUUCAUCCAAGAUAAGGUGAUGCAUCAUGAGUCUAUUCAUCAAAUUUAAUAGAAUGAUCUCAUUCUUAUAUUAGUACUAACUAUGAGAAAUAAGGUGAUGAUGAAUCAACUCAUUCCAUUCCACGAACCAAACAAAAAAAGUGAUGAGUGAAAAGAUGAUGGAAUAACUCAUUCCUCGAACCAAUCACCCUAUAAGUAUCUAACAAUAUUGUUUGUCAGAGUAUAAAUCCCAAAGCGACCAAUUGUUUGGAAACAUACGCUAGUAUUUUGGAUCAGGUGGUGGACAGGUGGACUACAUGACACUAUACUAACAAAAAAGAGCUGCACAUAAAUUAGGGAACUAGUCUGGCAAACCUCUGCUGUCCUAGUACUAGUACUGGUAGUAGAAUCGUAUAGGAGUAUUUGUAUGAGCUGUGUUUAAGCACAAAAAACUGCUUUGGCUAGCGGAUACCGUCACUUUGGACGCAGCAAAUAAUGAGGCGGUUUUAUAUGGCAAAGAUGAAAUGGUGUAGAAGUCUAGAAGAUGAGUCAUUAAGGAAUCAGGGUUACUAGCUCGUUAUUACGCGUGUGAAUUGUGCAUUUGCAAUCCCUUUCGAAAUCGAAAGAGGGCAAAUGUGUGAGUUCUUUGCGGAACCAUAAUCUCAACCAGAUGGUGUAACAUGCUACCACGAAUGACGAGGUCAGAAGUAUACAACGGGGCAGGGCAUUCGUCACUCGACUGUUGCCUCCAGGUACAGACUCCAGCCAUGCCAGGCCAUCUCUUGCCAACGGCAACGGUCACUUGCCAACGGCAACGGUUGCCAGGCCCUCCCUCUAGGACACUAGUGCCAACGGCAACGGUCACUUGCCGCUACGCUGUCAGACAGUAGCCAGCACACUACACAAGCUUCUUCUCUUGCAGGCUCCAGCUGCAGCCCAGCCGGCCUCCUUCGCUAGGAUUCUUUUGCAGCUUCCAUUGUCUCCCCGGCUAUUUAACCCACCCACCCCCGCUUCAUCUCCCAUGUCCCAAAGCAAAGCAAAGCAAAGCAAAGCUUCAAAGCAUCUCUGCUGGGAUUUUAGCAAGCGGCAACGACGAGCGACCCAAAAAAGCAAUCAAUAGUCACCAUAUCUGCUCCUCUCACUCCACACCCCCUGCUCUGCGAAUUGAGGCAGGACAGGAGGCAGAGACGGGCAAUGGGGUUCGUGCUGGUGGUCUCUCUGCCCUUCAUCUUCCUCUCCAUCCUCCUCGGCUUCGGCUGCUACUUCCUCGGCAAGCACAGGGGCCGGGAGGAGAUGCAGACCGGCGUCGGCGCGCAGAUCUACAGCACGCCGCUACCGCCGCCCAGUGUCGUCGGAGCCUCCUCGCCGCCGCCUCAGCCGUUCCAUAGCAAGAAAGAAGUGUACGAGUGUGAUACCCGGUUUGCAAAGAAGGGAAGUUGGAGGUUAUUCUUUUUGUUUUUUUUCUCAUUCGGUUGAUGCAUUUUGGUAAUUUGGAAUUUGGGGAAAAUCAUUCACCAGUAGGACAGUAGAAUUUGUUUGGUUGAGCGCUUGCGACGGGGUCGGGAGCUGUCACGUGGGCGAGUUGGGCCGCGAUUCGUGUUUCGGCCCACUAACCUUCCCUAACCCUAGCCGCCCCUUUUCCCCUAACCCCCCCACCCCUUGUGCAGCCGCCCCCUCAUUCUCCUCACCUUUGGCCGCCGCCGCCCCCCUCUCAUCUUCUCCUUUCCAAACUCUUGCAGCCGACGGGGUCGGGAGCUGUCGCGUGGGCGAGUUGGGCCGAGAUUCGUGUUUCAGCCCACUAACCUUCCCUAACCCUAGCCGCCCCUUUUCCCCUAACCCCCCACCCCUUGUGCAGCCGCCCCCCCUCUUUCUCCCCACCUUUGGACGCCCCCCCCCCAUCUCCUCCUCCCAAGGUGCUUUUCGUUGCCGCUCGGACCUACGUCGCAUGGAGCAAAUCUUCGAUUGUUUUCGGUGGAGGGAAGAAGGGAGGAAGGAAAGGGGGAGAACUCAAGGUGAUUUUUUGUGUUUAUCUCUUGUUCAUUUGUGCUGCAAUCCAAUUGAUUAGAUGUGGCGUAUGCGAUUGGGUAGAGGGGCUGUCCAGAAUUUUAGGUGGCGGACAAACAUCAGUAAUUCUAGCAGUUUUUGGGUUUUUUCGUGGGGAGUCAAUGGGAAUCAGUUUGGGAAUCAUGUAGAAUUUUGGCAUACCUUUCCAAUGAGUAUUUAUGCGCUCAAUUCGGAGUUAUAAAUUAAAAGGUAUCGCCAUUUGAAUCCGGGUAUGUGGCUGUCAAAAAAACAGAUUUUUCAGGUGGACGAACAGCAGCAGUGUUAGCAGUUUCUGGGGAUGUUUCGUGAGUAAUUAGUGUUAAUCAUUAUGAGAAUCAUGUAGGGCUUUAUCUUACCUUUCCAACAAGUACUUAUGCGCUCGAUUCGGAAUUAUAUUUUAAAAGUUAUCGCUGUUUGAAUCCGGGUAUGUCGCUGCCCAAAAGAGGAAAAAACAGAUUGCUGGGUUUAUCUUGUGGACCGUUUAGGGGUAAUUAGAUGUUAGAAUUUAAUCAUAAAUUGUAUACAAAACUUGUGGGGAAUUUUAUGUAGUUGUUGCUGGAGUUUUUUUUUUGUCACCACUGCUGCCUUAAUUUGAAAGUUAUGGAAUCGUUAAGCAGCGUCGCUGCAGUUUGGUGGGUGUGGGGAGAAUUGUUACCCGCGGCGAGGUUUGAGAUUGCGCGUAGGUGCGGCGUUGUUUUUGGGCUUAUUAUGUGAUAUUGGUGCACUAAGUUGGGUGUCAAAAACAGGUGGUGGACUUCCGGAUCGUACUUAGGGAUUUGCCCAAACUUCCGGUAAAGUCAAGUAAAACAGUGAUGAUUAUUCUAUCUGUCGAAUGAAGAGUCUUACACUUGAUUAUGUUCUGCUGUUGUGUUCGUAUUCAUACUUUUAAUUGAGUACCAUCGUUGGAAGAUAUUCAUGUUUUACUGAUACAUAUGUUGAGUAUGUGGUUUGAUCAUGUUACCCAUGUGGUUUAUUAUGUGGAAUAAGUGGAAGUAUAUGUCUAGCACAUUCUGUUUGGGAAGAACUCAUGUUGUUGACUUGCAUAAUGCAUUCAUCAUCCAUUGCAUUGAAGUUUCGUCGCGAUCUUAUGGUCCGACCAUACCGGUACAUUGAGCAUCCUAUGUUGUCCGAGAAGGGGUAUGAUGCAGCUUCAUAUCCUUAGAGCUAUGGAGGCAGAAGUCAUUAUUGCAUCUGUAGCCAUGUGCAUUCAUGGGAGAGGUGUGGAAUCUAUUAUGUGGAUGUGGAUAAUCUGGAUUUUUACAUGGUGAUUCUUCUUGGCGUUAAGUACUUAAUGUCACUAUUGGGCCAUGCACGGGGGUGCCUCGAGUCGCUGCACUGGUGCAGAGGUGGUCGCUGUCGCCGGCGAUCCGUCGAUGUAGAGGUGGUCGCCGCCGCUGGUGAGGCUGCCCGGAGCCAGCUUCUAGCGCGACUCCUGCUGGUGCAGCGUAGUCCAUUCCUACAUAAAUGGAGCUAGGGCCCCGCUUGUAAGGGAACAUAUGUUUGCUUGAAAGCAGAAUGUAAUAACAUAUGUACGUAGGAUUUUAGCUUGGGAAGCCAAGUUGUGUGUCCAGACCCCCUGGAUGGUGGCUUCAAGUACUAAGACGCCUGCCGCAGGGUGGUGGAGUGUGCAGGCUCAUGGUACGGGACCAGGCUGAGCGGCUACACGGUUUCCAGACCCCCCCAGGGGACAAGUGCCCGUUCUUCAAAGGCGGACCUCCAGGUUGUUGGACGCACAGGACUAUAGUUCCAAAUACUAGGGCACCCGUCAUGGAGUGGUGGAGUGUGCAGGGUUUGGGUACGGAACCAGGCUAACUGGCCACAUAGGCUCCGGACCACCCUAGGGAACGGGUAACCGUUUUUAGCACCGGCCCCAGGCUUUUUCCUGUUUUUGCAAGGUACUACUGAGUACUAUUUUUUAAGCAGUAUUUAAAACUUAUCUAUGUAUCGCUCAUUCCUGUUGUGUGUGAUAUUGUUGACUCCUCCCUGGUACUUGGCCCCCUGCUUGGGAUGUAGGCUUAACUUGUUAAGGUUGGAUACCAGCGCAUCUGAAAAGAUUGUCAACAACCCUUGGGAGCCAAACUCGCCGGGAUCUGGAUCUGUACACAACUUUGAGCUAGGAAGCAUUAGUAGUACACCUCAUAGGGUUCCCCAUCUGACAUUAGUCGUCCUUUGAUACAUGCUCGGGACUCGCAGGUUUUAGUCCGGGUGGCCAAGUUGCGUGUCCGGACCUCCUUGGGUCGCGGUUUUAGAUACUAGGACACUUGUCGUAGGGCGGUGGAGCGUGCAGGCCCACGGUACGGGACCAGGCUGAGCGGCUGCACGGGCUCCGGACCACCCCAGGGGACUAAUGUCCAUUCUCUAGUUCCAGUCCCAAGGUUGUCGGACCCGCAGGACUUAUAGCUCCAGAUACUAAGUUCCCAUCACGAAGUGGCAGAGCAUGCAGGCCCACGGUACGGGACCAGGCUGAGCGGCUACACGGGCUCUGGGCCACCCCAUGGAACGGGGUCCGGUUCUCUAGGGCCGACCCCCAGGCUGUCGGACCUCCCUACUUUCGUAUCAGGAGCCCUAAACUGCAAGCCUGGCUGCUCAAUUCGGAUGUCAUCAUGUCAGACAGGUGGAAACUGUAUGGGUGGGUUAGCUAAAAAGUACUAUCUGAAAGACAGUAAGGUAGGACCAUGGAGCAGCAAAAUGGAACUAUCACAAGAGCACAACUGAGGGGGUAGUUUCUCUUUAUAACUUCGUCGUGCAUGUGUGCAGACCAAUAGGCCGGGUUUACAGGGACAGACCCCACCAGGUUGUCUUAUACGUAUGCAUUACCUAGUUACAAAAAAUAGAUUCGACCCCUCAACCUUGCUUUAUGGAUAGAACUUAUAGAGAUGUUUCGGCAUCGGGGUAAGGUACUCUUCCGAUCAUAGCUAGAUGGUUGCCCCUGGGUCAGUGUAUUCCUGUUACCUUGAAGGGUCCUUCCCAGCUAGGGGAGAGUUACGGAGCCCUUCUUGGUUUGGUACUUGCCGUAGGGCUAGGUCCCGACCCUGGGCCCCCACCUGCACUUAACACGGGAGCCCUUAUCUUUAGUCGUGGUCACUUCCGUGUGUACCUGUUAGCUGCCUGGACCCGUGGGGGAAUCCAGAAGGGUUUCCAGAGGAAGGCAUGCUUCAGCUCCGUAGACUAGGGAGCUCGGGAUCCCCCUGGGGUCCAUGUAGUUGUCUUCACCAGAGUAAGAGCCUCCGGCGAAGACAUCUUUUAGGUCCCCUUUGGGCGAUUGAUACCCGAGGUCCCGCUCAACCGCGGCCACCUCGCCAUCGUCGACCUUUUCUUUGCCAGGUCGGCGACGAGGUGGGGAGCCGUCCUUGGGAGACUGCUCGCGCCGCUCACUGACACGCUUCGCGAGGUCAAUGAUCUCGCGACACUCCGUGGCGCUGUGGCGACCAUUGGGGUGCACAGGGCAUGAGCCGCUAUUACCCUUCUGUGGCCGUGGGCGUUUGUUGCGGUCGCCCUGGCCCCCGGUCGUGGCUGCGACCACUAGAGCGGUGGACCGCGGUCUCUGGUAGUCGUGGUCCUUCUUCUUUUUCUUCUUUCCGUCCCGGGGGACGGCGCCCGAGCCACCCGACUGGGCGGCUCCGGUUUGUGGAGCCAAGUGCCAUGCACGGCCCUCGGCGGCCUUGGCGCAUUUAUCGGCCAGAGCAAAGAGUGUGGGGACAGUUUCCACGUCGUGUGUGGCCAACUUCUCCAACAUUUUUUUCAUCACGUACUCCUUGUCGGAAGGUCGUGAUGAUGGAAGCAUCAGAAAUACAAGGUAUAGUACCUCGUACCUUGGUGAAGCGGGAGAUGAACUUUCGGAGGGUCUCCUAGGGCUCCUGCCUUACAGCAUGGAGGUGGGCCUCCACGCCGUGCUGCUGGUAAGCACUGGCAAAGUUUGCAACGAACCGCGCGUAGAGCUCCUCCCAGGAGCAGACUGGCCCUGGGGUAAGGUUCAUGAGCCAGGUCCGGGCAGGUCCAGACAAGGCCACAUGAAAGUAUGUUGCCAUCACAGCGGUCUUUCCACCUGAUGCCGUGAUGGCGGUGACAUACACCUGCAGGAACUCCCACGGGUUCGAUGUUUCGUCAUACUUUUCCGGCAGGUGCGGCCGGAACUUGGGUGGCCAUGACGCCACGCGGAGGUGAUCCGCAAGGGUGGCGCAACCCACACCGACCAAGGGGACACCCUUUUGGGACCAGGUGCCCAGUGCUGUUUGUGGUGCAACCACCGCGAAGUCCUGAUCGAGGUUGCGACCAUCUAUGUUUUGGCGGCGCUCGCGCGCCUUUUCCAAAGAUACCCGGGCAUCCUCUCCCGCACGCCUGCGGUUGAGUCUUGCCCGGAGGUCGUUGGUCUGUGCACCCCUUACUGAGGGCGAGCGCACAGAUGCUGACGCCUCGUGUUGGCGCAGGGAUGACCGAGUCCUCGACCUGGUCGAGGUAGAAUGUGCCAUACCGAGCAGUCGGUCGACGUCGUCCCACCAUUGCUUCAUGGCCCCUGAUGAGGCCGUGGAGCUUGGGGGUGUCGCAACAACUCCCUGGCUGCCGAUAACGCCCCUGGAGAAGCCCUUGAUGGAGUCCGGGACGUUUGCACAGCCAGAUGCUGCCGUGCGGCGUGCACUGUAGCAGUGCCUAGCACAAGGCGGUUGGGAACUUGCGGCGUGGAGGAAGCAUCCUCUUCCUCCACUGCGAAAUCCACCAAAGUCUCGGCACAGUGCUCGACGAUUUGCACCAUCAUGCUUGAGCAAGGAGACAAGCAAAAACCUAAAGCCUAGCCCCUACCUGGCGCGCCAAAUGUUGGAGAGCAAAUCUCCGGCCGGGUGGCGGAGUGCACCCGCCCUAGAUCCUAAGAUGAGGAGGGGCCUAAGUGUUUUGCUUGUUAGUUGGAAAAGUGGGAAGAACACAAGAACACACAAGGAUUUAGAGUGGUUUGGGCCGCCAUAGCGUAACACCCUACUCCACUGUGUGAUGUAUUGCUUGAGAGCUUAUAUGAACUUGUGAGUGUCUAAGUGAGCCUGAGCUUGAGCUUGUGUGUAACGUUGCAUGCCUCUCCUUUUAUAGCUGAAGGAGGGCAUGCACAAAGGUACUGGGCCCCGACAGGUGGGCAUAGAGACAUAAAGAAUAUAGCGCUUGGAGCCACAAAUCUUUGCUGCUGGGGCAAUCUUCUUGUGCCCUGACGCCCGAGAUCUCCGUAUCCUCGGCGUGCAGGGGAAGCUUCUUAUAGAAGGAUGAUGAGUACUGUGCGCCGCUCGGCACGGGCGCACUGUUUACCAACAGACUGGUGAGGCGCGCCGUCUGCUGGGUGACCCUGACGCCGUCUGCUGGCGGAUUGGACAAGACGUAUUAAAUGCUGAGAGGGUGCGUCAUCCGUCAGCGUCGUGGCAGGCAGCGCGUCCUCUCCGCAAUAAAUGCUAAGGCUGCACAACUGUAUGCGCCUUACAUUAGGCUCGGCCCGUUGGCUUACGUCAUAAGCCAUGCGGCUGCGACGGGUUUCCGCCUGAGCGGGGAGCGUAGGGCAAGGCCUGGACACGUGUCGGCACUGGACCCCUGCUCGUGCCGGGGUCCUCUCCGUCUCGGGACCUUGCUAAGGCCCGGACCUCACUCAAGGGGACCCGGCAUGUCUCCUCGGGAGCUCCGGACCCGUACUGACAGGGGUCCGGUGUUCCUCUGCGGAAGACCGGUCCCAAGAGUGCCUCCCGGGAUGUAUUAUCCUUCCUCGCCACGUGGUGCCCAUAGGCCUGCCCAUGUGGUGGGGUCGAGUGCCGCUCUCUGUGCGACCCAGAGGUGUCGUACGGGCGCAGCAUCUUCAUACUGUAGAAGAGGGUACCCCUGAUUCAGGGUACCGACAGUUGCCCACAGUGCCUCGGCAACAUUCUUUUCAGUGUGCAUCACAUCAAUGUUGUGUGGAAGGAGCAGGUCGUCAUAAUAGGGGAGCCGAGUCAAGCCAGACUUAUGUGUCCACAUAUGCUACUCACCAUAUCCCACAAAACCACCUUCUGUAUUGGCCACGAGCCCAUCUAUCUGUUGACGAAUUUCGGCACCAGUCAUCGUUGCAGGUGGGCGGUCUGUCACUACGACACUGAAAGGGAAAUAAGCUUACACCUUUUCCUAUAUGAAUUUUGGUGAUUGAAUUGCCCAACACAAAUAAUUGGACUAACUAGUUUGCUCUAGAUUAUAAGUUUUACAGGUGCCAAAGGUUCACAACAAACCAAUAAAAAGACCAAGAAAAGGGUUCAAAUAAAGAGAGCAAAAGAAACCCAAAGGCUGCCCUGGUCUGGCGCACCGGACUGUUCGGUGUGCCACCGGACAGUGUCCGGUGCACCAGGGAACCCAACUACGAACUUGCCACCUUCGGGAUUCUGGGAGCCGCUUCGCUAUAAUUCACCGGACUGUCCGGUGUAGCACCGGAUUGUCCGGUGUGCCAGCGGAGUAACGGCUACACAGCGCCAACGGUCGUCUGCAACGGAACAGUAAAAGUGAACAGUGCGUGCCUGCGUGCACAGAAGUCAGAGCAGCGCCAGAAGGCGCACCAGACAGUGAAUAGUGACUGUCCGGUGCACCACCGGACUGUCCGGUGCACCACCGGACUGUCCGGUGCACCACCAGACUGUUCGGUGCACCACCGGACUGUCCGGUGACCCACCUGUCAGAAGCUCCAACGGUCAGAACUAGAGAUGGCAAUGGGGACCCGAUCCCCGAUUCCCCGCGGGGAAUUCCUCAAUUAGGGGAUGGGGAUGGAGAAGUUUCUUCCCCCACGGGGAUGUAAAUGGAGAAAAGUUCUCCCCCGACGGGUAAACGGGGACGGGGAUGGGGAAGCAUUCCCCAUCCCCGUUUCCCGUGGGGACCCGUUAAAUUUACAUGUGACAAUGUUUUCAUGUAAUAGUUAAUGAUAAAAGUAAAGAAUUACCUUGUUAAGAGAUCACCCGUUGUACAAAUACAUUGAUUUUAAUGUGCACAUAAUGAAUUUUACAUCUAACAAUGUGUAUAAGUGACAAUAUUUUACAUUAAUAACAAAUGAAGUACAAUUUAAUUAUAAUUUAAGCGGGGAUGGGGAUCCUCGACGAGGAUUUAUCCCCGCGGGGAACGGGGAUGGGGAAGAAAUGUGCCCCACAAGCGUUCAUGGGGAUCCCCGCGGGGAAAUUUUUUUGUCGCGGGGACGGGUUUGGGGAGCUAAAACCCGACGGGGAAUUUCCCGUUGCCAUCCCUAGUCAGAACCCAACGGCCGGGUGACGUGGCUGGCGCACCGGACAGUGUCCGGUGGCGCACUGGACUGUCCGGUGCACCAUGCGACAGAAGCCCUCACCAACGGUCACUUUGGUGGUUGGGGCUAUAAAUACCCCCAACCACCCACCAUUCAUUGCAUCCAAGUUUUUAGCCACAAACCUCAUACAAGAGCUAUAGACUUCAUUCAAAGACACAACCAAAGAGAUCAAAUCCUCUCCCAAGUCCGGAAUCACUCCAAAGAAAUUAGUGACUAGAGAGAGAGACAUUUGUGUUCAUUUGAGCUCUUGUGCUUGGAUUGCUUUUCUUCUUCCUUCUUUCUUGUGUUCAACUCACUUGUAAUCAAAACAAGAGACACCAAGUUGUGGUGGUCCUUGUAGUGGACUUAGUGUCCCAUUUGAUUGAAGAGAAAGGCUCACUCGGUCUAAGUGACCGUUUGAGAGAGGGAAAGGGUUGAAAGAGACCCGGUCUUUGUGACCACCUCAACGGGGAGUAGGUUUGCAAGAACCGAACCUCGGUAAAACAAAUCACCGUGUCAUCCGCUCUUAUUCACUUGUGAUUUGUUUUUCACCCUCUCUCUCGGACUCGUUUAUAUUUCUAACGCUAACUCCGGCUUGUAGUGUGUGCUUAAGUUUGUAAAUUUUAGAUUUGCCUAUUCACCCCCCUCUAGGCGACUUUCAAUUGGUAUCUGAGCCGAUACUUCAUUAAGAGCCUAACCGCUCGAAGUGAUGUCGGGAGCUCACGCUAAGAAGGAAAUGGUGACCGACAAGAAGCCCGCCACAAGCCACGGGAAGGCUCUAUCGGGGGAGUCCGGCAAUAAGAAGAGGGAGGAAUCACCUCCCCGAGUAAAGUCGCACCGGAGUGGCGACAAGAAGAAGAAAAUGAAGAAAGUGGUCUACUACGAGACUGAUUCUUCGUCGCCCUCCACCUCCGGCUCCGACACGCCUUCUGUCACUUCUAAGCGCCAUGAGCGUAAGAAGUUUAGUAAGAUCCCCUUACACUAUCCUCGUAUUUCCAAACGCACCCCUUUACUUUCCGUCCCAUUAGGCAAACCACCGGUUUUUGACGGUGAAGAUUAUUGCAUGUGGAGUGAUAAAAUGAGUCACCAUCUAACCUCACUCCACGCUAGUAUUUGGGACAUUGUUGAGUUUGGUGCGCAGGAACCAUCCAUGGGGGAUGAAGGCUAUGACUCGGACGAGGUAACCCAAAUCUGGCACUUCAACUCCCAAGCCACUACUAUACUCCUCGCCUCUCUAAGUCGAGAGGAAUAUAAUAAGGUGCAAGGGUUGAAGAGUGCCAAAGAGAUUUGGGACGUGCUCAAGACCGCACACGAAGGAGAUAAGGUGACCAAGAUCACCAAGAGAGAAACGAUCGAGGGGGGGCUCGGUCGCUUCAUGCUUCAUUAAGGGGAGGAGCCACAAGCGAUGUACAACCGGCUCAAAACCUUGGUGAACCAAGUGCGCAACCUCAGGAGCACAAAGUGGGAUGACCAUGAAAUGGCCAAGGUUAUUCUAAGAUCACUUGUAUUUCUUAAUCCUACACAAGUUCAAUUAAUUCGUGGUGAUCCUAUAUACAAGCUAAUGUCUCCCGAGGAAGUUAUUGGAAAAUUUGUGAGCUUUGAAUUGAUGAUCAAAGGCUCCAAGAAAAUCAUCGAGCAAGGCGCCUCCUCCACACCCGAAAUGCGACUCGUUGCAUUCAAGGCGACGGAGGAGAAGAAAGAAGAGUCUACAUCAAGUAGACUCCCCAUCGACGCCUCCAAGCUCGACAACGAGGAAAUGGCGCUCAUCAUCAAGAGCUUUCGCCAAAUCCUCAAGCAAAGGAAGGGGAGAGAUUACAAGCCCUGUUCCAAGAAAGUGUGCUACAAGUGUGGUAAGCUUGGCCAUUUUAUUGCAAAAUGUCCAUUAUUAAGUGAUAGUGAUAGGGGCGACGACAAGAAGGGAAAGAGAAGAGAAAAGAAGAGGUACUACAAGAAGAAGGGUGGUGAUGCCCAUGUUUGCCGGGAGUGGGACUCCGACGAGAGCUCCACCGACUCCUCCUCCGGCGAGGACGCCGCAAACAUCACCGUCACCAAGGGCCUUCUCUUCCCCAACGUCGGCCACAAGUGCCUCAUGGCAAAGGACGGCAAGAAGAAGGUAAAAUCUAGAUCCUCCACUAAGUAUGCAACAUCUAGUGAUGAGGCUAGCUCUAGUGAUGAUGAGGAUGAUUUAUUGACACUUUUUGCCAACCUAAACAUGCAACAAAAGGAGAAAUUAAAUGAAUUAAUUAGUGCUAUUCAUGAUAAGGAUGAACUCUUAGAUAGCCAAGAGGACUUCCUAAUUAAAGAAAAACAAAAAGAAUGUUAAGGUUAAAAAUGCUUAUGCUCUAGAGGUAGAAAAAUAUGAAAAAUUAACUAGUGAGCUAAGCACUUGCCAUGAUGUUAUUUCCAACCUUAGAGAUGAGAAUGCUAAAUUAAUUACUAAGGUUGAGAAUUUAAAUGUUUGUGAUGAUUCUCUUGUUAGUCUUAGAAAUGAUAAUGCUAGUUUGAUUACUAAGAUUGACAAGUUAAAUGCAUCACUCUCUAGCCUUAAAAUUGAGAAUGAAAAACUAAUUGCUAAGGCUAAAGAUUUAAAUGUUUGCAAUGUUUCUAUUUCCAAUCUUAAAGAUGAGAAUGCUAUUUUACAUGCUAAGAUUGUUGAAUUAAAAACUUGCAAACCCUCUACAUCUGUCGUUGAACAUGUUACAAUUUGCACUAGAUGUAGAGACAUUAAUGUUGAUGCUAUUCAUGAUCACUUAGCUUUAAUUAAGAAACAAAAUGAUCACAUAGCUCAACUUAGUGCUAAAAUUGAUGAGCAUGACUUAGAAAAUAAAAAAUUUAAAUUUGCUAGAAGCAUGCUCUCUAAUGGGAGACUCCCUGGCAUUAAGGAUGGCAUUGGCUUCCAACAGGGAGACAAUGUCAAGCUUAAUGCCCCUCCUAAAAAUUUGUCUAACUUUGUUAAGGGCAAAGCUCCCAUGGUUCAGGAUAACGAGGGUUACAUUUUAUACCCUGCCAGUUAUCCCGAACAUAAGAUUAGGAGAAUUCAUUCUAGGAAAUCUCACUCUGGCUCUCAUCAUGCUUUUAUGUAUAAGAGUGAGGCAUCUAGUUCUAGGCAAUCAACCCGUGCUAAAUUGCCUAAGAAGAAAACUCCUAUUGCAUCAAAUGAACCUAACAUUUCAUUUAAGACUUUUGAUGCAUCAUAUGUUUUAACUAACAAAUCAGGAAAAAUAGUUGCCAAAUAUGUUUGGGGAAAACACAAGGGCUCCAAGACUUGUGUUUGGGUACCCAAGGUGCUUGUUUCUAAUGUGAAAGGACCCAAUACCGUUUGGGUACCUAAGAACAAGACGUAAAUUUGUUUUGUAGGUUUAUGCAUCCGGGGGCUCAAGUUGGAUCAUCGAUAGCGGGUGCACAAACCACAUGACAGGGGAGAAGAAGAUGUUCUCCUCCUACGAGAAAAAUCAUGAUCCCCAAAGAGCUAUCACAUUUGGGGCUGGAAAUCAUGGUUUGGUCAAAGGAUUGGGUAAAAUUGCUAUAUCUCCUGACCAUUCUAUUUCCAAUGUUUUUCUUGUAGAUUAUUUAGACUACAAUUUGCUUUCCGUUUCUCAAUUGUGUAAAAUGGGCUACAACUGUCUUUUUACAGAUUUAGGUGUUACUGUCUUUAGAAGAAGUGAUGAUUCAGUAGCAUUUAAGGGAGUGUUAGAGGGUCAGCUAUGCUUAGUUGACUUUAAUAGAACUCAACACUUGCUUCAUUGCUAAGACUAACUUGGGUUGACUCUGGCACCGCCGACUAGCCCAUGUUGGGAUGAAGAAUCUUCAUAAGCUUCUAAAGGGAGAGCACAUUUUGGGACUAAUCAAUGUUCAUUUUGAGAAAGACAAGGUUUGUAGCGCAUGUCAAGCAGGGAAGCAAGUUGGUGUCCAUCAUCCACACAAGAACAUCAUGAUGACUGACAGGCCACUCGAGCUACUCCACAUGGACCUAUUCGACCCGAUAGCUUACAUAAGCAUCGGCGGGAGUAAGUAUUGUCUUGUAAUUGUGGAUAAUUAUUCUCGCUUCACUUGGGUGUUCUUUUUGCAGGAAAAAACACAAACCCAAGAAACCUUAAAGGGAUUCUUGAGACGGGCUCAAAAUGAGUUCGGCUUAAGGAUCAAGAAAAUAAGAAGCGACAAUGGAACGAAGUUCAAGAACUCUCAAAUUGAAGGAUUCCUUGAGGAUGAGGGCAUCAAGCAUGAGUUCUCUUCUCCCUACACGCCACAACAAAAUGGUGCAGCGGAGAGGAAGAAUAGAACUCUACUUGACAUGGCGAGGACCAUGCUUGAUGAGUACAAGACUUUGGACCGGUUUUGGGCGGAAGCAAUCAACACUGCUUGCUACGCCAUCAACCGUCUCUGCCUUCACCGAAUCCUCAAGAAGACAUCGUAUGAACUCCUAACCGGUAAAAAGCCCAAUGUUUCAUAUUUUAGAGUCUUUGGUAGCAAAUGCUUUAUUCUUGUUAAAAGAGGUAGAAAAUCUAAUUUUGCUCCUAAGGCUGUAGAAGGUUUUUUACUUGGUUAUGAUUCAAACACAAGGGCAUAUAGAGUCUUUAACAAGUCCACUGAACUAGUUGAAGUUUCUUGUGACAUUGUGUUUGAUGAGACUAACGGCUCUCAAGUAGAGCAAGUUGAUCUUGAUGAGUUAGAUGAUGAAGAGGCUCCGUGCGUCGCGCUUAGGAACAUGUCCAUUGGGGAUGUGUGCCCUAAGGAAUCCGAAGAGCCUCCACAAGCACAAGAUCAACCAUCUUCCUCAAUGCAAGCAUCUCCACCAACUCAAGAUGAGGAUGACGCUCAAGAUGAUGAUGAUGAAGAUCAAGAGGAGCCACCUCAAAAGGAGGACAAUGAUCAAGGGGGAGAUGCUAAUGAUCAAGACAAGGAAGAUGAUGAGGCUCCAAGACCGCCACACCCAAGAGUCCACCAAGCAAUACAACGAGAUCACCCCGUGAACUCCAUCCUCGGCGAUAUUCAUAAGGGGGUAACUACUCAAUCUUGUGUUGCUCAUUUUUGUGAACAUUACUCCUUUGUGUCUUCUAUUGAGCCAUACAGGGUAGAAGAUGCAUUAAGGGAUUCGGAUUGGGUGUUGGCAAUGCAAGAGGAGCUCAACAACUUUACAAGGAAUGAGGUAUGGCAUUUAGUUCCAUGUCCUAACCAAAAUGUUGUAGGAACCAAGUGGGUCUUCCGCAACAAGCAAGAUGAGCAUGGUGUGGUGACAAGGAACAAAGCCCGACUUGUAGCCAAGGGAUAUUCACGAGUCGAAGGUUUGGAUUUCGGUGAAACCUAUGUACCCAUAGCUAGGCUUGAGUCAAUUCAUAUAUUACUUGCCUAUGCUACUUACUGAAAGGGAAAUGUGCCCUUGGGCCAUUUCUAAGUAUUUUGGUGAUUGAGUGCCAACACAAAGUGCAUAAAUGUGAAUUUAUACCCAUAGAUGAACAAAGUGCAAAUCAUGAGUAAAGGUAUGUUUCUAAGCCUUAGUACAUUAGUUUUGUGUACUAAUAUACUUGUCUAAGUGCUAGAAACAGAAAGAAAAAGAAAAGAAGAAAGGUGCAAAGACUUGGCUGUGUACAGCCAAAACUCAGCUUGGUCUGGCACACCGGACUGUCCGGUGGUGCACCGGACAGUGUCCGGUGCGCCAGGCUGACACGGCGCGAAGUGGCCGCUCUCGGGAAUUCGCCGACGGCGUACGGCUAUAAUUCACCGGACUGUCCGGUGUGCACCGGACUGUCCGGUGAGCCAACGGGCGGCCGAGCCAACGGUCGGCCGCGGAAUCUGCGCGCGACACGUGGCCUGGCCAACGGUCGGAAGGGGGCACCGGACUGUCCGGUGUGCACCGGACAUGUCCGGUGCGCCAACGGCUCCCAGAUCUGCAACGGUCGGCUGCGCUGUUUAAGGAAGGAAAUCGGGCACCGGACAGUGUCCGGUGUGCACCGGACUGUUCGGUGCGCCCGACGACAGAAGGCAAGGAUGGCCUUCCAGAUUUGUUCUCAACGGCUCCUAGCUUCCUUGGGGCUAUAAAAGGGACCCCUAGGCGCAUGGAGGAGAAUAACCAAGCAUUCCUUGAGCACUCUUGAUCACUCACACAUCAAUCUUGCGCACUUGUUCGACAUUCUAGCGAUUUGAGCUCCGUUCUAGUGUGCUAGUCUCUUGAGCUCAAGUCUGGGUCUUGUGUGUGCGUAUUCGCUGUGAUCUUUGUGUCGUGUGUGAGUUGCUAAUCCCUCCCUUGCUCUGUGAUUCUCUGUGAACAUCUUUUGUAAGGGCGAGAGGCUCCAAGCUGUGGAGAUUCCUCGCAAACGGGAUUGAGAAAAGAAAAGCAAGAACACCGUGGUAUUCAAGUUGAUCAUUGGAUCACUUGAGAGGAGUUGAGUGCAACUCUCGUCCGUUGGGACGCCACAACGUGGAGUAGGCAAGUUUUGUACUUGGCCGAACCACGGGAUAACCUCCGUGUCAUCUCUGUGAUUGAAUUCUUGUGGUUAUUGUGUUUUGACUCCUCUCUAGCCACUUGGGAUAAACUGUGCUAACACUCAAUCAAAGUUUUGUGGCUAUAAGUUUAGGUUUUACAGGAUCACCUAUUCACCCCCCCUCUAGGUGCUCUCAAUUGGUAUCAGAGCCGUUCUCUUCAAGAAAGGGACUAACCGCCCAAAGAGAUGGAUCCUAAGGGGAAGGGAAUCGUGAUCAACGAUAAGGAGAAGGAGUCCUUCGUCAACGAGCCCAAAGAUGACAAGCCUAACGACUCUGGCUCGGGUCAUAGACGGAAGGAAGGGAAGAAGAAGAAGACAAGGCGCAUCAAGGAGAUCGUCUACUACGACGACAGUGAUGAGUCUACUUCUUCCCAAAAGGACGACGACCACAACGACUACGAACAAAGGAAACCGGUUAAUUCUAACUUUUCCUUUGACUACUCUCGUAUUCCGCAAAGUUCAAAUUCACAUUUGCUUUCCAUUCCACUCGGCAAGCCCCCACACUUUGAUGGAGAGGACUACGGAUUUUGGAGCCACAAAAUGCGUAGUCACCUAUUCUCUCUCCAUCCUAGUAUAUGGGAGAUUGUAGAUAGUGGAAUGCACUUUAAUAGUUCGGAUAGUCCUAUAUUCAUUAAUGAGCAAAUCCAUAAGAAUGCACAAGCUACUACUGUUCUUCUAGCUUCAUUGUGCAGGAAUGAAUAUAACAAAGUGAGUGGCUUGGAUAACGCCAAGCAAAUCUGGGAUACCCUCAAGAUCUCUCAUGAGGGAAAUGACGCUACCUUGCUCACCAAAAUGGAGUUGGUGGAGGGCGAGCUUGGACGGUUCGCGAUGAUAAGGGGCGAGGAGCCAACUCAAACAUACAACCGGCUCAAGACCCUUAUCAACAAAAUAAGGAGCUACGGAAGCACGCGAUGGACGGACCACGACGUCGUCCGACUAAUGCUAAGGUCCUUUACCGUUCUUGAUCCUCAUUUGGUGAAUAAUAUUCGUGAGAAUCCCAGGUACACCAAAAUGUCGCCCGAAGAAGUCUUAGGAAAAUUCGUCAGCGGGCGAAUGAUGAUCAAGGAGGCAAGGUACGUGGACGACGCCUUGAAUGGACCGAUCAACGAACCACAACCUUUUGCUCUCAAAGCUACAAGAAGCAAGGAGGCGCUACCUAGCAAGGUGGCACAAAUUGAGGCGGUCGGACUUAAUGAUGAAGAGAUGGCUCUCAUCAUCAAACGCUUCAAGACGGUGCUAAAGGGUCACAAGGGGCAGCCAAGCAAGACCAAGACGAAGGGGAAGCGCUCAUGCUUCAAGUGCGGUAAGAUUGGUCAUUUUAUCGCUAACUGCCCUGAUAAUGAUAGUGACCAGGAAAAAGAAAACAAGAGGGAAAAGAAGAAGCAUUACAAGAAGGCAAAGGGCGAGGCGCAUCUAGGCAAGGAGUGGGACUCGGAUUGCUCCUCUUCCGACUCCGACAAUGAAGGACUCGCCGCCACCGCCUUCAACAAAUCAACCCUCUUCCCCAACGAGCGUCACACAUGCCUUAUGGUAAGGGAGAAGAAGGUAUGUACUUGCAACUCUACCUAUGCUUCGUCAAGUGAGGACGAAUCUAGUGAUGAGAAUGAAGUAGAUUAUUCAUGUUUGUUCAAGGGCUUAGAUAGAUCUAAGAUAGACAAAAUUAAUGAAUUAAUUGAUGCCUUGAAUGAAAAGAAUAUACUUUUAGAAAAGCAAGAGGAUUUGUUGUAUGAAGAACAUGAUAAGUUUGUAGAGGCUCAAAAAUCCCUUGCAUUAGAAGCUAAAAGAAAUGGAAUGCUUUCUUUUGAACUAUCUACUUGUCAUGAAACCAUUUCUACUUUGAAAGGUGUCAACAAUGAUUUAAAUGCUAAAUUAGAAGUAGCAAAUAAAUCCAAUUCUUGUGUAGAACAUGUUGUAAUUUGUACUAGGUGUAAAGAUUUUGACAUUGAUGCUUGUAGUGAACACCUUGUUUCAAUUUCCAAGCUUAAUGAUGAAUUGGCUAGUCUUAAUGCUCAACUUAAGACUAGCAAGCAUGAUUUCGAUAAACUAAAAUUUGCAAGGGAUGCCUACACAAUUGGUAGACACCCCUCAAUUAAGGAUGGACUUGGCUUCAAGAGAGAAGCUAAGAACCUAACAAGCCAUAAGGCUCCCAUUCCCGCCAAGGAGAAAGGGAAGGCCCCUAUGGCUAGUAGUGUGCAAAAGAACCAUGCUUUUAUGUAUCAUGAUAGGAGACAAACUAGAAAUGCUUAUAGGAGUUAUAAUGCUUAUGAUGAUUUUGACUCUCAUGCCAUGUUUGCUUCUAGUUCUUCCUAUAUGCAUGGUAAAAAUAUGUCUAGGAGAAAUGCUAUUCAUCAUGUGCCUAGAAGGAAUGUUAUUCAUGCUCCUAGGAAAGUAGUGAAUGAACCUUCUACAAUUUAUUGUGCUUUAAAUGCUUCCUUUGCUAUUUGUAGAAAGGAUAAGAAAAUAGUUGCUAGGAAGUUAGGGGCAAAAUGCAAGGGAGACAAAACUUGCAUUUGGGUCCCUAAGGAUAUUUGCACUAACCUUGUAGGACCCAACAUGAGUUGGGUACCUAAGACCCAAGCCUAAAUUUGCCUUGCAGGUUUAUGCAUCCGGGGGUUCAAGCUGGAUUAUCGACAGCGGAUGCACAAACCAUAUGACGGGGGAGAAGAAGAUGUUCACCUCCUACGUCAAAAAUAAGGAUUCCCAAGAUUCAAUUGUAUUCGGUGAUGGGAAUCAAGGCAAGGUAAAAGGGUUAGGUAAAAUUGCAAUUUCAAAUGAGCACUCAAUUUCUAAUGUGUUUCUAGUAGAGUCUCUUGGUUAUAAUUUGCUAUCUGUUAGUCAAUUGUGCAACAUGGGGUAUAACUGUCUAUUUACAAAUAUAGAUGUGUCUGUCUUUAGAAGAAGUGAUGGUUCACUAGCUUUUAAGGGUGUAUUAGACGGCAAACUUUAUUUAGUUGAUUUUGCAAAAGAAGAGGCCGGUCUGGAUGCAUGCUUAAUAGCUAAGACUAGCAUGGGCUGGCUGUGGCAUCGCCGCUUAGCACAUGUAGGGAUGAAGAACCUUCACAAGCUUCUAAAGGGAGAACACGUGAUAGGUUUGACUAACGUUCAAUUCGAAAAAGAUAGACCUUGUGCAGCUUGUCAAGCAGGUAAACAGGUGGGAGGAGCGCAUCACAGCAAAAAUGUGAUGACCACUUCAAGACCCCUGGAGCUGCUGCAUAUGGAUCUCUUCGGACCCGUCGCCUAUCUGAGCAUAGGAGGAAGUAAGUAUGGUCUAGUUAUUGUUGAUGACUUUUCCCGCUUCACUUGGGUGUUCUUUUUGCAGGAUAAGUCUGAAACCCAAGGGACCCUCAAGCGCUUCCUCAAGAGAGCUCAAAAUGAGUUUGAGCUCAAGGUGAAGAAGAUAAGAAGCGACAACGGGUCCGAGUUCAAGAACCUUCAAGUGGAGGAGUUCCUUGAAGAGGAAGGGAUCAAGCACGAGUUCUCCGCUCCCUACACACCACAGCAAAAUGGCGUGGUAGAGAGGAAGAACAGGACGCUCAUUGACAUGGCAAGGACGAUGAUAGGAGAGUUCAAGACCCCCGAGUGCUUUUGGACGGAAGCCGUGAACACGGCUUGCCACGCCAUCAACAGGGUCUACCUUCAUCGCCUCCUCAAGAAGACGUCAUAUGAGCUACUAACCGGUAACAAACCCAAUGUAUCUUACUUUCGUGUAUUUGGGAGCAAGUGCUACAUUCUAGUGAAAAAAGGUAGAAAUUCCAAAUUUGCUCCCAAAGCUGUAGAAGGGUUUUUGUUAGGUUAUGACUCAAAUACAAAGGCAUAUAGAGUCUUCAACAAAUCAUCGGGUUUGGUUGAAGUCUCUAGCGACAUUGUAUUUGAUGAGACUAAUGGCUCUCCAAGAGAGCAAGUUUUUGAUUGUGAUGAUGUAGAUGAAGAAGAUGUUCCGACGGCCGCUAUACGAACCAUGGCGAUUGGAGACGUUCGGCCACAGGAACAAGAUGAACGAGAUCAACCUUCUUCCUCAACUAUGGUGCAUCCCCCAACUCAAGACGAUGAACAGGUUCAUCAACAGGAGGCGUGUGAUCAAGGGGGAACACAAGAUGAUCAUGUGAUGGAGGAAGAAGCGGAACCGGCACCUCCAACCCAAGUUCGAGCGAUGAUUCAAAGGGAUCAUCCCGUCGACCAAAUUCUGGGUGACAUUAGCAAGGGAGUAACUACUCGGUCUCGAUUAGUUAAUUUUUGUGAACAUUACUCUUUUGUCUCUUCUAUUGAGCCUUUCAGGGUAGAAGAGGCCUUGCUAGAUCCGGACUGGGUGUUGGCCAUGCAAGAGGAGCUCAAUAACUUUAAGAGGAAUGAAGUUUGGACGCUGGUGCCUCGUCCUAAGCAAAAUGUUGUGGGAACCAAGUGGGUGUUCCGCAACAAACAAGACGAGCACGGAGUGGUGACAAGGAACAAGGCUCGACUUGUGGCAAAAGGUUAUGCCCAAGUCGCUGGUUUGGACUUUGAGGAGACUUUUGCUCCUGUGGCUAGGCUAGAGUCCAUUCGUAUCUUGCUAGCAUAUGCCGCUCACCAUUCUUUCAGGUUGUACCAAAUGGAUGUGAAGAGCGCUUUCCUCAACGGGCCAAUAAAGGAGGAGGUGUACGUGGAGCAACCCCCUGGCUUCGAGGAUGAACGGUACCCCGACCACGUGUGUAAGCUCUCUAAGGCGCUCUAUGGACUUAAGCAAGCCCCAAGAGCAUGGUAUGAAUGCCUUAGAGAUUUCUUAAUUGCUAAUGCUUUCAAGGUUGGGAAAGCCGAUCCAACUCUUUUCACUAAGACAUGUGAUGGUGAUUUGUUUGUGUGCCAAAUUUAUGUCGAUGACAUAAUAUUUGGUUCUACUAAUAAAAAGUCUUGUGAAGAAUUUAGCAGGGUGAUGACGCAGAAAUUCGAGAUGUCGAUGAUGGGCGAGUUGAACUACUUCCUUGGGUUCCAAGUGAAGCAACUCAAGGACGGCACCUUCAUCUCUCAAACGAAGUACACGCAAGAUCUGCUGAAGCGGUUUGGGAUGAAGGACGCCAAGCCCGCAAAGACUCCGAUGGGAACCGACGGACACACCGACCUCAACAAAGGAGGUAAGUCCGUUGAUCAAAAAGCAUACCGGUCAAUGAUAGGGUCUUUACUUUAUUUAUGUGCUAGUAGACCGGAUAUUAUGCUUAGCGUAUGCAUGUGUGCUAGAUUUCAAUUCGAUCCUAAGGAGUGUCACUUAGUGGCAGUGAAGCGAAUCCUUAGAUAUUUGGUUGCUACGCCUUGCUUCGGGCUCUGGUAUCCAAAGGGGUCUACCUUUGACUUGAUUGGAUAUUCAGACUCCGACUAUGCUGGAUGUAAGGUCGAUAGGAAGAGUACAUCGGGGACGUGCCAAUUCUUAGGAAGGUCCCUGGUGUCGUGGAACUCUAAGAAACAAACUUCCGUUGCCCUAUCCACCGCUGAGGCCGAGUAUGUUGCCGCAGGACAGUGUUGCGCGCAACUACUUUGGAUGAAGCAAACCCUCAGGGACUUUGGCUACAAUCUGAGCAAAGUCCCACUCCUAUGUGAUAAUGAGAGUGCUAUCCGCAUGGCAGAAAAUCCUGUUGAGCACAGCCGCACAAAGCACAUAGACAUCCGGCAUCACUUUUUGAGAGACCACCAGCAAAAGGGAGAUAUCGAAGUGUUUCAUGUUAGCACCGAGAACCAGCUAGCCGAUAUCUUUACCAAGCCUCUAGAUGAGAAGACCUUUUGCAGGCUGCGUAGUGAGCUAAAUAUCUUAGAUUCGCGGAACUUGGAUUGAAUUGUAACAUACAAGUGUUUAUGCCUUUGAUCAUGUUCAUUCUGCAUAUUUUGCUUAUUGUGGUGCUCAAGUUGUACAAAACACUCCCUGGACCUCACAAGUCCGUUGCAAAGUGAUGCACAUGUUUAGGGGGAGAUGUAUUACAACUUGACCCUUUGAGACUAACCAUAUGCUUGAGUUUGCUUGAUUUAGUCUCGAAGGAGAAUUAAAAGGGAAAAGGUGGACUUGGACCAUGAAAGACUUCCACUGCACUCCGAUGAGAGGGUAACUUAUUCCAAGUCCAUCUCAUGAACUCUUAUUGCCAUUUGCUCUUAAUUGAAGAUUUUGGUGAGGCAAUGGGGUUAAAGGGCCAAGAUUAAUCCCGUUUUGGUGCUUGAUGCCAAAGGGGGAGAAAAUAAAGGCCAAAGCAAUAAAUGGAUCAGCUACCACUUGAAAGAUUUGAAAAUAGUAGAGUAGAGCUUUUGGUUUGUCAAAACACUCUUUUAUUGUCACUUUUGUCAAAAGUUGGCUUCUUGUGGGGAGAAGUAGUGAUUAUGGGAAAAAGGGGUAGUUUUUGAAAUCUUUGAUCAAUCGCUUUUGGAAUGACUCUCUUUAUGCUUCAACAUGUGUGUUUGAAUUAGAGAUAGAGAUUUGAGUUUGAUUUGCAAAAACAAACCAAGUGGUGGCAAAGGAUGAUCCAUAUAUGCCAAAAUUGAAUAAAACUCAAAUUUAUUUUAUUUGAAGUGAUUUUGCACCUGUUUUAGUUGCUUUAUGUUGUGUUGGCAUAAAUCACCAAAAAGGGGGAGAUUAAAAGGGAAAUGUGCCCUUGGGCCAUUUCUAAGUAUUUUGGUGAUUGAGUGCCAACACAAAGUGCAUAAAUGUGAAUUUAUACCCAUAGAUGAACAAAGUGCAAAUCAUGAGUAAAGGUAUGUUUCUAAGCCUUAGUACAUUAGUUUUGUGUACUAAUAUACUUGUCUAAGUGCUAGAAACAGAAAGAAAAAGAAAAGAAGAAAGGUGCAAAGACUUGGCUGUGUACAGCCAAAACUCAGCUUGGUCUGGCACACCGGACUGUCCGGUGGUGCACCGGACAGUGUCCGGUGCGCCAGGCUGACACGGCGCGAAGUGGCCGCUCUCGGGAAUUCGCCGACGGCGUACGGCUAUAAUUCACCGGACUGUCCGGUGUGCACCGGACUGUCCGGUGAGCCAACGGGCGGCCGAGCCAACGGUCGGCCGCGGAAUCUGCGCGCGACACGUGGCCUGGCCAACGGUCGGAAGGGGGCACCGGACUGUCCGGUGUGCACCGGACAUGUCCGGUGCGCCAACGGCUCCCAGAUCUGCAACGGUCGGCUGCGCUGUUUAAGGAAGGAAAUCGGGCACCGGACAGUGUCCGGUGUGCACCGGACUGUCCGGUGCGCCCGACGACAGAAGGCAAGGAUGGCCUUCCAGAUUUGUUCUCAACGGCUCCUAGCUUCCUUGGGGCUAUAAAAGGGACCCCUAGGCGCAUGGAGGAGAAUAACCAAGCAUUCCUUGAGCACUCUUGAUCACUCACACAUCAAUCUUGCGCACUUGUUCGACAUUCUAGCGAUUUGAGCUCCGUUCUAGUGUGCUAGUCUCUUGAGCUCAAGUCUGGGUCUUGUGUGUGCGUAUUCGCUGUGAUCUUUGUGUCAUGUGUGAGUUGCUAAUCCCUCCCUUGCUCUGUGAUUCUCUGUGAACAUCUUUUGUAAGGGCGAGAGGCUCCAAGCUGUGGAGAUUCCUCGCAAACGGGAUUGAGAAAAGAAAAGCAAGAACACCGUGGUAUUCAAGUUGAUCAUUGGAUCACUUGAGAGGAGUUGAGUGCAACUCUCGUCCGUUGGGACGCCACAACGUGGAGUAGGCAAGUUUUGUACUUGGCCGAACCACGGGAUAACCUCCGUGUCAUCUCUGUGAUUGAAUUCUUGUGGUUAUUGUGUUUUGACUCCUCUCUAGCCACUUGGGAUAAACUGUGCUAACACUCAAUCAAAGUUUUGUGGCUAUAAGUUUAAGUUUUACAGGAUCACCUAUUCACCCCCCCCCCCCUCUAGGUGCUCUCACUUACCAUGGCUUUAAACUCUAUCAAAUGGACGUGAAAAGUGCCUUCCUCAAUGGACCAAUCAAGGAGGAGGUCUAUGUUGAGCAACCUCCCGGCUUUGAAGAUAGUGAGUACCCUAACCAUGUAUAUAAACUCUCUAAGGCGCUUUAUGGGCUCAAGCAAGCCCCAAGAGCAUGGUAUGAGUGCCUAAGAGAUUUUCUUAUCGCUAAUGGCUUCAAAGUCGGAAAAGCCGAUCCUACUCUAUUCACUAAAACUAUUGCAAAAGAUUUGUUUGUAUGCCAAAUUUAUGUUGAAGAUAUCAUAUUUGGGUCUACUAACAAAUCUACUUGUGAAGAGUUUAGUAGGAUUAUGAUUCAAAAAUUCGAGAUGUCAAUGAUGGGGGAGUUGAAGUAUUUCUUACGAUUUCAAGUCAAGCCACUCCAAGAAGGCACCUUCAUUAGCCAAACAAAGUACAUUCAAGACAUUCUUGCAAAGUUUGGGAUGAAGGAUGCCAAGCCUUUAAGACACCCAUGGGAACUAAUGGGCAUCUCGACCUCGACAAGGGAGGUAAAUCCGUAGAUCAAAAGGUAUACCGGUCGAUGAUAGGUUCUUUACUCUAUUUAUGUGCAUCUCGACCGGAUAGUAUGCUUUCCGUAUGCAUGUGUGCAAGAUUCCAAGCCGAUCCUAAGGAAGUUAAUCUUAGGGCCGUAAAACGAAUCUUGAGAUAUUUAGUUUAUACUCCUAAGUUUGGCCUUUGGUACCCUAGGGGAUCCACUUUUGAUUUAAUUGGUUAUUCAGGUGCUGAUUGUGCAGGGUGUAAGAUUGAUAGAAAGAGCACAUCAGGGACUUGCCAGUUCUUGGGAAGAUCUCUGGUGUCUUGGGCUUCUAAGAAACAAAAUUCGGUAGCUCUUUCUACCGCCGAAGCCGAGUACAUUACCGCAGGCCUUUGUUGCGCGCAAUAGCUUUGGAUGAGGCAAACCCUUAGGGACUAUGGUUACAAAUUGACCAAAGUUCCUCUUCUAUGUGAUAAUGAGAGUGCAAUCCGCAUGGCGGAUAAUCCCGUUGAGCAUAGCCGCACUAAACACAUAGCCUUUCGAUAUCACCAACAACGAGCGGAUAUCGAGAUUGCAUAUAUUAACACCAAAGGACAAUUAGCCGAUAUCUUUACCAAGCCACUAGAUGAGAAAACAUUUACCAAACUUAGGCAUGAGCUAAAUAUUCUUGAUUCUAGGAAUUUUGAUUGAUAUUUUGCACACAUAGCUUAUUUAUAUACCUUUGAUCAUAUCUCUUUCAUGUGCUAUGACUAAUGUGGUUUCAAGUGCAUUUCAUGCUAAGUCAUAGAUUGAAAGGGAAUCAGAGUCUUCGGCGAAGACAAGGCUUCCACUCCACUCCAUCGAAUUAUUCAUCCUUCGCCGUCGCUCCGCAACGUUCUCCAACUUGGUAUAAUCUUCACUCGUAUAUUAUUUGCCAAAGCGAGAGAAAGUAAAGGGCUUAUAUUUCACUCACAAGUAUCCGUUUUUGGCGAUUCAUGCCAAAGGGGGAGAAAGUAUUAGCCCAAAGCAAAAGGACCGCACCACCACCAAUUUCAAAAAUUUAGUCUUUCAAUUUGUAUUUAAAGUAGUGUUUUCAAAAUUGGUAUCUUAUUUUUGAUAUAAUUUCAAAUUGGUAUACCCUCUUCAAAAUUAAUAUCUAAAACCCUCUUGAACACUAAGAGGAGGAUUUCAUUAAGGGGGAGUUUUGUUUAGUCAAAGGAAAAGCAUUUGAAACAGGGGGAGAAAAUUUCAAAUCUUAAAAAUGCUUCCCAAAAUCUUAUUCAUAUACCUCUUGACUAUUUGCAAAAGAUUUUGAAAAAGAAUUUCGAAAACAUUGCAAAACAAAACAAGUGGUGCAAGCGUGGUCCAAAAUGUUCAAUAAGAAGAAAACCAUCCAUGCAUAUCUAGUAGAAAUAAUUAUUGGUUUCACUCCAAGCAGCCUUUGCACUUACAUUAUGCAAACUAGUUCAAUUAUGCACUUUUAUAUUUGUUUUGGUUUGUGUUGGCAUCAAUCACCAAAAAGGUGGAGAUUGAAAGGGAAAUAGGCUUACACCUUUUCCUAUAUGAAUUUUGGUGGUUGAAUUGCCCAACACAAAUAAUUGGACUAACUAGUUCGCUCUAGAUUAUAAGUUUUACAGGUGCCAAAGGUUCACAACAAACCAAUAAAAAGACCAAGAAAAGGGUUCAAAUAAAGAGAGCAAAAGAAACCCGAAGGCUGCCUUGGUCUGACGCACCGGACUGUCCGGUGUGCCACCGGACAGUGUCCGGUGCACGAGGGAACCCAACUCCGAACUUGCCAACUUCGGGAUUCUGGGAGCCGUUUCGCUAUAAUUCACUGGACUGUCCAGUGUGCCAGCGGAGUAACGGCUACACAGCGCCAACAAUCGUCUGCAAUGGAACAGUAAAAGUGAACAGUGCGCGCCUGCGCGCGCAGAAGUCAGAGCAGCGCCAGAAGGCGCACCGGACAGUGAAUAGUGACUGUCCGGUGUACCACCGGACUAUCCGGUGACCCACCUGUCAGAAGCUCCAACGGUCAGAACCCAACGGCCGGGUGAUGUGGCUAGCGCACCGGACAGUGUCCUGUGGCGCACCGGACUAUCCAGUGCGCCAUGCGAUAGAAGCCCUCACCAAUGGUCACUUUGGUGGUUGGGGCUAUAAAUACCCCCAACCACCCACCAUUCAUUGCAUCCAAGUUUUCAGCCAUCAAACCUCAUUUGUGUUCAUUUGAGCUCUUGCGCUUGGAUUGCUUUUCUUCUUCCUUCUUUCUUGUGUUCAACUCACUUGUAAUCAAAACAAGAGACACCAAGUUGUGGUGGUCCUUGUAGUGAACUUAGUGUCCCAUUUGAUUGAAGAGAAAGGCUCACUCGGUCUAAGUGAUCGUUUGAGAGAGGGAAAGGGUUGAAAGAGACCCGGUCUUUGUGACCACCUCAACGGGGAGUAGGUUUGCAAGAACCGAACCUCGGUGAAACAAAUCACCGUGUCAUCCGCUCUUAUUCACUUGUGAUUUGUUUUUCGCCCUAUCUCUCGGACUCGUUUAUAUUUCUAACGCUAACCCCGGCUUUGUAGUGUGUGCUUAAGUUUGUAAAUUUCAGAUUUGCCUAUUCACCCCCCUCUAGGCGACUUUUAGACACCUUUCGUAAAGUUCUUGAUGUCUAGGCGGAAUGGAUGGUCAGGAGGGAGAAAUUGUCGAUGUUUAUCGAAGGACGAAUAUUUGCCACCUUUUUUCAACCAAAUGAACCUGAGAGCUUCCUUGCAAACUGGGCAUGGGAACUUACCGUGAACACACCAGGCGCAGAAUAGCCCAUACGCCGGUAAGUCAUGCAUGGAGUACUGGUACCAAACAUGCAUUCUGAAGUUUGUCUUCGUAGCUCGAUCAUACGUCCAUACCCCUUCCUCCCAGGCACGUACCAAUUCAUCGAUCAAAGGCUCCAUGUACAUGCCCAUUUUAUUCCCCGGGUGUCCGGGAAUUAUCAACGACACGAAUAUAUUCUGCCUUUGAAAGCACACACCUCUGCAUUGAUUGGGAUAACAAACACGGGCCAACAUGUGUACGGGGCAGCGCUCAUUCCAUGGGGAUUGAACCCAUCUGUGGCCAACGCAACACGUACAUUACGAGCCUCUUCGGCUUUCUCACGGUGAAUGGCAUCAAAGUGUUUCCAUGCUUCACCAUAGGAUGCGUGCACCAUCUUGUCAGGAUUGUAUCAUUUUCCAUUUUUGUGCCAUGUCAUCUGUUUCGCGGAUUCCUCUGUCAUGUACAGACGCUGGAUCCUUGGUAUGAACGGAAGGUGCCGUAGGAUUGUCAAGGGGAUGUCGAGCUGCCUCUUCUGUCCAUCACCAGAGUCUACCUCCAUGAACCUAGACGAUUUACACUUGGGACAGUACUUUGCCUUCGCGUAUUCUUUCCUAAAUAGCAUGCAGCCCUUCGGACAAGCAUGAAUCUGCUCAUACGUCAUCUUGAGUGCACGAAGGAGUUUCUGUGCCUCGUACAUACUCUUUGGCAGAACGUGAUCAUCCGGAAGCAGGCUCCCAAUAACCGUCAACAAGCCAUUGAAUGCAUCUCUACUCAUGCUGUACUGCGACUUGAACGCCAUUACACGCCCAAUGGCAUCCAGUUGAGAAACCUUUGUCUGGCCGUGAAGGGGCUUCUGUGCCGCGUCGAACAUGUCGUAGAACGCCUUUGCAGUCGGCUCUGGCUCGUCAUCCAUACAUCCUCCCGUGUAUUGUGCCUCCUGAUAGUCGUUCAACAUAUCCGCUACCCCCGCAUCGUGUCAUUAUCCUCGACACGUUGUCUCAGCACCUCCUCUCUCGUGCGAUGCGCUUCACCAUGAAAUAUCCACCGAGUAUAGCCCGGUGUAAAUCCAUUCUUCCAAAUAUGUUCUACCAUGGCCUUCUUUGGUUUUCUUUUCCGGUUGGCACAUUUGCUGCACGGGCAUGGGACUAGACUCGCUCCUUUAGCAGCUUCGCCAUAUGCCCGUUCCACGAAAUCAUCGGUCUUUAUAAUCCAUUCAGUGGUGACAUCGUUCCUUCCUCUAUGGCCCGUGUACAUUCACUCACGGUCCUCCAUCCUCUAACAGAAGCCUAGCAACAGAAAAUUUCAGCAGCACCUCCCCUGCACGGGGAGGUUUCGAAAUCCUGCAAAUAAAACUAUCAGCACGAUGGCUGACAUCCACACAUAAUUCAACGGCACGAUGGCCGGCAAUCAACAAUACUACAUAUUAACCUAAUCAUACACGUACAUAAAUUAAACACAACAAGACUACAUAUUAACCUAAUCAUACACGUAUAUAAUUAACUCAAUAUUAAACCUAAUCAUUUCAUAUAAAUCAUACAUGUAGAACAUAAAGCUUUUUAAUUACAAUAUCACAAAACGAAAGCAAGCAAUCACCUUGGAGGUUUGGUCGCGGGCGAGACGAUGGGGCGCUGGGGUUUGAGGUUGGCCGCGUGCACUUUCCCGGCGUGCACUUAGGCGGCGGGCGGGCGGGGACACGGCAGCGGGCGCGGCGGGGGCGCGGCGGCGGGCGAGGGCACGACAGCGUGGCGAGGGCAUGGCGGGGGCGUGGAGCAAAGGGCAGUGGAUUGAGAGAGUGAGAGAGUGAGGAAGAAGAAGAACUGACCAGGGCACUCGGCAAAGAUUUUUUUUUAAUUUUAAAAUACGUUUUGCCGAGUGCCAGAUCGGGGGCACUCGUCAAACUCGUCUUUGCCGAGUGUCCCCUAAGCGACACUCGGCAAAGGUUAUUUUACUAUUCUUUGCCGAGUGUCGCCCAGGAGACACUCGGCAAAGGCUACUUUGCCGAGUGUCAUUUCUGGACACUCGGCAAAUUAUAUUUUUAAUUUUUUUAUUUUCCCAACCAAAAUUUUUGUGGUGUGUUCCUACACUAUAUAGACCUACAUGUACCAUUUUGAGACAAUUAGAAAAGUGUUUUCUAUAGCUAGUAGAUUUAGUUCGUUUAUUUGAAUUUCUUCGAAAAAAUCACAUUUGAACUGCAAGUCACUCGAAACUUAGAAAACCGUGCAUGCAAAAAUCAUAUCCAUGCUAGUUAGCACAAGUUACGACCGAUUUCAGGAGCGGACCAAAAACUUCGAGCACCAUGCUCAUUCAACAUGGCCGUGAACUUGCCAUCCAGCUGUUUAAAAAUUUUAUAAAACACAAACAAACUCAGAAAAUCAUGAAACUUGUCCACGUGUCAUGAUAUCAUAUGUAGAGGCUGUGAUAAAACUUUUAGAAUGUUUGGAGAAACUUGUGAGACAUUCUGUGUAGAAAUCUAAGAGAACUACACAUGAAAUCAUAGAGUUUCAAUGUGGAUCUCUUAGGUUUGUACACAUAGUGCGUUACAGCUUUCUCAAAACUUUUUCAAAUUUUUAUCACAGCCUCUACAUAUGAUAUCAUGACACGUGGACAGGUUUCAUGAUUUUCUGACUUUGUUUGUGUUUUGUACAAUUUUUAAACACGUGGAUGGCAAGUUUAUGACCAUGUUUAGUGAGCAUGUUGCUCAAAGUUUCUGGCCCGCUCCUGAAAUCGGUCGUAACUUGUGCUAAGUAGCAUGGAUAUCAUUUUGCAUGCACGGUUUUUCAAGUUUCGAGUGACCUCCAUUUCAAAUUUGAAUUUUCCAAAGAAAUUCAAAUAAACGAACUAAAUCUACUAGCUAUUAAAAACAAUGUUAUAAUUGUCCCAAAAUGGUACAUGUAGGUCUACAUAUUGUAGGAACAUACCACAAAAAGUUUGGUGGCCAAAAUAAAAAAGUAAAAAUAUGCUUUGCCGAGUGUCCACAGAAGACACUCGGUAAAGACCCUCUUUGCCGAGUGCCAGAUAUUUGACACUUGGCAAAGGAUCUGCUUUGCCGAGUGCCGGCUUUCGGCCCUCGGCAAAGGCUGACGGCCGUCAUCUGUAGACGGCCGCUAAUGGCCCUUUGCCGAGCGCCAUCUUUGCUGAUUGUUUGCCACUCGACAAAGCAGUCUUCGCCGAUUGUUUCUCUAUGCCGAGUGUCCUGCACUCGGUAAACAAGCUCUUUACCGAGCACAAGACUUUACCGAGUGCGGCGCUCGACAAAGUCAUCUUUGAAGAGUGCCCGAUAAAAAGCACCCGGCAAAGCCGCCGGCACUCGGCAAAGGCCCGGAUUCCGGUAGUGCUGGUAGCUUCGAUACACUUCAUCCAGUUGUCGUCUGGUUCAUCAAACCUCUCCCUAAAUCUGAAGGUAUACUUCAGUCGGACCAGACCACCCUCACUAGAAUCGGCUAUGGUCUCCUUCGGCAUAUCCAAGCUCUCCACAAGUGGCCAUACCCUGAAGGAUAUAUGCUCUUGAAUCAAAUCCCUUGUGCCAAUGAAGGCACACACAGUGCUAAAAUCCCUCUGACAUGCUUCAACAGUGCCAUCAAUUUCCACCUUCGGCCUUCGAAGGCCGAAGCGAGACCCGAUAGGGCGCUGAAUAAUUUAUUUGAUGUCUUCCCUUGCCUUUAAAUCAUUAUUAACAUAAAACCACUCCUCCAUCCAGGCCCCGUGCCAUCUUUUCCGAAAUGUUGGCACCGGGUGGCUUGCAUUGGGGCGAGCAAUAAAUCCAUAACAACCGAAGUUGUUGUGGUACUGUUCUUUGUGAAAGGGAAUUAGGCUUACACCUAGUCCCUAAUUAAUUUUGGUGGUUGAAUUGCCCAACACAAAUAAUUGGACUAACUAGUUUGCCCAAGUGUAUAGAUUAUACAGGUGUAAAAGGUUCACACUCAGCCAAUAAAAAAGAUCAAGUUUUGGAUUCAACAAAGGAGCAAAGAGGCAACCGAAGGCACCUCUGGUCUGGAGGCACCGGACUGUCCGGUGUACACCGGACAGUGUCCGGUGCGCCACCGGACAGUGUCCGGUGCACCAGAGGACUCCAACUCGAACUCGCCACCUUCGGGAAUUUCCAGAGGUGACUCCGCUAUAAUUCACCGGACUGUCCGGUGUACACCGGACAGUGUCCGGUGCGCCAAGGAAGAGCGGCCUCAGGAACUCGCCAGCUUCGGGAAUCUCCAACGGCUAGUCCGCUAUAAUUCACCGGACAUGUCCGGUGUGCACCGGACUGUCCGGUGCAACUCCGGAGCAACGGCUAUUCGGCGCCAACGGCUACCUGCGACGCAAUUAAUGCGCGCUUUGCGCGCGCAGAAGUCAGGCGCGCCCAUACUGGCGCACCGGACAAGGAACAGUAGAUGUCCGGUGUGCACCGGACAUCUAGGCGGGCCCACAAGUCAGAAGCUCCAACGGUCAGAAUCCAACGGCAGUGAUGACGUGGCAGGGGCACCGGACUGUCCGGUGCGCCAUCGAACAGACAGCCUCCCAACGGCCACUUUUGGUGGUUGGGGCUAUAAAUACCCCAACCACCCCACCAUUCAUUGCAUCCAAGUUUUCCACUUCUCAACCACUUACAAGAGCUAGGCAUUCAAUUCUAGACACACCAAAGAGAUCAAAUCCUCUCCAAUUCCACACAAGGCUUUAGUGAUUAGCGAGAAAGAUUUGCCGUGUUCUUUUGAGCUCUUGCGUUGGAUUGCUUCUUUUCUUUCUCACUUGUUCUUGUGAUCAAAACUCCAUUAUAAUCAAGGCAAGAGGCACCAAUUGUGUGGUGGCCCUUGCGGGGAAGUUUUUGUUCCCGGCUUUGAUUUGAGAAGAGAAGCUCACUCGGUCCGAGGGACCGUUUGAGAGAGGGAAGGGUUGAAAGAGACCCGACCUUUGUGGCCUCCUCAACGGGGAGUAGGUUUGCAAGAACCGAACCUCGGUAAAACAAAUCCGUGUGUCACACUCUUCAUUUGCUUGCGAUUUGUUUUGCGCCCUCUCUCACGGACUCGUUUAUAUUUCUAACGCUAACCCGGCUUGUAGUUGUGUUUAUAUUUGUAAAUUUCAGUUUCGCCCUAUUCACCCCCCCUCUAGGCGACUAUCAAUUGGUAUCGGAGCCCGGUGCUUCAUUAGAGCCUAACCGCUCGAAGUGAUGUCGGGAGAUCACGCCAAGAAGGAGAUGGAGACCGGCGAAAAUCCCACUACAAGCCAUGGGAGCACUUCAUCGGAAGAGUCCCGCACCAAGAGGAGGGAGAAGAAGAAGAGCUCCUCCAACAAAGGGAAGGAGAAGAAAUCUUCUUCUCACCACAAAGAGAAGAAAGAAAAAUCUUCUUCCCACAAGCCGCAUCGGAGUGGGGACAAGCAAAAGAGGAUGAGGAAAGUGGUCUACUACGAGACCGACACUUCAUCAACAUCGACCUCCGGCUCCGAUGCGCCCUCCGUAACUUCUAAACGCCAAGAGCGUAAGAAGUUUAGUAAGAUCCCCCUACACUACUCUCGCAUUUCUAAACAUGCACCUCUACUUUCCGUCCCAUUAGGCAAACCACCAACUUUUGAUGGUGAAGAUUAUGCUAGGUGGAGUGAUUUAAUGCGAUUUCAUCUAACCUCACUCCACAAAAGUAUAUGGGAUGUUGUUGAGUUUGGUGCACAGGUACCGUCCGUAGGGGAUAAAGACUAUGAUGAGGAUGAGGUGGCCCAAAUCGAGCACUUCAACUCUCAAGCGACAACAAUACUCCUUGCCUCUUUAAGUAGAGAGGAGUAUAACAAAGUUCAAGGGUUGAAGAGCGCCAAGGAGGUUUGGGAUGUGCUCAAAACCGCGCACGAGGGAGAUGAGCUCACAAAGAUCACCAAGCGGGAAACGAUCGAGGGGGAGCUCGGUCGGUUCCGGCUUCGCAAAGGGGAAGAGCCACAACACAUGUACAACCGGCUCAAGACCUUGGUGAACCAAGUGCGCAACCUCGGGAGCAAAAAGUGGGAUGACCAUGAGGUGGUUAAGGUUAUUCUAAGAUCUCUUAUUUUCCUUAACCCUACUCAAGUUCAAUUAAUUCGUGGUAAUCCUAGAUAUACUAAAAUGACCCCCGAGGAAGUUAUCGGGAAUUUUGUAAGUUUUGAGUGCAUGAUCGAAGGCUCGAGGAAGAUCAACGAGCUUGAUGAUCCCUCCACAUCCGAAGCUCAACCCGUCGCAUUCAAGGCGACGGAAGAAAAGAAGGAGGAGUCUACAUCAAGUCGACAACCGAUCGACGCCUCCAAGCUUGACAAUGAGGAGAUGGCGCUCGUCAUCAAGAGCUUCCGCCAAAUCCUCAAACAAAGGAGGGGGAAAGACUACAAGUCCCGCUCCAAGAAGGUUUGCUACAAGUGUGGUAAGCCCGGUCACUUUAUUGCUAAAUGUCCAUUAUCAAGUGAUAGUGACAGGGAUAACGACAAGAAGGGAAAGAGGAGAGAAAAGAAGAGGUACUACAAGAAGAAGGGCGGCGAUGCCCAUGUUUGUCGGGAGUGGGACUCCGACGAAAGCUCAAGCGAUUCCUCCGACGACGAGGACGCCGCCAACAUCGCCGUCACCAAAGGGCUUCUCUUCCCCAACGUCGGCCACAAGUGUCUCAUGGCAAAGGACGGCAAAAAGAAGGUUAAAUCUAAAUCCUCCACUAAAUAUGAAUCCUCUAGUGAUGAUAAUGCUAUUGAUGAGGAAGAUAAUUUGCGUACUCUUUUUGCCAACCUCAACAUGCAACAAAAAGAAAAACUUAAUGAAUUGAUUAGUGCCAUUCAUGAAAAGGAUGAUCUCUUGGACACCCAAGAGGACUUCCUUAUUAAAGAAAAUAAGAAACAUGUUAAGGUCAAAAAUGCUUACGCUCUAGAAAUAGAAAAAUGUGAAAAACUUUCUAGUGAGCUAAGUUCUUGCCAUGAAACUAUUGACAACCUUAGGAAUGAAAAUGCAAAUUUAUUAGCUAAGGUUGAUUCUAUUGCUUGUAAUGUUUCAAUUCCCAAUCUUAGAAAUGAUAAUGAUGAUUUACUUGCUAAGAUUGAAGAAUUAAACUUAUCUCUUGCUAGCCUUAGAAAUGAAAAUGAAAAAUUGCUUGCUAAGGCUAAAGAUUUUGAUGUUUGCAAUGCUACUAUUUCCGACCUUAGAAGUAAAAAUGAAAUAUUGCCUGCUAAGGUUGUAGAACUAAAAUCUUGCAAACCCUCUACAUCUACCGUUGAGCACACUUCUAUUUACACUAGAUGUAGAGAUGUUAACAUUGAUGCUAUACAUGAUCACAUGGCUUUAAUUAAACAACAAAAUGAUCAUAUAGCUAAAUUAGAUGCUAAAAUUGCCGAGCAUAACUUAGAAAAUGAAAAAUUUAAAUUUGCUAGAAGUAUGCUCUAUAAUGGGAGACGCCCUGGCAUCAAGGAUGGCAUUGGCUUCCAAAGGGGAGACAAUGUCAAACUUAAUGCCCCUCCUAAAAGAUUGUCUAAUUUUGUAAAGGGCAAGGCUCCCAUGCCUCAGGAUAACGAGGGUUACAUUUUAUACCCUGCCGGUUAUCCCGAGGACAAAAUUAGGAGAAUUCAUUCUAGAAAGUCUCACUCUGGCCCUAACCAUGCUUUUAUGUAUAAGGGUGAGACAUCUAGCUCUAGGCAACCAACCCGUGCUAAGUUGCCUAAGAAGAAAACUCCUAGUGCAUCAAAUGAACAUAGUCUUUCAUUUAAAACUUUUGAUGCAUCUUAUGUGUUGACUAACAAAUCUGGCAAAGUAGUUGCCAAAUAUGUUGGGGGCAAGCACAAGGGGUCAAAGACUUGUGUUUGGGUACCCAAAGUUCUUGUGUCUAAUGCCAAAGGACCCAAAACCAUUUGGGUACCUAAAGUCAAGAACUAAACUUGUUUUGUAGGUUUAUGCAUCCGGGGGCUCAAGUUGGAUACUCGACAGCGGGUGCACAAACCACAUGACAGGGGAGAAGAAGAUGUUCUCCUCCUACGAGAAAAACAAAGAUCCCCAACGAGCUAUCACAUUCGGGGAUGGAAAUCAAGGUUUGGUCAAAGGUCUUGGUAAAAUUGCUAUAUCUCCUGACCAUUCUAUUUCCAAUGUUUUUCUUGUAGAUUCUUUAGAUUACAAUUUGCUUUCUGUUUCUCAAUUAUGUCAAAUGGGCUACAACUGUCUAUUCACUGAUGUAGGUGUCACUGUCUUUAGAAGAAGUGAUGAUUCAAUAGCAUUUAAGGGUGUGUUAGAGGGUCAGCAAUACUUAGUAGAUUUCGAUAGAGCUGAACUCGACACAUGCUUAAUUGCUAAGACUAACAUGGGCUGGCUCUGGCAUCGCCGACUAGCACAUGUUGGAAUGAAGAAUCUUCACAAGCUUCUAAAGGGAGAACACAUUUUAGGACUAACAAAUGUUCAUUUUGAGAAAGACAGGGUUUGUAGCGCAUGUCAAGCAGGAAAGCAAGUUGGAACCCAUCAUCCACACAAGAACAUCAUGACGACCGACAGGCCACUUGAGCUACUCCACAUGGAUCUAUUCGGCCCGAUCGCUUACAUGAGCAUCGGUGGGAGUAAGUACUGUCUAGUUAUUGUGGAUGAUUAUUCUCGCUUCACUUGGGUAUUCUUUUUACAGGAAAAAUCUCAAACCCAAGAGACCUUAAAGGGAUUCUUGAGACGGGCUCAAAAUGAGUUCGGCUUAAGGAUCAAGAAAAUAAGAAGCGACAACGGGACGGAGUUCAAGAACUCUCAAAUUGAAGGCUUCCUUGAGGAGGAGGGCAUUAAGCAUGAGUUCUCUUCUCCCUACACACCACAACAAAAUGGUGUAGUGGAGAGGAAGAAUAGAACUCUAUUGGACAUGGCAAGAACCAUGCUUGAUGAGUACAAGACUUCGGAUCGGUUUUGGGCCGAGGCGGUUAACACCGCCUGCUACGCCAUCAACCGGUUAUAUCUUCACCGAAUCCUCAAGAAGACAUCAUACGAACUCCUAACCGGUAAAAAGCCCAACAUUUCAUAUUUGAGUCUUUGGUAGCAAAUGCUUUAUUCUUGUUAAAAGAGGUAGAAAAUCUAAAUUUGCUCCUAAGACUGUAGAAGGCUUUUUACUUGGUUAUGACUCAAACACAAGGGCAUAUAGGGUCUUUAACAAGUCCACUGGACUAGUUGAAGUCUCAUGUGACGUUGUGUUUGAUGAAACUAACGGCUCUCAAGUAGAGCAAGUUGAUCUUGAUGAGAUAGGUAUUGAAGAGGCUCCGUGCAUCGCGCUAAGGAACAUGUCCAUUGGGGAUGUGUGUCCUAAGGAAUCCGAAGAGCCUCCAAAUGCACAAGAUCAAUCGUCCUCCUCCACGCAAGGAUCUCCACCAACUCAAAUUGAGGAUGAAGCUCAAGUUGAUGAAAAAGAAGAUCAAUCAAAUGAGCCACCUCAAGAUGACGGCAUAGAUCAAGGGGGAGAUGCAAAUGAUCAAGACAAGGAGGAUGAAGAGCAAAGGCCGCCACACCCAAGAGUCCACCAAGCAAUUCAACGAGAUCACCCCGUCGACACCAUCCUCGGCGACAUUCAUAAGGGGGUAACUACUAGAUCUCGUGUUGCACAUUUUUGUGAACAUUACUCUUUUGUUUCCUCUAUUGAGCCACACAGGGUAGAGGAAGCACUCCAAGAUUCGGAUUGGGUAGUGGCGAUGCAAGAGGAGCUCAACAACUUCACUAGGAAUGAGGUAUGGCAUUUAGUUCCACGUCCUAAUCAAAAUGUUGUAGGAACCAAAUGGGUCUUCCGCAACAAGCAAGAUGAGCAUGGUGUGGUGACAAGGAACAAAGCUCGACUUGUGGCCAAAGGAUACUCCCAAGUCGAAGGUUUGGAUUUCGGUGAAACCUAUGCACCCGUAGCUAGGCUUGAGUCAAUUCGUAUAUUAUUAGCCUAUGCUACUUACCAUGGCUUUAAGCUUUAUCAAAUGGAUGUGAAAAGUGCCUUGCUCAAUGGACCAAUCAAGGAAGAGGUCUAUGUUGAGCAACCUCCCGGCUUUGAAGAUAAUAAGUACCCUAACCAUGUCUAUAAGCUCUCUAAGGCGCUUUAUGGGCUCAAGCAAGCCCCAAGAGCAUGGUAUGAAUGCCUUAGAGAUUUCCUUAUUGCAAAUGGCUUCAAAGUCGGAAAGGCCGAUCCUACACUCUUUACUAAAACUCUUGAAAAUGACUUGUUUGUAUGCCAAAUUUAUGUUGAUGAUAUUAUAUUUGGGUCUACUAACGAGUCUACAUGUGAAGAGUUUAGUAGGAUCAUGACACAAAAGUUCGAGAUGUCUAUGAUGGGGGAGUUGAAGUAUUUUCUAGGAUUUCAAGUGAAGCAACUCCAAGAGGGCACCUUCCUAAGCCAAACCAAGUACACUCAAGAUAUUCUAAGCAAGUUUGGAAUGAAGGAUGCCAAACCCAUCAAGACACCCAUGGGAACUAAUGGGCAUCUCGACCUAAACACGGGAGGUAAGUUCGUGGAUCAAAAGGUAUACCGGUCGAUGAUAGGUUCUUUACUCUAUUUAUGUGCAUCUCGACCGGAUAUUAUGCUUUCCGUAUGCAUGUGUGCAAGAUUCCAAGCCGACCCUAAGGAAGCUCACCUUACGGCCGUGAAACGAAUCUUGAGAUAUUUGGCUUAUACUCCUAAGUUUGGGCUUUGGUAUCCUAGGGGAUCCACAUUUGAUUUGAUUGGAUAUUCGGAUGCCGAUUGGGCGGGGUGUAAAAUUAAUAGGAAGAGCACAUCGGGGACCUGCCAGUUCUUGGGAAGAUCCUUGGUGUCUUGGGCUUCAAAGAAGCAAAAUUCGGUCGCUCUUUCCACCGCAGAAGCCGAGUAUAUUGCCGCAGGUCAUUGUUGCGCGCAAUUGCUUUGGAUGAGGCAAACCCUGCGGGACUACGGUUACAAAUUAACCAAAGUCCCUUUGCUAUGUGAUAAUGAGAGUGCAAUCAAGAUGGCGGAUAAUCCCGUCGAACAUAGCCGCACUAAACACAUAGCCAUUCGGUAUCACUUUUUGAGGGAUCACCAACAAAAGGGAGAUAUCGAGAUUUCAUACAUCAAUACUAAAGAUCAAUUAGCCGAUAUCUUUACCAAGCCUCUUGAUGAACAAUCUUUUACCAAACUUAGGCAUGAGCUAAAUAUUCUUGAUUCUCGGAACUUCUUUUGUUGAUUUGCACACAUAGCUCAUUUAUAUACCCUUGAUCAUAUCUCUUUUAUAUGCUAUGACUAAUGUGUUUUCAAGUGAAUUUCAAACCAAGUCAUAGGAAUAUUGAAAGGGAAUUGGAGUCUUCGGCGAAGACAAAGGCUUCCACUCCGUAACUCAUCCUUCGCCGUCACUCCAAGAGACUCUCCAUCUUUGGGGGAGAGAGCAAAAGGACUUCGUCUUUGGUAUAAUCUUAACUCAUUUAUUUAUGACCAAAGGGGAAGAUAGCACUUCGAGGGCUCUAAUGAUUCCGUUUUUGGCGAUUCAUGCCAAAGGGGGAGAGAGUAAGAGCCCAAAGCAAAAGGACCCAAAGCAAAAGGACCGCACCACACCACCAAUUUCAAAAAACUUAGUGUUUCCAAGAAUUUUUUCAAUUGGUAUCCUAGUGUGUUCACAAGGGGGAGAAAAUAGUAUUUUAAAAAAUGAUAUAUCAAAACCCUCUUGAACACUAAGAGGAGGAUCUCAUUUAGGGGGAGUUUUGUUUAGUCAAAGGAAAAGCAUUUGAAACAGGUGGAGAAAAUUUCAAAUCUUGAAAAUGCCUUGCAAAAUCUUAUUCAAUUACCUUUGACUAUUUGCAAAAGAACUUUGAAAAGGAUUUACAAAAUAGUUUGCAAAAACAAAACAUGUGGUGCAAGCGAGGUCCAAAAUGUUAUAUAAGAAAGAAACAAUCCAUGCAUAUCUUGUAAGUAUUUAUAUUGGCUCAAUUCCAAGCAACCUUUGUACUUACAUUAUGCAAACUAGUUCAAUUAUACACUUCUGUAUUUGCUUUGGUUUGUGUUGGCAUCAAUCACCAAAAAGGGGGAGAUUGAAAGGGAAUUAGGCUUACACCUAGUCCCUAAUUAAUUUUGGUGGUUGAAUUGCCCAACACAAAUAAUUGGACUAACUAGUUUGCCCAAGUGUAUAGAUUAUACAGGUGUAAAAGGUUCACACUCAGCCAAUAAAAAAGAUCAAGUUUUGGAUUCAACAAAGGAGCAAAGAGGCAACCGAAGGCACCUCUGGUCUGGAGGCACCGGACUGUCCGGUGUACACCGGACAGUGUCCGGUGCGCCACCGGACAGUAUCCGGUGCACCAGAGGACUCCAACUCGAACUCGCCACCUUCGGGAAUUUCCAGAGGCGACUCCGCUAUAAUUCACCGGACUGUCCGGUGUACACCGGACAGUGUCCGGUGCGCCAAGGAAGAGCGGCCUCAGGAACUCGCCAGCUUCGGGAAUCUCCAACGGCUAGUCCGCUAUAAUUCACCGGACAUGUCCGGUGUGCACCAGACUGUCCGGUGUGCACCGGACUGUCCGGUGCAACUCCGGAGCAACGGCUAUUCGGCGCCAACGGCUACCUGCGACGCAAUUAAUGCGCGCUCUGCGCGCGCAGAAGUCAGGCGCGCCCAUACUGGCGCACCGGACAAGGAACAGUAGAUGUCCGGUGUGCACCGGACAUCCAGGCGGGCCCACAAGUCAGAAGCUCCAAUGGUCAGAAUCCAACGGCAGUGAUGACGUGGCAGGGGCACCGGACUGUCCGGUGCGCCAUCGAACUGACAGCCUCCCAACGGCCACUUUUGGUGGUUGGGGCUAUAAAUACCCCAACCACCCCACCAUUCAUUGCAUCCAAGUUUUCCACUUCUCAACCACUUACAAGAGCUAGGCAUUCAAUUCUAGACACACCAAAGAGAUCAAAUCCUCUCCAAUUCCACACAAGGCUUUAGUGAUUAGCGAGAAAGAUUUGUCGUGUUCUUUUGAGCUCUUGCGCUUGGAUUGCUUCUUUUCUUUCUCACUUGUUCUUGUGAUCAAAACUCCAUUGUAAUCAAGGCAAGAGGCACCAAUUGUGUGGUGGCCCUUGCGGGGAAGUUUUUGUUCCCGGCUUUGAUUUGAGAAGAGAAGCUCACUCGGUCCGAGGGACCGUUUGAGAGAGGGAAGGGUUGAAAGAGACCCGGCCUUUGUGGCCUCCUCAACGGGGAGUAGGUUUGCAAGAACCGAACCUCGGUAAAACAAAUCCGCGUGUCACACUCUUCAUUUGCUUGCGAUUUGUUUUGCGCCCUCUCUCACGGACUCGUUUAUAUUUCUAACGCUAACCCGGCUUGUAGUUGUGUUUAUAUUUGUAAAUUUCAGUUUCGCCCUAUUCACCCCCCUCUAGGCGACUAUCACUUUGCCAGUAGCCUUCGUCUCAUACAAAAGCUCAUGCAUACUGUAGAAGCACUUUGCGCUUGGCUCUAGCCCCUGACUCCUUACAGCACGGACAAAAAUCCCCAUUCUAGUUAUAGCUUCGGGGGUAAUGAAAGGGAAAUAGGGUCAAACCUUUUUUCUAAAUGAUUUUGGUGGUUGAAAUGCCCAACACAAAUAAUUAGACUAACUAGUUUGCUCUAGAUUAUACAUUCCACAGGUACCAAAGGUUCAACACAAACCAAUAAAAAGAUCAAAGUUAGGGUUCAAAUCAAAGGAGCAAAAGAAACCGAAGAGAAACCUGGUCUGGUGCACCGGACUGUCCGGUGUGCCACCGGACAGUGUCCGGUGCACCAGGGGUCGUACAGACUGAACCCUUCACCUUCGGGUUUCUAGAGAGCUGCUCCGCUAUAAUUCACCGGACUGUCCGGUGUGGCAUCGGACUGUCUGGUGUGCCAGCGGAGCAACGGCUGGCGAGCGCAACGGUCGACUCCAACGGUCGCCUACAAUGUGAACAGUGCGCGAACAGUUCGCGCAGAGUCAGAGCAGCGCCAGAAGGCACACCGGACAGUGAAUAGUACCUAUCCGGUGCGGCACCGGACCCAAGAUGGCAGAGCUCCAACGGUCGAAACCGUCAGAACCCUAAUGGUUGGGUGAUGUGGCUGGCGCACCGGACAGUGUCCGGUGGCGCACCGGACUGUUCGGUGCGCCCAUCGACAGCAGGCCUCCCCAACGGCUAUUGUGGUGGUUGGGGCUAUAUAUAACCCCCAACCACCACUAUUCAAGGUAUCCAAGUUUCCAGCAUAUUACAUUCAAUACAAGAGCUCUAGAAUUUACUCCAAGACACAAACAAGAGAUCAAAUCCUCUCCAAAGUCCAAAACCACUCCAAACACUUAGUGACUUGUGAGAGAGAGAUUUUCGUGUUCAUUUGAGUUCUUGUCGCUUGGAUCGCUUUCUUCUUCCUCUUUCUUGUUCUCAAGACACUUGUAAUCAUAGCAAGAGACACCAAGUUGUGGUGGUCCUUGUAGGGGUCUAGGUGACCCGUUUGAUUAAGGAGAAAGCUCACUCGGUCUAGAUGACCGUUUGAGAGAGGGAAAGGGUUGAAAGAGACCCGGUCUUUGUGACCACCUCAAUGGGGACUAGGUUUGCAAGAACCGAACCUCGGUAAAACAAAUCAUCGUGUCAUCCACUCUAUUUCUUUGAUUGAUUUGUUUUUUCCCCUCUCUUUCGGACUCGGUUUUAUUUCCAACGCUAACCCCGACUUGUAGUUGUGCUUUAAGUUAUAAAUUUCAGUUUCCGCCUAUUCACCCCCUCUAGGCAACUCUCAAUUGGUAUCAGAGCCCGAUACUUCAUUGGAGUUUAACCACUCGAAGUGACGUUGGGAGAUCACGCCAAGGAGAUCGUGACCAGUGGUGACAAGUCUACAAGCCAUGGGAAGGCUCCAUCGGGAGUGUCUGGCAACAAAAUGAAGGGAUCCCCUUCACAUGCCAAGUCACAUCGGAGCGGCGACAAGAAAAAGAAGAUGAAGAAGGUUGUGACGGAACCUGCCAAGUCAUUAGGCCUACCUACAGUUGUCCUUGUCCAUCGGACCUCAGACAACCCUGCAGGUGCACCUGAUCACUUGACAAGUUCGGUAUCUGAAUUCUUUACCUUGCCCAAGAGCGUUUCACCCGUCACGCAGAUAUUACAACACAUCGGAGGAACGAGUAUGCGGAAGCAGUUACAAUAAUUUACUUUAUUUUAAAGUAUAGAAAGAGUAGUAUUAUUAUAGACCAGAGCAAAUAUAAGAGUGCUGGAGAAUAUUAUUACAUAUCUUGGGAGGCAAAAACCCCUCCCGAUAAACAGUAAAAAGUUUUAAAGGAGGACACUUCCUCUCGAGGCUUCAGUCUUGAUUUUCUUCCUUAGGCACCACCUUGGAACAAAAGCAACAAAAAUUUGCUGCUUCCUCACCUAAAACAACAUGGGACAAAGCCCUGAGUAUGAAGUGUACUUUUGCAAGUCUUACCCGUCAAAAUAAAAAAAGACUCUCAAGGAUAUGCUGGCCUUUGGGAAUCAAGGUAUGGCUUAUCAAUAAUCAAAGACUCUGUUUGCAGAAAUGCUUGCUAAUAGUGGAUCCUUAAAAAUCCAGUUUUACUUGUCAGGUUAAGUAAAGUUACCUGCAUCUAGAGUUCUUUCUACCCUAGUUCAAGCACUUGACCUGCACUAGCCGUCUUUUAUCAACCCUUUAAGUUCACUGGAAUGCUACGUGUAAGUCAGUGACCAAGUCUUCAUGUCCGAGAAGUAACGACGAUCCGAAUCAAUUAAUACUCAGCUGAGGAUCUCCAAUCACAUGACAUAUGUAGCACUUAACCCUUGCAUAUGUCAACUCGCCACUGGGGUUCUUAAGACCAGAUCAGGUUCACGCCAACCGAGAGCACAGAUACACCAUCAUCCAGCCUCUUGCCACGGAGGGUACACGCUACUCUCGCCAUCUCUCCACUCCCAUUGUGUGUUAUCUUAUUCUGGUAUUAGUCUGCCUGAGGCAAAGCUUACCCAUGAUGAGGCAUGUGACCAGUUAAAUGGUCCUCGGUCAGUAGGCCUACAUCGAGAAGGUCCUUAAUCGACUCAGACGGAGACACUACACAGAGACUCCUUUCUCGUGCAAGUCACCCACCCAGUCUCAGCUUUAUUAUUUUCAACCCAAAGUUUGGUACCUGGCAGAGGUACAUCUUUUCCGAUGUUGAACCCAUCACGGCCAUGAUGGAUCCACCAUCAAGUUUUAUUUUGAAAACAUCCCACCCACUUGAAGCAUCAUCUUUUGUCAAAACAAAACAUUUUGUUUUUCUAGAGCAAAGCUAAGCAUAAGAAAAACCUUUUUUAUAAAACAGGGGAUCAAGGAAAGGUAUUCAAAUUCUCAAGGAAGGAAAUGCAUCAAUUUGUUUAGCACGCAACUCCUAUCACCUAAUGCAUCAAGCAAGUGAGAAAGAUUUUAAAAUAGCAAGGAGGUGGCAAAUGCACCGGGGCUUGCCUUGUGUGAUAGGUGAGUCAGGCUCUGCUCCACAGAUGUCAAAAUAAAAGCAGUUCUCGGCCUGGGGUUCUUCAGGUGGUGGUGGUGUAGUCCUUGCUUCUUCAACUUCUAUCUCUUCUUCGUUUUCUAUAUAUAGCCAUAUAUAAUCAUGAAUGCUCAUGUAAUACUUAUGCAAAUGCAAAGAUAAUAAAAGUACAUUAUCUUAGGUCUUGAAUACAAUUUUUCUUCACGGAUCUCUAGGAAACUAGGGUUUCUGGAGUUAGUAGUGAAGUCCAUAGGGCAGGCACCACUAGAAGACUAGGGUUUUGGGUUCUAGGUACCAAACAUGGUCCAAAUCAUACCAAACUUUACCCAAGGCUUCUAAAUAACAUCUAAUGCUUAUCUAAAGAGUUUGGUGAUUUUUGGGAUUAUUAAUUAAUUUCUAAAAUUCCAGAAGUAUGGGUUUUGGCUAUUUUAAAUACACCAUAAUUCCCUAUUUGGAAUAAAAACUAUACUACUGAUUUUAUUAAAUACUAUAGAAAUUAGGAAUCUAACAAAAUUGAUCUCAUAUUUUUAACAUUUUCCUGGAAUUUUCUGUGGCGGAACCGCCCGAAUUAUUCCAACUUAAGUGCCUAAGUCUCACAUUAAAGGCUAGACCACACUUAAAUAGGAAUAAAACGUCAGUCCCUCUGAUCUAGUCCGACGAGGCCACUAACAGGAUCAAGUACCACGUACUCACUCGAAGGUGAGGCACAUAGCAAAUACAAUAAAACAUAAACCAUACAUUAAGGAUUACUUAAUUUACUACAACAUCAUUGGAGUUUUUCAAAAGUAGUGAUCAUUGUUUGGAAUGAAGCGGAAUAUAACUAACGGUAAAUAAACGAAGGGAUGGGGAAGCCUGGCCCAUCACUCCUCAUGCUCCUCCUCUACCGAGGUAGGGUCCCACUCGACUGUCCACCCCAGUGGCAAGAUGGACGGCCAAGUCACGCCAGCAACCAUGUCCUCCAGAGAACCUGUAAAAAUUAUGCCACAAGCAAGGCUGAGUAUACUAAUACUCAGCUAGACUUACGCGGUGUGAGGAGUCUACUCCUCUACCUCUAGAUAUGCAGCUGUUUGGCUGAGGGGUUUGGUUUGCCUAAAACACUAGCUGAGUCUAAAAUCAAGUUUAGCUUUUCAAUUUUUAGUGUGACUCUCUUAAGACUAAACGUAUCCCUAUCUAAUCAUACAUGUUAGCAAUCAUUUUAGCAAUCAACAUCUUUUGCCAAAUCAACAUCUUUCCACUUGUUACUCAAUGUAGUAGCAUGGAUCAAGCAGUCUCAUUAGCUGCGAGAAGCAGACGAUUCGAAUCGAAUUUUUAUCCGUCCCCACACACAUCAACUGUCCCCAUCGAUUCCCUAGCAACAGAAAGGGGCUCACCGCCUGGCGUACAAUGCCUCACUGACCCCGACUGCCGUCGCGCAGUGACCGCACUUGUACCCACCAUAACCAGAAUGGGAGACCAUGUCUCAGGUCGCGUGAGGAGGGAAAUCUGCGGGCACGUUCACUCAGGUACUAGGCUUACCGAUUUACCAUAUUUCUCGGCAUGUGUUUAGUACGUUCAAACCCUUGACACACGAUACCACACCUUAAUCCUUAUUCCAAUUUUCGUCUCAUAGACAACACAUCCCCAUGGAGCGUUGUCCACAGAUCAUCAUCAUUCCGAUAUAAAAAUGGAUACAACCAAUUCCUGACCUCACGCGAGUGCUAGAAAAAUCACUCGACUUCUACCGAGAUCCCUAAUUAGUAAAGCAGCUACUCGACCUAGCAUACUAGUAUCCAUCUCAAAGGAAUCCUGAGUGCAUGCAACUAGGGUUUCAAACAACUCCUACACUUAAGUGCACAGUACAAGCCUACAAUCAUUAAGUGCAGUAAAAUAGCAUAUAUAUUAAGGGUUAUGCAUAAAACUGGGGCUUGCCUUCCAAAGCUGGGGUAGGCAGAUCCUCGAUGGCAGGCUCUGGUGCUGGCUCCUGGGCUAUCUCCUGAGCAGCUCCUUGCUCUGGAACGAGGAUGUACUUCCCAUCAGCGAGAUUACAGUCUAUCGAAUGCAAUGAAUAAGAUGGAUGCAUAUUAAUGAUAUGGCAUUUUGGAAACACUAAGCAUAGGGGAACAAUAUUAAAAUAGGGGGUAUACUAGGGUUUCCGUUGUUAGUCUUAAGGGUUUCAUACCUUCAUCUUUAGGGUUUUGAGUGAACUUAAAACCUCUAAUUAAAUCUUGUAGGUUCUAUGGGACUCUUAGAAGGAUUUAGUUAUACCUUAUUAAGUUCGCCCAAAAUUUCCCCGUUUUCCUCCUAUUGUGCUUCUUAUUAAGUAUUUUUGAACUAUCAUGGCAAGUUAACAUUUUCCAAAAAUAUUAUAAAAAUUACAGUGGGUAAACAUUGACCUCUGGGUUUCAUCAUACAAGUUUGAGGUUGAAAAAAAUUCAUAUUUUCCUUGGGCAAAAAUGACAAAAGUAAGGGUAAAAGGGCACUUUACACUAUAGCUCUAAUUUCUAUGGGGUUUCUGGGUCAACAUUUAUUUUUGCCAAGAUUCCUAGGUGAUAAUAGGUCUUUGUGUUAAAAAUCACAGAGAAAGACCUAAUGGAUAUUUAGUUGUGAUUUUCUAAAGUUUAAUGCCAAAAAGGUACUUAUAACUAACUUGUUAUUUGAAAAAUAUCAAACAACAGAACUUACAUUUUUUCUAAAUUUAUAAUAAUAUAUUAUUAGUUAUCCCAAGGUUUGGGGUGGGUUCUUCUCAGGAUUAUUUUUCUAGAAUUUUUCUAAGUCCUCCUUGUUUUCAUGAAAUAAAAGGUAGUUCAUUUCUUUUGUACUAACAGAGGGUCUAACAAAAUUUUCCAGUGAACUAUGUUAACUAAGUGAGCUAGCAAAAAUGUGGUUGCCCCUGGUUCUUAUUUUAAACUCCCUUUUCUAUUUUCUUUAACUUUGAGUCAAAAUGAGUUUCAAUGGUAAACCCUUCCCUAAUCUGGUGUACUGAGGGGUUUAUUAUUUUUAAACAGGCUAGAUAGUGGUUAAGCACCUCUCCAAUUUUUCUUAAUCCCAGUCUAAGAGUGUGGCUAUUUUUCCCUUCUUUAUUUAGCUUCUGGUCAGUUUACUAUUUAAAUCAAAACUUUAAAAUUUCUUGCAAUACUUAGGGUGUUUUGUAUUUUUCCUAAGUAGUUUAUAUUAUUUAGAACCUAGCAAAAUUGGUUUGACCAAAUUUGGUUGACGAAAACUGAAGUUAUGAAUUUUACAAGCUAUGUUUACAUUUAAAUAAUAAAGUUUAAAAGGUUUUAAGAAAAACCAGUUUACAGCGAGACCCCUGGGCUUUUCCUAAACCAAGUCUUCAACUUAUGCCCCUGCGGAACUAUUCAUAUGAGUCUCUGACUGUACAAAACCCCCCCGGCUUCUUCUUCUUUCUCCUCGAGAUCCCUCCCCCCUUUGAAACAGUAACCGCGGAAGUAAACAGGGCGGUGCGGCUUACCCGCGGCGAGGGAGGUCCAGCGAAGGGUGGGGUUAGCUUCGGGAGGUCCUGGCGGUCACGUAGAGGUAUGGCUCGUCGACGGUGAUGGCCGGAAUCGGUCAGACCACGUGUGCAGGCGGGCGGGCUCGUCGACGGCGUGUGCUCCGGCCUGCUCACGGCGGUAGAGUUUAAUCCAAGGGCACAGGGAGCUUCACGGGGUGCUAAGGAAACUACCCAUGCAAGGAAUCGAAGGAAGACUCACCGUGGAGCUCGGUCUACGUGCACCGGCGGUCGGGUGAAGUCCGGCGACAUCGAUCCGGUGUCUCCGGCGAGGUAUAGUUCGAUUCCUGGCUCUGGAAGCUUCACCGAGGCACAUAGAGGCUAUCCCGAGGGUCGGACGGGGCGGGGAAUGACUACGAUGGCCGGUCUACGGUGGUCGGGUCUCGGGCAGCCGCUGGCAUGCCGUGCGCAGAGCGAUCGCCGGUGAUCUUGCGCUCCGACGAGGUUGAGAGUGAGCGGGGGCGUACGGUCGAGGCCUCGGUCGGCUUUAUAGGCGCGGGCGCGAGCGUGGGCACGGGUCUGGCUUGGCGCGGCGCGGUGCGCGCGGGUCGAGCCGAGGCGUGCUCUGGCGUUGCCAGGGCGCGUCGAACACGUGGCUGUGUUAUUCUACCCAAGUUCUUGUGCCUGCUGAGCACCCAAACGUGCGAAUCUUGCCAUAUGGCUAGUGUAAGAUUUCUUCCCUGCACCUAGAGCUACCUAGUUCAUGUGAGUUCCAAGGGGAGAUCAGGUCUGGCUUAGAAGAUAUGGUGGCGCCAAGUCUUGUCUGUCUGCACUGUUCAUCUCGCGACAAAACAUAUGCCAAACCAUGUCAAACCACCCUGGUUUGGUUUCAAACUUCUCAGGGGUGUGCCUUGGGUAGUUUGGCUACUUUUUGUUAUUUAGACCAUGUGGUUUUGGCGCCAUCAAAUAGGUGAACACUUCUGAUCUCUAGCUUAGGGUUGAUUUUUGACUUAGAGAAAAUGUGAGUUACUCUAUAGUGUCCUCCACUUGGGGCUGAUUUGGGGUCUUUGUGGGAUCUUUUUGUAAUAUUUCCCUUACUGUAUUUUAUAGAUAUAUUAAUGUACUUAAACUUUGGUAAAGGGUUUAAGUCAUGAAAUGUUCAUUUGCUUAUCCUUUCCAUUAAUCCAGUGUUUGGGGGUCUAAUGGCUCAAGAGGGGGUCUAGGGUUUGAGCCAUUUUUUCCAAGGUGAAAAUGUAUGAAAAUCUUGGGUAUUUCUUUUGUCAUGAUCAUUCCUUCAUCAAUGCAUGGUUUCUUUUGGUGCCUCUUCUCCCCCACUUAAACACAUGUGAUAAUAGGCCAUAAGUGCAUGUAUUGAGCCAGGGCCUCAGGUAACACCUGGGGUGUUACAGCCCUCCCCCCUUAAAGGAAUCUCGUCCCAAGAUUGGGUCGGGAUCCUUUAGUGGGGUACUAAGAAGGUGUAAGUUGAUGUGUUGCAGUUUCCUUUAACCAAGUUUCUCUAGUUAACUGCUCUUCAAAUGCCAUCCUCUUUGCAACUUCAGAAGGAAGUCCUUAUAAAUUUAUUUCCACAACUUACUCUACCCUUAAUAACUAGGUUUUUAUUAUAUUUAAAUUCAAAGGGCAGGUGGGGUGGGUGUUUUGGGUUACGUACUGACUCCUUUAGGCAGAAAGUCGGGGAAGCGAGAACGUAGAAAAUCCUCAAUCUCCCACGUAGCCUUUUCUUCUGUGUGGUUGCUCCACUGAAUCUUAUACAUUCAAAUUGACCUUGCUCGAGUUGAUCUUUCCUUUUGGUCCAAUACCUUGACGGGGUGCUCUUGAUAAGACAAGUCUAGUUCGAUCUCCAAUUCUGGUUCAGGUAGCACUUCCGUGGGUAAGCGGACACACUUUCAUAGCUGAGAUACGUGGAAUACAUCAUGAAUCGCUGACAUAUGGGGUGGCAACCUCAACUGGUAUGCUACAGGCCCACAAGUCUCUUUGAUUUCAUAGGGCCCAAUAUAGCGAGGAGCUAACUUUCCCUUGAUUCCAAACCUCUGAACACCUUUGGUGGGUGACACCGUAAGAUAUACAUGAUCCCCUACUUCUAAUUGUAGAGGCUUCCUCCUCUUAUCCUGAUAGCUCUUCUGUCUAGCCUGAGCAGCUUCCAAGUUCUUCUUAAUGACUCUGACUUUCUCCUCGGCUUCGAGCACUAAGUCAGGUCCAAAAAUUUCCCUCUCUCCAGCUUGUGACCAAUUUAGCGGUGUUCUGCACCUUCUCCCAUACAAGGCCUCGAACGGUGCCAUCUUUAGGCUGGACUGGUAGCUGUUGUUAUAAGAGAAUUCCGCCAAAGAAAGGCACUUAUCCCAAUUCUUGCCAUAGUGCAGCACACAUGCCCUCAACAUGUCUUCCAAAAUCUAAUUUACCCUUUCUGUCUGACCAUAUGUCUGAGGAUGGUACGCUGAGCUUCUUAUUACAUGGGUUCCAAGUAGGGAUGGUAAUUCUACCCGCGGGCACGGGUAUCCAUGGGUUUCGUACCCGAUGGGCAUGUAUACGGGUAAGAAAUCUCGCCGACGGGUAAGGAUACGGGCAACACUUCUCACCCGCGAGUAAUUGACGGAUAUAAAAAUUUGCCCGAGGGUAUUAUCCGUUACCCGCUUAAUUUACUAGCCCAUCAAAAUAUUCCCAUGCCACCAGCCCACAGACCACAGCCCAGUCGCCCACUCGCCCUCGAUUCCUCAAUCCCUAAAUCCCCCAGUAUGGUAUUUUCUGGUGCACAGUUUGAACUAUGUUCCUUGCCAUUAUAUUAUGUCUGUCAAGGUGUUGAUGUUCUUGGUGAAAUGAACAUGACCACAUACUCGUAUGGUAUUUUCUGGUGGGUAACGGGUUGCCCGAUAUCCGCGGAUAUCCUGCGGGUACGGGCAUGGGUCAAAAAUUUUACCCGCAAGCUCUCACGGGCACGGGUAAGCACUAGAGGCGCGGAUAUGUUGGCGGGCGGGUAAAUGGCUUACCUGCACUUUACCCGACCCGCUGCCAUCCCUAGUUCCAAGUGACUCUUGUAGUUGCUCCUAGAAACGUGCCACAAACGGUGCUCCUCUGUCUGACACGAUAGUCCUUGGUAUUCCAUGCAGACGCACUAUCUGGUCAAUAUAGAUUUCUGCAUACUUCUCUGCCCUGUGAGUGGUAUGUACUGGCAAGAAAUGAGUUGUCUUAGUUAGCCUGUCCACAAUGACCCAAAUAGAAUCGUGGUGUCGGGAUGUGUUGGGUAAACCCACAAUAAAAUCCAUGCAAAUAUCCUCCCAUUUCCAAGAUGGUAUGGGAAGGGGCUGUAAGGUACCCGCUACCUUCAAAUGACUAGCCUUGAUUCUUUGGCAAGUGUCGCAUUCAGAUACAUACUUAGCAAUUUUCCUCUUCAUUCUGGUCCACCAGUACAAGGAUCUGAGAUCAUGAUACAUCUUGUUACUGUCGGGGUGCAUGGAAAAUUUGGAAAGAUGAGCUUCAUCCAAUAUUUUCUUUCUGAGCUCUGGAUUUUUAGGAACUACCAAUCGGUCUUCAAACCAUAGAACUCCCUUGCUGUCCUGACGAAAGCAUUUGUACUUAUCCACCUUUUGUUCGAGCAUAUCCUUGAUGACUUGAACACCCUUGUCACCAAUCUGGGCCAUAAUUAUCUGCUCAUGUAAAGUGGGCUCCACUGAGAUAUAAUUCAAGGUACCUGAGGAAACAACUUCUAUGUUCAACUUGCAUAACUCGUCACACAGAGUGGCGAUCUUGGAGUCUAUAGUUACACAGUUGCACUGGGCCUUCCGACUUAAGGCAUCUGCCACAACAUUGGCCUUUCCAGGAUGGUAAUGCACUUCCAAAUCAUAGUCCUUGAUUAAUUCCAACCAUCUUCUCUGCCUCAUAUUAAGAUCCGCCUGAGUGAAAAUAUACUUGAGGCUCUUGUGAUCAGUAUAAAUAUUACAAUGUGCUCCCAUCAAAUAAUGUCUCUAUAUCUUCAGAGCAUGAACUACGGCUGCUAACUCCAGAUCAUGUGUGGGGUAGUUCUGCUCAUGAGGCCGAAGUGCUCGGGAUGCAUAGGCAAUAACUCUGUUGUCUUGCAUCAAGACACAUCCCAAUCCAGUGCCUGAAGCAUCACAAUAAACCUCAAAAGAUUUGGUGUUGUUAGGCUGUGCUAGCACGAGUGCUGUUGUCAGAUGCUGCCUCAAUGCAUGAAAGGCAUCCUCACAUUUCUGACUCCAUUCAUACUUUACUCCUUUCUUCAACAAUUCAGUCAUUGGCUUGGCAAUCCUGGAGAAAUCUGGAAUGAAUCGACGAUAAUAUCCUGCCAAUCCCAAAAAAACUCCGAAUCUGCCGUACAGUGGUAGGAGGCUUCCAAUUCAUCACUUCUUGUACUUUCUCAGGAUCCACAGAUAUCCCAUCUUGAGAAAUGGUGUGGCCCAAAAUUUUAAUUUCCUUUAGCCAGAAAUCACAUUUUGACAAUUUUGCAUACAACUGAUGAUCGCGCAGUCUCUGAAGUACUGUAUGCAAGUGCUUAGUAUGCUCCCGUUCAUUUCUUUAAUAUACCAGAAUGUCAUCGAUGAAAACCACCACAAACUUAUCUAGUUCUAGCAUAAAUACUGAAUUCAUAAAAUACAUGAAAUAUGCUGGGGCAUUUGUCAGCCCGAAAGACAUCACCAAGUACUCAUAGAGUCCAUAUCUGGUAGAGAAAGCCGUCUUCUGAAUAUCACUGGCCUUGAUUUUGAUCUGAUGAUAGCCAGAGUGAAGGUCUAUCUUGGAAAACACCUUGGCUCCCACCAACUGAUCAAACAAUACAUCAAUGUGGGGCAAUGGAUACUUAUUUUUUAUGGUCACCGCAUUGAGAGGGCGGUAAUCAACACACAAUUUCAGACUCUUGUCUUUUUUCUUCACGAACAAGGCUGGACAUCCCCAUGGAGAAGUACAUGGGCGAAUGAAUCCCUUGUCCAACAACUCUUGUAACUGCUUUUUCAAUUCUGCCAACUCUGCUGGAGGCAUCCUAUAGGGUCUCUUGGAUAUAGGGGUAGUUCCGGGUUGUAGCUCAAUUGCAAACUCUAUGUCUCUGUCGGGUGGCAUCCCUAGCAAUUCAUCUGGGAAAACAUCGGGAUACUCACAGACCAUUGGGAUCCUUUCGACGGGUGACUCUAUCAUGGUGAAGGCACAGGAACAGGUACAGCCCUGGUUAGGCAAAUAUUACGUAAUUUCACCACAAGUAGGUGAGUGUAUCUCAAUGGCCCUUGCUGCGAUAUCAAUCACUGCCUGAUGCCUUGAUAACCAGUCAGUUCCUAAUAUGAUAUCCACACUAUCUAAUCCCAAGAUGAGGAGGGUGGUUCUAAUUACAAGACUACCAAGUUUUAUAGGCACCUGCCUGUUGAUUUGAUAGGUGGCAACCCUGCCUCUUGGUGUUGAAAUUGUAAUGCCCCCAUUUGUGUGAUGGAAAGGUAACUGGCAUUUGGCACUAAAUUUUGCACUGAUAAACUGUGUGAUGAACCAGAAUCAAAAAUAAUGAUUGCAGGAUAAUUCAAAAUGGAAAAGAUACCAGUCAUGACAGGUGCUCCCUCUAGAAUAUCAGCCAUGGUGGUGAAGUUCAGUCUGCCUUGUCUCACUUGCACCUUCUGCCUCUUGCCUUGGUUCUGAUUGGAAUUUUGCCCCUGCCUCUGCUGGUUCUUGGGGCAAUUCUUAGCAUAGUGUCCAGUGCUGCCACAAGUGAAACAUCUGUUGUCAUUGGCCUGACGGUACUGCUGAUGUGGCUGGUUGUUGUUCCUCGGAACUGGGGCUGAGAGCGGUUGGGUGUCUGCUGCUGCUAUUGUGGUCGGAUCACCCACCGUCCGUGCUGCUAAGGUCCCCUACUCUGAGUGUCAGACACAAUCCUGAAACGCUGAGGCUGAGCUGAAGGUCCUGCCAUAGGGGUCUUCCUCUUCUUUUCUGCCUGGCGGGCUGUGACGCAGUCUUCCUGAGAAAUGGCCAUGUUGACUAACUCAUUGUAGUUGUUGGCCUUGACUGUGUUGAGAUGGUCGCGGAGCUUAGUACUAAGGCCCCUCCUGAACCUGUCCCUCUUCUUCUCAUCUGUGUUAGCAUGAUAGCCUGCAUACUGACAUAGGUCAUUGAAGGCCUGAGCGUACUGCAACACAGUACGAUUCCCCUGAGUAAUUGCCAGAAACUCAUUGAGCUUGCAGUCCAUGAUUCCUGCCGGUAUGUGAUGUCCUCUGAAUGCUUCCUUGAACUCUCCCCAUUCCACCACGUGGUCAACUGGCUGCAUAGCGAGGAAGUGAUCCCACCAUGUCCGCACGGGUCCGCAAAGCAGCUGGGUGGCAAAACGGACCUUAGCCACAUCUGAACAAACUACAGUAAGCAGUGGGAAUUUGGAUUCCACUACCCUAAGCCACACAUCAGCAUCAAGUGGAUCCUCUUCCCGAGUGAACAAUGGCGGCUGAGUGCUGAGGAACUCCUGAUAGGUGGCCGCUACUGGGGGACGCUGAUGUAGAUCAUGUUGGGGACUUGUUCUCAAAUGCUAUGAGUUAAGAACAAGGCAACAUAGAAAAUGUUAAUCGGUUAAGUCCUUCGUCCUUCGAAGCAUUAUUCCCCUUAGGAUAUAAUGGUUUUUCGGACGAAGGUUAUGAAGGGUGUACCUUCAUAAAUACACUAUAAAGUGACGAAGGAUGAAUUAUAAGGAAUAUAAAGGAUAACAUAGAUAAUUAUAUAUUAUUAUUAUGUAUAAACAGAAAUAACAUUGAAUUACAAAUGUACCUUCAACUUGAAGGAGAUGAAAGUACAAGCGUGACGCAAAAGCGAAUGCCAAAUCAGCGUGAACAGUACGGGGGUACUGUUCACCUAUUUAUAGGCGCGGGACACAGCCCAUACAAAAUUACAUUCAUGCCCUUUACAUUUGAUAAUAAUUCUAUAGUAAUCCAUCGAGGUCUGGAUAGCCUUUUCAUCUUUAAGUCGGUUUCAUUUUCUGCUACCACGCCGAAGCUUUCUUGCUCACAUCUUCGGCGCUAUAUCGACCUUCGUAUUAUUCUGGUCUUCUCCUGCCGCGAUACCGACUUGAGUCCGAAGGUACCUGCUCACACAUUAUACUCCAGAAAUACUGUUAAAUCCUGUUUUUGAGGACCUUCGUAAGCCGAAGGCCCCCAACAGUAGCCCCUCGCAAUAUUAAUUUGUUUUAAAAUAAUAAAUUUAGAUUGCGACGUGGACGAAGGCUUUACGCCGAAGGUCCGAAAAAACACCUUCCCUUUGCUAGAAUAGCAACAUUCACUGACAAACGGGGUCUUUCAAUUUUCAACGCACUGGGCAUAUAAAUAAGAUCAUACCGCAAACUCAUUUGGCACGCUUUCUUGCCAUCUGCUCCUGCUCACUCAAUUUUUAGCUUUUGCGCACCAAGAUUUGCUAAGCUUUUAAGUUUUGAAGCUUCGGCAUUGAAAACAGUUUUUUAGUAUUGCCGAAGAUGUCUGAAGAUAAGAAGGCUACUACCGAGAUGAAGCUAAGUCUCGAUGAAGAGAAGAAUCUGGGGUUUCUUAUAGCAAUGUCGAAGACCAAUACAGAAAAAAAUCACCAAGGAGAUUCUGGAAGGUUUGUCUGAAGAUACUGGUGACAGCGACAGUUAUGAUGUGGACAGCGGUGGUGAAGACUCCGAAGAUCGUCCCUGGCGACCAAGUCAUUCAGUUUAUGGUAAAUCAACUAUCAAAGAGAAUCAUCUUGUCAACAUGAGAGGAAGGUAUUUCCGGGAUUUGUCCGUUGUGAGGGCCGACGAAGGGGAAAAGACUUGUCCACACCCUGAAGAGAAUGAAGUCGUAGUGUACCGAAGCUUUUUGAAAGCUGGACUAAGAUUUCCCUUGAGCAGCUUCGUUGUGGAGGUGCUGAAAAUAUUCGAAGUCUAUCUUCACCAACUUACCCCCGAGGCAAUCAUAAGGCUGAAUAUCUUCGUGUGGGCCGUGAGAAGCCAAGGUCUGAAGCCUGAUGCAAAAAGUUUCUGCAAUAUACACGAGUUGUCAUACGAAACAAAACCUUGGGGUAAGAAACAGUAUCACAAUAAUUUUGGCUGCUAUAAUUUCGUUUCUCGGUCCGGGUCAAGCUGUCCCGUGCCAACCUUUCGGAAGAGAUGGCCCGGCGACUGGAUGACAGAAUGGUUUUAUGUGAAGAAUGACCUGACAGUACAAGAAGAUAUCAAAGGUAUAAUUAUGCGUCCUAUUUGGCAAAGCUUCGGCCUUCGGAGGCCGAAGGUUGAAAUGAAUGAAGCUGCCGAAGAAUGCCAGAGAGCCUUCGGCGUUAUCUGUUCUUUUAUUGGAACAAGAGAUUUAGUACAAGAGCAUAUUGCCUUCAGGGUAUGGCCACUCGCGGAGAAAUGGGAAAUGCCGCAAGAAACCAUAAAAGAGGUCGACGAAGGUGGGCUUAUCAGGCUGAAGUACACUUUUAAGUUCGGAGAUAAAUUCGUUGAGCCAGAUGAUGACUGGUUAAAAAGCAUUGAAAAUUUGAGUGAUGAACUGCUUGGGGUUUAUUCAAAGGCCGAAGAUACUGCACUGUCAGCAGCCUUCGAAGGCCGAAAAAAGAAGAGGCUGAAUCGGGUGUUUGAUGCAAUCGGGUUCGUCUACCCUGACUAUCGUUAUCCCAUUCGAGGGCAGAAACGAAAAAACACAACCUUUGCGAAAGAAGAAGCUGCAACUGCUCCUAGCGAGCCAGAACCAAAAAGAAAGAGGAUAAAGGUCCUCACACAUCGGCCGCGCUAUAUUGAACCAGCUUCGGUGCCUGAGUUCACCGGAGAAACUUCUUCGGCCACCGAGGCUGAAAAGCCAACCAAACCAACCUUGCUGCCAGAAGUUGCAGAAAUGGCCGAAGCGCCAACAAGGAUAGAAUUGGAAGAACCGAAAAUUUUGCUACCAGAAACCAAAGAGAUGGCCGAAGCGCCAUCCACAGAAAAAAUGGAAGAAGUGAAAAAACCAACUGAAGAAAAGACAUCAGAAGUUUUGAGUCCUGCAGCAAAUGUUGAAAUAGUAAAAAAUCAAAAAGUGCCAGCAGUGACUCCGAAAAGAAAGAGAAUGGCUAAUGUGCUAGAUGUACUGGAAACAAUUAAAUCUUCAAGCACACCUCCGAAAAAGACUGCUGCCAUUCCUGAAGCAACAACUGAAAUUUCUGAUACUAAAGCUCCAGAGCAAGAAACUGAAGCCGAAGCUGGGUCCUCAGAGCCCGCGAAGAUAAAAUCCUUGGAAACUGAGGAAGAAAAAAUAACAGAGCCAACUUUUGUUGAAGAAAUCGGUGUCAUUGCCCCCGAAGCAUCCUCCAAAGUCCGUGAUUAUAUUGUUCGUCAUGCUUCGGGGAAAAAACUAUCAGAAAAAGAAGAGCAAGAGGCCCAGCGCUACGCCCAAAAACUGAAGUAUCCAAAGGGGGCGUUAAUAUUCAAUGGCAGUGGAGAAGAAGACUUUUUGUAUUGUCUCCCUGACAGCAAGGAGAUUUCUGUCUGUCGGGAGAUGAGCAAGAGCUUCGGAUUCCCAACAUUGGAAGACGGGCUCUCGGUGCUGUCGAAGAACGAUCUGGCCGACAGCCUGGCAUAUAAUAACUUAAAGGUGCAACGAAUGAGAUCUUUGUAUUUUUUGUUGGGACCAAAAUUUUUCAUUUACUUAAAUCCAUUGACGCACACAUAUUUCUCUUUGCAGGGCCUGAUACUUAGCAAUGCCCUCAGGGCACAGAAAGAUGCUGAAGACGAAGGAUGUGCUAUAGCCCUGAGCAACCUUCGUUCCGAAGUAAUUGAACUUCGGAACGAAGGUCUCGAAAAAGAUAAAAUACUACAUUCAUUGAUAAAUAAAAUAAAGGAAGACGAAGCUGCUUUAAAAGGUCAAGCUGAGGCUCAAAAGCGCGAAAUUGAAGAUCUUCGGAAACAACUGGCCCGAGCCAAAGAAGAACGCAUACUUGAAGAAACGAAGCGAGAACUCAGCGACCAAUGGGCAGAUCACUUAGAAGGAACUGUUGAAGAGCUUCGUUCGUCCAAGAAGAGAUGCUAUAACAAAUCUAUAGAGUGUGUUAAGAAAUUAAAAGCUAGCUUCGCCAGGGUCGGCGCAUUCUCAAGCGAAGAAAACUUUACAAGAGGCAAUCCCGAAGGUCCCAUUGAAUGGAUCGAUCACGAAGCUGAGGCCUUCGAGGAAAUUUUAAAUAGCCGUGGAGAUAUAUGUGCUUUCUCGGGUGCUAGAGGAAUUGCCACCAUUUUAGAGAAAAAGGGCUGCGAACAUGUAAAGAUCUUAGCACAAUCCGAAGCUGGCUUGUCCUUUGAAGAUGCAAGAGAUCCUUCGGCCGAAGCUAGUAUGGUAGGUGGAAAAUUUUUCACCGACGUCUGGGACAAUGGUGGCCGAGAAAUGGCCCGAGAAAUUAUUCGAAGAAGCGAAAAGGGGAUUCACGAUGCUAGAGAAGUAGCUGAGGCUGCUGAGAAGAGCGCAGAGCCCGAAGGGCAAUUAGGUAUUAACUAAUAGUUUUUAUUGUGUUGUAAUUUUUGGUUUUAAGCUUCGUUUGCAAUUUGUAAUAGCAAUGUAGUCGUAUCCUGUCCUACUUCAGAUCCUGCUAAAGCGUCUCCGGGCCCUCAGCCGAAAGGAGACGACGAAAUUAAAAAGAUGGCUGAAGCUAUUAUGGACGAAGUCGUCGAUCGGCUCCUGAAUGAGGCUGCAGAAGUUGUUCUGAGAGAAGAUUAAACACUAUUGUAAAUUAAACUUCUGAAAUGUAAUAUGUGUGACAUCUUGUAGCCCUGAAUGUAAUAUACCUGCUUUUAUUAUUUAAUUCUUUACGAUGCAUGAAAUUUUACAUACGUACCGUUUUUGAGUCUUUGACGAAAAAACACCUUUCCUUCUUUUCAUGCUUCGUGAAGAAUGAUUUCCAUUUGCCACAACAAUAUUCGUGGUGCUCUGAUGAAUAAUAUCCAAGCUUCGUGAAAAUGUUCUCCGAAGCUACACUUCCGAAGAUCAAUAGUGUAUCUGCUUGCAACUUAGCAUGAUUUUCCCCUUUCAAAACAUACUUCCGAAGAUCGAUGUCAUGUCCCCUUCUUGUGCCAUAUGCAGCAUGAUGUAUGAUGCUUAUGCUAUGCGAAAUGAUGCGAUGAUGUUAUGCUGUGUAAGAUGGCGUUUAUUCCGAAGAUACACACACAUUCCUGCGAUAAAACACAUAAUCUUUUGAAUCAGCAUUGUCUUUUUACUAUAAGCCUCCCUUAGGAGCUUCUUCGCCUUUUAAUUCGGCGGAAUCAGCGUUUAUUUUUCGCUGUAAGCCUCCCUUAGGAGCUUCUUCGCCUUUUACUUUCAGCGGUAUUCGCGUUGACUUUUCGCGCUUCGCCUUUUACUUAGGCGGUAUCAGCGUUGACUUUUCGCUGUAUGCUCUGUAUUCCCUUUGGAACGACUUUGGAGCAGAAAACUUACACUGCGCUCCCUUUGGAACGACUUUUUGUGACUUCGGCAAACUUACUCUGCGUUCCUUAGAACGACUUUUUGUUGCUUCGAAGAAUUUUCGAUAAUUCGAAGGUCCUCUUUGUUAUCACAAGUCUUUAAACUUCAACAACUUAAGCCUGUGAAGAAAAUAUAUUUUCCUUGUGGGAAUCAACGAAACUAUUUACAUGAAACCUAAACAAUGUCCUUUAUUACACAGAAAAUAAAACUGAAUGAAAAAGAUUGCUAUUAAGGUAGGAUAUUUGUCAAUAGAUGUGCUUUGACUCUGGCACAGUGCUGUUGACUGUGCGAGCUUCGGACUGUUCUCUGAAGUCCCUUUGGUGUGGAGCAUAUUGGCUCCCUUCUGGCUGCUGGCCUUGUUGCAGCGGUGGUGGAGGCGGAGGCUGUUGCCAGGAAGCCUGAGGUUGACUCGCCGAAGCAACAGAAACUGCAAGGUGAUUGCCUACAUACUCUGGGAUGUAAGGCGAAUGAUACGAAGCAGUGUGUAUGACCUGCUUCGGCUGAGCCUGUUGUGAUGCCGCUUCGGCUAUUUCUUUUUGCUUCUGGAUGGUAACAUGGCACAUCCUGGUGGUAUGACCUUUGUUCUCACCACAGAAUAAGCAAAAGAUUCUUCUCGGUUGAUCGCCAAAUCUUCCUCCGAAGCCCCUGGCGCCUCUGCCUCUCGGAGCUGGUGGUCGGAAGGAGCCUUGCUGUUGCCCCGAAGCCUGUGAGGAACAUUGUGGCCUUUGCUGUUGGCUCCCUCUAUCAUCAUUUUGUGUAGAGUUAUGAAUUGAUCUAACGUGCCUCGGAUAGAACCUCCCUCCGAAGCCCCUGGUCAUCUCAGAAAACCUGAAAGCCUCCUCCCUUCUUUGGCGAAAAUCAUUAUCGGCCCGAAUGUACUCGUCCAUCUUAUGGAGCAGCUUCUCCAAAGUUGGAGGAGGCUUCCUAGCGAAGUACUGAGCUGACGGUCCUGGCCGAAGCCCCUUAAUCAUGGCCUCAAUGACAAUUUCGUUUGGCACUGUUGGUGCCUGUGCCCUCAAACGCAAGAACCUCCGGACGUACGCCUGAAGGUACUCUUCGUGAUCCUGGGUGCACUGGAAUAGAGCUUGAGCCGUGACCGGCUUUGUGGCGGAACAGCCCGAAUUAUUCCAACUUAAGUGCCCAAGUCCCGCCUUAAAGGCUAGACCACACUUAAAUGGGAAUAACCCGUCAAUCCCUCGGAUCUAGUCCGACACGGCCACUGACAGGAUCAAGUACCACAAUCUCACUCGAAGGUGAGUCACAGAGCAAAUACAAUAAAGCAUAAAACCAUACAUGUCACAAUGUUAAAUUAUUACAUCACCCUCAUCAUCAUCGGAGUUUUUGCAAAAGUAACCAUCAUUGUUCGAAGUGCAGCAGAAUGAAACUAACGGUAAUUAAACAGAGAGAUGGGGAAGCCUGUCCCAUCACUCCUCAUGCUCCUCCUCAGCCGAGGUAGGGUCCCACUCAACAGUCCAACCCGGUGGCAAGGUGGACGGCCAAGUUAUCCCAGCAACCAUCUCCUCCAGAGAACCUGUAAAAAUUAUGCCACAAGCAAGGCUGAGUAUACUAAUACUCAGCUAGACUUACCCGGUGUGAGGAGUCUACUCCUCUACCUCUAGACAUGCAGCUGUUUGGCUGUGGGGUUUGGUUGCCAAAAGCACUAGCUGAGUUUCUAAAUCAAGAUUUUAACUUAGUCAAAGUUAAGUGUGACUCUCUUAAGGCUAAAAGUGAACUAUCUACUCAUACAGGGUAGCAAGCAUUAUUAACAAUCAACAUCUUAUCUCAACUCAACAUACUUCCACUUAUUACUCAAUGUAGCAGCAUGGAUCAAGCAGUCUCAUUAACUGCGAGAAGCAGACGAUUCGAAUCGAGUUUUUAUCCUUGCAAGGUAAACCUAAACACACGACAUGCAGGGGCACUCCGUCCCCACACAUAUCAACCGUCCCCAUCGAUUCCCCGUCAGCAGAUCAGGGCUCACCGCCUUGGCGUACAAUGCCUCACUGACCCCGACUGGCCGUCGUGCAGUGACCGCACUUGUACCCACCAUAACCGGAAUGGGAGACCUCGUCUCAGGUCGCGUGAGGGGUAAAGUCCACUGCCAGGUUCAAUCAGGUACUAGGCUUACCGAUUUACCAUAUUUCUCGGCAUGUGCUUAGUACGUUCAAACGCUUGACUCACGGUACCACACCUUAAUCCUUAUUCAAAUUUUCAUCCCGUGAACAACCAAUCCCCAUGGAUUGUUGCCCACAAACCAGCAUCAGUACGAUAUGAAAGUGGGUACAAUCAAUGUCCUGACCUCGCGCGAGUGCUAGAAAAAUCACUCGACUUCUACCGAGAUCCUAAUUAAAUAAGCAGCUACUCGACCUAGCAUACUAGUAUUCAUCUCAGUGGGAUUCCUGAGAUCAUGCAACUAGGGUUUCAUACAACUCCUACACUUAAGUGCACAAUCAACCCUACAAUCAUUAAGUGAAGUAAAAUAGCAUAUAUAAACGGUUAUGCAUAAAACCGGGGCUUGCCUUCCAAAGCAGUGGCAGGCAGGUCCUCUGGUGCUGGCUCGGGUGCUGGAUCUGGGGCUACCUCCUGAGCAGCUCCUUGCUCCGGCACGAGGAUGUACUCUCCGUCAGCAAGAUUACAGUCUAUCGAAUGCAAUGAACAUGUAUGUCAUGAUUAUGCAUGAUUUAAUAACAUUAUGUAAAAGAAACUAAGUCGAGAAAUAACUUAGGGUUUCUUAGUCACGCGGGGCUUCUAGUGGUACAUAGAUCGACUUAUUACCCUUUGGACUCAGGUUUUCCUUUAGGAUAACAUAGUGGUUUGGUAUUGCCUUGAUAUAUUUUAGUGGACAGAUUUCAAAGUUUUUGGGACAACAUUUAUUCACAUCCUUCAUUUCUCUUUCCUUAAUUUCCAUUUAGGCUUUUAGUGUUGGUUUGAACUGCAACAGGGUUUUAAUAAUUUCCAAAAAUUCUGUAAAAAUUACAGUGGGUUAUCACUGGCUAUUCUAGCUUGUUUUAAGAAUUUGAGACUUAAAGAAUUAAAGUUGGGCUUUAAACAAAAAUAACAAAAGUUAGGCCAAAGGGGCCACUUCACACUACACCUCCUAGUUAGGGGUAGGUUCUGACCUAAAGGUUAUUUUUGUUGGCAUCCUCUGGUAAUAAUAGGUCUUUGUGCUAAAAAUCACAGGAAACUAAGGGGUGGUUAUUUAGUUAUGAUUUUCUCAAGUUUAAUGUCAAAAAGGUACUUUCUACUACAUUAUUAUUUGAAAAAUGUCAAACAGCAGAUUUCUUAUUUUUCCUAAGUUCUUUCUAAUGAAACAAUAGUUAUCCCAAAGGUGGGGGUGUUUUUACCUUGGGGUCAUUUUUGUAGGGUUUUUCUAAGUUAUCCUUGUUUUAUUAAAAUAAAAGAUAUCUUACUUAAUUUGUACUAAACCAGGGUAUGAUAUAUUUUUCCAGUGAACUCUAUUGAAUAAGUAACCUAACAAAAAUAGAAGUACUCUCUGGUUCAUUAAUUAAGUUACAUUUUCUAUUUUCCUUAUCCUUAAGCAUAUUUUAGAAUAAAGGGUAAAAUUAACUUGAAUGGAGUGGACAGAGGGGUUUAACAUUUUUACUUGGUCUAGUAGAUAGAUAUAAGCUUCUCAAAAUUUUUCUAGCCCUGGUCAAGCAAUAUUCCUAUUUUUCCUCCUAAUAUUGGGUUUUGAGUGGUUUUCUUAUUUAAUUCUAAACUUCAGAAAGAAAUACAGAAGCUAUGGGUCCUAUUAUUUUUCUCUGAUAGCUCAUAGAUUUCUGAAUCUAGCAAAAUUGGUUUGAACAUUUUUGGAUGAUUAUUCUGCAAGUUAUGCAUUUACUUAGCUAUCUGUUAUAACAAAAGAAAAGAAAUUCAAAAACAGAAAAAGAAAACGUGUUUACGCCGAGGCCCCUGGGGUUUUUCCUUUUCUUUUCUCACAGAACAGCCCUUGGCCCACUAUUGGCUUGAGUCACUGACAUUGCGCAAAGCCCCCUGGACUUAACUAAAAUCUAACCCGCGCUCCCUGACCGGCCUAAACAGUGCCCGCGGUACAUUUUACGGCGGUGGGGCUUACCGGCGGCAGUAGAGCUCCGGCGGGGUGGUCAGUGACGUCCGGGAGGUCGCAACGGUCACGCCGAUGUGCGGGUCGGAGUCGGAGGUGGUCGGAGCUACCCUGGCCACGAGCACAGGCGGCGGGGGUCGGCGGCGGCUCCUGCUCCGGCCAAACCACGGCGGCAUAGGUCAAUUAGAGGGCACGAGGAGCUUCACGAGGUGACACAGAGGCCGUACGCGCAAGGAAUUGGAAAACGGUGCAGGGGCUUACCCGGUCUACGUGCGCCGGCGGGUUCUUGAACUCCGGCGAGCACGACUGGGCUAUUCCGGUGACGCGGGUCCCCGGGUCAAGCUUGCGCAAGGCUCACAGCUUCACCAGGAAGCUCUCUGAAGGCUUGGAUCGAACGGAGGAGGACGGGAGAGGGGCUGGCCACGGUGGUUGCUCUCGGGCGGCACUGGCGGGUCGCGGGGAGGUCGCCGGAGUUAAUGGCUGGCUCGGGUGAGUCCGGCGCAGUACGGAGGAGGUAACGGGGAAGGCAGCCAAGCACUAGGGCGGGCUUUAUAGCCGCGGCGCGGGCGUGGUCACGGGCGGCCGCGGGUGCGCGGGGGUUCGCGCACGGGCGUGCUCUGAGCGCGCCCCCGGAUGCCAGCUCGCGUCGAACACGUGGAGGCUUGCUUCUGCCAUGGUUCAACGGCCGAUUAGAGCGCCAUAGCGUGCGUAUCUUGGCAAGGUCGAUGUGUACGGUCGCUUCUCUGCUCCAAAUCCUAUCUUUUCGCUGUGAGUUCCAAGUCGAGAUAUGGUCGGGGUAGAGAGAUAGAGAGGGGAGAAGUUUGCUGUGUCAGCCAAGCCCGAACCGAGACAAAAGGAGUGUCAAGUCAUGUCUAGCGCCCUAGGAUAGGUGUCAUCUCUUUCCAGGGUGUUCUAGGGUUAGUUUGGCGCCAUUUUGUCAAUUGGGUCGCAGGGUUUUGAAAAGGGGAUUAAGGUGAACAUGUGGAGUCUUUGUGCAAGGGUUAGUUUUUGUACUUAGGCAAAAACUGAAUUUUCCCUUGUGCUCAAUCUUAGGUGAAUUGUUUAGGGUUUUUCUGAAAACUUUUUGGGGGUACUUCCUUACUAUUAAUUGUAGGUUGUUAAGUGUACUACAACUUUUAUAUUUGGCCCAAACCAUGAUCACAAGGUUUACAUAAUCUUUUGAAUCAUGGCUUCAAUUAGGGUUCCCAUUGCCUAUGGGGGUUUUGCUCUAGGGUUUUGGGAGAUCCCCACUUAGAUGUGCAUGAUAAGCUAGGGCAUGACAUCCAAAGUGGAUUACACUUGCUUAGGACCUAGAAUUCCAAGUGUGGUAUACUUUGCCCAAAUCAAUCUUCAUGUGAUAAUGGGUAAAAGGGGUAACCCUGGGGUGGACACCCUGAGUAACACCUGGGGUGUUACAGCCCUCCCCCCUUAAAGGAAUCUCGUCCCGAGAUUUAGGUAGAGUCCCUUGGAGGGUGCUUGAAGGUGUGCUGGUGUUGUUUUUCCUUCACACUUAGGUUUCUCUUAUUAACUGCUCUUCGAAUGUCAUCCUCUUUGCAACUUCAGAAGGAAGCCCUUCUUAAGUUAAAUCCACAACUUGGACUAUCCUUGUCAUCUAAGUUUUUCUUAUAAUUGAAUUCAAAGGGCAGGUGGGGGUGGGGUUUUGGGGUUACAUACCGACUCCUUUGGGUAGAAAGUCGGGGAAGCGAGAGCGUAGAAAAUCCUCAGUCUCCCAUGUAGCUUCUUCUGCUGAAUGGUGACUCCACUGAACCUUAUACAUUCUGACCGACCUUGCCCGAGUUGAUCUCUCCUUUUGAUCUAAUACCUUGACGGGGUACUCUUGGUAGGAUAAGUCUGGUUCUAUCUCAAUGUCUGGUUCCGAGAGUACUUCAGUGGGUAGACGAACGCAUUUCCGCAGCUGAGAUACAUGGAACACAUUAUGAACUGCUGACAUGUGAGGUGGCAAUUCCACUUGAUAGGCUACGGGUCCACAAGCCUCCUUGAUCUUGUAGGGUCCAAUAUAGCGAGGAGCUAACUUGCCCUUGAUCCCGAAUCUCUGAACACCCUUGGUGGGUGACACCUUAAGAUAGACAUGAUCUCCCACCUCAAACUGUAGAGGCUUCCGCCUCUUGUCAUGAUAGCUCCUUUGCCUGGCCUGAGCAGCUUCUAAGUUCUUGGUAAUGACCCUGACCUUUGCCUCUGCCUCGAGUACCAAGUCUGGCCCAAAAAUUUCCCUUUCUCCUGCUUGAGACCAAUUUAGUGGGGUCCUACACCUUCUCCCAUAUAAUGCCUCAAAAGGUGCCAUCUUCAGACUGGAUUGAUAGCUGUUAUUGUAAGAAAACUCUGCCAAAGACAGACACUUGUCCCAAUCCUUCCCAUAAUGUAGUGCACAUGCUCGCAACAUGUCUUCCAAAAUCUGAUUCACCCUUUCUGUUUGGCCAUCUGUUUGAGGGUGAUAUGCUGAGCUUCGGAUGACAUGGGUCCCAAGUGACUCUUGCAAUUGCUCUCAAAAUCGUGCCACAAAUGGUGCUCCUCUGUCAGAUACAAUGGUCUUGGGAAUGCCAUGCAACCUUACUAUCUGAUCAAUAUAAAUUUCAGCGUACUUUUCUGCCCUGUGGGUGGUAUGCACUGGCAAGAAAUGAGCAGUCUUGGUCAACCUGUCCACGAUAACCCAAAUAGAAUCAUGGUGCCUGGAGGUAUUGGGUAAUCCCACUAUGAAGUCCAUGCAAAUGUCCUCCCAUUUCCAAUAUGGUAUGGGAAGGGGUUGCAAAGGGCCUGCUGCCUUCAAGUGACUAGCUUUAAUUCUCUGGCAGGUGUCACAUUCGGAUAUGUACCUGGCAAUUUCCCUUUUCAUUCUAGUCCACCAAUAUAAAGAUCUGAGGUCAUGGUACAUCUUGUUGCUACCAGGGUGCAUGGAGAAUUUGGAAAGGUGAGCUUCAUCUAGUACCUUCUUUCUAAGCUCAGGGUCCUUGGGGACAACCAAUCGAUCUCCAAACCAUAGAAUUCCCUGGCUGUCCUGUCGGAAACACUUAUAUUUUUCUGCCUUUUGCUUGAUCAUUUCCUUGAUAACCUGAACACCCUUAUCCUCAACCUGUGCCCUGACUAUCUGUUCUUGCAAUGUGGGUUCCACCGAGAUAUAGCUUAGGUUACCCGAAGAAACAACUUCCAGGUUCAGCUUGCACAACUCAUCACACAGUGUGGUCACUCCCACAUCCAUGCUCAUACAAUUACACUGGGCCUUUCUACUCAAGGCAUCUGCCACAACAUUGGCCUUCCCCGGGUGAUAAUGCACCUCCAAAUCAUAGUCCUUGAUUAACUCCAACCAUCUCCUUUGCCUCAUGUUCAGAUCUGCCUGAGUGAAAAUGUAUUUGAGACUCUUGUGAUCAGUGUAGAUGUUACAGUGAGCUCCCAUCAAGUAGUGUCUCCAUAUCUUUAGAGCAUGGACUACUGCUGCCAAUUCUAGAUCAUGCGUAGGGUAGUUCUGCUCAUGGGGCCUGAGUGCCCGGGAAGCAUAAGCAAUCACUCUAUUCUCUUGCAUCAAGACACAUCCCAAACCAGUACCCGAAGCAUCACAAUAAACUUCAAAUGGCUUGGUGUUGUCAGGUUGAGCUAGCAUUGGGGCUGUUGUCAAAUGCUGCCUCAAGGUAUGGAAUGCAUCUUCACACUUUUGGCUCCACUCAAAUUUGAUUCCCUUCUUCAACAGUUCAGUCAUUGGUUUGGCAAUUCUGGAGAAAUCCGGAAUAAAUCGCCGAUAAUACCCUGCCAAUCCUAGAAAACUCCGAAUCUGCUUUACUGUAGUCGGGGGCUUCCAGUCCAUUACCUCUUGCACCUUCUCAGGAUCAACUGAUAUCCCAUCCUGAGAAAUGGUGUGACCCAAGAAUUUAAUCUCUUUCAGCCAGAACUCACAUUUAGAUAACUUAGCAUAAAGAUGAUGGUCUCGCAGUCGCUGAAGUACAAUGUGAAGGUGCUCAGUAUGCUCGUCCUCAUUCUUGGAAUAGACCAGAAUAUCGUCAAUGAAAACGACCACGAACUUAUCCAAUUCUGGCAUAAACACUGAGUUCAUCAGGUACAUAAAAUAAGCCGGGGCAUUGGUCAGCCCAAAAGACAUCACCAGAAACUCAUACAGUCCAUAUCUGGUAGAAAAAGGCGUCUUGGGAAUAUCGCUAGCGCGGAUCUUGAUCUGAUGGUAUCCCGAGCGAAGGUCUAUCUUGGAGAAUACCUUGGCUCCAACCAACUGAUCAAACAGAACAUCAAUGCGGGGCAGCGGAUAUUUGUUCUUUAUAGUCACCGCAUUGAGAGGACGGUAGUCAACACACAUCCUCAAACUCUCAUCCUUUUUCUUCACAAAUAAAGCUGGACAUCCCCACGGUGAAGUGCUGGGACGAAUAAACCCCUUGUCCAACAACUCUUGCAAUUGUUUCUUCAGUUCUGCCAAUUCCGCGGGAGGCAUCCUAUAAGGUCUCUUGGAGAUAGGAGCAGUCCCGGGUUGCAAUUCGAUGGCGAACUCAAUAUCUCGGUCAGGUGGCAUUCCUGGCAAUUCAUCCGGAAAAACAUCCGGAUAGUCACAGACUACUGGGAUCUUUUCCACUGGGGAUUCUAACAUAACAAAAGCACAAGAUCGGGUACAACCCUGGUCAGGCAAAUACAGUGUGGUCUCACCGCAAGUUGGUGAGUGCACCUCAAUGGCUCUGGCUGCAAUAUCCAUAACUGCUUGGUGCCUGGUCAACCAGUCAGCUCCCAAUAUAAUAUCCACACUAUCCAACCCCAUUAUCAUUAGGGUAGUUUUGAUUAUGAGACUACCCAGCUUAAUUGGUACGUGCCUACAGAUCUGAUAGGAGGCAACCCUGCCUCCUGGUGUUGAAAUUGUAAUACCCCCAUUGGUGUGGUGAAAAGGCAAUUGGCACUUGGCACAAAAUUUGGUACUGAUAAAACUGUGUGAUGCACCAGAAUCAAAAAGAACAAUAGCAGGAUAAUUCAAAACUGUUAAGAUACCAGUCAAGACGGGUGCUCCCUCUGGGAUAUCAACCAUGGUGGUGAAGUUUAGUCUGCCCUGCCUCACUUGCACCUUCUGUCUCUUGCCUUGGUUCUGAUUUGUAUUCUGCCCCUGCCUCUGCUGGUUCCUGGGGCAAUUCUUGGCAUAAUGCCCAGUGUUACCGCAAGUGAAGCACCUGUUGUCAUUGGCUUGGCGGUACUGCUGCUGCUGAUUAUUCCGCUGUGCUGGAAAUUGAUUGCGGUUGGGUGCCUGCUGCUGCUGUUGCUGAGGUCGGAUUACCCAUAGCCCUUGCUGCUGCUGGGCCCCCUGCCCUGGGUGUCGGACACAAUUCUGAAGCGCUGUGGCUGAGCUGAGGGUCCUGCCACGGGGGUCUUCCUCUUCUUCUCUGCCUGCCUAGCUGUAAUGCAGUCCUCCUGGGAGAUGGCCAUGUUGACCAACUCAUUGUAGCUGUUGGCCCUGACGGUGUUGAGACGAUCCCGGAGCUUAGUGCUGAGCCCCCUUCUGAAUCUGUCCCUCUUCUUCUCAUCUGUAUCCGCAUGAUAUCCCGCGUACUGGCACAAGUCAUUAAAGGCCUGGGCAUACUGCAACACUGUCCUGUUGCCCUGAGUGAGUGCCAAGAACUCAUUGAGUUUCCUGUCCAUGAUCCCGGCUGGUAUAUGGUGUCCUCUAAAAGCUGCCUUGAACUGCCUCCACUCCACCUCUCGGUCCUCUGGCUGCAUAGCAAGAAAAUGAUCCCACCAAGUCCUUGCAGGUCCGCGAAGCUGCUGGGUGGCGAACCUGACUUUGGUGACCUCUGAGCAAAUUCCAUGGAGCAGUGGGAAUUUGGAUUCCACCACUCGCAGCCACACAUCUGCGUCAAGUGGGUCCUCCGCCCUUGUGAACAAUGGAGGCUGGGUGCUGAGGAAUUCCUGAUAGGUGGCCGCCGCGGGGUGACGUUGGUGGUCCCCACCACCAUAAUGCUGAGGUGGUGGCUGACGUUGAGCCAGCUGCCUCAGGAUCUCAUUCUGCUGAGCCAUGAGCUCCUGCAGAGUGGGAGGUGGUGGUGGCGGUGGAGGAACACGCUCGUUCUGGCCACGACGCUGCCUCCCGGCCAUCUGAAAAACCACAUACUCACUUAACACCACAAUUCCAAAUUUCAAGAUUUUUUUAUCACGAGGACAAGUUAAAACAGCAUGAUAGACUCCGACUUCAACAAAAGGGAUUUUUACGAGGCAUAAAUUUUUCCUUCCAAAUUUAAACUGAUAAAAGCAUCCAUCAAACAAGCUCCCAAGAGAGUUUAACCCGGUUACAUCAAAUUGUUCCAAAAUGACUCAACUCUAACUAGCCUAGUACCCCAAGGGUGCAAAAGCUAAGCUAGCUGCGAGGAGUCCGACUGUCCAACUUCUAAGCCUACCCUGGACACCUAGUGAGCGAACGAAGCAACACUUGACUCGGGGGAAGGUGGUCUUCCCGAGCCAGCAGUGUCCACACUGGAGGCAGGAUCAUCUCCUCCCUCAAUGUCGACGUCCUCGUUGGCCUCCUGGUCCUGGAUCUCCUGGUGGUGCAUGUCCAGGUGCUCGUUAGCCUCAGCAAGCUGUUGCUGAGUGUUAAUGAGCUGAUCCUCGAGAACCUCAAUGGUGUUCUCCCUUGUACCUACCAGCUCCUCCAACUCCUGAAUAUCGGUGGAUAGCUGCUCCACCUGCAAGUCCUUCUCCACUAAUUCUUGGGAUAAGUCAACCACGAGCUCCUCUCUGUUAUCCAGCGUGGUCUUUGUUGCCUCUAGUAGUGCCAUCAGAUGGGACAUUGCCUCACCGCGCAUCACUUGCAGUCGGUACAGAGCAUUCAUGCACCGUACUGUCAAGUGCGCAGUCUGUCCUGGGUAGAUGGCCCAGAUGUCCUUGGCAUGCUCCACCCGAUCCUUCCACAUUGGGUCGUCCUCCUUCUCAGCGGGGAACAAGCCAAUGGGGUGGGUAGCCAGCUCCAAGGGAUGGAAUCCGCAGAAGGUAGUCAAUCCAUGCAGAGCGAUCGCCUCGAUCGUGUCCUCUGCCCGGUACCCGAAAGACUCGGAGUCCAAGGAGCGCCAGCCUGGCUGCAGGGGAUGAGGCUCCAAAGUCAUCCUCACCCUACAGCGGGGCACCCGGUGCUUCUCGAACUGCUGCACCGCGUACUGAGGGGGUGUCGUGUAUCCAGCCCCCUGAAGUACCUCCCACAAAAUGCGGGGAAAACCCUCUCGUGCAAGCCCGUCAGUGUGGGUCAGUGCAUUUUCAUCAUCGGAGGAUCCAUGGGAAGUCAUCUGUGUACGGUUAAGCAUAAGUAAAAGAAAAAGAAUGGUAAAAAGAACAAGGAAAAUAAAACUCAGCCCUUCUCUAGUUAAGUAAAAAGGCACUAGGGACCUAGUUGGUUGUUAUCUUGUUUUUAAGUCCUUUACUCAGUUAUCCAUUUGCUUAAUUAUGAAUGCAUGCAUGCUCGUCCUGAACGACCUCACAACAAGAUAAAAGGAAUAGGGAGGAACUCCCAUCCUGUAAAAGUGGCCUGUAGGGCCUAGUUACUUAGCCACCUAGCUACCAUUCUAUUAACCUAAGGCUUCACGUCCUAGGUCUAUCCUGUUCGUCCUACUAUCUAUUCAACCUUGUUUCUAUCAAGUUUUAUUUAGAAACUUGAUGGUAUUUAUAUUUUAUUGAUUCCUCUGUGGUGGUACAAGCUCCGAUACCAGCUGUGGCGGAACUGCCCGAAUUAUUCCAACUUAAGUGCCCAAGUCCCGCCUUAAAGGCUAGACCACACUUAAAUGGGAAUAACCCGUCAAUCCCUCGGAUCUAGUCCGACACGGCCACUGACAGGAUCAAGUACCACAAUCUCACUCGAAGGUGAGUCACAGAGCAAAUACAAUAAAGCAUAAAACCAUACAUGUCACAAUGUUAAAUUAUUACAUCACCCUCAUCAUCAUCGGAGUUUUUGCAAAAGUAACCAUCAUUGUUCGAAGUGCAGCGGAAUGAAACUAACGGUAAUUAAACAGAGAGAUGGGGAAGCCUGUCCCAUCACUCCUCAUGCUCCUCCUCAGCCGAGGUAGGGUCCCACUCAACAGUCCAACCCGGUGGCAAGGUGGACGACCAAGUUAUCCCAGCAACCAUCUCCUCCAGAGAACCUGUAAAAAUUAUGACACAAGCAAGGCUGAGUAUACUAAUACUCAGCUAGACUUACCCGGUGUGAGGAGUCUACUCCUCUACCUCUAGACAUGCAGUUGUUUGGCUGUGGGGUUUGGUUGCCAAAAGCACUAGCUGAGUUUCUAAAUCAAGAUUUUAACUUAGUCAAAGUUAAGUGUGACUCUCUUAAGGCUAAAAGUGAACUAUCUACUCAUACAGGGUAGCAAGCAUUAUUAACAAUCAACAUAUUAUCUCAACUCAACAUACUUCCACUUAUUACUCAAUGUAGCAGCAUGGAUCAAGCAGUCUCAUUAACUGCGAGAAGCAGACGAUUCGAAUCGAGUUUUUAUCCUUGCAAGGUAAACCUAAACACACGACAUGCAGGGGCACUCCGUCCCCACACAUAUCAACCGUCCCCAUCGAUUCCCGUCAGCAGAUCAGGGCUCACCGCCUUGGCGUACAAUGCCUCACUGACUCCGACUGGCCGUCGUGCAGUGACCGCACUUGUACCCACCAUAACCGGAAUGGAGACCUCGUCUCAGGUCGCGUGAGGGGUAAAGUCCACUGCCAGGUUCAAUCAGGUACUAGGCUUACCGAUUUACCAUAUUUCUCGGCAUGUGCUUAGUACGUUCAAACGCUUGACUCACGGUACCACACCUUAAUCCUUAUUCAAAUUUUCAUCCCGUGAACAACCAAUCCCUAUGGAUUGUUGCCCACAAACCAGCAUCAGUACGAUAUGAAAGUGGUACAAUCAAUGUCCUGACCUCGCGCGAGUGCUAGAAAAAUCACUCGACUUCUACCGAGAUCCUAAUUAAAUAAGCAGCUACUCGACCUAGCAUACUAGUAUUCAUCUCAAUGGGAUUCCUGAGAUCAUGCAACUAGGGUUUCAUACAACUCCUACACUUAGGUGCACAAUCAACCCUACAAUCAUUAAGUGAAGUAAAAUAGCAUAUAUAAACGGUUAUGCAUAAAACCGGGGCUUGCCUUCCAAAGCAGUGCAGGCAGGUCCUCUGUGCUGGCUCGGGUGCUGGAUCUGGGGCUACCUCCUGAGCAGCUCCUUGCUCCGGCACGAGGAUUACUCUCCGUCAGCAAGAUUACAGUCUAUCGAAUGCAAUGAACAUGUAUGUCAUGAUAUGCAUGAUUUAAUAACAUUAUGUAAAAGAAACUAAGUCGAGAAAUAACUUAGGGUUUCUUAGUCACGCGGGGCUCUAGUGGUACAUAGAUCGACUUAUUACCCUUUGGACUCAGGUUUUCCUUUAGGAUAACAUAGUGGUUUGGUAUUGCCUUGAUAUAUUUUAGUGGACAGAUUUCAAAGUUUUUGGGACAACAUUUAUUCACAUCCUUCAUUUCUCUUUCCUUAAUUUCCAUUUAGGCUUUUAGUGUUGGUUUGAACUGCAACAGGGUUUUAAUAAUUUCCAAAAAUUCUGUAAAAAUUACAGUGGGUUAUCACUGGAUAUUCUAGCUUGUUUUAAGAAUUUGAGGCUUAAAGAAUAAAGUUGGGCUUUAAACAAAAAUACAAAAGUUAGGCCAAAGGGGCCACUUCACACUACACCUCCUAGUUAGGGGUAGGUUCUGACCUAAAGGUUAUUUUUGUUGGCAUCCUCUGGUAAUAAUAGGUCUUUGUGCUAAAAAUCACAGGAAACUAAGGGUGGUUAUUUAGUUAUGAUUUUCUCAAGUUUAAUGUCAAAAAGUACUUUCUACUACAUUAUUAUUUGAAAAAUGUCAACAGCAGAUUUCUUAUUUUCCUAAGUUCUUUCUAAUGAAACAAUAGUUAUCCCAAAAGUGGGGUGUUUUUACCUUGGGGUCAUUUUUGUAGGGUUUUUCUAAGUUAUCCUUGUUUUAUUAAAAUAAAAGAUAUCUUACUUAAUUUGUACUAAACCAGGGUAUGAUAUAUUUUUCCAGUGAACUCUAUUGAAUAAGUAACCUAACAAAAAUAGAAGUACUCUCUAGUUCAUUAAUUAAGUUACAUUUUCUAUUUUCCUUAUCCUUAAGCAUAUUUUAGAAUAAAGGGUAAAAUUAACUUGAAUGGAGUGGACAGAGGGGUUUAACAUUUUUACUUGGUCUAGUAGAUAGAUAUAAGCUUCUCAAAAUUUUUCUAGCCCUGGUCAAGCAAUAUUCCUAUUUUUCCUCCUAAUAUUGGGUUUUGAGUGGUUUCUUAUUUAAUUCUAAACUUCAGAAAGAAAUACAGAAGCUAUGGGUCCUAUUAUUUUUCUCUGAUAGCUCAUAGAUUUCUGAAUCUAGCAAAAUUGGUUUGAACAUUUUUGGAUGAUUAUUCUGCAAGUUAUGCAUUUACUUACUAUCUGUUAUAACAAAGAAAAGAAAUUCAAAAACAGAAAAGAAAACGUGUUUACGCCGAGCCCCUGGGGUUUUUCCUUUUCUUUUCUCACAGAACAGCCCUUGGCCCACUAUUGGCUUGAGUCACUGACAUUGCGCAAAGCCCCCUGGACUUAACUAAAUCUAACCCGCGCUCCCUGACCGGCCUAAACAGUGCCCACGGUACAUUUUACGGCGGUGGGGCUUACCGGCCAGUAGAGCUCCGGCGGGGUGGUCAGUGAUGUCCGGGAGGUCGCAACGGUCACGCCGAUGUGCGGGUCGGAGUCGGAGGUGGUCGGAGCUACCCUGGCCACGAGCACAAGCGGCGGGGUCGUCGGCGCUCCUGCUCCGGCCAAACCACGGCGGCAUAGGUCAUUAGAGGGCACGAGGAGCUUCACGAGGUGACACAGAGGCCGUACGCGCAAGGAAUUGGAAAACGGUGCAGGGGCUUACCCGGUCACGUGCGCGGCGGGUUCUUGAACUCCGGCGAGCACGACUGGGCUAUUCCGGUGACGCGGGUCCCCGGGUCAAGCUUGCGCAAGGCUCACGGCUUCACCAGGAAGCUCUCUGAAGGCUUGGAUCGAACGGAGGAGGACGGGAGAGGGCUGGCCACGGUGGUUGCUCUCGGCGGCACUGGCGGGUCGCGGGGAGGUCGCCGGAGUUAAUGGCUGGCUCGGGUGAGUCCGGCGCAGUACGGAGGAGGUAACGGGGAAGGCAGCCAAGCACUAGGGCGGGCUUUAUAGCCGCGCGCGGCGUGGUCACGGGCGGCCGCGGGUGCGCGGGGGUUCGCGCACGGGCGUGCUCUGAGCGCGCCCCGGAUGCCAGCUCGCGUCGAACACGUGGAGGCUUGCUUCUGCCAUGGUUCAACGGCCGAUUAGAGCGCCAUAGCGUGCGUAUCUUGGCAAGGUCGCUGUGUACGGUCGCUUCUCUGCUCCAAAUCCUAUCUUUUCGCUGUGAGUUCCAAGUCGAGAUAUGGUCGGGGUAGAGAGAUAGAGAGGGGAGAAGUUUGCUGUGUCAGCCAAGCCCGAACCGAGACAAAAGGAGUGUCAAGUCAUGUCUAGCGCCCUAGGAUAGGUGUCAUCUCUUUCCAGGGUGUUCUAGGGUUAAUUGGCACCAUUUUGUCAAUUGGGUUCGCAGGGUUUUGAAAAGGGGAUUAAGGUGAACAUGUGGAGUCUUUGUGCAGGGUUAGUUUUUGUACUUAGGCAAAAACUGAAUUUUCCCUUGUGCUCAAUCUUAGGUGAAUUGUUUAGGGUUUUUCUGAAAAACUUUUUGGGGGUACUUCCUUACAUUAAUUGUAGGUUGUUAAGUGUACUACAACUUUUAUAUUUGGCCCAAACCAUGAUCACAAGGUUUACAUAAUCUUUUGAAUCAUGGCUUCAAUUAGGGUUCCCAUUGCCUAUGGGGGUUUUGCUCUAGGGUUUGGGAGAUCCCCACUUAGAUGUGCAUGAUAAGCUAGGGCAUGACAUCCAAGUGGAUUACACUUGCUUAGGACCUAGAAUUCCAAGUGUGGUAUACUUUGCCCAAAUCAAUCUUCAUGUGAUAAUGGGUAAAAGGGGUAACCCUGGGGUGGACACCCUGAGUAACACCUGGGGUGUUACANNNNNNNNNNNNNNNNNNNNNNNNNNNNNNNNNNNNNNNNNNNNNNNNNNNNNNNNNNNNNNNNNNNNNNNNNNNNNNNNNNNNNNNNNNNNNNNNNNNNAUGUUACGGUCGCUUCUCUGCUCCAAAUCCUAUCUUUCGCUGUGAGUUCCAAGUCGAGAUAUGGUCGGGGUAGAGAGAUAGAGAGGGGAGAAGUUUGCUGUGUCAGCCAAGCCCGAACCGAGACAAAAGGAGUGUCAAUCAUGUCUAGCGCCCUAGGAUAGGUGUCAUCUCUUUCCAGGGUGUUCUAGGGUUAGUUUGGCGCCAUUUUGUCAAUUGGGUCGCAGGGUUUUGAAAAGGGGAUUAAGGUGAACAGUGGAGUCUUUGUGCAAGGGUUAGUUUUUGUACUUAGGCAAAAACUGAAUUUUCCUUGUGCUCAAUCUUAGGUGAAUUGUUUAGGGUUUUUCUGAAAACUUUUUGGGGGUACUUCCUUACUAUUAAUUGUAGGUUGUUAAGUGUACUACAACUUUUAUAUUUGGCCCAAACCAUGAUCAACAAGGUUUACAUAAUCUUUUGAAUCAUGGCUUCAAUUAGGGUUCCAUUGCCUAUGGGGUUUUGCUCUAGGGUUUUGGGAGAUCCCCACUUAGAUGUGCAUGAUAAGCUAGGGCAUGACAUCCAAAGUGGAUUACACUUGCUUAGGACCUAGAAUUCCAAGUGUGGUAUACUUUGCCCAAAUCAAUCUUCAUGUGAUAAUGGGUAAAAGGGUAACCCUGGGUGGACACCCUGAGUAACACCUGGGGUGUUACAGCCCUCCCCCCUUAAAGGAAUUCGUCCCGAGAUUUAGGUAGAGUCCCUUGGAGGGUGCUUGAAGGUGUGCUGGUGUUGUUUUUCCUUCACACUUAGGUUUCUCUUAUUAACUGCUCUUCGAAUGUCAUCCUCUUUGCAACUUCAGAAGGAAGCCUUCUUAAGUUAAAUCCACAACUUGGACUAUCCUUGUCAUCUAAGUUUUCUUAUAAUUGAAUUCAAAGGGCAGGUGGGGGUGGGGUUUUGGGGUUACAUACCGACUCCUUUGGGUAGAAAGUCGGGGAAGCGAGAGCGUAGAAAAUCCUCAGUCUCCCAUGUAGCUUCUUCUGCUGAAUGGUGACUCCACUGAACCUUAUACAUUCUGACCGACCUUGCCCGAGUUGAUCUCUCCUUUUGAUCUAAUACCUUGACGGGGUACUCUUGGUAGGAUAAGUCUGGUUCUAUCUCAAUGUCUGGUUCCGAGAGUACUUCAGUGGGUAGACGAACGCAUUUCCGCAGCUGAGAUACAUGGAACACAUUAUGAACUGCUGACAUGUGAGGUGGCAAUUCCACUUGAUAGGCUACGGGUCCACAAGCCUCCUUGAUCUUGUAGGGUCCAAUAUAGCGAGGAGCUAACUUGCCCUUGAUCCCGAAUCUCUGAACACCCUUGGUGGGUGACACCUUAAGAUAGACAUGAUCUCCCACCUCAAACUGUAGAGGCUUCCGCCUCUUGUCAUGAUAGCUCCUUUGCCUGGCCUGAGCAGCUUCUAAGUUCUUGGUAAUGACCCUGACCUUUGCCUCUGCCUCGAGUACCAAGUCUGGCCCAAAAAUUUCCCUUUCUCCUGCUUGAGACCAAUUUAGUGGGGUCCUACACCUUCUCCCAUAUAAUGCCUCAAAAGGUGCCAUCUUCAGACUGGAUUGAUAGCUGUUAUUGUAAGAAAACUCUGCCAAAGACAGACACUUGUCCCAAUCCUUCCCAUAAUGUAGUGCACAUGCUCGCAACAUGUCUUCCAAAAUCUGAUUCACCCUUUCUGUUUGGCCAUCUGUUUGAGGGUGAUAUGCUGAGCUUCGGAUGACAUGGGUCCCAAGUGACUCUUGCAAUUGCUCUCAAAUCGUGCCACAAAUGGUGCUCCUCUGUCAGAUACAAUGGUCUUGGGAAUGCCAUGCAACCUUACUAUCUGAUCAAUAUAAAUUUCAGCGUACUUUUCUGCCCUGUGGGUGGUAUGCACUGGCAAGAAAUGAGCAGUCUUGGUCAACCUGUCCACGAUAACCCAAAUAGAAUCAUGGUGCCUGGAGGUAUUGGGUAAUCCCACUAUGAAGUCCAUGCAAAUGUCCUCCCAUUUCCAAUAUGGUAUGGGAAGGGGUUGCAAAGGGCCUGCUGCCUUCAAGUGACUAGCUUUAAUUCUCUGGCAGGUGUCACAUUCGGAUAUGUACCUGGCAAUUUCCCUUUUCAUUCUAGUCCACCAAUAUAAAGAUCUGAGGUCAUGGUACAUCUUGUUGCUACCAGGGUGCAUGGAGAAUUUGGAAAGGUGAGCUUCAUCUAGUACCUUCUUUCUAAGCUCAGGGUCCUUGGGGACAACCAAUCGAUCUCCAAACCAUAGAAUUCCCUGGCUGUCCUGUCGGAAACACUUAUAUUUUCUGCCUUUUGCUUGAUCAUUUCCUUGAUAACCUGAACACCCUUAUCCUCAACCUGUGCCCUGACUAUCUGUUCUUGCAAUGUGGGUUCCACCGAGAUAUAGCUUAGGUUACCCGAAGAAACAACUUCCAGGUUCAGCUUGCACAACUCAUCACACAGUGUGGUCACUCCCACAUCCAUGCUCAUACAAUUACACUGGGCCUUUCUACUCAAGGCAUCUGCCACAACAUUGGCCUUCCCCGGGUGAUAAUGCACCUCCAAAUCAUAGUCCUUGAUUAACUCCAACCAUCUCCUUUGCCUCAUGUUCAGAUCUGCCUGAGUGAAAAUGUAUUUGAGACUCUUGUGAUCAGUGUAGAUGUUACAGUGAGCUCCCAUCAAGUAGUGUCUCCAUAUCUUUAGAGCAUGGACUACUGCUGCCAAUUCUAGAUCAUGCGUAGGGUAGUUCUGCUCAUGGGGCCUGAGUGCCCGGGAAGCAUAAGCAAUCACUCUAUUCUCUUGCAUCAAGACACAUCCCAAACCAGUACCCGAAGCAUCACAAUAAACUUCAAAUGGCUUGGUGUUGUCAGGUUGAGCUAGCAUUGGGGCUGUUGUCAAAUGCUGCCUCAAGGUAUGGAAUGCAUCUUCACACUUUUGGCUCCACUCAAAUUUGAUUCCCUUCUUCAACAGUUCAGUCAUUGGUUUGGCAAUUCUGGAGAAAUCCGGAAUAAAUCGCCGAUAAUACCCUGCCAAUCCUAGAAAACUCCGAAUCUGCUUUACUGUAGUCGGGGGCUUCCAGUCCAUUACCUCUUGCACCUUCUCAGGAUCAACUGAUAUCCCAUCCUGAGAAAUGGUGUGACCCAAGAAUUUAAUCUCUUUCAGCCAGAACUCACAUUUAGAUAACUUAGCAUAAAGAUGAUGGUCUCGCAGUCGCUGAAGUACAAUGUGAAGGUGCUCAGUAUGCUCGUCCUCAUUCUUGGAAUAGACCAGAAUAUCGUCAAUGAAAACGACCACGAACUUAUCCAAUUCUGGCAUAAACACUGAGUUCAUCAGGUACAUAAAAUAAGCCGGGGCAUUGGUCAGCCCAAAAGACAUCACCAGAAACUCAUACAGUCCAUAUCUGGUAGAAAAAGGCGUCUUGGGAAUAUCGCUAGCGCGGAUCUUGAUCUGAUGGUAUCCCGAGCGAAGGUCUAUCUUGGAGAAUACCUUGGCUCCAACCAACUGAUCAAACAGAACAUCAAUGCGGGGCAGCGGAUAUUUGUUCUUUAUAGUCACCGCAUUGAGAGGACGGUAGUCAACACACAUCCUCAAACUCUCAUCCUUUUUCUUCACAAAUAAAGCUGGACAUCCCCACGGUGAAGUGCUGGGACGAAUAAACCCCUUGUCCAACAACUCUUGCAAUUGUUUCUUCAGUUCUGCCAAUUCCGCGGGAGGCAUCCUAUAAGGUCUCUUGGAGAUAGGAGCAGUCCCGGGUUGCAAUUCGAUGGCGAACUCAAUAUCUCGGUCAGGUGGCAUUCCUGGCAAUUCAUCCGGAAAAACAUCCGGAUAGUCACAGACUACUGGGAUCUUUUCCACUGGGGAUUCUAACAUAACAAAAGCACAAGAUCGGGUACAACCCUGGUCAGGCAAAUACAGUGUGGUCUCACCGCAAGUUGGUGAGUGCACCUCAAUGGCUCUGGCUGCAAUAUCCAUAACUGCUUGGUGCCUGGUCAACCAGUCAGCUCCCAAUAUAAUAUCCACACUAUCCAACCCCAUUAUCAUUAGGGUAGUUUUGAUUAUGAGACUACCCAGCUUAAUUGGUACGUGCCUACAGAUCUGAUAGGAGGCAACCCUGCUCCUGGUGUUGAAAUUGUAAUACCCCCAUUGGUGUGGUGAAAAGGCAAUUGGCACUUGGCACAAAAUUUGGUACUGAUAAAACUGUGUGAUGCACCAGAAUCAAAAAGAACAAUAGCAGGAUAAUUCAAAACUGUUAAGAUACCAGUCAAGACGGGUGCUCCCUCUGGGAUAUCAACCAUGGUGGUGAAGUUUAGUCUGCCCUGCCUCACUUGCACCUUCUGUCUCUUGCCUUGGUUCUGAUUUGUAUUCUGCCCCUGCCUCUGCUGGUUCCUGGGGCAAUUCUUGGCAUAAUGCCCAGUGUUACCGCAAGUGAAGCACCUGUUGUCAUUGGCUUGGCGGUACUGCUGCUGCUGAUUAUUCCGCUGUGCUGGAAAUUGAUUGCGGUUGGGUGCCUGCUGCUGCUGUUGCUGAGGUCGGAUUACCCAUAGCCCUUGCUGCUGCUGGGGCCCCCUGCCCUGGGUGUCGGACACAAUUCUGAAGCGCUGUGGCUGAGCUGAGGGUCCUGCCACGGGGGUCUUCCUCUUCUUCUCUGCCUGCCUAGCUGUAAUGCAGUCCUCCUGGGAGAUGGCCAUGUUGACCAACUCAUUGUAGCUGUUGGCCCUGACGGUGUUGAGACGAUCCCGGAGCUUAGUGCUGAGCCCCCUUCUGAAUCUGUCCCUCUUCUUCUCAUCUGUAUCCGCAUGAUAUCCCGCGUACUGGCACAAGUCAUUAAAGGCCUGGGCAUACUGCAACACUGUCCUGUUGCCCUGAGUGAGUGCCAAGAACUCAUUGAGUUUCCUGUCCAUGAUCCCGGCUGGUAUAUGGUGUCCUCUAAAAGCUGCCUUGAACUGCCUCCACUCCACCUCUCGGUCCUCUGGCUGCAUAGCAAGAAAAUGAUCCCACCAAGUCCUUGCAGGUCCGCGAAGCUGCUGGGUGGCGAACCUGACUUUGGUGACCUCUGAGCAAAUUCCAUGGAGCAGUGGGAAUUUGGAUUCCACCACUCGCAGCCACACAUCUGCGUCAAGUGGGUCCUCCGCCCUUGUGAACAAUGGAGGCUGGGUGCUGAGGAAUUCCUGAUAGGUGGCCGCCGCGGGGUGACGUUGGUGGUCCCCACCACCAUAAUGCUGAGGUGGUGGCUGACGUUGAGCCAGCUGCCUCAGGAUCUCAUUCUGCUGAGCCAUGAGCUCCUGCAGAGUGGGAGGUGGUGGUGGCGGUGGAGGAACACGCUCGUUCUGGCCACGACGCUGCCUCCCGGCCAUCUGAAAAACCACAUACUCACUUAACACCACAAUUCCAAAUUUCAAGAUUUUUUAUCACGAGGACAAGUUAAAACAGCAUGAUAGACUCCGACUUCAACAAAAGGGAUUUUUACGAGGCAUAAAUUUUUCCUUCCAAAUUUAAACUGAUAAAAGCAUCCAUCAAACAAGCUCCCAAGAGAGUUUAACCCGGUUACAUCAAAUUGUUCCAAAAUGACUCAACUCUAACUAGCCUAGUACCCCAAGGGUGCAAAAGCUAAGCUAGCUGCGAGGAGUCCGACUGUCCAACUUCUAAGCCUACCCUGGACACCUAGUGAGCGAACGAAGCAACACUUGACUCGGGGGAAGGUGGUCUUCCCGAGCCAGCAGUGUCCACACUGGAGGCAGGAUCAUCUCCUCCCUCAAUGUCGACGUCCUCGUUGGCCUCCUGGUCCUGGAUCUCCUGGUGGUGCAUGUCCAGGUGCUCGUUAGCCUCAGCAAGCUGUUGCUGAGUGUUAAUGAGCUGAUCCUCGAGAACCUCAAUGGUGUUCUCCCUUGUACCUACCAGCUCCUCCAACUCCUGAAUAUCGGUGGAUAGCUGCUCCACCUGCAAGUCCUUCUCCACUAAUUCUUGGGAUAAGUCAACCACGAGCUCCUCUCUGUUAUCCAGCGUGGUCUUUGUUGCCUCUAGUAGUGCCAUCAGAUGGGACAUUGCCUCACCGCGCAUCACUUGCAGUCGGUACAGAGCAUUCAUGCACCGUACUGUCAAGUGCGCAGUCUGUCCUGGGUAGAUGGCCCAGAUGUCCUUGGCAUGCUCCACCCGAUCCUUCCACAUUGGGUCGUCCUCCUUCUCAGCGGGGAACAAGCCAAUGGGGUGGGUAGCCAGCUCCAAGGGAUGGAAUCCGCAGAAGGUAGUCAAUCCAUGCAGAGCGAUCGCCUCGAUCGUGUCCUCUGCCCGGUACCCGAAAGACUCGGAGUCCAAGGAGCGCCAGCCUGGCUGCAGGGGAUGAGGCUCCAAAGUCAUCCUCACCCUACAGCGGGGCACCCGGUGCUUCUCGAACUGCUGCACCGCGUACUGAGGGGGUGUCGUGUAUCCAGCCCCCUGAAGUACCUCCCACAAAAUGCGGGGAAAACCCUCUCGUGCAAGCCCGUCAGUGUGGGUCAGUGCAUUUUCAUCAUCGGAGGAUCCAUGGGAAGUCAUCUGUGUACGGUUAAGCAUAAGUAAAAGAAAAAGAAUGGUAAAAAGAACAAGGAAAAUAAAACUCAGCCCUUCUCUAGUUAAGUAAAAAGGCACUAGGGACCUAGUUGGUUGUUAUCUUGUUUUUAAGUCCUUUACUCAGUUAUCCAUUUGCUUAAUUAUGAAUGCAUGCAUGCUCGUCCUGAACGACCUCACAACAAGAUAAAAGGAAUAGGGAGGAACUCCCAUCCUGUAAAAGUGGCCUGUAGGGCCUAGUUACUUAGCCACCUAGCUACCAUUCUAUUAACCUAAGGCUUCACGUCCUAGGUCUAUCCUGUUCGUCCUACUAUCUAUUCAACCUUGUUUCUAUCAAGUUUUAUUUAGAAACUUGAUGGUAUUUAUAUUUUAUUGAUUCCUCUGUGGUGGUACAAGCUCCGAUACCAGCUGUGGCGGAACUGCCCGAAUUAUUCCAACUUAAGUGCCCAAGUCCCGCCUUAAAGGCUAGACCACACUUAAAUGGGAAUAACCCGUCAAUCCCUCGGAUCUAGUCCGACACGGCCACUGACAGGAUCAAGUACCACAAUCUCACUCGAAGGUGAGUCACAGAGCAAAUACAAUAAAGCAUAAAACCAUACAUGUCACAAUGUUAAAUUAUUACAUCACCCUCAUCAUCAUCGGAGUUUUUGCAAAAGUAACCAUCAUUGUUCGAAGUGCAGCGGAAUGAAACUAACGGUAAUUAAACAGAGAGAUGGGAAGCCUGUCCCAUCACUCCUCAUGCUCCUCCUCAGCCGAGGUAGGGUCCCACUCAACAGUCCAACCCGGUGGCAAGGUGGACGACCAAGUUAUCCCAGCAACCAUCUCCUCCAGAGAACCUGUAAAAAUUAUGACACAAGCAAGGCUGAGUAUACUAAUACUCAGCUAGACUUACCCGGUGUGAGGAGUCUACUCCUCUACCUCUAGACAUGCAGUUGUUUGGCUGUGGGGUUUGGUUGCCAAAAGCACUAGCUGAGUUUCUAAAUCAAGAUUUUAACUUAGUCAAAGUUAAGUGUGACUCUCUUAAGGCUAAAAGUGAACUAUCUACUCAUACAGGGUAGCAAGCAUUAUUAACAAUCAACAUAUUAUCUCAACUCAACAUACUUCCACUUAUUACUCAAUGUAGCAGCAUGGAUCAAGCAGUCUCAUUAACUGCGAGAAGCAGACGAUUCGAAUCGAGUUUUUAUCCUUGCAAGGUAAACCUAAACACACGACAUGCAGGGGCACUCCGUCCCCACACAUAUCAACCGUCCCCAUCGAUUCCCCGUCAGCAGAUCAGGGCUCACCGCCUUGGCGUACAAUGCCUCACUGACUCCGACUGGCCGUCGUGCAGUGACCGCACUUGUACCCACCAUAACCGGAAUGGGAGACCUCGUCUCAGGUCGCGUGAGGGGUAAAGUCCACUGCCAGGUUCAAUCAGGUACUAGGCUUACCGAUUUACCAUAUUUCUCGGCAUGUGCUUAGUACGUUCAAACGCUUGACUCACGGUACCACACCUUAAUCCUUAUUCAAAUUUUCAUCCCGUGAACAACCAAUCCCUAUGGAUUGUUGCCCACAAACCAGCAUCAGUACGAUAUGAAAGUGGGUACAAUCAAUGUCCUGACCUCGCGCGAGUGCUAGAAAAAUCACUCGACUUCUACCGAGAUCCUAAUUAAAUAAGCAGCUACUCGACCUAGCAUACUAGUAUUCAUCUCAAUGGGAUUCCUGAGAUCAUGCAACUAGGGUUUCAUACAACUCCUACACUUAGGUGCACAAUCAACCCUACAAUCAUUAAGUGAAGUAAAAUAGCAUAUAUAAACGGUUAUGCAUAAAACCGGGGCUUGCCUUCCAAAGCAGUGGCAGGCAGGUCCUCUGGUGCUGGCUCGGGUGCUGGAUCUGGGGCUACCUCCUGAGCAGCUCCUUGCUCCGGCACGAGGAUGUACUCUCCGUCAGCAAGAUUACAGUCUAUCGAAUGCAAUGAACAUGUAUGUCAUGAUUAUGCAUGAUUUAAUAACAUUAUGUAAAAGAAACUAAGUCGAGAAAUAACUUAGGGUUUCUUAGUCACGCGGGGCUUCUAGUGGUACAUAGAUCGACUUAUUACCCUUUGGACUCAGGUUUUCCUUUAGGAUAACAUAGUGGUUUGGUAUUGCCUUGAUAUAUUUUAGUGGACAGAUUUCAAAGUUUUUGGGACAACAUUUAUUCACAUCCUUCAUUUCUCUUUCCUUAAUUUCCAUUUAGGCUUUUAGUGUUGGUUUGAACUGCAACAGGGUUUUAAUAAUUUCCAAAAAUUCUGUAAAAAUUACAGUGGGUUAUCACUGGAUAUUCUAGCUUGUUUUAAGAAUUUGAGGCUUAAAGAAUAAAAGUUGGGCUUUAAACAAAAAUAACAAAAGUUAGGCCAAAGGGGCCACUUCACACUACACCUCCUAGUUAGGGGUAGGUUCUGACCUAAAGGUUAUUUUUGUUGGCAUCCUCUGGUAAUAAUAGGUCUUUGUGCUAAAAAUCACAGGAAACUAAGGGGUGGUUAUUUAGUUAUGAUUUUCUCAAGUUUAAUGUCAAAAAGGUACUUUCUACUACAUUAUUAUUUGAAAAAUGUCAAACAGCAGAUUUCUUAUUUUUCCUAAGUUCUUUCUAAUGAAACAAUAGUUAUCCCAAAAGUGGGGGUGUUUUUACCUUGGGGUCAUUUUUGUAGGGUUUUUCUAAGUUAUCCUUGUUUUAUUAAAAUAAAAGAUAUCUUACUUAAUUUGUACUAAACCAGGGUAUGAUAUAUUUUUCCAGUGAACUCUAUUGAAUAAGUAACCUAACAAAAAUAGAAGUACUCUCUAGUUCAUUAAUUAAGUUACAUUUUCUAUUUUCCUUAUCCUUAAGCAUAUUUUAGAAUAAAGGGUAAAAUUAACUUGAAUGGAGUGGACAGAGGGGUUUAACAUUUUUACUUGGUCUAGUAGAUAGAUAUAAGCUUCUCAAAAUUUUUCUAGCCCUGGUCAAGCAAUAUUCCUAUUUUUCCUCCUAAUAUUGGGUUUUGAGUGGUUUUCUUAUUUAAUUCUAAACUUCAGAAAGAAAUACAGAAGCUAUGGGUCCUAUUAUUUUUCUCUGAUAGCUCAUAGAUUUCUGAAUCUAGCAAAAUUGGUUUGAACAUUUUUGGAUGAUUAUUCUGCAAGUUAUGCAUUUACUUAGCUAUCUGUUAUAACAAAAGAAAAGAAAUUCAAAAACAGAAAAAGAAAACGUGUUUACGCCGAGGCCCCUGGGGUUUUUCCUUUUCUUUUCUCACAGAACAGCCCUUGGCCCACUAUUGGCUUGAGUCACUGACAUUGCGCAAAGCCCCCUGGACUUAACUAAAAUCUAACCCGCGCUCCCUGACCGGCCUAAACAGUGCCCACGGUACAUUUUACGGCGGUGGGGCUUACCGGCGGCAGUAGAGCUCCGGCGGGGUGGUCAGUGAUGUCCGGGAGGUCGCAACGGUCACGCCGAUGUGCGGGUCGGAGUCGGAGGUGGUCGGAGCUACCCUGGCCACGAGCACAAGCGGCGGGGGUCGUCGGCGGCUCCUGCUCCGGCCAAACCACGGCGGCAUAGGUCAAUUAGAGGGCACGAGGAGCUUCACGAGGUGACACAGAGGCCGUACGCGCAAGGAAUUGGAAAACGGUGCAGGGGCUUACCCGGUCCACGUGCGCCGGCGGGUUCUUGAACUCCGGCGAGCACGACUGGGCUAUUCCGGUGACGCGGGUCCCCGGGUCAAGCUUGCGCAAGGCUCACGGCUUCACCAGGAAGCUCUCUGAAGGCUUGGAUCGAACGGAGGAGGACGGGAGAGGGGCUGGCCACGGUGGUUGCUCUCGGGCGGCACUGGCGGGUCGCGGGGAGGUCGCCGGAGUUAAUGGCUGGCUCGGGUGAGUCCGGCGCAGUACGGAGGAGGUAACGGGGAAGGCAGCCAAGCACUAGGGCGGGCUUUAUAGCCGCGGCGCGGGCGUGGUCACGGGCGGCCGCGGGUGCGCGGGGGUUCGCGCACGGGCGUGCUCUGAGCGCGCCCCCGGAUGCCAGCUCGCGUCGAACACGUGGAGGCUUGCUUCUGCCAUGGUUCAACGGCCGAUUAGAGCGCCAUAGCGUGCGUAUCUUGGCAAGGUCGCUGUGUACGGUCGCUUCUCUGCUCCAAAUCCUAUCUUUUCGCUGUGAGUUCCAAGUCGAGAUAUGGUCGGGGUAGAGAGAUAGAGAGGGGAGAAGUUUGCUGUGUCAGCCAAGCCCGAACCGAGACAAAAGGAGUGUCAAGUCAUGUCUAGCGCCCUAGGAUAGGUGUCAUCUCUUUCCAGGGUGUUCUAGGGUUAAUUUGGCACCAUUUUGUCAAUUGGGUCGCAGGGUUUUGAAAAGGGGAUUAAGGUGAACAUGUGGAGUCUUUGUGCAAGGGUUAGUUUUUGUACUUAGGCAAAAACUGAAUUUUCCCUUGUGCUCAAUCUUAGGUGAAUUGUUUAGGGUUUUUCUGAAAACUUUUUGGGGGUACUUCCUUACUAUUAAUUGUAGGUUGUUAAGUGUACUACAACUUUUAUAUUUGGCCCAAACCAUGAUCACAAGGUUUACAUAAUCUUUUGAAUCAUGGCUUCAAUUAGGGUUCCCAUUGCCUAUGGGGGUUUUGCUCUAGGGUUUUGGGAGAUCCCCACUUAGAUGUGCAUGAUAAGCUAGGGCAUGACAUCCAAAGUGGAUUACACUUGCUUAGGACCUAGAAUUCCAAGUGUGGUAUACUUUGCCCAAAUCAAUCUUCAUGUGAUAAUGGGUAAAAGGGGUAACCCUGGGGUGGACACCCUGAGUAACACCUGGGGUGUUACAGGCUUCGUCUGGAACCCUUGAAAGCUGGUUAACAACAAGUCCUUUAGCUUUUGCCACGAAGUGAUGGUUCCUGGUUGGAGGGAGGAGUACCAGGUUUGAGCAACACUCCUGACAGCCAUAACAAAAGAUUUGGCCAUGACCGCAACAUUGCCACCAUACGAAGAUACUGUUGCUUCGUAGCUCAUCAAAAACUGCUUCGGGUCUGAGUGGCCAUCAAAUAUGGGCAGCUGAGGCGGCUUGUAGGACGGAGGCCAAGGUGUAGCCUGCAGCUCAGCGGACAGAGGAGAAGCAUCAUCGAAAACAAAAUUCCCAUGAUGGAAAUUGUCAUACCAGUCAUCUUCGUUGAGGAAACCCUCCUGAUGAAGGUCUUGGUGCUGAGGCCUUCGGUGUUGCUCAUCCUGAGUAAGAUGACGAACUUCCUCAGAGGCUUCGUCUAUCUGCCUUUGUAGUUCAGCUAGCCUGGCCAUCUUUUCCUUCUUCCUCUGCACCUGUUGGUGAAGCAUCUCCAUGUCUCUGAUUUCUUGGUCUAUCUCAUCCUCUAGUGGUGUCGGGCUAACAGCCUUCCUUUUCUGGCUUCGGGCCUCCCGAAGAGAGAGAGUCUCCUGAUUGUGGUCCAGCGGUUGAAGAGCUGCAGUGCCAGUUGCUGAAGCUUUCUUCGGCGCCAUAGCGAAGGUUUAUGAUCGCCGAAGGUGUUCAGAAAACUCAGAGUGUGGAAGUGAGUUCACCGGAGGUGGGCGCCAAUGUUGGGGACUUGUUCUCAAAUGCUAUGAGUUAAGAACAAGGCAACAUAGAAAAUGUUAAUCGGUUAAGUCCUUCGUCCUUCGAAGCAUUAUUCCCCUUAGGAUAUAAUGGUUUUUCGGACGAAGGUUAUGAAGGGUGUACCUUCAUAAAUACACUAUAAAGUGACGAAGGAUGAAUUAUAAGGAAUAUAAAGGAUAACAUAGAUAAUUAUAUAUUAUUAUUAUGUAUAAACAGAAAUAACAUUGAAUUACAAAUGUACCUUCAACUUGAAGGAGAUGAAAGUACAAGCGUGACGCAAAAGCGAAUGCCAAAUCAGCGUGAACAGUACGGGGGUACUGUUCACCUAUUUAUAGGCGCGGGACACAGCCCAUACAAAAUUACAUUCAUGCCGUUUACAUUUGAUAAUAAUUCUAUAGUAAUCCAUCGAGGUCUGAAUAGCCUUUUCAUCUUUAAGUCGGUUUCAUUUUCUGCUACCACGCCGAAGCUUUCUUGCUCACAUCUUCGGCGCUAUAUCGACCUUCGUAUUAUUCUGGUCUUCUCCUGCCGCGAUACCGACUUGAGUCCGAAGGUACCUGCUCACACAUUAUACUCCAGAAAUACUGUUAAAUCCUGUUUUUGAGGACCUUCGUAAGCCGAAGGCCCCCAACAGAUCACCACCACCAUAGUGCUGAGGUGGUGGCUGACGCUGAGCCAACUAUCGCAAAAUCUCAUUCUGCUGAGCCAUCAGUUCUUGCAUGGUAGGAGGCGGCGGCUGUGGUGGAGGAAUGCGCUCAUUCUGUCCACGGCGCGCUCUUCCUGCCAUCUGAAAAUUUAACAUGCUCUUAAUAUCAUACUUUUAACAUUCAAGUUCGCACAUGGUAAAAGAUUUGAAAGGACAAGGGUUUGUAAAAUGCCAAACAUUUCCUUGCAUUUUUCAUAAAAGAUACCACAUGACAAUAAAAUUUCUUCAUAAUUUAAUUAGAGAUCAUCCAUCCUUCAUCAAUCCAAAAGAGUUUGCUAAUGGUUACAGCAGGGUUCAAAAUACUCGACUCUCCCUAGCUUAGUACCCCAAAGGUGCAAAAGCUAAGCUAGUUUCGAGGAGUUCUACCGCCACACACUUCUAACCCUAUCUCUGAAACCUAAUGAGCAAACGAGGCAACGCUAGACUCAGGGGAAGGUGGUCUCCCUGAGCCAGCAGUGUCCAAGCUGGAUGCAGGCUCCGGCUCCUCUCCUACCUCGAUGUCAACAUCCUCGUUGGCCCCGUCCGCCUCCAUGUCCUGAAUCUCCUGAUGGUACAUAUCCAAGUGCUGGUUAGCUUCCUCAAGUUGCUGCUGAGUGUUCAGAAGCUGAUCCUCGAGAACCUUGAUGGUGUUCUCCCUAGCUCCUACUUGCUCCUCAAGCUCUUGGAUUUGGGUGGUCAUCUGCUCUACCUGCAGGUCCUUUUCCACCAGCUCAGUGGACAGAUCUACCACAAGGUCCUCCCUGUUGUCCAGGGUGAUCUUUGUAGACUCCACCAAUCCCAUCAGUUGUGACAUUGCCUCUCCUCGCACUGCUUGCAGACGAUACAGGGCAUUCAUGCAUCGCACUGUCAGGUGAGCAGUCAGCCCUAGGUAAAGAGCCCACACAUCCUUGGCAUGCUCCACUCAAUCCUUCCACAUUGGGUCGUCCUCCUUUUCAGCGGGGAACAAGCCAAUGGGAUGAGUGGACAACUCCAAGGGGUGAAAGCCACAAAAGGUCGUCAGCCCAUGGCGAGCAAUGGACUCGAUAGUAUCUUCAGCCCUGAAUCCGAAAGACUCGGAGUCCAACGAACGCCAGCCCGGCUGUAAGGGAUGAGGCUCCAAGGUCAUCCUCACCCUACAACGGGGUACCCGAUGCUCCUCGAACAACUGCACCGCAUACUGGGGAGGCGUCGUAUAACCGGCUCCUUGCAGCACCUCCCAUAAAAUGCGGGGAAAACCCUCUCGCGCAAGUCCGUCCGUGUGGGAAUGUGCGUUCCCUCCUGCCGAGGACUCGUGAGAAGUCAUCUGUGUAAGGGUAAGCGUAAGCGAAAAAAAGAAAAAGAAUUAAGAAAAUAAAAGUGGAUUGGGGCCUGGCUUUCUCAGGGUUAUGUGGAGAUCUGGGAGAUACACUUAAUCUUUUAUUACCGUGUCACAUAGCUUUUAAACUUUUUGACCACUUACUAAGUAGUUUGAUUAAGAUGAUGCAUGCAUGCUCGUCCUAAGCGACCUUGCAUCAACUUAUAGGGGUAGAGAAAUCUCCAUCCCUUAUUACAGUAGCCUGUAGGGCACAUUCAAAUAGCCACCUAGCUACCCAUCUAGUCUCCUAAUGCUUCACGUUCUAUGCCCAUCCUUAUCGUCUUACCGAUCUAUCCAACAUUUGUUUCUAGCAAGUUUUACUUUUUGAAAAGCAUGGUAAUUACAGUUUAUUGAUUCCUCUAUGGUGGUACAAGCUCCGAUACAAGUUGUGGCAGAACCGCCCGAGUUAUUCCAACUUAAGUGCCUAAGUCCCACCUUAAAGGCUAGACCACACUUAAAUAGGAAUAAAAUGUCAGUCCCUCGGAUGUAGUCCGACGAGGCCACUAACAGGAUCAAGUACCACGUACUCACUCGAAGGUGAGGCACAGAGCAAAUACAAUAAAACAUAAACCAUACAUUAAGGAGUACUUAAUUUAUUACAACAUCAUCAGAGUUUUUCAAAAGUAGUGAUCAUUGUUUGGAAUGCAGCGGAAUAUAACUAACGGUAAAUAAACGGAGGGAUGGGGAAGCCUGGCCAUCACUCCUCAUGCUCCUCCUCUACCGAGGUAGGGUCCCACUCGACUGUCCACCACUGUGGCAAGAUGGACGACCAAGUCACGCCAGCAACCAUGUCCUCCAGAGAACCUGUAAAAAUUAUGCCACAAGCAAGGCUGAGUAUACUAAUACUUAGCUAGACUUACCCGGUGUGAGGAGUCUACUCCUCUACCUCUAGACAUGCAGUUGUUUGGCUGAGGGGUUUGGUUUGCCAAAAGCACUAGCUGAGUCUAAAAUCAAGUUUAGCUUUUCAAAUGUUAGUGUGACUCUCUUAAGACUAAACAUAUCCCUAUCUAAUCAUACAUGUUAGCAAUCAUUUUAGCAAUCAACAUCUUUUGCCAAAUCAACAUCUUUCCACUUGUUACUCAAUGUAGCAGCAUGGAUCAAGCAGUCUCAUUAGCUGUGAGAAGCAGACGAUUUGAAUUGAGUUUUUAUCCUUGCAAGGUAAACCUAAAAACACGACGCGGCGAGGCACUCCGUCCCCACGCACAUCAACCAUCCCCAUCGAUUUUAUGGCAACAGAAAGGGGCUCACCGCCUUGGUGUAUAAUGCCUCACUGACCCCGACUGCCGUCGUGCAGUGACCGCACUUGUACCCACCAUAACCGGAAUGGGAGACCACGUCUCAGGUUGCAUGAGGAGGGCAAUCUACGGGUAGGUUCACUCAGGUACUAGGCUUACCGAUUUACCAUAUUUCUCGGCAUGUGUUUAGUACGUUCAGACGCUUGACACACGGUCCACACCUUAAUACUUAUUCCAAUAUCCGUCUCAUAGACAACGCAUCCCCUUGGAGUGUUGUCCACAGACCAUCAUCAUUCCGAUAUAAAAAUGGAUGCAACCAAUUCCUGACCUCGCACGAGUGCUAGAAAAAUCACUCGACUUCUACCGAGAUCCCUAAUUAGUAAAGCAGCUACUCGACCUAGCAUACUAGUAUCCAUCUCAAAGGAAUCCUGAGUUCAUGCAACUAGGGUUUCAAACAACUCCUACACUUAACUGCACAGUACAAGCCUACAAUCAUUAAGUGCAGUAAAAUAGCAUAUAUAUAUAUUAAGGGUUAUGCAUAAAACCGGGGCUUGCCUUCCAAAGCUGGGGCAGGCAGAUCCUCGAUGGCAGGCACUGGUGCUGGCUCCUGGGCUACCUCCUGAGCAGCUCCUUGCUCUGGAACGAGGAUGUACUCCCCGUCAGCGAGAUUACAGUCUAUCGAAUGCAAUGAAUAAGAUGUAUGCAUAUUAAUAAUAUGGCAUUUUGGAAACACUAAGCAUAGGGGAACAUUAUUAAAAUAAGGGGUAUACUAGGGUUUCCGUUGUUAGUCUUAAGGGUUUCAUACCUUCAUCUUUAGGGUUUUGAGUGAACUUAAAACCUCUAAUUACAUCCUGUAGGUUCUAUGGGACUCUUAGAACGAUUUAGUUAUACCUUAUUAAGUUCUCCCAAAAUUUCCCCUUUUCCUCCUAUUGUGCUUCUUAUUAAGUAUUUUUGAACUAUCAUGGCAAGUUAACAUUUUCCAAAAAUGUUAUAAAAAUUACAGUGGGUAAACAUUGACCUCUGGGUUUCAUCAUACAAGUUUUAGGUUGAAAAUAAUUCAUAUUUUCCUUGGGAAAAAAUGACAAAAGUAAGGGUAAAAAGGCACUUUACACUAUAGCUCUAAUUUCUGUGGGGUUUCUGGGUCAACAUUUAUUUUUGCCAAGAUUCCUAGGUGAUAAUAUGUCUCUGUGUUAAAAAUCACAGAAAAAGACCUACUGGAUAUUUAGUUGUGAUUUUCUUAAGUUUAAUGCCAAAAAGGUACUUAUAACUAACUUGUUAUUUGAAAAAUAUCAAACAACAGAACUUACAUUUUUCCUAGAUUCAUAAUAACAUAUUAUAAGUUAUCCCAAGGUUUGGGGUGGGUUCUUCUCAGGAUUAUUUUUCUAGAAGUUUUCUAAGUCCACCUUGUUUUCAUGAAAUAAAAGGUAGUUCAUUUCUUUUGUACUAACAGAUGGUCUAACAAAAUUUUCCAGUGAACUAUGUUAAAUAAGUGAGCUAGCAAAAAUGUGGUUGCCCCUGGUUCUUAUUUUGAACUCCCUUUUCUAUUUUCCUUAACUUUGAGUCAAAAUGAGUUUAAAUGGUAAACCAUUCCCUAAUCUGGUGUACUGAGGGGUUUAUUAUUUUAAACAGGCUAGGUAGUGGUUAAGCACCUCUCCAAUUUUUCUUAACCCCAGUCUAAGAGUGUAGCUAUUUUUCCCUUCUUUAUUUAGCUUUUGGUUAGUUUACUAUUUAAAUCAAAACUUUAAAAUUUCUUGCAAUACUUAGGGUGUUUUGUAUUUUUCCUAAGUAGUUCAUAUUAUUUAGAACCUAGCAAAAUUGGUUUGACCAAAUUUGGUUAAAUAAAACUGAAGUUAUGAAUUUUACAAGCUCUAUUUACAUUUAAAUAAUAAAGUUUCAAAGGUUUUAAGAAAAACCAGUUUACACCGAGACCCCUGGGCUUUUUCUAAACCAAGUAUUCAACUUAUGCCCCUACAGAACUAUUCAUAUGAGUCUCUGACUAUACAAAACCCCCCAGCUUCUUCUUCUUUCUCCCCGAGAUCCCUCCCCCCUUUGAAACAGUAAUCGCGGAAGUAAACAGGGCGGCGCGGCUUACCGGCGGCGAGGGAGGUCCGGCGAAGGGCGGGGUUAGCUUCGAGAGGUCCUGGCGGUCAUGUCGAGGUACGACUCGUCGAUGGUGAUGGCCGGAAUCGGUCGGAAUACGUGCGCAGGCGGGCGGGCUCAUCGGCGGCGUGUGCUCUAGGCUGCUCACGGGGGUAGAGUUUAAUCCAAGGGCGCAGAGAGCUUCACGGGGUGCUAAGGAAACUACCCGUGCAAGGAAUCGAAGGAAGACUCACCGUGGAGCUCGGUCUACGUGCGCCGGGGGUCGGGUGAAGUCCGGCGACGUCGAUCCGGUGUCUCCUGCGAGGUAUAGUUCGAUUCCUGGCUCUGGAAGCUUCACCGAGGCACACAGAGGCUAUCCCAAGGGUUGGACGGGGCGAAGAAUGACUAGGAUGGCCGGUCUAUGGUGGUCGGGUCUCGGGCGGCCGCUGGCACGCCGUGCGCAGAGCGAUCGACGGUGAUCUUGCGCUCCGGCGAGGUUGAGAGCGAGCGGGGGCGUACGGUCGAGGCCUCGGUCGGCUUUAUAGGCGAGGGUGCGGCGCGGCGCGGGCGGGGCCAAGCGCCGAGGCUGCUCUAGCGUUGCCAGGGCACGUCAAACACGUGGCUGUGUUAUUCUACCCAAGUUCUUGCGCCUGCUGAGCACCCAUAUGUGUGAAUCUUGCCAUAUUGCUUGUGUAAGAUUUCUUCCCUGCACCUAGAGCUGCCUAGUUCAUGUGAGUUCCAAGGGGAGAUCGGGUCUGGCUUAGAAGAUAUGGUGGCGCCAAGUCUUGUCUGUCUGCAUUGUUCAUCUCGCGACAAAACAGAUGCCAAACCAUGUCAAACCACCCUGGUUUGGUUUCAAACUUCUCAGGGGUGUGCCUUGGGUAGUUUGGCUACUUUUUGUUAUUUAGACCAUGUGGUUUUGGCGCCAUCAAAUAGAUGAACACUUCUGAUCUCUAACUUAGGGUUGAUUUUUGACUUAGAGAAAAUGUGAGUUACUCUAUAUUGUCCUCCACUUGGGGGCUGAUUUGGGAUCUUUGUGGGGUCUUUUUGUAAAAUUUCUCUUACUGUAUUUUGUAAAUAUAUUAAUGUACUUAAACUUUGGUAAAGGGUUUAAGUCAUGAAAUGUUCAUAUGCUUAUCUUUUCCAUUAAUCCAGUGUUUGGGGGUCUAAUGGCUCAAGAGGGGGUCUAGGGUUUGAGCCAUUUUUUCCAAGGUGAAGAUUUAUGAAAAUCUUGGGUAUUUCUUUUGUCAUGAUCAUUCCUUCAUCAAUCCAUGGUUUCUAAGGUUUUGGUGCCCCUUCUCCCCCACUUAAACACAUGUGAUAAUAGGCCAUAAGUGCAUGUAUUGAGCCAGGGCCUCAGGUAACACCUGGGGUGUUACAUUUUCUAUGGAUUUUCUAAGCUUGGCAGAAAAGAAAAAGGCGAAAACUGUGAACAGUUCUGGGCUGAAACUGGCCCAAUACAGCCCAUGCCUAGGCGAAAUGCGCCGCGCGCCGCCCGCGUUGGCAGUUUUACACAAACGACCUCAGCUUUUUGAAUAAGCAGUAAAUAACCUAGAGCACUAUUUGUUUGUAUCACUGACGUUUGCACCAAGACCUCAAAGUUCUAUUCCUUCGCAACACCAGGUCCGCGAUGGUGGUCGGCGACGAGAACGUCUCCGGUGAGCCUACACUGGCCGGAAUAUGCCAAGAUCGGACCCCUAACUUAGCUGGCACCGAAUUCUACCCUCGGCGACACUAACCCCUCAAUCAAUUGCACUAAUCCGGGCCGGAGCACGCCUGUCCACGACGACGGCAAAACCCGAGAAGAAGCUACGGUGUUCCGGGCAAUUCGGUACGGUCUAGUUCAAUCAAUCAAGCCUACAAGCAACAGGAGAUCCUAGAGAUGCUAGGACACUUAAUAGAGGUUUAUGAAUCAACCUAAAGCAGGCUGGCCACGGUGAGAUCCUUUCUACGGCGGCGGAGAACCGAUUUGGGGGAAGUCGCAAAUUGACGAGCUCUGGUGAGCAAUUGGAGGCACGACUUGGUGGAUUGGGUGCGUGAAUACCUUACGGACCCGACGGCACCCUCAAUUUAUAGGCUCCGGGGGCGGUGGCGCGUGAAUUGGAGAUGUGAAAGGGAAAUGUGCCCUUGGGCAAUUUCUAUAAGUAUUUUGGUGAUUAGAUGUCCAACACAUUAUUUGAGUACUUAUGUGCUAAAUAUGUGAAAGGUGCAAAUCAAAGUAAAAGGUACAUUUCCAAACUUAGUACAUUGUUUUUGUGAACUAACAUUGUUGGUCUAAGUGCUAGAAACAGUGCCGAAAAGAGAGGAAUAGGAUUGCAAAAGACUUGGCUGUGAGCAGCCAAACUUCAGCUCAGUCUGGCACACCGGACUGUCCGGUGGUGCACUGGACAGUGUCCGGUGCGCUAGGCUGGUCCGCGGUGAACUCGCCGCUCUCGGGAUUCAACAGCGGCAUACGGCUAUAAUUCACCGGACAGUCCGGUGGUGCACCGGACAGUCCGGUGAGCCAACGGUCGCCAGCGCAACGGUCGACCGUGCAAUCCGCGGGUGACACGUGGCCCGCAGCAACGGUCGGUUGGGCACACCGGACUGUCCGGUGUGCACCGGACUGUGUCCGGUGCGCCAACCGACCCCGAGGACCAACGGUCAGAUGCACCUGAUUUGGAAGCCAAUCGCGCACCGGACAGCUACAGUGACUAUCCGGUGGUGCACCACCCGACAGAAGGCAAGUUUGGCCUUCCAAGUUGGCCUCCAACGGCUCCGAGCUGCCCUAGGGCUAUAAAAGGGACCCCUAGGCGCAUGGAGGAGUCACCUGAGCAUUCACUAAGCAUUCUAAGACUCCCACACUCCGCCUCCGCGCAUUUGAUCGAUUGUGUUAGUGAUUUGAGCUCCGUUUGAGUUGUGAACUCUCUAUGCUACGUUUCGAGCUCAAGUCUUGGCUUGUGUGCGUGUGUGUGCUACGGAUUUGUGUGUUGUGUGUGUUGCUCUUCUAGCCUUACUCUUGUGCCUUCUUUGUGAUCUUUAUUGUAAGGGAGAGAGGCUCCAACUUGUGGAGAUUCCUCGCAAAUGGGAGAAAGACUAUAAGGAAGAAAGCCAUGGUAUUCAAGUUGAUCAUUGGAUCACUUGAAAGGGGUUGAGUGCAACCCUCGUCCAUUGGGACGCCACAACAUGGAAGUAGGCAAGUAUUACUUGGCCGAACCACAGAAUAAAAAUCGCGUGUCUCUUGUGAUUGUUUUCUCUGUGAUUGUUUUGUCCACAAGAACUCGCGUCAAAACUACUUAGUCGCACUAACACUUCUAUAACUAAGUUUUGUGGCUAUUUAGUGUUUAAUUUUACAGGAUCACCUAUUCACCCCCCCUCUAGGUGCUCUCAAUUGGUAUCAGAGCCGUACUCUUCAUCUAAGGGACUAAUCGCCCGAAGAGAUGGAUCCUAAGGGAAAGGGGAUGGUGGUCAACGACAAGGAGAAGGAGUCCAUCUUCAACGAGCCAAGAGAUGACAAGCCCACUGACUCAGGCUCGAGUCACAAGAAGAAGGACGGGAAGAAGUAGAGGCGCAUCAAGAAGAUCAUCUACUACGACAGAAAUGCAUCUUCUUCUUCACCAAGAGACGACGAUGAUGACGAUUCUUCGUCAAAGAAAAAGACGGUUAAUCAAAACUAUUCUUUUGAUUAUUCCCGCAUGCCGUACAAUUCAAUUGCGCAUCUACUUUCAAUUCCCCUUGGAAAACCUCCACACUUUGAUGGAGAGGACUAUUCGUUUUGGAGUCAUAAAAUGCAUAGUCAUUUAUUCUCUCUCCAUCCUAGCAUAUGGGAAAUUAUAGAAAAUGGGAUGCACUUUGACAGCACUGAUAAUCCUGUGAUUAUUAAUGAGCAAAUCCACAAAAAUGCCCAAGCUACUACUGUGUUGUUAGCAUCUCUUUGCAGGGACGAGUAUAACAAAGUGAGUGGCUUGAACAAUGGCAAACAAAUCGGGAUACCCUCAAGAUAUCACAUGAGGGAAAUGAUGCCACUAUGAUCACAAAGAUGGAAUUAGUGGAAGGCGAGUUGGGGAGGUUCGCGAUGAUCAGGGGAGAUGAGCCAACUCAGACCUACAACAGGCUCAAGACCCUGGUCAACAAGAUCCGAAGCUACGAAAGCACAAGAUGGAUGGAUCAUGAUGUCGUCCGACUCAUGCUAAGGUCAUUUACUGUAAUUGACCUCAUCUUGUAAAUCUUAUUCGUGAAAAUCCCAGGUACACCAAGAUGACGCCCGAGGAGAUCCUUGGAAAAUUUGUGAGCGGGCGCAUGAUGGUGAAGGAGGCACGAUACGUGGAUGACGCUUUGAACGGUGUUGGGGACUUGUUCUCAAAUGCUAUGAAUUAAGAACAAAGCAACACAAAAUCUUAAAGGUUAAAGCCCUUCGUCCUUCGAAGCAUUAUUUCCCUUAGGAUAUAAUGAUCUUCAAACGAAGGUCAUGAAGGACAUACCUUCGUCAUCGCGGUAUAUGUUAAUAAAAGAAGAAGCAUAUGAAAUAUAAGAGACAACAUAAACAAUCAUAUAACAUUAUUAAUUCAUUCUCAUUAUAUUAUCAUGGAAAGACAGAAACAAUAUUGAAUUACAAAUGUACCUUCGGCUUGAUAGAAGGUAAAAGUACAAGCGUGACGCACAAGCGAAUACAAGUCAGCGUGAACAGUACGGAGUACUGUUCAUCUAUUUAUAGGCACAGGGCACAGCCUCUGUGAAAUUACAUUCAUGCCCUUCAUAUUUACUAUUUACUUAUAGACAACCCAAUGGGGACUAGAUAGCCUUUUCCCUUUUAAGUCGGUUCCUUUUUCUGCCAUUGAGCCGAAGCUCCCUUGCGUGUAGCUUCGGAGCAACAGCAACCUUCAUCACGAUCAUGCUUUUCACAUCGUGUAUACUUUUAACCCGAGUCCGAAGGUACCUGUUCAUGUGUCACACUUGGAAGACAUUGUUAAAUCACGUUUUUGAGGACCUUCAGAAGACGAAGGCCCCCAACAGUAGCCCCUCGCAGUAUUAAUUUGUUAAGAUAACAAAUUCAGACUGCGACAUGGACGAAGGCCUUAAGCCGAAGGUCCAAAAAAACACCUUCCCUUUGCUAGAAUAGCAACAGUCAAUGAUAGACGGGGCCUUCCAAUUUGGAGCGCACUGGGCGUAUAAAUAGGAACACACACCGACUGCACUUGAUACACUGCUUGUGCCAUUUGCCUUAUUUUCUCAAUUUUAUAGCUCUUGCUCACUAGCGCUUGAUAGUUUUUCAAGCUCUCUGAGCUUCGGUUUAAAAAUGUGUUUUCACCAUUUCUGAAGAAAAGAUGUCUCAAGAUAAGAAGAUUGCUGCUGAGACGAAGCUGACUGAAGAGGAGAAACUUUUUGAGGAGAAGAAGGCUGUGAAUCCUUAUAUUGCUGGAUUUGUUGAGUCGAUGGAAAAAAUAAAUACGAAGAAGAUUACUAAGGAGAUACUGGAAGGCUUGUCUGAAGAUACUGGUGAUAGUGAUAGCUAUGAUGUGGAAAGUGGGGGCGAAGAUUCUGAGGAUCGGCCCUGGAGGCCAAGUCAUUCAAUUUUCGGAAAAUCGACCAUCAAACAAAGUCAUCUUGAGAACAUGAGAGGAAGGUACUUUCAGGAUAUGUCUAUUGUGAGGGCUGGCGGAGACAACAACGUCCCUGCCCCUGAAGAGAACGAAGUUGUGAUUUACCGAAGCUUCUUCAAGGCUGGACUUUGGUUCCCGUUGAGUAAGUUUGUAGUUGAAGUCCUGAAGAUCUACCAAAUCUUCCUUCAUCAGAUCACCCCCGAAGCCAUAAUAAGGAUGGGUAUUUUUGCAUGGGCAGUAAGAAGUCAAGGGCUAGAGCCAAGCACGAAGUGCUUCUGCUGUAUGCAUGAACUUCUAUAUGAGACAAAGUCCAUGGGUAAAGAACAGUACCAUAACAACUUCGGUUGUUAUGGAUUUAUGGCCUGUCCCAACGCAAGCCACCCAGUGCCGACAUUUCGGAAAACAUGGUCCGGGGCCUGGAUGGAAGAGUGGUUUUAUGUGAAGAAUGAUUUGAAAGCAAGGGAAGACAUUAAGGAAGUCAUCAUGCGCCCCAUUUGGUCCCGCUUCGGCCUCCGAAGGCCGAAGGUCGAAAUUGAUGAUACCGCCGAAGCAUGUGAGAAAGCCUUCAGUACUGUCUGCUCCUUCAUUGGUACAAGGGAUUUAAUUCAAGAACAUAUAGCAUUCAGAGUAUGGCCGCUUGUAGAAAUCUGGGAAAUGCCGAAGGAGACCAUCACUAAGUCUAGCGAAGGUGGUUUAGUUCGGCUGAAGUAUACAUUCAGGUUUGGGGAUAAGUUUGAUAACCAAAUGAUGAAUGGCUAAAGUGUAUCGAAGCUACAAGUGAUGAACUGCUUGGAACAUAUUCCAAGGUAGAAGAUAAUGCACUGUCCGCAGCCUUCGGAGGUCAGGGAAAGAAGAGACUGAACAGAGUUUUUGACGCCAUUGGCUUCGUUUACCCCGACUACCGCUAUCCGCUGCGUGGACAGGGGGAAAAAGGAAAGCUGCUACUUCGGCCACCCUAGAUGAGCAUGUGUCAAAGGGAAAAAAGUUGAAGGUUCUAACUCACCGGCCGCGUUACAUCGAACCGGCUGUGAUACCUGAGUUUGGCAAAGGGGCCUCUUCGGCUGCCAAAACAAAAGAAACUGCUCCUCCUGCGUAGAGGACUGGAGAGCCAUCUAUAAUGUCGAAGUUACCUUCAGCUGAGCUAGUUUAAACGAAGGCUGAUAAUGAUAAGGCUGAAGGGUCAAAAAUUGAAGAAAUAGCAAAAAUGCCAGAGAUUUUGAGCUCUUCAACAGAGGCAACAGUGCCGAAGACACAAAAGAAUUCUGCCACAACUCCUAAGAGGAGAAGGAUGGCAAAUGUGCUAGAUGUUGUGUUAGAAACAGCGAAAACCUUGAGUUCUACUCCAAGAAAGAUUGUCGAAGCUUCGAAAGCACAACCCAAAGCUGAAACAAAGCAGGCAGAAGUUGAGGCUAUAACAAUUCAAGCUGAAACCGAAGCUGGGCCUUCAGAGCCCACCGAGACAGAGCCUGCCGUAACUGAAGAAAAAGCGGCAGAGCAAAUUGCAUCUGAAAAGGUUGAAGUUGCUGCUACCGAAGCUUCAAAAGAGAGCAUUGAUUACAUCAUUCGUCAUGCUUCGGGGAAGAAACUUUCUCAAGAAGAAAAGCUAGAAGCACUACACUAUGCCAAGAAAUUUAAAUACCUGAAGGGGGCAUUAGUGUUUAAUGGCAGUGGGGAAGAAGAUUUUUUGUACUGUCUCACGGAUAAUAAAGAAAUAUCCGUGUGCCGGAAGAUAGGUAGAAGCAUUGGAUUCCCGAAGCUAGAAGAUGGCCUUUCAAUCUUAUCGAAGGAUGAGCUUGCUGACAGCUUAGCGUAUAAUAGCAUAAAGGUAUAAAAGUUACAUUUGAAUAAAAAAUGGGGUAUUUUAUUUGUCAUACUUAUUCUUUCCGUCACUUGCAGGGCCUAACUCUUAGCAAUGCCCUUAGAGCAUAGAAAAACAUUGAAGAUGAAGGAUAUACAAUGGCUCUGAACAAUCUUUAUUCAGAGGUAAUCGGAUUAAGGAACGACGGUCUUGAAAAAGACAAAAUCUUGAUUUCAUUGGUAAACAAAGUGAAAGAAGAUGAAGCUAGUUUCAAGGCUCAAGCCGAAAUCCAAAAGAAUGAAAUCAAAGACCUUCGGAAACAGUCGGUCGAAGCCAAAGAAAAAUGUGGUCUCGCAGAAGCUAACCGAGAUAUCAGUGGAUAUUGGAAAAACCAUUUAGAGAAAACUGUUGAAGAACUUCGCGCAUCCAAAGAAAGAUGCUUUGAAAAAUCCUUGGGCUGCGUGGAGAAAAUAAAGGCUAGCUUCGCCAACGUGGGCGCCUAUUCUAACGAAGAUAACUUCAUACGAGGCGACCCUGAAGGUGUUAUUGAAUGGAUAAGUGGAGAGGCCGAAGCUUUCAAAGAAAUUUUAAGUGAUCGCGGGGAUGUCUGCGCGUUCUUUGGUGCAAGAGGAAUUUCAGCCAUCCUAGAGAAGGCGGGGUGCGACCAUGUCAAGACCCUGGCCCAGGCCGAAGCUGCCUUCUCCGUGGAUGAUACAAAGGAUCCCUCAACUGAAGCAAGUAUAAUGGGCGGAAAAUUUUACAAUGACAUCUGGGUAUGGUGGCCGAGAAAUGGCUCACGAAAUUAUGAAGAAAAGUGAAAAAGAUAUUCAUGACGCCCGAGUGGAAGCGAAACAAGCUGAGGAAGCUGCAGAGCGUGAAAGACGUAUAGGUAUUGUUUCGUGGCCUUUAGCUUUGGCAUUUGUUUUUAUGGCUUUGAACUAUUUAACUUCUUCUAUUGUAGCUGAAUUAUCUCCGCCACUGGAACCAUUUGAUCCCCUGGCCGAUCCAGAAACGAAGGAAGCACUGGAGAUUAUUAAUAUAGCCGAAUCUGUUGUUGACGAAGUAGUUAACAAAUUGCUAAAUGAAGUUGCGGAGAAGGUCCUGAAGGAAGACUAGUACUUAUUGUAAAAACAUUUUUAGACGAUCAAUGUAACUUUGCUGCAACAAGACUGUAAUAUUCGAUGUGAUAGUUUUGAAUCUAAUAUGUAAAUUAUUUGUAAUUCACUUCUUUGCGAUGCAUGAAACUUUUAUAUACAUACCGUUUUUGAGCCUUUGGUGAAAAAACACCUUCCCUUCUUUUCAUGCUUCGUAAAGAAAAAAAUCCAUGCUUCGUGAAAAUAUCCAUACUUCGUAAAACAUCCAUGCUUCGUAAACAAAGGAUCCCUUCUUUUGCAGUAGAGCUGAUGAAACUGUAUUUCUCAGCUUACUUUGUGCCUUAGCACAUUUACAUUUUUAUAAAGCAUUUUCCGAAGAUUGACUUCGUAAUCAAUUCAUGUUAUUGGUGCGAUAUGAUGUAUGAUGUGAUGCUAUGCGGGAUGAUGUGAUGAUAUGAUGCAAGGAAUGAUGCUAAUGCCAAAGACACACACACCCACACGCCCACGCUGAAACACACAAUCUCUGCGUCCCCUUAGGAACGAUUGGAAUCUCUUUGCUGUUUAUUUUUCGGCUUCAUCGCUUAUUUUUCGGUGUAAGUUCUGCAUCCCCUUAGGAACGUCUUUUGAACUUAUUCGCCUUCUAUUUUGGUGGUAUAAGUUCUGCAUCCCCUUAGGAACGUCUUUUGAACUUCUUCGCCUUAUAUUUCGGUGCUAUUUGGCUCUGCAUUCCCUUUGGAACGACUUUUGAGCAGAAAACUUACACUGCGCUCCCUUAGGAACGACUUUUUGUAGCUUCGGCAAAACUUACACUGCGCUCCUUUAGGAACGACUUUUUGUAGUUUCGACGAUUUUUAGCUCUGCAUUCCCUUAGGAACGACUUUUGAGCUUCGGCAGUUUUUAAGCUUCGUAAGUCCGUGAAAAAUAUAUAUUUCAUCUUGAUAGAAGCGAAACUAUUACAAGGAAUUAAAACUAGAUUUACAUUGAUUGUUCCUUAUUGAAAAACAAAAUGACAAAGAACAUAAAAGUAUUUCGGGGGUAGGAUAUCGCUCAAUAAAUGUGCUUUGAUUCUGGCAUAGUACUGUUGAUUGUGCGAGCUUCGGAUUUCUCCCUGAACUCUCGUUGAUGUUGGGUGUGCUGGCGCCCUUCUGGCUGCUGGCUUUGGGAAUAGGUUGGUUGCAGUGGUGGUGGGGGUGGAAGCUGUGGCCAGGAAGCCUAUGAAUGGCUAGCCGAAGCAACAGAAGCUGCAGGAUGAUUGCCCAUAUAUUCUGGUAUGUAGGGAGAGUGGCACGAAGCAGUGUGCAAGACCUGCUUCGACUGAUUCUGUCGAGCUUCGGCUUCUGUGAUCUCCUUCUGCUUCAGAAUGGUGAUUUGACACAUUCUUGUGGUAUGGCCCUUGUCCCCACCACAUAAUAAGCAAUAAAUCUUUCUGGGCUGAUCCCCAUAUCUUCCUCUGAAGCCCCUGGCGCCUCUGCCCCUGGAGCUGGCGGCCUGAAAGAGCUAUGCUGUUGCCCCGAAGAUUGUUAGGUGUAUUAUGGCCUCUAAAGAUGGCUUCCUUUAUCGUCAUUCUAAUUGGAAUUGUGGAUUGACCUGACAUGCUUCGGGUGGAUUCUUCCUCCGAAGCCCCUGGUCAUCUUCGAGAAUCUGUACGCCUCCUCCAUUCUUUGGUGGAAGUCGUUAUCAGCCCGGAUGUUGUAACACCUCAGGUGUUACCAAGGCACUGGCUUCAUAUAGGCACUGAUGAUUUGUUAUCAUGUGGUUAAGUGGAGGAGAAGAAGCACAUAAAACCUUGGAAGCAUGGGUUAGCUAAGAAAGGUUAAUGACAAAAGCAUCACCCACACAUUUUGAACAAUUGUCAUCUUGAGCCAAGGAGGUUAAACCCAAAAGACACCUAAGGGCACUAGACUUCCAAGCAAGGGAUCAGUGGGUAAGUUAAUCAAAUUACCAAACCUUGAUUCUAAUCCUUAACCAAAGUUUAAGUAACAUUAUAACCUACAAAAUGCAGAAGGGAAACAUUAAAAAAAGACCCCUUAAAGACCCCAAAUUCACCCCUUAAGUUGAGAGCACACUAGAGCUCUCUAAUCUUUUCUAAGUCAAAAUUUAACCCUAAUCUAAAGAUAAAAUGUGUUCACUUAGUAAAUGGCGCCAAAAUCACUUGGUCUGAAUACCAAAAAGGUGCCAAACCACCUAAGGCACCCACUGGAAAAGUUUGAAACCGAGCCAACUUCGUUUGACAUGUUUUGGCAUCUCUUUUGUCGUGGGGUGGACAGGGAGACAAGCCAGAUUUGGCGUCCGCAAAUCUCCCUACCUAGGGCAUAGCUGCCAUUGGAACUCACAUACAAGAGACAACCCUAGGUGCUAAGAGGAGGCCUGCGCCGGAUUUUUGCCAAGAUUCGCACGUUUGCGAUCUCGGUGAGCUAUUGAACAUGGGCAGAAGAACACCUCCACGUGUUCGACGCGCCCUAAACUCGCCAGAGCAUGCCCAGUGCCCGACCCCGCGCAGCGCCAAGCCACGCCCGUGUCCCCUGCCCACGCCCGCGCCUAUAAAGUCAGCCGAAGCUUCAGUCGUACGCCCCCGCGCGCUCUCGACCUCACCGGAGCGCGAGAUCGCCGGAGUUUGACCUGCACACGGCGUGCCAGCGGCCGCUCGGUCCCUCGCCACCGUAGACCAGCCAGCAGAGCCGUUCCCAGCCCUGUCCAACACUCAGAAUAGACUCUACGUGCCUCGGUGAAGCUCCUAGAGCGAGGAAUCAAGCUCUGCCUCGCCGGAGAAACCCGAUCAAGGUCACCGGACUUCACUCGACCGCCGGCGAAUGUGGACCGAGCUCCACGGUGAGUUAUUCUUCGAUUCCUUACAUGGGUCGACUCAUUAGCACCCCGUGAAGCUCCCCGUGCCCUUGGAUUGACCUGUAUCACCGUGGAUAGGCCGGAGCACUCGCCGCCGACGAGCUCGCCCACCUGCGCACGUGGACCGGCCGAUUCUGGCCAUCACCGUCGUCGAGCCGUACCUCGUUGUGACCGCAAGGACUUCCCGAAGCCAACUCCGUCCUUCGCCGGACCUCCCUCGCCGCUGGUAAGCCGCGUCGCCCUUUUUCCUUUCGCGGGUUCUAUUCAAAAGGGGGGAGGGACCUCGGGGAAGAAGGAAUAGAAGUCAGCGGGGUUUUUGAACUGUCAGAGACUCAGAUGAAUAGUUGCACAGGGGUAUAAGUUAAAGAACUGGUUUAGGAAAAACCCAGGGUCCUCGGUGUAAACUGGUUUUCCAGAAAACCUAUUUAAUAUUUCUAAUUUAAAUGCAAACAGAGCUUGUGAAAUUCAUAACUUCAGUUUUGUUCAACCAAAUUUGGUCAAACCAAUUUUGACAGAGUCUAAAUAAUGUGAACUACCUAGGAAAAAUACAAAACCCCCUUGGUAUUGCAGAAAAAUUUAAAGUUUGGAAUUAAAGAUUGAAUUGGCCAAAAGCUAAAUAAUAGAGGGAAAAAUAGUUACACUAUUAGACGGAGGUUAAGAAAAAUCAGGGAAGCACUUAAUUACUCCCUAAUCUGUUUAAAAAUAAUAAACCCCUCAGUGCACCAAAUUAAGGUAGGUUUUACUAUUUAAAAUAAGAACUAGGGAGCAACCACAUUUUUGUUAGCUCACUUAUUUAAUAUAGUUCACUGGAAAAUUUUAUUAGACCUUUAUUUAGUACAAAAGAAAUGAGAUACAUUUUAUUUUAUGAAAACAAGGAAAACUUAGAAAAAUUCUAGAAAAAUAAACUUGAGGAGAAAACACCCCAAAUCUUGGGAUAACUAAUAAUAUGUUGCUAUAAAUAUAGGAAAAAUAUGAGUUUUGUUGUUUGAUAUUUUUCAAAUAACAAGUUAGUUAUAAGUACCUUUUUGGCAUUGAACUUUAGAAAAUCACAACUAAAUAUGCAGUAGGUCUUUUUCUGUGAUUUUUAACACAGAGGCCUAAUAUCAUCUAUGAAUCUGGACAAAAAUAACAUUUGGUACAGAGACCUCACUUAAAGCAUAGUUAUAGUGUAAAAUGCCCUUUUACACUUGUCUUUGUUAAUUGUGCACAAGUAGUAUCUGAAUUAAUUUCCACCUCAAAUUUUAGGAGAACCCACAAAUGUUAAUAGUUACCCACUGUAAUUUUUAUAACAUUUUUGGAAAAUGUUAACUAACCCUGAUGGAUCAAAAAGGCUUAAUAGGAAGCAAUAGAAAGAAGAGGUAAACCUUGGGAAAAAUAGAUGCAAAUACAAAACCCUUCAGUAUAUCCAAAAAAGAAACCCUAGAGAAACACUAAAGUUAAUAUUGUUUUACUAUGCAUAACCCUUACAAAUGUUCAUGUCAUACUUAUGCAUAUAUCUCAUGCAUUGCAUUCGAUAGAUUGUAAUCUCACUGACGGGGAGUACAUCCUCGUGCCAGAGCAAGGAGUUGCUCAGGAGGUAGCCCAGGAUCCAGCACCAGAGCCUGCCCUCGAGGAUCUGCCUGCCCUAGCUUUGGAAGGCAAGCCCCGGUUUUAUGCAUAACCGUUAUAUAUAUGCUAUUUUACUGCACUUAAUGUUUGUAGGUUUGUACUGUGCACUUAAGUGUAGGAGUUGACUGAAACCAUAGUUGCAUUAACUCAGGGUUUCCUUUUGAGAUGGAUACUAGCAUGCUGGUCGAGUAGCUGCUUUACUAAUUAGGGAUCUCGGUAGAAGUCGAGUGAUUUUUCUAGCACUCGCGCGAGGUCAGGAAUUGGUUGUAUCCAUUUUUAUAUCAUAAUGAUGUUGGUCUGUGGACAACAAUCCAUGGGGAUUGGUUGUCUAUGAGACGGAAAAAUUGGAAUAAGGAUUAAGGUGUGGUACCGUGUGUCAAGCGUUUGAACGUACUAAACAUAUGCCGAGAAAUAUGGUAAAUCGGUAAGCCUAGUACCUGAGUGAACCUGCCUGCAGAUUGCCCUCCUCACGCGACCUGAGACGUGGUCUCCCAUUCUGGCUAUGGUGGGUACAAGUGCGGUCACUGCACGACUGCAGUCGGGGUCAGUGAGGCAUUGUACGCCAAGGCGGUGAGCCCCUUUCUGUUGCCAGGGAAUCGAUGGGGACGGUUGAUGUGUGUGGGGACGGAGUGCCUCGCCACGUUGUGUGUUUAGGUUUACCGCAAGGUUUAAAAACUCGAUUCGAAUCGUUUGUUUCUCGCAGCUAAUGAGACUGCUUGAUCCAUGCUGCUACGUUGAGUAACAAGUGGAAAUGAGUUGAUGUGCAAAAGUUGUUGAUUGCUAAAUGUUUUAUACCAUGUAUGAUUAGAUAGGUACACAUUUAGUCUUAAGAGAGUCACACUAAACUUGAAAAAGCUAAAACUUGAUUCUUAGACUCAGCUAGUGCUUUUAGCAAGCAAACCCCUCAGCCAGACAGCUGCAUGUCUAGAGGUAGAGGAGUAGACUCCUCACACCGGGUAAGUCUAGCUGAGUAUUAGUAUACUCAGCCUUGCUUGUGGUAUAAUUUUACAGGUUCUCUGGAGGACAUGGUUGCUGGAGUGACUUGGCCGUCCAUCUUGCCACCGGGUUGGACAGUCGAGUGGGACCCUUCCUCGGCUGAGGAGGAGCAUGAGGAGUGAUGGGACAGGCUUCCCCAUCCCUUCAUUUAUUUAUCGUUAGUUUUAUUCCGCUGCAUUCUGAACACUGAACACUACUUUUGCAAAACUCCGAUGAUGUUGUAAUAAAUUUAAUACUCCUUAAUGUCGGUUUUAGGUUUUAUUGUAUUUGCUCUGUGCCUCACCAUCGAGUGAGUACGUGGUACUUGAUCCUGUUAGUGGCCUCGUCAGACUAGAUCCGAGGGACUGACGUGUUAUUCCUAUUUAAGUGUGGUCUAGCCUCCGAGGUGGGACUUAUGCACUUAAGUUGGAAUAAUUCGGGCGGUUCCACCACAGCUGGUAUCGGAGCUCGUACCACCAUAGAGGAAUCAAUAAACUGUAAAUACCAUCCUUUUCAAAAGUAAAACUUGUUAGAAACAAAUGUUGGAUAGAUCGUCAGGAUGAUAAGGGUAGAACUAGGACGUGAAGCCUUAGAAUAAUAGAGGGGUAGCUAGGUGGCUAUUUGAGUUAGCCCUACAGGCUACUAUAAGGGAUGGGAGUUUUUCCGUAUUCCCUCUAAGUUGAAAUAAGGUCGUUUAGGUCGAGCAUGCAUGCAUCCUUUACUUAAACUACUUGAUAAUUAGGUAAAAACCUUAAUACGUGAUAAUGACAGAUUAAGUACAUUCAGUGACCUUAUCGUAAUCUUCGAGAGGCCAAGCUUUGAUUCCCUUUUUAUUUUAUAAUUAUUUUUCUUUUUCACUUACGCUUAAUCGUACACAAAUGACUUCUCACGGAUCCUCGGAAGGAGGGAACACACAUUCCCACACGGACGGACUUGCACGCGAGGGUUUUCCCCGUAUCUUGUGGGAGGUACUUCAGGGAGCAGGUUACACGACGCCUCCCCAGUACACGGUGCAGCUGUUCGAGAAGCAUCGGGUGCCCCGCUGUAGGGUGAGGAUGACCCUGGAGCCUCAUCCCCUACAGCUAGGCUGGCGUUCGUUAGACUCCGAGUCUUUUGGAUACCAGACUGAGGAUACUAUCGAGGCGAAUGCUCUCCACGGGCUGACCACCUUCUGUGGUUUUCACCCCUUGGAGCUGUCUACGCAUCCCAUUGGCUUGUUCCCCACUGAAAAGGAGGAUGACCCAAUGUGGAAAGACCGAGUGGAGCAUGCCAAGGAUAUAUGGGCUCUUUACCUAGGGCAGACUGCUCACUUGACGGUGCGAUGCAUGGAUGCUCUGUAUCAUCUCCAAGUGAUGCGAGGAGAGGCAAUGUCUCAUCUAAUGGCAUUGUUGGAGGCUACCAAAAUCACCUUGGAUAACAUAGAGGAACUUGUGGUAGACCUGUACACUGAGAUGGUGGAAAAGGACCUACAGGUGGAACAGAUGUCCAACGAGAUCCAAGAGCUUGAGGAGCUAGUGGGAACCAGGGAGAACACCAUUGAGGUUCUCGAGGAUCAGCUCAUCAACACUCAGCAACAACUUGCGGAAGCUAACCAACAUUUGGAUAUGCACCACUAGGAGAUCCAGGACAUGGAGGCCAACGAGGAUGUCGACAUCGAGGGAGGAGAGGAGCCGGAGCCUGCAUCCAGCUUGGACACUGCUGGCUCAGGGAGACCACCUUCCCCCGAGUCGAGCGUUGCCUCGUUUGCUCACUAGGUCGCAGGGAUAGAGUCAAAAGUGUGUGGCAGUAGAAAUCCUCGAAGCUAGCUUAGCUUUUGCACCCUUGGGGUACUAGGCUAGACAGAGUUGAGUCUUUUGGGUCACUGAUGUAAUCAUAACAAACUCUUUUGGGAAGUAUGGAUGAUGAAUGAUGUCCGCUUUAAUUUAUGAAGAAAAGUUUUAUGCCACGUGGUGUCUUUUAUUAAUUAUGCAAGAAAAUAUUGUUUUAGCCUUUCAAAUCUUUCGCCACGUAUGAACCCUAACAUCAGAAGUAUGAUAUUGAGAGCAUCCUUAAUUUUUCAGAUGGCAGGAAGAGCGCAUCGUGGACAGAAUGAACGCAUUCCUCCACCACCGCCACCGCCUCCUACCAUGCAAGAACUGGUGGCUCAGCAGAAUGAGAUUCUGCGACAGUUGGCUCAGCGUUAGCCACCACCUCAGCAUUAUGGUGGUGGUGAUCACCAUCACCGUCCCCCAGCAGCGACCACUUAUCAGGAGUUCCUCAGCACGUAGCCGCCGUUGUUCAUUCGGGCAGAGGAUCCGCUUGAUGCUGAUGUAUGGCUUAGGGUAGUGGAAUCCAAAUUUUCACUACUAAAUGGAGUUUGUUCAGAUGUGGCUAAGGUCAGGUUCACCACCCAGCAGCUUCGCGGACCCGCGCGGACAUGGUGGGACCACUUCCUUGCUAUGCAGCCAGUUGACCAUGUGGUGGAAUGGAGAGAGUUCAAGGCAGCUUUCAGGGGGCAUCAUAUACCAGAAGGCAUUAUGGAUCGCAAGCUCAAUGAGUUUUUGGCACUUACUCAGGGUAAUCGCACUGUGUUGCAGUACGCUCAGGCCUUCAAUGACCUGUGCCAGUAUGCCGGAUAUCAUGCAGACUCUGAUGAGAAGAAGAGGGAUAGGUUCAGGAGGGGGCUCAUCACUAAGCUCCGCGACCGUCUCAACACCGUCAGGGCCAACAGUUACAAUGAGUUAGUUAACAUGGCCAUUUCUCAAGAGGACUGCAUCAUAGCCUGUCAGGUAGAAAAGAAGAGGAAGACCCCUGUGGCAGGAUCAUCAGCUCAGCCACAACGCUUCAGGAUUGUAUCUGACACUCAGAACAGGGGACCUCAGCAGCAGCAGGGACGUUGGGUGAUUCGACCACAGUAGCAGCAGCAGGCACCCAACCACUCUCAGCUCCUAGUUCAGAGGAACAACAAUCAGCCACAGCAGCAGCACUACCGUCAGGCCAAUGACAACAGGUGUUUAACUUGUGGUAACACGGGACACUAUGCCAAGAAUUGCCCCAGGAAUCAGCAAAGGCAGGGAUAGGGUUCCAAUCAGAACCAAGGCAAGAGGCAGAAGGUGCAAGUGAGGCAAGGCAGGCUGAACUUCACCACCAUGGCUGACAUUCCAGAGGGAGCACCCAUCAUGACUGGUAUCUUUUCUGUUUUGAAUAAUCCUGCAAUCAUUCUUUUUGAUUCUGGUGCAUCACACAGUUUUAUCAGUACAAAAUUUAGUGCCAAAUGCCAGUUACCUUUCCAUCACACCAGUGGGGGUAUUACAAUUUCAACACCAGGAGGCAGGGUUGCCACCUAUCAAAUCAACAGGCAGGUGCCUAUAAAAUUUGGUAGUCUUGUGAUUAGAACCACCCUCCUCAUCUUGGGUUUGGAUAGUGUGGACAUCAUUUUGGGAACUGACUGGUUAUCCAGGCAUCAGGCAGUACUUGAUAUUGCAGCAAGGGCCAUUGAGAUUCACUCCCCUACUUGUGGCAAAACCACAUUAUAUUUGCCUAACUAGGGUUGUACCCGAUCCUGUGCUUUCACUAUGAUGGAGUCUCCUAUUGAGAAAAUCCCAGUGGUCUGUGACUACCCAGAUGUUUUUCUGGAUGAAUUACCAGGAAUGCCACCCGACAGGGACAUAGAGUUCGCAAUUGUGUUGCAACCCGGAACUGCCCCUAUAUCCAAGAGACCCUAUAGGAUGCCUCCAGCAGAGUUGGCGGAAUUGAAAAAGCAGUUGCAAGAAUUGUUGGACAAGGGGUUCAUUCGCCCAAGUACUUCACCAUGGGGAUGUCCCGCCUUAUUCGUGAAGAAGAAAGAUGAGAGUUUGAGAUUGUGUGUUGAUUACCGCCCUCUCAAUGCAAUGACCAUCAAGAACAAGUAUCCAUUGCCUUGCAUUGAUGUAUUGUUUGAUCAGUUGGUGGGAGCCAAAGUAUUCUCCAAGAUAGACCUUCGCUCUGGCUACCAUCAGAUCAAGAUACGGGCCAAUGAUAUUCCGAAGACGACCUUCUCUACCAGAUAUGGGCUUUACGAGUACUUGGUGAUGUCUUUCGAGCUGACCAAUGCCCUGGCUUAUUUCAUGUAUUUGAUGAAUUUAGUCUUUAUGCCAGAGCUGGACAAGUUUGUGGUGGUCUUCGUUGAUGACAUUCUGGUUUAUUCCAAGAAUGAAGCCGAGCACACUAAAGAUUUGCAUAUCGUACUUCAGAGACUGCACGACCAUCAGUUAUAUGCUAAAUUGUCCAAAUGUGAUUUCUAGCUGAGGGAGAUUAAAUUUUUGGGUCACACCAUUUCUCAGGAUGGGGUAUCAGUUGAUCCUGAAAAAGUACAAGAAGUGAUGAAUUGGAAACCUCCUACCACAGUAUGGCAGAUCCGUAGUUUUCUGGGAUUGGAAGGGUAUUAUCGACGAUUUAUUCCGGAUUUCUCCGGGAUUGCCAAACCAAUGACUGAACUGCUGAAGAAAGGAGUCAAGUAUGAAUGGAGCCAGAAAUGUGAGGAUGUCUUUCAUACACUUAGGCAACAUUUGACCACAACACCCGUGCUAGCUCAACCUGACAACACCAAACCCUUUGAGGUUUAUUGCGAUGCUUCCGGUAUUGGAUUGGGAUGUGUCUUGAUGCAAGACAACAGAGUCAUUGCUUAUGCCUCCCGAGCACUCAGACCCCAUGAGCAGAGCUACCCCACACAUGAUCUGGAGUUAGCAGCCGUAGUUCAUGCCCUCAAGAUUUGGAGACAUUACUUGAUGGGAGCUCAUUGUAAUAUCUACACUGAUCAUAAGAGUCUCAAAUAUAUCUUCACUCAGGUUGAUCUUAAUAUGAGGCAGAGAAGAUGGUUAGAAUUAAUCAAGCACUAUGAUUUGGAGGUGCAUUACCAUCCUGGCAAAGCCAAUGUUGUGGCAGAUGCCUUAAGUCGGAAGGCCCAGUGCAACUAUGUGAGUAUGGAUGCAAAAAUCACCACCCUAUGUGAUGAGUUGUGCAAGCUGAACAUAGAAGUUGUUUCCUCCAGUGCUUUAAGUUAUAUUUCAGUGGAGCCCACCCUGCAUGAGCAAAUAGUCAUGGCACAGAUUGGUGACAAGGGUGUUCAAGUCAUUAAAGAAAUGAUCAAACAAAAGGUGGACAAAUACAAAUGCUUCCAUCAGGACAUCAAAGGACGUCUAUGGGUUGGAGACCGAUUGGUUGUUCCCAAGAACCCCGAGCUUAGAAAGAGAAUAUUGGAUGAGGCUCACCUUUCUAAAUUCUCCAUGCAUCCCGGCAGUAACAAGAUGUAUCAUGAUCUCAGAUCCUUGUACUGGUGGACCAGAAUGAAGAGGGAAAUUGCUAAGUAUAUAUCUGAAUGCGACACUAGCCAGAGAGUUAAGGCCAGUCAUUUGAAGGUAGCAGGCACCUUACAGCCCCUUCCCAUACCAUCUUGGAAAUGGGAGGAUAUUUGCAUGGAUUUCAUUGUGGGAUUGCCCAAUACCUCCCGACACCACGAUUCUAUUUGGGUCAUUGUGGAUAGGUUGACCAAAACAGCGCAUUUCUUGCCAGUACAUACCACCCACAGGGCAGAAAAGUAUGUAGAAAUUUAUAUUGACCAGAUAGUUCGUUUGCAUGGAAUACCAAGGACUAUUGUGUCUGACAGAGGAGCACCAUUCGUGGCACGUUUCUGGGAGCAAUUGCAAGAAUCACUUGGGACCCAUGUAAUAAGAAGCUCAGCAUACCAUCCUCAAACAGAUGGUCAGACAGAAAGGGUGAAUUAGAUUUUGGAAGACAUGUUGAGGGCAUGUGUGUUACACUAUGGGAAGGAAUGGGACAAGUGUCGUUCCUUGGCAGAAUUUUCUUAUAAUAACAGCUACCAGUCCAGCGUAAAGAUGGCACCUUUUGAGGCCUUGUAUGGGAGAAGGUGUAGGACACCGCUAAAUUGGUCGCAAGCUGGAGAGGAGGGAAACUUUUGGACCUGACCUGGUUCCUGAAGCUGAGGAGAAAGUCAGAGUCAUUAAGAAGAACUUAGUAGUUGCUCAGGCCAGACAAAAGAGCUAUCAUGACAAGAGGAGGAAGCCUCUAUAGUUUGAAGUGGGAGAUCAUGUUUAUCUUAAGGUGUCACCCACCAAGGGGGUUCAGAGAUUUGGAAUCAAGGGCAAGUUAACUCCUCGCUACAUUGGGCCCUAUGAGAUCAUAGAAACUUGUGGGCCUGUAGCAUAUCAAUUGAAGUUGCCACCCCAUAUGUCAGCAGUUCAUGAUGUGUUCCACGUAUCUCAGCUACGAAAGUGUGUCCGCUUACCCACAGAAGUGCUACCUAAACCAGAAUUGGAGAUAGAACCAGACUUGUCCUAUCAAGAGCACCCCGUCAAGGUAUUGGAUCAAAAGGAGAUAUCAACGCGGCAAGGUCGAUCAGGAUGUAUAAGGUUCAGUGGAAUCACCAUUCAGUAGAAGAGGCUACAUGGGAGACUUAGGAUUUUCUACGUUCUCAAUUCCCCGACUUUCUGCCCAAAGGAGUCGGUACGUAAUCCAAAAACCCCAUGCCCCCACCUGCCCUUUGAAUCUAAAUAUAAUAAAAACUUAGAUGUUAAAGGUAUAGUAAGCUUUGAAAAUAACUUUAAAAGGACGUCCUUCUGAAGUUGCAAAGAGAAUGACAUUCGAAGAGCAGUUAACUAGAGAAACUUGGCUAAAGGAAAAAGGCAACACACCAGCACACCUUCGUGGUACCCCUAAAGGAUCCCUACCCAAAAUCUCGGGCGAGAUUCCUUUAAGGGGGGAGGGCUGUAACACCUUAGGUGUUACCAAGGCACUGGCUUCAUAUAGGCACUGAUAAUUUGUUAUCAUGUGGUUAAGUGGAGGAGAAGAAGCACCUAAAACCUUGGAAGCAUGGGUUAGCUAAGAAAGGUUAAUGACAAAAGCUUCACCCACACAUUUUGAACAAUUGUCAUCUUGAGCCAAGGAGGUUAAACCCAAAAGACACCUAAGGGCACUAGACUUCCAAGCAAGGGAUCAGUGGGUAAGUUAAUCAAAUUACCAAACCUUGAUUCUAAUCCUUAACCAAAGUUUAAGUAACAUUAUAACCUACAAAAUGCAGAAGGGAAACAUUACAAAAAGACCCCUUAAAGACCCCCAAUUCACCCCUUAAGUUGAGAGCACACUAGAGCUCUCUAAUCUUUUCUAAGUCAAAAUUUAACCCUAAUCUAAAGAUCAAAUGUGUUCACUUAGUAAAUGGCGCCAAAAUCACUUGGUCUGAAUACCAAAAAGGUGCCAAACCACCUAAGGCACCCACUGGAAAAGUUUGAAACCGAGCCAACUUUGUUUGACAUGUUUUGGCAUCUCUUUUGUCGCGGAGUGGACAUGGAGACAAGACAGAUUUGGCGUCCGCAAAUCUCCCUACCUAGGGCAUAGCUGCCAUUGGAACUCACAUACAAGAGACAGCCCUAGGUGCUAGGAGGAGGCUUUUGCCGGAUUUUUGCCAAGAUUCGCACGUUUGCGAUCUCGGCGAGUUGUUGAACAUGGGCAGAAGAACACCUCCACGUGUUCGACGCGCCCUGAACGUGCCAGAGCACGCCCAGUGCCCGACCCCGCGCGCCCCGCGCCAAGCCUCGCCCGUGUUCCCUGCCCGCGCCUAUAAAGCCAGCCGAAGCUUCAGUCGUACGCCCCCGCGCGCUCUCGACCUCACCGGAGCACGAGAUCGCCGGAGUUUGCCCUGCACACGGCGUGCCAGCGGCCGCCCGAUCCCCCGCCACCGUAGACCAGCCAGCAGAGCCGUUCCCAGCCCCGUCCAACCCUCGGAAUAGACUCUACAUGCCUCGGUGAAGCUCCUAGAGCGAGGAAUCGAGCUCUGCCUCGCCGGAGAAACCCGAUCAAGGUCACCGGACUUCACCCGACCGCCGGCGAAUGUGGACCGAGCUCCAUGGUGAGUUAUUCUUCGAUUCCUUACACGGGUCGAUUCAUUAGCACCCCAUGAAGCUCCUCGUGCCCUUGGAUUGAUCUGUAUCGCCGUGGAUAGGCCGAAGCACUCGCCGCCGACGAGCUCGCCCGCCUGCACACGUGGAUCGGCCGAUUCCGACCAUCAUCGUCGUCGAGUCGUACCUCGUUGUGACCGCAAGGACUUCCCGAAGCCAACCCCGUCCUUUGUCGGACCUCCCUCGCCACCGGUAAGCCGCGCCGCCCUUUUUCCUUUCGCGGGUACUGUUCAAAAGGGGGGAGGGACCUCGGGGAAGAAGGAAUAGAAGUCAGGGGGGUUUUUUAACUGUCACAAACUCAGAUGAAUAGUUGCACAGGGGUAUAAGUUAAAGAACUGCUUUAGGAAAAACCCAGGGUCCUCGGUGUAAACUGGUUUUCCAGAAAACCUUUUUAAUAUUUCUAAUUUAAAUGUAAACAGAGCUUGUGAAAUUCAUAACUUCAGUUUUGUUCAACCAAAUUUGGUCAAACCAAUUUUGCUAGAGUCUAAAUAAUGUGAACUACCUAGGAAAAAUACAAAACCCCCUUGGUAUUGCAGAAAAAUUUAAAGUUUGGAAUUAAAGAUUGAAUUGGCCAAAAGCUAAAUAAUAGGGGGAAAUAGUUACACUAUUAGACUGAGGUUAAGAAAAAUCAGGGAAGCACUUAAUCACUCCCUAAUCUGUUUAAAAAUAAUAAACCCCUCGGUGCACCAAAUUAAGGUAGGUUUUACUAUUUAAAAUCAUUUUAGCUCAAAAUUAAAGAAAAUAGAAAAGGUAGUUUAAAAUAAGAACCAGAGAGCAACCACAUUUUUGUUAGCUCACUUAUUUAAUAUAGUUCACUGGAAAAUUUUAUUAGACCUUUAUUUAGUACAAAAGAAAUGAGAUACCUUUUAUUUUAUGAAAACAAGGAAAACUUAGAAAAAUGCUAGAAAAAUAAACCUGAGGAGAAAACACCCCAAAUCUUGGGAUAACUAAUAAUAUGUUGCUAUAAAUAUAGGAAAAAUAUGAGUUUUGUUGUUUGAUAUUUUUCAAAUAACAAGUUAGUUAUAAGUACCUUUUUGGCAUUGAACUUUAGAAAAUCACAACUAAAUAUGCAGUAGGUCUUUUUCUAUGAUUUUUAACACAGAGGCCUAAUAUCACCUAUGAAUCUGGACAAAAAUAACAUUUGGUACAGAGACUUCACUUAAAGCAUAGCUGUAGUGUAAAAUGCCCUUUUACACUUGUCUUUGUUAAUUGUGCACAAGUAGUAUCUGAAUUAAUUUCCACCUCAAAUUUUUGGGAGAACCCACAAAUGUCAAUAGUUACCCACUGUAAUUUUUAUAACAUUUUUGGAAAAUGUUAACUAACCCUGAUGGAUCAAAAAGGCUUAAUAGGAAGCAAUAGAAAGAAGAGGGAAACCUUGGGAAAAAUAGAUGCAAAUACAAAACCCUUAAGUAUAUUCAAAAAAGAAACCCUAGAGAAACACUAAAGUUAAUACUGUUUUACUAUGCAUAACCCUUACAAAUGUUCAUGUCAUACUUAUGCAUAUAUCUCAUGCAUUGCAUUCGAUAGAUUGUAAUCUCGCUGACGGGGAGUACAUCCUCGUGCCGGAGCAAUGAGUUGCUCAGGAGGUAGCCCAGGAUCCAGCACCAGAGCCUGCACUCGAGGAUCUGCCUGCCCCAGCUUUGGAAGGCAAGCCCCGGUUUUAUGCAUAACCGUUAUAUAUAUGCUAUUUUACUACACUUAAUGUUUGUAGGUUUGUACUAUACACUUAAGUGUAGGAGUUGACUGAAACCAUAGUUGCAGUAACUCAGGAUUUCCUUUUGAGAUGGAUACUAGCAUGCUAGGUCGAGUAGCUGCUUUACUAAUUAGGGAUCUCGGUAGAAGUCGAGUGAUUUUUCUAGCACUCGCGCGAGGUCAGGAAUUGGUUGUAUCCAUUUUUAUAUCAUAAUGAUGUUGGUCUAUGGACAACAAUCCAUGGGGAUUGGUUGUCUAUGAGAUGGAAAAAUUGGAAUAAGGAUUAAGGUGUGGUACCGUGUGUCAAGCGUUUGAACGUACUAAACAUAUGCCGAGAAAUAUGGUAAAUCGGUAAGCCUAGUACCUGAGUGAACCUGCCCGUAGAUUGCCCUCCUCACGCGACCUGAGACGUGGUCUCCCAUUCCGGUUAUGGUGGGUACAAGUGCGGUCACUGCACGACGGAAGUCGGGGUCAGUGAGGCAUUGUACACCAAGGUGGUGAGCCCCUUUCUGUUGCCAAGGAAUCGAUGGGGACGGUUGAUGUGUGUGGGGACGGAGUGCCUCGCCACGUCGUGUGUUUAGGUUUACCUUGCAAGGUUUAAAGACUCGAUUCGAAUCGUCUGCUUCUCGCAGCUAAUGAGACUGCUUGAUCCAUGCUGCUACAUUGAGUAACAAGUGGAAAUGAGUUGAUGUGCAAAAGUUGUUGAUUGCUAAAUGUUUUAUACCAUGUAUGAUUAGAUAGGUACACAUUUAGUCUUAAGAGAGUCGCACUAGAACUUGAAAAAGCUAAAACUUGAUUCUUAAACUCAGUUAGUGCUUUUGGCAAGCAAACCCCUCAGCCAGACGGCUGCAUGUCUAGAGGUAGAGGAGUAGACUCCUCACACCGGGUAAGUCUAGCUGAGUAUUAGUAUACUCAGCCUUGCUUGUGGCAUAAUUUUACAGGUUCUCUGGAGGACAUGGUUGCUGGAGUGACUUGGCCGUCCAUCUUGCCACCGGGUUGGACAGUCGAGUGGGACCCUGCCUCGGCUGAGGAGGAGCAUGAGGAGUGAUGGGACAGGCUUCCCCUUCCUUUCAUUUAUUUAUCGUUAGUUUUAUUCCGCUGCAUUCUGAACACUACUUUUGCAAAACUCUGAUGAUGUUGUAAUAAAUUUAAUACUCCUUAAUGUCGGUUUUAUGUUUUAUUGUAUUUGCUCUGUGCCUCACCAUCGAGUGAGUACGUGGUAUUUGAUCCUGUUAGUGGCCUCGUCAGACUAGAUCCGAGGGACUGACGUGUUAUUCCUAUUUAAGUGUGGUCUAGCCUCCAAGGUGGGACUUAUGCACUUAAGUUGGAAUAAUUCGGGCGGUUCCGCCACAAAUGUAUUCAUCUAUCUUCUGAAGCAGCUUCUCCAUAGUUUGUGGGGGCUUCCUAGCGAAGUACUGAGUCAUGGGUCCUGGCAGAAGACCCUUAAUCAUGGCCUCAAUGACAAUUUCAUUGGGCACUAUGGGCGCUUGUGCCCUUAGUCGCAAGAACCUUCGGACAUACGCCUGGAGGUACUCCUCAUGGUCUUGCGUGCAUUGGAACAAGGCUUGAGUUGUGACUGGCUUUGUUUGAAAGCCUUGGAAACUGGUCACCAGCAUGUCCUUGAGCUUCUUCCACGACAUAAUUGUCCCUGGCCGAAGGGAAGAAUACCAUGUCUGGGCCACGUUUCGGACUGCCAUGACGAAGGACUUAGCCAUGACAGCUGCAUUGCCUCCGUAUGAGGAUAUUGUUGCCUCAUAGCUCAUCAGAAAUUGUUUUGGGUCUGAGUGCCCAUCAUACAUGGGUAGCUGGGGUGGCUUGUAGGAUUGCGGCCAUGGGAUAGCCUGCAAUUCUGCUGCCAAGGGAGAAGCAUCAUCAAAAGUAAAGGUAUCAUGAGUGAAAUCAUCAUACCAUCCAUCCUCGUUUAAUAAGCCUUCUGACGAAGCUCCCCGUGUUGGGGCCUUCGAACUUGUUCAUCUUGAGCAAGAUGACGUACUUCUUCAGUAGCUUCGUCGAUCUUUCGCUGAAGAUCGACCAGCCGAGCCAUCUUCUCCUUUUUCCUUUGCACUUGUUGAUGGAUGAUUUCCAUGUCCCUGAUCUCUUGGUCCAACAACUCCUCCUGGAAUGUUGGACUGGUGGCCUUUCUCUUCUGGCUUCGAGCCUCUCGAAGAGAGAGAGUAUCCUGAUUUGUGUCCAGUGGCUACAAUGCAGCAGCCCCUGGCACUGUUAUCUUCUUCGGUGGCAUGACGAAGGUCAGUGCUUGCCGAAGGUGGUCGAAUGAGUUCACCGGAGGUGGGCGCCAAUGUUGGGGACUUGUUCUCAAAUGCUAUGAAUUAAGAACAAGGCAACACAAAAUGUUAAAGGUUAAAGCCCUUCGUCCUUUGAAGCAUUAUUUCCCUUAGGAUAUAAUGAUCUUCAGACGAAGGUCAUGAAGGACAUACCUUCGUCAUUGCGGUAUAUGUUAAUAAAAGAAGAAGCAUAUGAAAUAUAAGAGACAACAUAAACAAUCAUAUAACAUUAUUAAUUCAUUCUCAUUAUAUUAUCAUGGAAAGACAGAAACAAUAUUGAAUUACAAAUGUACCUUCGGCUUGAUAGAAGGUAAAAGUACAAGCGUGACGCACAAGCGAAUACGAGUCAGCGUGAAAGUACGGGGGUACUGUUCAUCUAUUUAUAGGCACAGGCGCAGCCUGUGUGAAAUUACAUUCAUGCCCUUCAUAUUUACUAUUUACUUAUAAACAACCCAAUGGGGACUAGAUAGCCUUUUCCCUUUUAAGUCGGUUCCUUUUUCCGCCAUUGAGCCGAAGCUCCCUUGCGCGUAGCUUCGGAGCAACAGCAACCUUCGUCACGAUCAUGCUUUUCACAUCGUGUAUGCUUUUAACCCGAGUCCGAAGGUACCUGUUCAUAUGUCACACAUGGAAGACAUUGUUAAAUCACGUUUUUGAGGACCUUCGGAAGACGAAGGCCCCCAACAAACGGUCCACUACCCAUCUACGAGCCGCAGCCCGUUGCUCUCAAAUCAACAAGUAGCAAGGAGGCGCUACCAAGCAAUGUAGCUCAAGUGGAGGCUGCCGGACUCAAUGAAGAUGAGAUGGCGCUUAUCAUCAAGCGUUUCAAGACCGCGCUUAAAGGACGCAAGGAGUACCCCAACAAGAACAAAACAAGGGGAAAGCGCUCCUGCUUUAAAUGCGGUAAGACUGGUCACUUUAUUGCAAAUUGUCCCGAUAAUGAUUGUGACCAGGGACAAGAAAAGAGCGGGAAGAAGGUGAAAAAGAAGAACUACAGGAAGGCAAAGGGCGAGGCGCACCUUGGAAAGGAAUGGUACUUGGACUGCUCCUCUUCCGACUCUAACGACGAAGGACUUGCUGCCUCAGUCUUCAACAAAUCCUCACUCUUCCCCAACGAACGCCAUACAUGUCUUAUGGCCAAGGAGAAAAAGGUAUGUGUUCGGGACACACCCAAGUACACUUCAUCUAGUGAAGAAGAAUCCUCCGAUGAUGAAGUGGAUUACUCUAGCUUAUUUAAAGGUUUAGAUAGAGCCAAUGUAGAGAAAAUUAAUGAAUUAAUUGAUGCACUAAAUGAAAAAGAUAGAUUGCUAGAGAAUCUAGAAGAUAUUUUGUAUGAAGAGCACGACAAAUUUAUUAGUGUUCAAAAAUCUCUUGCUCUAGAAAUUAAGAGAAACGAAAUGAUAUCCUCUGAGUUGUCUGCUUGCCAUGAAUCUGUUUCUAAUUUAAGGAGUUUAAAUGAUGAUUUAAAUGCUAAGCUAGAGGAAGUUAAUAAAUCUAGUCCAUAUGUAGAGCAUGUUGUUAUUUAAUAGAUGUAAGGAUUUUGAUGUUGAUGCCUGUAAUGAACAUAUUGUUUCUAUUACAAGAUUAAGUAAUGAGGUGGCAAGUCUUAAUGCUCAACUUAAGACUUGCAAGGAUGAUUUUAAUAAAUUGAAAUUUGCUAGGGAUGCCUACACUAUUGGUAGACACCCUUCAAUUAAGGAUGGACUUGGUUUUCGAAAGGAAACCAAGAACUUAACAAGCCAAAAGGCUCCCGUUCUCAACAAGGAGAAAGGGAAGGUCCCUAUGACUAGUAGUUCUCAAAAGUGUCAUGCCUACAUUUAUGAUAGAAAAUUUUCUAGGAAUGCUUAUAGAGACUAUGAUCAUGUUAUGAUUGCUUCCAGCUCUACUUAAGAUUGUAGUAGAAAUAGGCCUAGGCGCAAUCAUGUUGUGUCUCAUGCGCCUAGGAGGAAUAAUGUUAUGUCUCAUGUGCCUAGGAAAAUGUGCAAUCAACCCACUACUAUUUUUCAUACUUGCAACACUUCUUUUAUUCUUUCAUGUAAGAAUGCAAAAGUAGUGGCUAGGAAGUUGGGAUCCAAAUGCAAGGAAGACAAAACUUGCAUAUGGGUUCCAAAAACUAUUGUGACUAACCUUGCAGGACCCAACAAGAGUUGGGUACCUAAAACCCAAGCUUAAAUUCCUUGCAGGUUUAUGCAUCCGGGGGCUCAAGCUAGAUUAUCGACAGCGGAUGCACAAACCACAUGACGGGAGAGAAGAAGAUGUUCACCUCCUAUGUCAAGAACAAGGAUUCCCAGGAUACGAUCAUCUUUAGAGAUGGGAACCAAGGCAAGGUCAAAGGCUUGGGCAAGAUAGCCAUCACCAACGAGCACUCCAUAUCGAAUGUAUUUCUAGUAGAGUCGCUUGGUUACAACCUUCUGUCUGUAAGUCAAUUGUGUCACAUGGCUUACAAUUGUCUUUUUACAAACGUUGAUGUAUCUAUCUUUAGAAGGAGUGAUGGUUCAUUAGCUUUUAAGGGUGUAUUAGACGACAAACUCUACUUAGUGGAUUUUUUGAAAGAGGAGGCCGAUCUAGAUGCAUGCUUAAUAGCUAAGACUAGUAUGGGCUGGUUGUGGCAUCACCGUCUAGCACAUGUUGGGAUGAAGAACCUUCAUAAACUUCUAAAGAGAGAACAUGUGUUAGGACUAACCAAUGUUUGUUUCGAGAAAGAUAGGCCUUAUGCAGCAUGUCAGGCAGGGAAACAGGUGGGAAGCACUCAUCAUAGCAAGAAUGUGAUGACAACAUCAAGACCACUGGAGCUUCUUCACAUGGACCUCUUCGGACCCGUUGCCUACCUUAGCAUCGGGGGAAGUAAGUAUGGUCUAGUAAUUGUUGAUGAUUUUUCCUGUUUCACUUGGGUGUUCUUUUUGCAGGAUAAAUCAGAAACCCAAGGGACCCUAAAGCACUUUCUAAGGAGGGCUCAAAAUGAAUUUGAGCUAAAGGUGAAAAAGCUAAGGAGCGACAACAGGUCCGAGUUCAAGAAUAUACAAGUUGAGGAGUAUCUUGAGGAGGAAGGCAUCAAGCAUGAGUUCUCCGCUCCCUACACACCAUAGCAAAACGGUGUGGUAGAGAGGAAGAACAGGACGCUUAUCGACAUGGCAAGAACGAUGCUUGGAGAGUUCAAGACACCCAAGCGGUUUUGGUCGGAAGCUGUGAACACAGCUUGCCACGCCAUAAACUGGCUCUUUCUCCAUCGCCUUCUCAAGAAGACCUCCUACGAACUCCUUACUGGUAACAAACCCAACGUCUCCUACUUUCGUGUAUUUGGUUGCAAAUGUUACAUUCUGGUGAAGAAAGGUAGACAUUCUAAAUUUGCUCCCAAGGUAGUAGAAGGGUUUUUACUAGGGUAUGACUCAAAUACAAAGGCGUAUAGAUUCUUCAACAAAUCAUCGGGUUUGGUUGAAGUCUCUAGCGACGUUGUAUUUGAUGAGACUAAUGGCUCUCCAAGAGAGCAAGUUGAUCUUGAUGACAUAUAUGAAGAUGAUGUUCCAACGGGCGCGAUGCGCACGAUGGUGAUUGGUGAUGUGCGACCACAGGAACACCAGGAGCAAGAUCAGCCAUCUUCCUCCACAAUGGUGCAUCCUCCAACUCAAGACGGUGAACAGGUACCUCAAGAAAAGGGACAUGAUCAAGGGGGAGCACAGGAAGAACAAGUGAUGGAGGAAGAAGCACCACGUGUCCCUCCAACUCAAGUCCGAGCAACGAUCCAACGACAUCACCCCGUUGACCAGAUUCUGGGUGACAUAAGCAAGGGAGUAACUACUCGCUCAAGAUUAGCUAACUUUUGUGAGCAUUACUCAUUUGUCUCUUCUAUUGAGCCUUUCAGGGUAGAAGAGGCCUUGCAGGAUCCGGAUUGGGUGUUGGCCAUGCAGGAAAAGCUCAACAACUUAAAGAGAAAUGAAGUCUGGAGCCUGGUGCCACGUCCAAAGCGAAAACAUUGUGGGAAACAAGUGGGUGUUCCGCAACAAGAAAGACGAGCACGGAGUGGUGACAAGAAACAAGGCUCGACUUCUGGCAAAAGGUUAUGCCCAAGUCGCAGGUUUGGAUUUUGGGGAGACUUUUGCUCCUGUGGCUAGGCUAGAGUCAAUUCGAAUAUUGUUAGCCUAUGAUGCUCACCACUCUUUCAGGCUAUUUCAAAUGGAUGUGAAGAGCGCUUUCCUCAAUGGGCCAAUAAAGUAGGAGGUAUACGUGGAACAACCCCCUGGCUUUGAGGAUGACAGGUACCCCGACCAUGUGUUCAAGCUCUCUAAGGCGCUCUAUGGACUUAAGCAAGCCCUAAGAGCAUGGUAUGAAUGCCUUAGAGAUUUCUUAAUUGCUAAUGCUUUCAAGGUUGGGAAAGCCGAUCCCACUCUUUUUACAAAGACUUGUGAUGGUGAUCUUUUUGUGUGCCAAAUUUAUGUCGAUGACAUAAUAUUUGGUUCUGCUAAUCAAAAGUCUUGUGAGGAGUUUAGUAGGGUGAUGAUGCAGAAUUUCGAAAUGUCGAUGAUGGGUGAGUUAACAUACUUCAUUGGGUUCCAAGUGAAGCAACUCAAGGACGGUACCUUCAUCUCCCAAAUGAAGUACACUCAAGAUCUUCUCAAGAGGUUUGGGAUGAAGGACGCCAAGCCUGCGAAGACACCGAUGGGAACCGAUGGGCAUGUCGACCUCAACAAAGGAGGUAAGCCCAUUGAUCAAAAGGCAUACCGGUCUAUGAUAGGUUCAUUGCUUUAUUUAUGUGCUAGUAGACCGAACAUUAUGCUAAGUGUAUGCAUGUGUGCUAGAUAUAAAUCCGACCCCAAGGAAAGUCACCUUGUGGUUGUUAAGCGAAUUCUUAAAUAUUUAGUUUCUAUGCCUUGCUUCGGGAUCUGGUAUCCAAAGGGGUCUACCUUUGACUUGAUUGGAUACUUAGACUCCGAUUAUGCCGGGUGCAAGGUUGAUAGGAAGAGCACAUCAGGGACGUGCCAAUUCCUAGGAAGGUCCCUGGUGUCCUGGAGUUCAAAGAAACAAACAUUCGUUGCCCUAUCCACCACUGAGGCUUAGUAUGUUGCCGCAGGAUAGUGUUGCGUGCAACUACUUUGGAUGAGGCAAACCCUUCGGGACUUUGGCUACAAUCUGAGCCAAGUCCCACUCCCAUGUGACAAUGAGAGUGCUAUCCGCAUGGCAGACAAUCCUGUUGAACACAGCCGCACUAAGCACAUAGACAUCUGGCAUCACUUGCUGAGAGACCACCAGCAAAAGGGAGAUAUCGAGGUGUACCAUAUUAGCACCGAGAACGAGCUAGCCGAUAUCUUUACCAAGCCGUUGGAUGAGAAAACUUUUUGCAGGAUGCGUAGUGAACUAAAUGUCUUAGAUUCGCGUAACUUGGAUUGAUCUAUAGCAUACUUGUGUUCUAUGCCUUUGAUCAUGUUACUUUAUGCAUUUACUACAUGUGUUAUCUAUUUGUGGUGCUCAAGUUGUACAAGAUCUCCCCGGACCUCACAAGUCCAUAUGCAAAUGAUGCACAUAUUUAGGGGGAGAUGUGCUACAACUUGACCCUUUGAGACUAACAUGUUUGUUUGAGUAUACUUGAUGUGGUCUCAAAGGUGCAUUGAAAGGGAAAAAUGAACUUGGACGAUGAAAAGACUUCCACUGCACUCCGGUAUUCGUGUACUUACUUCCAAGUUCAUACUUGCAAUUUCAUUGCCUUUUGCUCUUUAUUGACAUUUUUGGUGAGGCAAUUGGGUUGAAAGGGCCAAAAAUGAUCCUGUUUUGGUGCUUAAUGCCAAAGGGGGAGAAAUUAAGACCAAAGCAAAUGGAUCAGCCAACCACUUGAUAAUUUUGAAAAUAGUAGAGUUAGAAUUUGAUUUUGUCAAAAUAUUCAAAUUGCAAAAUUUGGUCUCUUGUGGGGGAGAAUUUUUUAUUAUGGGAAAAGGGGGAGUUUUUGGUACUUGAUCAAUUUUUCUCUUGGAACAUCUCUUGAUUUGCCCAAAUAAGUGUGUCUGACUUAGAGAUAGGAAAAAGGAUUUUAUUUACAAAAACAAACCAAGUGGUGGCAAAGAGUGAUCCAAUUAUGCCAAAUCAUAAGCAAAAACAAUUUGGUCUUCAAUUUGAUUCGAUAUUGCAGUUCUUUUGUUGCUUUUUGAUGUGUUGGCAUAAAUCACCAAAAAGGGGGAGAUUGAAAGGGAAAUGUGCCCUUGGGCAAUUUCUAUAAGUAUUUUGGUGAUUAGAUGUCCAACACAUUAUUUGAGUACUUAUGUGCUAAAUAUGUGAAAGGUGCAAAUCAAAGUAAAAGGUACGUUUCUAGACUUAGUACAUUGUUUUUGUGAACUAACAUUGUUGGUCUAAGUGCUAGAAACAGUGCCAAAAAGAGAGGAAUCGAAUUGCAUAAGACUUGGCUGUGAGCAGCCAAACUUCAGCUUAGUCUGGCACACCGGACAGUGUCCGGUGCGCCAGGCUGGUCCGCGGUGAACUCACCGCUCUCAGGAUUCGACGACGUCGUACGGCUAUAAUUCACCGGACUGUCUGGUGAGCCAAUGGUUGCCAGCGUAAUGGUCGACCGCGCAAUCCGCGGGUGACGCGUGGCCCGCAGCAAUGGUCGGUUGGGCACACCGGACAGUGUCCGGUGCGCCAACCGACCCCGAGGACCAACGAUCGGAUGCGCCUGAUUUGGAAGGCGAUCGCGCACCGGACAGCUACAGUGACUGUCCGGUGGUGCACCGGACUAUCCGGUGCACCACCCGAUAGAAGACAAGUUUGGCCUUCCAAGUUAGCCUCCAACGGCUCCUAGCUGCCUUGGGGCUAUAAAAGGGACCGCUAGGCACAUGGAGGAGUCACCUGAGCAUUCACUAAGCAUUCUAAGACUCCCGCACUCCGCCUCCGUGCAUUUGAUCGAUUGUGUUAGUGAUUUGAGCUCCGUUCGAGUUGUGAACUCUCUGUGCUACGUUUUGAGCUCAAGUUUUGGCUUGUGUGCGUGUGUGUGCUAUGGAUUUGUGUGUUGUGUAUGUUGCUCUCCUAGCCUUACUCUUGUGCCUUCUUUGUGAUCUUUAUUGUAAGGGCGAGAGGCUCCAACUUGUGGAGAUUCCUCGCAAACGGGAGAAAGACUAUAAGGAAGAAUGUCGUGGUAUUCAAGUUGAUCAUUAGAUCACUUGAAAGGGAUUGAGUGCAACCCUCGUCCAUUGGGACGCAACAACGUGGAAGUAGGCAAGUAUUACUUGGCCGAACCACGGAAUAAAAAUCGCGUGUCUCUUGUGAUUGUUUUCUCUGUGAUUGUUUUGUCCACAAGAACUCGCCUCAAAACUACUUAGUCGCACUAACACUUCUAUAACUAAGUUUUGUGGCUAUUUAGUGUUUAAUUUUACAAGAUCACCUAUUCACCCCCCUCUAGGUGCUCUCAAGAUGGCGCGGUGGCGGUCGGAGAGAAGGAGAUGUACUGUCGCGAGAGCUUGGUGGCUUUCAUCGUGGCGGACUCACCAACGACGAGCUAGUGAUAUAGAGCGGCUUACGACGACGUGGUGAAGCCUCAUGGCACGUGGCAUCUGAUCGACGGGUGGCCAACUCCUGUGACUUAUCUAAGCCGGCCGUAAAGCAAAAGGGGUACGGCGGCACGACGGUGAGAAAGUUCGAGCUAAUCCGAGCGCCAAGAUUUUUACCCAUCUUCGUUAUCCAUCUGCGCUAGGCACGAAUCACUGCAACUGGCGUGAAUCCGAGCGCACGGGUCAUCAGCGGCGAGGGGAUCUGAACCCAGGAUAUUUUUCAGUUACUGUACUAUGAGCACUUGUUGAGAGCGCCUAACAGACCAAGUUACAGCGCCAAGGUCUCAGAUUUUUGUGCAAGAACUUGCCAAUCCAUCCGUAGCAAAAGUGAGAACCAUAUGACUCAAGGUACCCUAAUUCCCUAGUUUUUGCACUUAGAUCCAAAAGUGUGCAAUAUUUGCAUAUAACCCCCUAGGGUUUCUAUUUGGGGUUUUCAGUGGUCCUUUUUAGGGUUUCUUGCACUUCUAGAGUUUGGAUGCUAUCAAAUCCUAUUAGAGUUGAUAUCUUAUGACCAUUUCUAAUAAGUUUUGAGAAUUUAACUCAUUUGGGCUUUAUUGACACCCUAAGCUCAAUUUAGGGUUAAGUACUCUACCCUAGGGUUUUACCCCUGACAUGCCACAUCAAUACAACUUGUUUGAAAUUUUUGCCUAGUGAAUGCAUUCUAAGUGUAACAAUCACAUGAUAUGCUAAUGCUCAUGAUGUUAUGCUCAAGUUUUAGUGACAGUAACACCAGGGGUGUUACAUCCUUCCCCCCAUAAAAGAAUCUCGUCCCAAGAUUAAAAGUCUAGGGUAAGUAAUGGAAAAGGAAACGUGUCAUAACUUUAUUUCCUUAUUUCUGGUAUAAGAUAGGGAUGGUAUGGGGUUUAUUCCUCUAUUACAACAAGUGUACAUAUUUCACAAUUUACAUGAAGCUAAAAAGCCUAGGAAAUUCUUUUCUAAAAAGUCUCGAGUUUCCCAAGUAGCUUCAUCUUUCGUAUGUUGGUUCCAUUGUAUCUUAUAGAAUUCGAGAGUUCUCCUUUGGGUAAUUCUGUCCUUUUGAUCCAAGACUCGAAUAGGAUGUUCUGAAUACGUCAAGUCUGGUUCUAAGGCAACAUCCGUCACUUCAACGGUUCGAUCUGGAAUCCGAAGACACUUCUUCAAUUGAGAUACGUGGAACACAUUGUGCACCGCAGACAAUGUUUCGGGUAAUUGCAGUCGGUAUGCCACUGGUCCACAUUGUUCAAGAAUAGGAAAAGGACCAAUGUACCGGGGUGCAAGCUUCCCUUUUACCCCAAAACGUGACACACCCUUCAUUGGUGAGACUUUCAGGUAGACAUAAUCUUCAACUUGAAAGUACAAGGGCUUGCGUCGUUUGUCUGCGUAAUUCCUUUGGCGAGCUUGGGCCUCUUUCAAAUUAUGCAUUAUUCGUUGAACCUUCUCUUCUGUUUCUUUUACCAUAUCAGGCCUGAAAAACCAUCUUUCUCCUGGUUCAGACCAGUUUAACGGAGUACGACACCGUCGUCCAUACAAAGCUUCAAAGGGUGCCAUUUUGAUGAUCUCUUGAUAGCUAUUAUUGUAUGAGAACUCCGCUAAUGGUAAGCAGUCAUCCCAUUUCUGUGGGAAAUCCAGAACACAUGCUCGCAACGUAUCUUCAAGUAUUUGAUUUACUCUCUUAGUCUGCCCACUAGUUUGAGGAUGGUAGGCCAAACUGUGAAGCAACUUGGUACCAAGGGAUUUAUGAAGUGCUUCCCAAAACUUGGCUACAAAUUGCGGCCCACGAUCCAACACUAUGGUCUUUGGAACCCCAUGCAGACUAAGAAUACGAGCAAUAUAUAAUUGGGCAUAGACAACAACUGGAUGAUCUGUCUUGACGGGCAGAAAAUGGGCUAUCUUGGUAAGUCGAUCAACUAUAACCCAAAUAGAAUCAAACCCUUUUGUUGUCCUGGGCAAUCCCACAAUAAAGUCCAUGCUUAUAUCCUCCCAUUUUCAAGUUGGGAUAGGUAACGAUUGCAAUGGACCAACAGUUUUCAUAUGUAUGGCCUUGACACGUCUGCAAGUGUCACAUCUCGCCACAUAGCGUGCAAUUUCAAUCUUCAUCAUAGUCCACCAAUAAUGCUGCUUUAGAUCAUGAUACAUCUUAGUGCUUCUGGGAUGAAUAGAAUAGCGACUAAGAUGUGCUUCAUCUAAAAUUUGCUGGCGGAUUUCGUCAUUCUUGGGCACAACUAUGCGGUUGUUAAACCAUACAACACCUUGAUCAUCUUUUCUGAAACAGUUGGCUUUACCAGCCUCCAUUUUCUCAUUAAUGUGUUUCAUACCCUCAUCAUUUCUUUGUGCAUCAAUUAUUCUUUGCAGAAGAACCGACUCAAGCUUCAAGUGAUUGAAAGUUCCAUGUUGAAUUAUUCCCAGUUCAACUUUUCCAUUUCUUGGCAUAAUGUAAUGUCAGAAGUCUUCAUCGUAAGACAAUGGGAGGAAGCCUUGCGACUUAGUGCAUCUGCCACUACAUUAGCCUUGCCCGGGUGAUAGUGAAUUUCCAAUUCAUAUUCCUUAAUCAGCUCGAGCCAUCUCCUCUACCUCAUAUUCAGCUCUGACUGGUAAAGAUGUACUUCAAGCUUUUAUGAUCUGUAUAGAUGUGACAGAUAUUCCCCAGCAGAUAAUGAUGCCAUAUUUUCAGGGCAUGAACCACAACAGCUAAUUCCAGGUCAUGAGUUGGAUAAUGCUCCUCAUGUCGGCGCAAUUGUCUUGAGGCGUAUGCUACAACUCGGCCUUCUUGCAUCAAGACACAACCUAAGCCACUACCUGAUGUGUCACAAUACACAUCAAACGGCUUUUCAAUGUCCAGUUGAGCUAAUACCGGAGCAGUGGUUAAUAACACUUUCAGCUGCUCGAAACCUUCAUUGCAUCUUGAAGACCAAUUAAAUUUUGUAUCAUUCUUUAAUAAACUUGUGAUUGGCUUCACAAGAUUGGAAAAAUCUAGAAUAAAUCGGCGGUAAUAAUCGGCCAGUCCAAGGAAACUUCGGACUUGAUGUACAGUGGUUGGUGGUUUCCACUCCAAAAUAUCCUUGACUUUGCUGGGAUCCACCGCAAUCCCCUUGGCAAACAAUACGUGUCCCAAAAAUUGUAUCUCCUCCAGCCAAAAUGUGCAUUUACUAAAUUUAGCAUAAAGUUGAUGCUCCCUUAAGCGGGUUAACACAAUCCGCAAAUGCCGAGCAUGCUCCUCUUCAUUCUUGGAAUAUAUCAAAAUAUCAUCAAUGAAGACUACCACGAAUUUAUCCAACUCGAGCAUGAAUACCGAGUUCAUAAGAUAUGUGAAGUGGGCAGGAGCAUUUGUUCAUCCGAAAGACAUAACCAGAUAUUCAAAUAAUACAUACCGCAUAGUGAAUGCGGUCUUGGGUAUAUCUUCGGGUCGGAUAUGGUUCUGAUGGUAACCCGACCUGAGGUCAAUCUUGGAAAAUACCUGAGCUCCGGUUAGCUGAUCAAAUAAGAUAUCAAUCCGGGGAAGAGGGUACUUAUUCUUGACUGUGACCUUGUUAAGGGGUCUAUAAUCACUACAGGAAACUCCUAAAUUUUCGUGGGCCAAAAACCCACGAAAAUAAGCCUAAACCGACGAAAAUAGAGAAUUUUCGUCGGCAGGCCGACGAAAAUAGCCGCCGAAAAUAAGUUCGACGAAAAUAGGCGGCUAUUUUCGUCGGUACCGACGAAAAUAACUUAUUUUCGUCGGCUUUCCCAAGGCCGACGAAAAUAGGCAGUCGACCAUUAAUUUUCGUCGGCCGGUGGUGGCCGACGAAAAUACGUGCAGGCUAUUUUCGUCGGCCUAGGUGGUGGCCGACGAAAAUAGCCUGGGAACAUAUUUUCGUCGGCCACCACCGAGGCCGACGAAAAUUGAUGGUUCCCCCCCCCAAAACAGAUUUUUCUGCACCUAUUAAUAAUUCACAGCAAUAUACACAAUAUAUCACAAUUCACAUAUAUAGAUUCACAAGCCUAAUACAUAAUUCACAAAACACAUUCACAUAUACAUAAAUAGUCCAUAGUCCAUUCAAAUAAGUCUAGAGUCUAUAAGUCCAUUGUCCAUUCAAAUAAACAAUUCACAAAACUCUAGUCCAUAAGUCUAGAGUCCAUAAGUCCAUAAGCUACUCACUACUCACUACUCACUCCUCACUAAUCACUCCGGCGGGCUGUGGGAGUUUUGGCCACUCCCUCCUCCGCCACCAGGAAGGUGGCCACUCCCUCCAGCACCAUGGACGAAGAAGUCUUGGACGUUGACACCACCCUCCGAUCCAUGAGCAUGUGACGCUGAAUCCUGCAAUUCAUCAAUCAUUCAAAUAAGGCUGUAUUUUGCUAUCACUAUGCAUAUACAUUGCUGUGUUUGGUCAAUAUUUGCAUAAAACUAAACAUGGAACGUCACCUGUGAUCCAUGGUGAGGAGGAGGUUGUGCAUGCAUCCACGGGUACUGUUGUGGUGGCCACCCCAGAGGUGGUGGCACCCACCCCGUCGGUGGCGGUGCCAUCCACGCUUGAAAUGGCUGAGAGCCCGCCGGUGGCUGGGAGACCGGUGGCACCCAUCCCGGGACUGGCUGCGAUCCUUGGGGUGGAGGCGUCCAAGUGCCUGGAGGUGCCUGCGUCCACCCAACACCGGUCCACUGUGGCUGCGACGCUGGAGCUUGUCCUGGCCACUGUCCCCAUCCUUGUGCCUGCGAAACAUUUUUGAUAAUAAAGAAAGAGUUGCUAUGGAAUUGAAGUGUUCAGAUAGUGUUACCUGGGGAGGGCGAAAAGCGGGCAAGUUCAUAUCAGGGCCGAGUCGAGUAGUCAUUUCCUGCAAAUGGAUGCAACGUUAGAAUCACAACAUUAUACUUUGAAUUCAAUGACGACACGUGAUGAGAUAGACGGAUUACCUGAAAAUAAGAAGCCAUAUAUUGCGUCAGCUGUCCAACCUGCUCCUGCGCUGCUCGAGCCUGCUCCUGUGCUGCUCGAGCCUGCUCCUGUGCUGCCCGAGUCUCCUCCUCCAGCUGAGCCUCUCGAGCAGACCUGGAGGAGCGAGAACUCCCUCUCGAAGAUGAUGCCUUCCCUUGACCUAUUGUCCUGUUAUAUUCCACAACGCCGGUGCCAAAGGCAAACCUGCAUGAUACACAUAGUUGAGUCAUUAAGUGAACACAUUCUUGUUAAUGAAAUCGUCGAAUCAAACACAAACACCUCACCUGCCAUGCUUUCUACCCCCACCACUAUGGUACAACGCCGAGGCAUCUAAGUCUGAAUGCAUCCAGUCGAAGUCAGGCCCAUGGCGUUGAGUCAUUUCCUCCCCAUAUGCAUUCUGCAAAGAAAGUUGGAGUUAGACACAAAACAUGCAAUUUAAUUCGUAAAUACAAACUUGUUUACCAUUUUCUCCCUUGCCGCCUCGCUGCAUAGUACAUCAGGGUUCGCCGGAUCAGGGCCACGGUGACCACGGACGUAAACCUCCAUAAAACUUGGAGCAACUCCACUUUCAGCUUCCUGCAUGAAAAAGAAGAGUUAAACCAUAUAAUUUUCAUAGAUGUAACAUACAAGUUUGAUUUAUAUACUUACCAUGCGGCGUGCGGUACCAAGGUGUCCAUCGGCGCCGUACCUGUGCCCCGGUCCUUCAGUGCCACGGUUGGCACGGUGCUUGUUGGACUCUGCAAUCCACUCAGGCGACGCCCAUCUCUUAGCCAACCACCUCCAGGCUUCCAUGUCCUUCGCCAGCCAAUCCACAACGCUCUCCAGGUACUGCUCCUCUAUGAGGUAGAUCUCAUUGGCCCCUAAUGCUUUGCUCAUUUUCUGCCCCUUUAUCUUCUUGUAGUAGUAGUUGACGGCCACGAUGCGAGCAUUGUACAUGGCAUCCUUGAUUAUCUUAUCAGCGCACUUCCGAAAGUGCCUCUUCACACGUGUCCACUGAGCCUGAUCCUCCUCGAUGUCAUCCGGCAAUUGGAACCUCCCCUACAUAUCAAUGUAGAAGUUAAGUUAAAGUAAGAUUAGGAGAAGUAAUAAUUCAAUGAAUUGCUUAUAUAUGAAAGUAAACUCACCCAGAACUCGUCCCACACAGCCACCUGACAAGUCCUUCGUUUUUUUCCGAACUUCCCCCUCCGCUACUGCUUUCCCCUGACUCCCCUGGCUCGACAUAGUCCUUUAGACCCUAGUCAGCCCACUGCAUAGCCGCGAACCUCUCGCCAUUUAGCUCCACCAUGCCAGGGUAGUAGAAGCGACAGAGGCUACCCAACACCGCGUUCACCUUGGGACGUCUGCCUGUACCGUCCCAAGUCAAGUCUUCCCAUGACCUACAAAAUUUAAUAAAACAAGUAAACUAGUGCAAUCACGUUCAUAUUAAAAAAUUAACACAACAGAAAUAAGCCCCACCAUUCUCCAUGCGGCCGGAUGAGCCUCCUCUCGGCAGGUCUCGGACCAAGCGCAUUGCUCUUCUUAUACCUAAGUAUACAAGUAAAUUCAAUAUGAUGAAAUGAUUAGAAACUAAUAUCAAUUAAACUAAUAUGCAUAAUAAUACCUGAAGGACGUAGAACCAUCUGACGCGUCGCCCGCGUUGCCUGCCCCCAUUGGGUCAACCUCCUCGUCCUGCUCACCCUCCUCAUCCUGCUCACCCUGCACAUGAGCAUCCUACUGAGGAGUCUCCUGCUCACCCUCCUCACCCUGCACUUCGUCUAGACAGUCGAGAAGUUGCUGCUGCCUCUGUCGGCUCUGUGAGGUGCCCUGAAAAAGCCCACUUCCCGAGCUGUCCUCGCUGGCCGCGCUGCCCCCACUCCUCCUCGAUCUCCUAUGCUUGAACAUGUUCAACUGUAGAUAAAUUAAUGUCAAACCACAAUAUAUAAAACAAAUAAUAUGAAAAUUAAUAAUGUGGAAAUUGGAAUACAUAGCUUAAUUGAUUAACUAAAAGAAACAUACUAAUCAAAAGUCAUCUGCAUCCGAUGAUGCUUCGUCGGCUCGUUGUUUAUUCAUACGCUCUUGAUUUCGUUGGAUCCUUACUGAUCUUCUAACGACGACAGGUCGUUUGCGCUUUGACCUAGGUUCUUCAAUUAAGUCGCUUGAAUUGCAACAGAGAUUUUCAAGUCCUUCUCCAUUGGUCACAUGGAAUCGGUGAGCUAUGUCUUGAUUCGACGCUGCUUCUGGUUGAAAAACAGCAUCAUCGUUGUCCCUGCUCGUACUCACAUAGUCAGCACUCUUUGGAGCGACGACUUGUGGGUUGACUUUGAUUGCAACCCACCAAGCCCUAAGGCUUGGGUGAGGAUAUGGCAGGUAGUACACCUGUUUUGCCUGAUUUGCAAGGACAACAUCGCUCAUACUGCUCGGAAUCCUAGAGCUAUGCUUCACCUCGGCAUUACCAUACUUGUCGACACGAGUCCCACUAUGAGCAUCAAACCAGUCGCACUCAAAAAACACGACUUUAAGUUCUUUGGGGCCAUCGAAAAUCAACUCUACAAUGUUUUGAAGAACACCGUAAUAGUCCACUACUUUGUCAUCGUCAACAUAUGAACUUGCCAACACACCACUAUUGGUGGUGGCUGCCAAUGGUCGACUCUUCUCCAAUUUCGCGGUUCGAAAGCGAUAUCCAUUUACAUCAUAGCGAGUAUAGUUUCGGACGGACACAGAGGUAUGUGCCAUUUGCUGCAAGUCCGGGUGCACAGAGUUUUUGGAAACCUAUACAAGUAAUUAGUAUAUGCAUUAUAUCUUCCAAGUCCAAAAUUCAAAGAUUAAGUAUGGACAAUGAGGAACGACAAUUACUAACAUAAUUACGAAACCACUGCACGAAGUUUGGUCCACCUUUCAACCCAUCACGUCGAAGAUUUUCUAAUUGGAUGGCCGUAGGUUUACUAGUAGAUUUCCAACAUUCUUCAUCAAAGAUGCUGGACAUAUUACAAACAUGGAGAUUACACACUAUAGAAAUUAUGAGAUGAGAAAAUGGACGUAACUAUGAGGAAAACUUACUCGAACGCCUCCUAAGUGCUGUCAAUAUUGCUAUACAUAUAUAGCAUUAGCGUGUUCAAAUCUGAUGCUUCAAUGUGACGUACACUCCCUUUUCCAACUGCUUUACCCGGAUUCGCAAAAAUUUGAAGGGUGCUUUGGGGUGAUUCAUUUUCGACAUGAAGUCGCACUGAAGGCGCAAACACAUUGUUGGCUCGAGCGAAAUACCUGGUUGAGAAUUGAGAUAUCUCCUUAAGGGCAAAAGCCUCCGCAAUACACCCUUCGACUCUAGCCUUGUUUCGAACAGACGCCCUGAGCUUUUUCAACGCCCUUUCUAUAGGAUACAUCCACCUGAAUUGCACUGGUCCGCCUACCAAAGCUUCCCAAGGCAAAUGCACAAUUAGAUGUUGCAUCACAUUGAAGAAUCCUGGCGGGAAAACCUUUUCAAAUUUACAAAUAAGAAUUGGAGUUUCUUUCUCAAAUUUCUGCAUCAACCUCUUCGAUACCGUCUUUGCGCAUACUUCCCUAUAGAAGUAACUCAACUCUGCAAAUAUGCUCCAAAGCUCAUCCUUAAAAUAGCCUCGAAACAUCACGGGCAUCAGCCUCUCCAUAAUAAUAUGGUAGUCAUGGCUUUUCAAACCGAUCAAUUUACCGGUCUUCAGAUUGACUGCCCGUUUCAGAUUUGCCGCAUACCGAUCUGGAAAUUUCAGAUUCUUCAACCACUUAAAUAUUUCUUUCCUUUCAUCCGGCUUGAGGCAGUAAUCAGCUCGCGGCCUACUUUCAUGCCCUUUAUCGCUUACUUUCAACUCGAGCAUCGGCCUCUUACAAAUUUCAGCCAUGUCUUUUCUUGCCUUCAUAUUAUCUUUCGUUUUAUCAGUCACAUCGAAACAUGUGCUUAUGAUGCUUUCAGCAACGUUACGCUCUUGGUGCAUCAAGUCUAUGUUGUGCGGCAUGAUCAAGGAUUUUGCAUACGGAAGCUCCCAUAUUGAUGAAAUAUGGGUCCAGUUAUGGUCCUCCCCGUAGCCUUGGAACCUAUCAUUUUCUCCUUGCUUCAGACAAGCAUGCCAUGCCAUUAUCUGCAGUGUAGUUUGCCUCUUUGGUGGCCCAUUUCUGAUUUUGGCUCCACCUCUAAAUGCAGUAAGCGAAUUCCUGAAAUCAUGCUUGAAUGGAGUCCAACGUCGAUGAGCAUCAAAGAAUGACACUUUCCCACCAUGCUUCAAUCUGAAUGCAUCCGUAUCAUUCAUACAUAUGGGACAGCACAACCGACCAUGGACACACCAUCCAGACCAAUCUCCAUACGCCAGCAGAUCAUGCACUGACCACAAAUAAGCAGCGCGCAUGGUAAACUCAUUUUCAGUAUGGCUAUCAUAAGCCUUCACACCUCUCCACAAUUGUUUCAGCUCUUCAAUUAAAGGGCGAACAAACAUAUUCAGCUUUGGCCCUGGAUGCUCGGGGCCUGGGAUGACUAGUGCAAGGAACAUGAACUCUUCUUUAUUGACCAACUCAGGAGGAAGAUUAUAUGGCACAAUGAAGACAGGCCAACACGAGUAAGGGCUUGCACUGGUAUUGAAAGGUGUGAAUCCGUCCGUCGAUAGACCAAGCCGUACACUCCUAGGGUCGUUUGCAAAUUCGGGAUCAAACUCGUCAAAUGCCUUCCACGCAUCACCGUCCGACGGAUGGACCAUUAUGUCUGGAUCAGUGACGAGACGUACACCAUUCUUUGGCCACGUCAUAUGCAGAGCUAUUUCCUUGUUGAGGAACAACCUUGAAAGCCGAGGAAUGAUGGGCAACCGACGAAGUUGCUUAGCUGCGACCUUCGUAACUACCAAUUCACCCUCAUCAUUUGUCACCUCGACAUAUCUAGAAGCUUCACAAUGCUUACAACGGUCCAGCUUGUCAUCCUCCUCAAAGAAUAGCAUGCAACUGUUGGGACACACGUCGAUCGUCUCAUAUGUCAUCCCAAGACCAGCCAACAUCUUCUUUGUGAAGUACAUAUUCUUUGGCAACUUAUGAUUCUCCGGGAGAACCUCGCCCAUAAGUUGGACGAUGUCGUUGUAAGCACUGUUUGAAAUGUUGUGCUUCGACUUUAUCGCCAUUAGUCUUGUGAGAGUCCCAAGAACUGACAUCGGAGUGUGCUCGUGCAGUCUCUCUUCUCCCGCGGCGAGUAGCUGGAAGAAUUCUUGAGCAUCGCGUGGAAGCUGCCCCUGCUCCUCAGCGUUCAUUUCAACCUCCCUACCAAGAUCAUGCAACAUAUCGUCCAUCCUAUCAUGAUCGUCAUCAAGCUCCACCUCCGCGUCAACGUGUCUAAUAGACUCUCCAUGCUGGUACCAUACAAGGUAGUUCGGCAUAAACCCACUUUUGCAAAGGUGUUUCUCCAUUUCUUCCUUCUUCUGAGGCCACUUGUUCUCGCAGCGAUUGCAAGGACACUUCACUAGACGACCAGUUGCAUCUUUGAAAGCGUGCUCAAGAAAAGCCUUUGUUACACCCAUCCAUGCAUUCGAAUGUGCCCCAUCCUUUCUCCACCCGUCAUACAUCACCCUCCGAUCACCGUCCAUUUCAAAGGCUAAACAAAAGUAAAAAAACAUCAACGAUCGUCCGUGGCUUAAUUAGGUGAACUCCCUAUUAGGUAAAGGCCCUAAACCCACCUAAGAGUGUAGGCCGAUGCUUGUGAUUUAUGACGUGUAGCCUACGAUUGCCGCGAAAUUUCGGCAGCAUAACCCCGCUGCUCUCCAAGCACACGCCUGAACAUGGUGUGUUGGAGAACAACUGGGUUACACAACCGAAAUUCCACGUCAAUCGUAAGGCACAUGUCACAAAUCACAAGCAUCGGCUUACACUCUCAGGCUGUCCAAAAUACGUGGACAAUUCCGGAACGGCGAACCUCACAAGCCAAUGUGACGUUCGCCGUUCCCGAACGGGUGACGCAUAAGGUUCGCUACGGUUAACGAUUAAAACUGAACUCUAAACAUUAAAAAAUAUCUCGUAGAUUAAACAAAAGACAUCACCCUCCGAUCACCCUCCAAACGGGUGACUAAUAACUAUAUAGUAAAUAAUAAAUGACACAUUAACCGAAAUUACGAAAACAAUGUAAUUGUCAAUAAAAAAAUCGGCAGCACCUCCACUAUAAAGUGAUGUUUCUAAAACCUGCAAAAAACAACAACACGAUGGUUGCCAACACAGAAUACUGCACGAUAGCUACAUAAUGAACAGCUAUCAAUACCUAGCUAACUAUUUAUACUAACAAGUAAAUAGAUAUCAAUCUAUACAUUAUAUAAAGUAAAUUAGCUAACUAAUUACUAUAAAUUAAGUAAAACCAUUACCGUGGCAAGGUGGAGGGGGCCGCGGCGUGGGACGGCUGUUCGGAGUGGGCGCGGCGUGGGGAGGCGGCUUGGCGUGGCGCGGCGCGGCGAGGGCGCGCAGCGAGAGCACGCAACGCGGCGAGGGCAAUCGUCGAGGGCGCUUGGCGCGGCGAGGGUGCGGCUGCUCGGCGUGGGUAGGCGGCGUGGCGAGGGUGCAGCUGCUCGGCUGCUCGGCGUGGCGAUGGUGCGGUUGCUCGGCGUAGGUAGGCGGCUCGGCGCGGCGAGGGUGCGGCACGCGGCGCGGCGGACGGGCGCGCGGCGGCGCGGCUGCGUGCGCGCGGGCGGGCGGGCGGGCGGGCGCGCGGGCGCGCGGCGCGGUUGCGGCGGCGGCGGCGGCGGAUUCGUUAGAGAGUGAGGUCGCGUGAGAGACGAGAGAGAAGGCCGGAAUGGAAGAUAACGACCUUUAUUUUCGUCGGCCUCAUUGGGGCCGACGAAAAUAGUGGUCCGUUCAAAGUUUAUUUUCGUCGGCCGAGUGGAGACCGACGAAAAUAAACACCGUAUUUUUGUCGGCCGAGCGGAGACCGACGAAAAUAAACACCGUAUAUUCGUCGGCGAGCGGAGACCGACGAAAAUACAGAUUAUUUUCGUCGGUUUAGAGGCCGACGAAAAUAACUUUCGUAUUUUCGUCGGCAAGCUGACGAAAAUACAGCCUGACCCACGAAAAUAGGCCGCAUUUUCGUCGGUCCCAAAGGCCGACGAAAAUAACCUUCUAUUUUCGUGGGCCGGCCGACGAAAAUAUAUCGGCCUACGAAAAUUUAGGCGUUUCCUGUAGUGAAUCCACGCACAUCCGAAGCGUUUGGUCCUUCUUCUUGACAAAGAUGGCUGGACAACCCCAAGGUGAUGAGCUUGAUCGGAUGAAUCCCUUUUCUAGCAGAUCUUGUAAUUGUGUCUUGAGCUCUGCCAACUCAUUCGGAGGCAUUCGGUACGACCUUCUAGAAAUAGGAGCUGUACCAGGCUUCAACUCAAUCACAAACUCUACAUCUCUCUCUGGAGGCAAUCCAGGCAGAUCUCCCGGAUAGACGUCCGGGAAUUCACAUACUCCUGGAAUAUCUUGGAUCUCUGGUAUGAUGGCUUCAUAUACUCUGCCAAAUGGUUUAGCUAUAGUAGCUACGGGAAUGGACAAGAGAACCUCUUCCUGGCCAUAGCUCAACCUGAUGGUUCUCAGAUCAAUGUUGAGGAUAGCUUUAUGCUGGGCUAACCAAUUCAUGCCCAAAAUUACAUCUAUAUCUUGGCCUUUUAGAACAAUCAUGUUUGUGGGAAAGUCCCGUUCAGCCAAUGUUACGGGCACAUGGAAAGCCACUUCUUUAGUGAAUAUUUGUCCCCCAGGCGAAUGAAUUAUAAACCCUUCCCUUGAUUCAAUGUAUGUAAUGCAAUAUUUCUCCACAAACUUCUUGCUUAUGAAUGUAUGUGAAGCACCAGAAUCAAAGAGAAUGACUGCAGGGUGAUUGGCCAUGAGAAACGUACCCAUCAUGACCGGUUCUCCCUCCGGUGUAGUGGCCACUUGUGUAUAAUAGAUUCGCCCAGUUUUCUUCACAUUCUUGCUCGCUGCAUUAUUUGCCAUGUUUCCCUUGCCUUGACUGGAAUUCCCCGGGUUCUACUAAUUAUUGGAGUUGUUCCGCCUCGGAUAUGGGCAGUCUUUGAUGAAAUGUUUAGACUUCCCACAAUUGAAGCAACCAGUAGAUGAACUCGGGAGUGCAGGGAAACGAGUACCAGGGGCACUCGACUGAGUUGUGGAAGUGGGGGCAGUGGCAGGGCGGAUGAAUACAGGCUGUUUAAAGGGGUAGGAGGGUGGACAAGGUGAAGAACGGUUUGGAUUGAAAGGUUGGAUCACCAACCUUUGUCGCUUUUCAGGCCCUUGGUUGGACCUGUCACCUCCAUAGCCCUUUGACUUGCCUGGGCCUGCAUAUUUGGCUUCAACUGCCAGCGCUGUGCUGACAGCCCUGCUAUAGGAGAGGUCGAGGCAGGUGGCGUACUGGGACAAAUGAUUGAACUUGUUGAGAUACUAUGUAAUAGUAUCUCCACCCUGCUUAAGCUUCAUGAAUUCUUCUUGCUUCAUAUGGAGCACCCCUUCUGGAAUGUAGUGCUCCCGAAAUGCCAAUUUAAAUUUGUCCCAGGUGACUUGAUGUUCGGCAGGCUGAAUGGCCACAUAAUUUCCCCACCAGGUGCUGGCAGGGCCUCUUAACUGCUGCACCGCAAAUAAUGGCUUCUGGGUCUCCGUGCAUCGGAUGAGCCCGAAUUUCUGCUCAAUGACCCGAAUCCAUUCGUCAGCUUCAAGGGGAUCUUCAGCCUUGACGAAUAGUGGGGGACGGGUUUCUGAGAAAUCCAAAUAUGAAGUUUCGCGGGGUCCCUGCGGAUAAGCCCUCCCGCCUUGUUGCUGCAGUUGCUGUCCCACCAUUUCACGAAGGAAACGGGUGUUGUCAGCGGUCGCGGUGACCAAGGCAGCGAUAGCCUCGGCCAGUCUGGGUGGAACCGGCGGUGGAUUUGGUGUAUCUUCUUGGCCACGGGAUGUUCCCGCGCCGUCAUGUGCACGAGUUUGAAAUGGCAUCUGAAGCAAAGAAAUAUUUGGAAAAUAUCACAUGCUGAUACAUACCAUCAUUUUACAUUACUUAAGAGGUAAUGUUACAAACUCAAUGUACAACAUGACAUCAUUACCUAUUUUACAUUAACACUAUUUCUAAACUAUACUACUACUAGUACUUAUUAUCCUUAGAAGCUUCAUUGUCGGGUGUAGGGGUCCAUUCAUCAGCCAGGUUCAUUGAAGGAGGGGGCUUGAAAAGAUCCAGUUCCCCACCAAAAGCUUCACCUGCUGUUCUAGAAGGUCCAGCUCCCAUUCUGACAGGAUCUGCAGGUACGUUAGGGUGUAGUCGCGAAUACAAUUCAUGAACUUCCUCAUGUAAUGUAUUGCAGUACACCUGCAAGUUAUCAACUGCCGUGCUAAGCUCCUCCACACGGGCUCGAGCUUUAGCUUCUCGGUCCCAAGCAAUGGAAUGCGAGUUGACGACCCAAUCGAGUGCCAAAUCUCGUUCGGCAAGCUCAUCUUGCAGAUGCCGGAUGUCAGUCCUUAACUCAUUUAUGCGCUGACCAUCCUCGACCCACACACUGUUUUUAUGAUGCAAUUCCGUUCGAAGCUGCUCCACCUGGGCUUCCAGAUCUCCAAUGGGGUCAUUGCUGCCGCUGCUACUAUCCUCGUGCCUUGGAGCCAGCUGAUGGCGAGGCACGCCAAUCGGUCCAGUGGACUUGCACGCGGUUUUCCUUGUGCGCGGUGGCAUAUCUCCAUAAGGGGGAAAAUCUGAUUAGUAUAGUUUUUAUCAUGAUGCAUGCAUAAUUACAGAAUCAAUCUUAGUUGAUUCACAACCUUCUAUACAUUGCACUCUACUAUCUGGUCUUAAUAUAAGUAUUUCAGAAGGUAAUUAGAUAAGAAUGAAAGAAAUUUUCUUAGAUAAGUCUUUGAAAAUUCUUUUUGAAAAUGCCUCAUAACAUCUGCAGAGAUGGGCUUUGCUCCGAUACCAGCUAUGAUGGAACCUCCCAAGUCAUUAGGCCCACCUACAGUUGUCCUUGUCCAUCGGACCUCGGACAACCCUGCAGGUGCACCUGAUCACUUGACAAGUUUGGUAUCUGAAUUUUUUACCUUGCCCAAGAGCGUUUCACCCGUCACACAGAUAUUACAUAUCUUGGGAGGCAAAAACCCCACCCGAUAAACAGUAAAAAGUUUUAAAGGAGGGCACUUCCUCCCGAGGCUUCAGUCUUGAUUUUCUUCCUUAGGCGCCACCUUGGAACAAAAGCAACAAAAAAUUGCUGCUUCCUCACCUAGAACAACAUGGGACAAAGCCCUGAGUACGAAGUGUACUUUCGCAAGUCUUACCCGUCAAAAUAAAAAAAGACUCUCAAGGAUAUGCUGGCCUUUAGGAAUCAAGGUAUGGCUUAUCAAUAAUCAAAGACUCUAUUUGGAGAAAUGCUUACUAAUAGUGGAUCCUUAAAAAUCCAGUUUUACUUGUCAGGUUAAGUAAAGUUACCUGCAUCUAGAGUUCUUUCUACCCUAGUUCAAGCACUUGACCUGCACUAGCCGUCUUUUAUCAACCCUUUAAGUUCACUGGAAUGCUACGUGUAAGUCAGUGACCAAGUCUUCAUGUCCGAGAAGUAACGGCGAUCUGAAUCGAUUAAACUCAGCUGAGGAUCUCCAAUCACACGACAUAUGUAGCACUUAACCCUUGCAUGUGUCAACUCGCCACCGGGGUUCUUAAGACCAGAUCAAGUUCACACCAACCGAGAGCACAGAUACACCACCGUCCAGCCUCUUGCCAUGGAGGGUACACGCUACUCUCGCUAUCUCUCCACUCCCAUUGCGUGUUAUCUUAUUCUGGUAUUAGUCUGCCCAAGGCAAAGCUUACCCAUGAUGAGGCAUGUGACCAGUUAAAGGGUCCUCGGUCUGCAGGCCUACAUCGACAAGGUCCUUAAUCGACUCAGACGGAAACACUACACCGAGACUCCUUUCUCGUGCAAGUCACCCGCCCAGUCUCAGCUUUAUUAUUUUCAACCCAAAGUUUGGUACCUGGCAGAGGUACAUCUUUUCCGAUGUUGAACCCAUCACGACCAUGAUGGAUCCACCAUCAAAUUUUAUUUUGAAAACAUCCCACCCACUUGAAGCAUCAUCUUUUGUCAAAACAAAACAUUUUGUUUUUCUAGAGCAAAGCUAAGCAUAAGAAAAACCUUUUUUAUAAAACAAGGGAUCAAGGAAAGGUAAUCAAAUUCUCAAGGAAGGAAAUGCAUCAAUUUGUUUAGCACGCAACUCCUAUCACCUAAUGCAUCAAGCAAGUGAGAAAGAUUUUAAAAUAGCAAGGAGGUGGCAAAUGCACCGGGGCUUGCCUUGUGUGAUAGGUGAGUCACGCUCUGCUCCACAGAUGUCAAAAUAAAAGUAGUUCCCGGCCUGGGGUUCUUCAGGUGGUGGUGGUGUAGUCCUUGCUCCUUCAACUUCUAUCUCUUCUUCGUUUUCUAUAUAUAGCCAUAUAUAAUCAUGAAUGCUCAUGUAAUGCUUAUGCAAAUGCAAAGAUAAUAAAAGUACAUUAUCUUAGGUCUUGAAUACAAUUUUUCUUCACGGAUCUCCAGGAAACUAGGGUUUCUGGAGUCAGUAGUGAAGUCCAUAGGGCAGGCACCACUAGAAGACUAGGGUUUUGGGUUCUAGGUACCAAACAUGGUCCAAAUCAUACCAAACUUUACCCAAGGCUUCUAAAUAACAUCUAAAGAUUAUCUAAAGAGUUUGGUGAUUUUUGGGAUUAUUAAUUAAUUUCUAAAAUUCCAGAAGUAUGGGUUUUAGCUAUUUUAAAUACACCAUAAUUUCCUAUUUGGAAUAAAACCAUACUACUAUUUUUAUUAAAUAUUAUAGAAAAUUAGGAAUCUAAGAAAAUUGAUCUCAUAUUUUUAACAUUUUCCUAGAAUUUUCUAUGGAUUUUCUAAGCUUGGUAGAAAAGAAAAAGGAGAAAACUGUGAACAGUUCUCGGCUGAAACUGGCCCAAUACAGCCCACGCCUAGGUGAAAUGCGUCGCGCCCGCGUUGGCGGUUUUACACAGACGACCUCAACUUUUUGAAUAAGCAGUAAAUAACCCAGAGCACUAUUUGUUUGUCUCACUAACGUUUGCACCAAGACCCCCGAAGUUCUAUUCCUUCGCAACACCAGGUUCGCGAUGGUGGUCGGCGACGAGCACGUCUCCGGUGAGCCUACAUUGGCCGGAAUAUGCCAAGACCAGACCCCUAACUUAGCUGGCACCGAAUUCUACCCUCGGCGACACUAACCCCUCAAUCAAUUGCACUAAUCUGGGCUGGAGCACGCCUGUCCACGAUGACGGCAAAACCCAAGAAGAAGCUAUGGUGUUCUGGGCAAUUCGGUACGGUCUAGUUCAAUCAAUCGAGCCUACAAGCAACAGGAGAUCCUAGAGAUGCUAGGACAGCACAACUUGGGGCUCAUUUUUGUCCAAAUUUUGUAUGUAAACAAUGUUUAGUUACUUAAGCAAAGUUGCACUCCUACAAUAGCUCUUUAAGUUUGAUGUGUUGACCCUAGGCAAAUUCCUAAUAUUUUUAGAACUACAAAGCUCCAAAGCCAGCCUUGUGCACUGAAUUUCAAACUUGGCCAUAUGAGCACUAGGGUGGCCUUUUUGCAAUUAGGCCCAAAUCUCAUGGUUUCUUUUGCAAAUCUUCAAAUAUGUGAACCAUAUGACUUAAGGUACCCUAAUUCCCUAGUUUUUGCACUUAGAUCCAAAAGUGUGCAAUAUUUGUUAAGAACAAGGCAACACAGAAAAUGUUAAACAUUAAAGUCCUUCGUCCUUCGAAGCAUUACUUCCCUUGAGAGGUAAUGAUUUUCGGACGAAGGUUAUGACGGACGUACCUUUAUCAAUAUAACAUAUAAAUAACGAAGGAGACACAUGAAAUACAAAAAGUAACAUAAACAGUUAUGUAUUACCAUCAACUCAUCUCUAUUUCAUUAUUAUGGAAAAAUAGAAAUGAUAAUAAGUUACAAAGGUACCUGCGGCUUGAAAGAAGGUGAAAGUACAAGCGUGACGCAAAAGCAAGAAUGCCAAGUCAGCGUGAACAGUAUGGGAGUACUGUUCAUCUAUUUAUAGGCACGGGACGCAGCCCAUGUAAAAUUACAUUCAUGCCCUUUACAUUUGCUAAUAACUCUAUGGUAAUCCAUUGGGGUCUAAAUAGCCUUUUCUCCUUUAAGUCGGUUCCCUUUCUUGCUAUCACACCGAAGCUCUUCUGCGCAUAGCUUCGGCUCUGCGCCAUCCUUCGUAUUCUUUGUGCUUCCUCAUACUGUGGUUUUGGCUUAAGUCCGAAGGUACCUGUUCAUGUAUUAUACUCCAGAAACAUUAUUAAAUCAUGUUUUUUUAGGACCUUCGGAAGCCGAAGGCCCACAACAGUAGCCCCUCGCAAUAUUAAUUUGUUAGAAUGAUAAAUUCAAAUUGCGAUAUGGACGAAGGCCCUAAGCCAAAGGUCCGAAAAAACACCUUCCCUUUGCUAGAAUAGCAACAGUCAAUGACAAGCGGGGCCUUUCCACUUGCAACAUACUAGGCGUAUAAAUAAGAGCACACCGCGAGCUCAUUUGGCAUGCUUUCUUGCCAUCUGCUCUUGCUUUCCCAAUUUUUAGCUCUUGCGCACCAACACUUGCUUGAUUUUUAAAUUUUCUAAGCUUCGGCCUUGAGAGUAAUUUUCCAACAUUUCCGAAGAUGUCUGGAGAUAAAAAAGUUGUUGCCGCAACGAAGCUGAGCCUUUCUGAGGAGAAGAAUCUUGGGUUUCUUGAAUCAAUAGCAAAGACAAAUACAGAGAAAAUCACUAGGGAGAUUUUAGAAGGUUUAUCUGAAGACACUGGUGAUAGUGACAGUUAUGAUGUGGAAAGUGUAGGCGAAGACUCCAAAGAUCGACCGUGGCGACCAAGUCACGCAGUCUUCGGAAAAUCAACUAUUAAGUAGAGUCAUCUUGACAAUAUGAGGGGAAGAUAUUUUCGAGACAUGUCUCUGGUGAGGGCUGACAAUGGAGACAAGACUGCUCCUACUCCCGGAGAGAAUGAAGUCGUAAUCUUCCGAAGCUUUUUCAAAGCUUGGCUUCGGUUCCCUUUAAGCGGAUUUGUGGUCGAAGUUUUAAAGAUAUUCCAAAUUUUUCUUCACCAAAUUACUCCCGAAGCAAUCAUAAGAAUGGGAAUCUUCGUCUGGGCUGUGAGGAGCCAGGGCUUGGAGCCAAAUGCAAAAAGCUUCUGCAGUAUGCACGAACUGCUAUAUGAGACGAAGCCCUAGGGUAAAGAGCAGUAUCAUAAUAAUUUUGGUUGCUAUAGCUUUGUUGCCCGCUCUGGCUCAAGCUCCCCAGUGCCGACUUUUUGGAAGAGAUGGCCUAGAGACUGGAUGAAAGAAUGGUUCUAUAUGAAAAAUGAUUUAAAGGCACGAGAAGACAUUAAAGAAAUAAUAAUGUGCCCUAUCUGGCAGCGCUUCGGCCUUCGGAAGCCGAAGGUAGAGAUUGACGAGGCGGCUGAAAGAUGCCGAAGAGCCUUUGGCAUAGUUUUUUCUUUCAUCGGGACAAGGGACAUGAUCCAGGAGCAUAUAGCUUUUAGAGUAUGGCCACUUGUAGAAAAGUGGGAAAUGCCGAAGGAGACUGUCGAUAAGACUGGCGAAGGAGAGCUAGUUCGGUUAAAGUACACCUUCAGAUAUGAAGGUAAGUUUGUUGAGCCGGAUGAUGACUGGUUGAAAUGUAUCGAAGCUACACGUGAUGAAUUGGUUGGGCCGUACUCCAAAGCAGAAGAUAACGCAUUGUCUGUGACCUUCGGGAACCGGAAAAAGAAGAGACUAAACAGAGUUUUUGAUGCUAUUGGGUUCAUGUAUCCUGACUAUCGCUACCCACUACGGGGUCAGAAAAGAAAAGGUGUGGCUCCUGUGAAAGAUGUUGCUUCGGCCGCCUCUAGUGAACCUACGCCAAAGAGGAAAAAAGUGAAGGUUCUCACACACCGACCACGCUACAUUGAAACGGCCACAGUUCCCGAAUUUGGCGGUGAGACCUCUUCGGCUACCGAAGCCAAAGAAACUGCGCUCAUGCAGAAGACUGAAAAGCCGGCUGCAACGCCGAAGGCACCGUUGGCCAAAUUGGGUGAGCCGAAGGUCGAUAAUGUUAAAGAGACAGAGGUCGAGAGAACAAAGAUAUCAGAAGUUACAAGUCCUUCGGUAGAGGUGACAGUGCCGAAGGCACAAAUAGAUCUUAUAGUUACCCCGAAGAGGAAAAGGAUGGUCCACGUACUAGAUGUGCUGGAGGAAAUAAAGACUACAAGCUCUACUCCAAGAAAAACAGCCGAAGUUUCAAAAACGCAAAUUGAAACAAAACAAACUAAAGCCGAAGAUGCAAAAAGUCAUGCCGAGACCGAAGCUGGGCCCUCAGAGCCCGCCAAGAAGAAGUCCUUGGAAAAAGAAGCUUCAGAACAGACUCUGUCAGAACAAGCUGCCACUCCUAUUCCCGAAGCAUCUUCCGAAAUUGUCGAUUAUAUUGUACGACAUGCUUCGGGAAAAAGGUUGUCUGAGAAAGAAAAGCGAGAAGCUCAAUUUUAUGCCCAAAAAUUGAAAUAUCCAAAGGGGGCAUUGAUUUUUAAUGGUAGCGAAAAAGAAGAUUUCUUGUAUUGUCUCCCAGACAGUAAGGAAAUUUCUGUCUGCCGGGAAAUGGGCAAGAGCUUCAGAUUUCCUACACUAGAAGAUGGGCUUUCGGUGCUAUCGAAAGAUGAACUGGCGGACAGCUUAGCAUAUAAUAGCUUAAAGGUAAGAGAAUGAAAUUUUUGCAUUUUAAAACAAAAAUUUGUUUUAUUUGUUUAUACUUAAUACCGCAUUUAUUUUGCAGGGCCUUAUUCUUAGCAACGCCCUCAGGGCGCAAAAAAGUGCUGAAGACGAAGGAUGCACUGUAGCUUUGAACAACCUUCGUUCCGAAGUAACUGAACUAAGGAUCCAAGGUCUUGAAAAAGAUAAAAUAUUACACUCAUUGGUGAAUAAAAUAAAAGAAGACGAAACUACUUUCAAAGCCCAAACUGAAGCCCAAAAGUGCGAAAUUGAGGAUCUUCGGAAACAGCUGGCUGAAGCAAAAUUAAAAUGUGCUAUCGCCGAAUCUGACCGAAACGCCAGCAACUACUAGAAAAAUUAUUGGGAAAAAACAGUUGUAGAGCUUCGGUCUUCAAAAGAAAGUUGUUAUGAAAAAUCCAUAGAAUGUGUGGGAAAAAUAAAGACUAGCUUCGCCAAAGUUGGCGCAUACUCCAGCGAGGAUAACUUCGUAAGAGGCGAUCCUGAGGGCCCAAUUGAAUGGAUCAGCAGCGAAGCCGAUGCCUUUGAAGAAAUUUUAAAUGGCCGUGGAGAUGUCUACGCCUUCUCUGGAGCGAGGGGAGUUGCGGCUAUUUUGGAGAAGAUAGGUUGCGAACAUGUAAAAUCCUUAGCGUAAACCGAAGCUGCCUUAUCUAUUGAAGAUACAAAAGACCCCUUGGCCGAAGCAAGCUUAGUUGGUGGAAAGUUUUUCACCGACAUCUGGGAAAAUGGCGGCCGAGGGAUGGCCCAUGAAAUUAUAAAGAAAAGUGAAAAAAUACCCACGAUGCUAGAGAAGCAGCAAAGGCAGCUGAAAAGACUGCAGAACUUGAAAGGCGGAUAGGUAUUGUCUAAUUGCUUUUGACUUUAUGUUUUAUUUUUGUGACUUCGGACUUAUUCAUGUUUUAUAUCGCAGCCGAAUUGUCUCCUCCCCCGGAGCCCUUCGAGUCACAGGCCGACCCCGAAGCAAAAAAGGAAGAUGAAAUUACUAAGAUAGUCGAAGCUAUUAUGUACGAAGCUGUGACUCAACUACUAAACGAAGCUGCGGAAGCAGUUUUAAAAGAAGAAUAGCUAUUGUUGUAAAAACAUUCGGAAUAUUGAUGUAAUAUUUGCUGAACAAAGUGUGUAAUAUUUUAUAGUUUUGAAAGUAAUAUAUAAGUUGUAUGUAAUUAAGUUCUUUACGAUGCAUGAAACUUUACAUACAUACCAUUUUUGAGCCUUUGGCGAAAAAACACCUUCCCUUCUUUUCAUGCUUCGUGAAGAAUAUCCAUAUUCAUGAAAAUAUUAUGCUUCGUAAGCAAUAGAUCUCCUUUGAUACUAAAGUUGAUGAAGUUGUACUUCUUCAAAACUUAUUUUGUGCCUUGGCACAAUUUCUUCGAAACAAUUUCCGAAGAUCAACAUUGUAUUCCCUUAUUGUGUCAUUGAUGCAAUAUGAUGUAUGAUGUCAUGUUAUGCGAAUGAUGUGAUGAUGCUAUGAUAUGCAAAAUGAUAUUUGUGCCGAAGAUACACACACGUUCCCACAGUAGAACAAAGUCUCUUUGCCGUUUAUUUUUCGGCUUCACUGCUUAUUUUUCGAUGUAUCAUCGUUGACUUUUCGCUGUAAGCCUCCCUUAGGAGCUUCUUCGCCUUUUACUUCGGCGGUGUCAGCAUUGACUUUUCGCUGUAAGCCUCCCUUAGGAGCUUCUUUGCCUUUUACUUCGGCGGUAUCAGCGUUUAUUUUUCGCUGUAAGCUCUGCAUUCCCUUUGGAACGACUUUUGAGCAGAAAACUUACGCUGCGUUCCCUUAAGAACGACUUUUGUUGCUCCGACAAAAACUUACAUUGCGUUCCUUAGAACGACUUUUUGUUGCUUCGGCAAAACUUUUGGAACUUCGUCGGUUUAUGAGGAAGGUAUAUUAUAUUAUGAUAAUGACGAAGCUAUUACAAGGAAUUGAAAACAACAAAAGAACAAGGCUUUCAAUGAUUGCUCUUUAUUGAAAAGGAAAAUGAUAACGAAUGUAAAAACUAUUUCAGAGGUAGGAUAUCUCUUAGUAGAUGUGCUUCGAUUCUGGCACAAUACUGUUGACUGUGCGAGCUUUGGACUGCUCCCUGAAGUCUCGCUGCUGGUGAGUGUGCUGGCUCCCUUCUGGCUGUUGGCCUUGGGGAUAUGCGGGUUGCAUUGGUGGUGGAGGUGGAGGCUGUUGCCAAGAUGCCUGAGGUUGGCUUGCCGAAGCAACAGAAACUGUAGGAUGGUUACCCACGUACUCUGGUAUGUACCGUGAAUGAUACGAAGUAGUAUGCAUAACUUGCUUCGGCUGGUUCUGUUGGGCUGCAGCUUCUGCUAUCUCCUUCUGUUUCUGGAUGGUGACAUGGCACAUCCUUGUAGUAUGGCCCUUGUCCUCACCGCAGAAUAGGCAAUAAAUUUUCCUGAGCUGAUCCCCAAACCUUCCAACGAAGCCCCUGGCGCCUCUGCCCCUUGGAGCUGGGGGCCGAGGAUAGCUUUGUUGCUGCCCCGAAGCCUCGGAGGAAUAUUGCGGCCUCUGCUGCUGACCUCGUCUGUCGUCAUGCUGAGUAGAGUGGAUUGAUCUGACGUGCCUUGGGUGAAUCCUCCCUCCGAAGCCCCUGGUCAUCUCGAAGAAUCUGUAAGCCUCCUCCCUUCUUUGACGAAAGUCAUUAUCAGCGCGGAUGUAUUCAUCCAUCUUCUGAAGCAAUUUUUCCAAGGUCUGAGGGGGUUUCCUGGCGAAGUAUUGGACCAAAGGUGCUGGCCGAAGCCCCUUGAUCAUGGCCUCAAUGACAAUUUCAUUGUGCACUGUUGGCGCUUGUGCCCUCAGACGCAAGAACCUUCGGACAUACGCCUGAAGUUAUUCCUCGUGAUCCUGCGUGCACUGGAACAAAAGCUUGAGCAGUAACCGGCUUCGUCUGAAACCCUUGGAAACUAGUGAUUAGCAUGUCCUUCAGCUUCUGCCAUGAUGUGAUUGUUCCUGGCCGAAGAGAGGAGUACCAGGUUUGUAGAACAUUCUUGACUGCCAUGACAAAAGAUUUCGCCAUGACUGCAGUAUUGCCUCCAUAUGAAGAUAUGGUAGCUUUGUAGCUCAUCAGAAACUGCUUCGGAUUUGAGUGCCCAUCCUACAUGAGAAGCUAAGGUGGUUUGUAAGAUGGAGGCCAAGGUGUAGCCUGUAGUUCUAUUGACAGAGGAAAAGCAUCAUCAAAAGCAAAAUUUCCAUGAUGGGAAUCAUCAUACCAUCCAUCAUCAUCAAACAAUCCUUCUUGAUGAAGCUCCCUGUGCUGAGGCCUUCGUUCUUGCUCAUCUUGAGCAAGAUGGCGUACUUCUUCAGUGGCUUCAUCAAUCUGCCUUUGUAGGUCAGCUAGCCGAGCCAUUUUUUCCUUCUUUUGCACUUGCUGAUGAAGCAUCUCCAUAUUCCUGAUCUCUUGGUCCAACUCGUCCUCCUGGGGUGUUGGACUGGUGGCCUUCCUCUUCUGGCUCCGAGCCUCUCGAAGAGAAAGGGUCUCCUGGUUCGGAUCCAGCGGCAGCUCCUGUCGUCGAAGCUUUCUUCGGUGGCAUGACGAAGGUCAAUGCUUUCUGAAAGUGGUCGAUAAGAGUUCACCGGAGGUGGGCGCCAAUGUUGGGCACUUGUUCUCAAAUGCUAUGAGUUAAGAAGAAGGCAACACAGAAAAUGUUAAACAUUAAAGUCCUUCGUCCUUCGAAGCAUUACUUCCCUUGAGAGGUAAUGAUUUUCGGACGAAGGUUAUGAAGGACGUACCUUCAUCAAUAUAACAUAUAAAUAACGAAGGAGACACAUGAAAUACAAAAAGUAACAUAAACAGUUAUGUAUUACCAUCAACUCAUCUCUAUUUCAUUGUUAUGGAAAAAUAGAAACGAUAAUAAGUUACAAAGGUACCUUCGGCUUGAAAGAAGGUGAAAGUACAAGCGUGACGCAAAAGCAAGAAUGCCAAGUCAGCGUGAACAGUACGGGAGUACUGUUCAUCUAUUUAUAGGCACGGGACGCAGCCCAUGUAAAAUUACAUUCAUGCCCUUUACAUUUGCUAAUAACUCUAUGGUAAUCCAUUGGGGUCUAAAUAGCCUUUUCCCCUUUAAGUCGGUUCCCUUUCCUGCUAUCACGCCGAAGCUCUUCUACGCAUAGCUUCGGCUUUGCGCCAUCCUUCGUAUUCUUUGUGCUUCCUCAUACUGUGGUUUUGGCUUAAGUCCGAAGGUACCUGAUCAUGUAUUAUACUCCAGAAACAUUGUUAAAUCAUGUUUUUGAGGACCUUCGGAAGCCGAAGGCCCCCAACAAUUUGCAUAUAACACCCUAGGGUUUCUAUUUGGGGUUUUUAGUGGUCCUUUUUAGAGUUUCUGGCACUUCUAGAGUUUGGAUGCUAUCAAAUCCUAUUAGAGUUGAUAUCUUAUGACCAUUGCUAAUAAGUUUUGAGAAUUUAACUCAUUUGGGCUUUAUUGACACCCUAAGCUCAAUUUAGGGUUAAGUACUCUACCCUAGGGUUUUACCCAUGACAUGCCACAUCAAUACAACUUGUUUGAAAUCUUUGCCUAGUGAAUGCAUUCUAAGUGUAACAAUCACAUGAUAUGCUAAUGCUCAUGAUGUUAUGCUCAAGUUUUAGUGACAGUAACACCAGGGGUGUUACAAAGGUGGUGUACUACGAGACCGAUUCUUUGUCACCAUCUACUUCCGGCUCCGACGCGCCGUCCAUCACUUCUAAGCGCCAUGAGCGCAAGAAGUUUAGUAAGAUCCCCUUAUGCUACCCUCGCAUUUCUAAACGCACUCCUUUACUUUCCGUCUCAUUAGGAAAACCACCGGUUUUUUACGGUGAAGAUUAUUGUAUGUGGAGUGAUAAAAUGAGGCAUCAUCUAACCCUCGCAUUUGGGACAUUGUUGAGUUUGGAGCGCAGGUACCAUCCGUAGGGGAUGAAGGCUAUGACUCGGACGAGGUCGCCCAAAUCCGGCACUUCAACUCCCAAGCCACUACUAUACUCCUCGCUAAUAAGGUGCAAGGGUUGAAGAGUGCCAAAGAGAUUUGGGACGUGCUAAAAACCGAGCACGAAGGAGAUGAGGUGACCAAGAUCACCAAGUGGGAGACGAUCGAGGGGGAGCUCGGUCGGUUCAUCCUCAACCAAGGAGAGGAGCCACAAGCAAUGUACAACCGGCUCAAGACCUUGGUCAACCAAGUGCGCAGCCUCGGGAGCACCAAAUGGGAUGACCAUGAAAAUGGUCAAGGUUAUUCUAAGAUCACUGGUUUUUCGUAAUCCUACACAAGUUCAAUUAAUUCGUGGUGAUCCUAGAUAUAAGCUAAUGUCUCCCGAGGAGGUUAUAGGAAAGUUUGUGAGCUUUAAGUUGAUGAUCAAAGGCUCCAAACAAAUCGUCGAGCAAGGCGGCACCUCCACACCCGAGGUGCAACCCGUCGCAUUCAAAGCGACGGAAGAAAAGAAAGAAGAGUCUACAUCAAGUAGGCUCCCCAUCGACGCCUCAAAGCUCGACAAUGAGGAAAUGGCGCUCAUCAUCAAGAGCUUUCGCCAAAUCCUCAAGCAAAGGAGGGGGAAGGAUUACAAGCCCCGCUCCAAGAAAGUGUGCUACAAGUGUGGUAACCCCGGUCAUCUCAUUGCUAAAUGUCCUAUGUCUAGUGAUAGUGACAGGGGCGACGACAAGAAGGGAAAGAGGAAGGAAAAGAAGAGAUACUACAAGAAGAAGGGCGGUGAUGCCCACGUGUGUCGGGAAUGGGACUCCGAUGAGAGCUCCACCGACUCCUCCUCCAACGAGGACGCCGCCAACAUCACCGUCAACAAGGGCCUCCCCUUCCCCAACGUUGGGCACAAGUGCUUCAUGGCAAAGGACGGCAAACAGAAGAAGGUAAAAUCUAGAGCCUCCACUAAAUAUACAACAUCUAGUGAUGAGGGUAGCUCUAGUGAUGAUGAAGAUAAUUUGCUUGCUCUUUUUGCCAACUUAAACAUGCAACAAAAGGAAAAUUUGAAUGAAUUGGUAGGUGCCAUUCAUGAGAAGGAUGAACUCUUGAAUAGCCAAGAGGAAUUCCUUAUUAAGGAAAACAAAAAGCAUGUUAAAGUUAAAAAUGAUUAUGCUUAGAAAAUAGAGAAAUGUGAAAAUUGACUAGUGAGCUAAGCAUUUGCCAUGACACUAUCGCCAACCUUAGAAUUGAAAAUGCUAAUUUGAUUGCUAAGGUUGAAAAGAGAAAUGUUUGUGAUGAUUCAAUUGCCAAUCUUAAAAAUGAUAAUGCUAGUUUAAUUGCUAAGAUUGACAAAUUGAAUGAAUCAAUUUCUAGUCUCAAGAUUGAGAAUGAUAAAUUAAUCGCUAAGGAUUUGAAUGUUUGCAAUGCUUCUAUUUCCAAGCUUAGAGAUGAGAAUGCUACUUUACAUGCUAAGAUUGAUGAAUUAAAAAUUUGCAAACCCUCUACAUCUAGGGUUGAUCAUGUCUCUAUUUGUACUAGAUGUAGAGAUGUUAAUGUUGAUGCUAUUCAUGAUCAUCUAGCUUUAAUUAAAGAACAAAAUGAUUACAUAGCUCAAUUAACUGCUAAAAUUAAUGAGCAUGAGAUAGAGAAUGAAAAAAUUAAAUUUGCUCGUAGCAUGCUUUAUAAUGGGAGAUGCCCUGGCAUUAAGGAUGGCAUUGGCUUCCAACAAGGAGACAAUGUCAAGCUUAAUGCCCCUAAGAGAUUGUCCAAUUUUGUUAAGGGCAAAGCUCCCAUGAAUCAGGAUAACGAGGGUUACAUUUUAUAUCCUGCUGGUUAUCCUGAGCAUAAAAUUAGGAGAAUUCAUUCUAGGAAGUCUCAUUCUAGUUCUCAUCAUGCUUUUAUGUAUAAGAAUGAGACAUCUAGUUCUAGGCAUUCUACCCAUGUUAAAAUGCCUAAAAAGAAAUCUCCUACUGAAUCAAAUAAGCCUAAUGUUUCAUUUAAGACUUUUGAUGCUUCUUAUGUGCUUACUAACAAAUCAGGCAAAGUAGUUGCCAAAUAUGUGGGGGGCAAACACAAGGGCUCCAAGACUUGUGUUUGGGUACCCAAGGUGCUUGUUUCUAAUGUGAAAGGACCCAAGACCAUUUGGGUACCUAAGAACAAGGGCUAAACUUGUUUUGUAGGUUUAUGCAUCCGGGGGCUCAAGUUGGAUAAUUAAUAGCGGGUGCACAAACCACAUGACAGGGGAGAAAAUGAUGUUCUCCUACGAGAAAAACGAAGAUCCCCAAAGAGCUAUCACAUUCGGGGAUGGAAAUCAAGGUUUGGUCAAAGGACUUGGUAAAAUUGCAAUAUCUCCUGACCACUCUAUUUCCAAUGUUUUUCUUGUAGAUUCUUUAGAUUAUAACUUGCUUUCAGUUUCUCAAUUAUGCAAAAUGGGUUACAACUGUCUUUUUACGGAUAUAGGUGUUACUGUCUUUAGAAGAAGUGAUGAUUCAAUAGCAUUUAAGGGAGUAUUGGAGGGUCAGCUAUACUUGGUUGAUUUUAAUAGAGUUGAACUCGAUACUUGCUUAAUUGCUAAGACUAAUAUGGGUUGGCUCUGGCAUCACCGACUAGCCCAUGUUGGGAUGAAGAAUCUUCACAAGCUUCUAAAGGGAGAGCACAUUUUGGGACUAACCAAUGUUCAUUUUGAGAAAGACAUGAUUUGUAGCGCAUGUCAAGCAGGGAAGCAAGUUGGAGCUCAUCAUCCACACAAGAACAUCAUGACGACUGAUAGGCCGCUUGAGCUACUCCAUAUGGACCUAUUCAGCUGAUAGCUUACAUAAGCAUCGACGGGAGUAAGUAUUGUCUUGUAAUUGUGGAUGAUUAUUAUCGCUUCACUUGGGUGUUCCUUUUGCAGGAAAAAUCUCAAACCCAAGAAACAUUAAAGGGAUUCUUGAUACGGGCUCAAAAUGAGUUCGGAUUAAGGAUCAAGAAAAUAAGAAGCGACAACGGGACGGAGUUCAAGAACUCUCAAAUUGAAGGCUUUCUUGAGGAGGAGGGCAUCAAGCAUGAGUUCUCUUCUCCCUACACACCUCAGCAAAAUGGUGUAGUGGAGAGGAAGAAUAGAACUCUAUUGGACAUGGCAAGGACCAUGCUUGAUGAGUACAAGACUCCUGACCGGUUUUGGGCUGAGGCGAUUAACACCGCCUGCUACUCCAUCAACCGGCUCUACCUUCACCGAAUCCUCAAGAAGACAUCUUAUGAACUCCUCACCGGUAAAAAGCCCAAUGUUUCAUAUUUUAGAGUCUUUGGUAGCAAAUGCUUUAUUCUUAUUAAAAGAGGUAGAAAAUCUAAAUUUGCUCCUAAGGCUGUAGAAGGCUUUUUACUUGGUUAUGACUCAAACACAAGGGCAUAUAGAGUCUUGUUGGGGACUUGUUCUCAAAUGCUAAGAAUUAAGAACAAGGCAACACAAAAAAUGUUAAGCGUUAAGGUCCUUCGUCCUCCAUAACAAUAUAUCCCCUCGGGAUAUAUAGCAUCUCGGACGAAGGUUACGAAGGUCAUACCUUCGUAAGCAUAACAAAGAAGAAUGAAGCAUUCACAUAAAUCAUAGAAUAUGAAAUAAACAUUUAAAUAUUGUCAUAGAAUUAUCUCUACUUAUAUCAAUGAAUAUAAAUGAUUUUGAAUUACAAACGUACCUUCGGUCCUGCGGAAGGCAAAAGUACAAGCGUGAUGCGAAAGCAAAUGAUAAGUUCGCUUGAACAGUACAGAGGUACUGUUCAUCUAUUUAUAGGCACAGGUCGCAGCCUGUGACAAAUUACAAUUAUGCCCCUUGCGAAAGUUUACAGCAUUGACUCAGACCUAUAUGUAUAAAAAGGUCAUUCUAUCUCUAUGUCGGUUUAAAACGCCGAAGCUCCAUGAAAAGGGACCUUCGGCCAUCUCCUGGAGACGACUUCAGCCGAAGCUGCUUCUUCGUGUGAGACCUUCGGCGCACCGAAGCACGACCCCAACAGUAGCCCCUUUCGCGGUGCUAGAUCGUUCUUCGUAACGAGCUUGACCCGUGAAAAAAGCCUCUUCAGCUUCGGGAAGCCGAAGGUCCAAAAAACACCUUCCCUGAGCUCGUUGCGGAGAAACGAUCCGACUUCCGAGCGCGUGUCGGUCCCACCUUGCAGAGUUACUGUUUGAUCCUUGCGGUCCACUGCGCAGCGGGUAUGAGUUACUGCGCGCCUGGUGUAACAAUUCCGCCGCUUCGCCUUCUUACCUGCAGUACUAUAUAAACAAGCAGGUAGGUGUGAAGUUACCACAGCAUUCAUUGCUAUUUGCACUGUUUUGCUGCCGAAAUUUUCCAUCAUAGCCGAAGCUUAAAUUCCAAAAUCGAACGAAGGUCCGUCUCGACGCUUGCUUCGUCAGAAAGAAGAGCUUCGGGAAAAAAGAAAAAAGAAAAAGGUUUCUGACUUCGCCAAAUUCAGAAUCAAAUGGCGAGAGUGCGAUCUACUGCCAAAGUUGUUCGUGAGGGAGACGAAGCCGAAAGUUCAGGCACUGUGCCCGUCUCCGAAGCGAUGCAGCGCUCCGGUCUAGUGACUGCGGAAGAGGGGCCUGGUGCCGAAGCAAACCCGACAACAGCCGAAGAAGAAAACAUUGAUGGGACUGACUCCGAGGAUGACUACGACAUUGCUACACCCAGCAAGCCCAGUCACCUGGAUUUUGGAAAAUCAACUGUUUCAAAAGCUGACCUUGCGAAGAUGGUAAAAGCAGGUUUUUUCAAUGAAGAUCAGAAGAAGCUACUUCGCUUCGGGGGAGAGGAGUCUACCCCGAAGCCAGAGAAGGAUGAGAUUGUAAUUUUCAAAAGCUUUUUAAAAGCUGGGCUGAGAUUUCCUCUCCAUGGAAUUAUUGGAGAUGUGUUGCAAAAAUUUGGCAUUUAUUUUCACCAAUUGACUCCUAACGCCAUCGUUAGACUCAAUGUUUAUAUCUGGGCCCUCCGAAGCCAAGCUGUGGAACCGUUUGCCGACAGCUUCUGCCGAGCCCACGAAUUACAUUACCAAACAAAGGCCAGAACAGACGGACUACACGAUAAUUUCGGCUGUUACAAUUUUGUCUACCGGAAGACAACAAAGUGUCCUGUCAUCAGCUACCGAAGCAAAUGGCCAGCAGGCUGGAAGUCUGAGUGGUUCUACGUAAAAGUUGACGAAGACAGAGAAAAAUUGGUACAAAGCCCUCUGGAAUUAAUCUUCGGAGAGACGAGGCCACGCUGCCGCAUCGGUGAUUUAAAGGGUCCCACCUGGGCUGCUCUGGGUGAAUUUGAAAUUAUCUCAAAAAAUAUUGGCACCAGGGAUCUAGUUCAGGAAUUCUUGGCAUUCAGGGUUUUCCCUACUCUAAAAGAGUGGGAAAUGCCGAAGCUGGAGGGAGAGAAGAAGGAGGGGAGCUAGUUCGUCUGCCUUAUCACUUUAAAUUCAAGAAGUACUUUAAGAAACCCUGCAAAGAGUGGUUAGACACAGUUGAGACAAUGUGCAAUGAAAUCUUGGGGAAUUACUCCAAAAAGGAGGAUCAAUUAAUGACGGCAGCCUUCGGCACCCGACCGAAGCGGAGGCUGAACCGAGUAUUCGAUGCCCUGGGCCUCGAGUAUCCAGACUAUGAGCAGUUGAAUAAAGGUGCCGAAGGCCACAAAAGAAAAAGAGUGGCUGAAACCGAAACUCUGAUCAGAAGUGAAGAAGGACCAGCAAAGAAAAAGAAAAUUAUCAAGAAAAGAACAAUAUCCACUCCGAAGCGCCAAUCUCCCGAAGAAGAGGGGUCCCCCACACCGCCUUCUACCAGCGACGUGGAUGAAAUUUUAAAGGUAAUGACUGAACCCAUGCCCACGAAGCUAAGUCCACUAGGGCUCCAACUGACGAAGCUUUUUCGAAAGGUGGACGAGCCGGAUCAGACGAAGACAAGCAAACCCAAGCGGCAAAGAAUCAUUGCGGUAACUGAAGUUAUCGAUAAGACGCCGCCAAGGGCGUCAAUCCAAAAAUCGGCAGCUGCCGAAGAUACAACAAUCGUCGAGGGCGUAGCUUCGGGGGUCGCGGCUACCGAAGCCGCUACAGCCGAAGAUACAAACUUAAAAUCCACGAUUGAGAAUAUCAACAAGAUUUUGGAAGACAUGGCUGCGGAAGAAGCUGGUGCGACUACUGAAAAAACCAUGGCCACAGUGCCUGAGAAAGGAAAAGAAAUAGCCGAAGACCCUUCGGACGACGAAGCCUACUCUUUCCAGAACUUAGUUGGGCAAAAACUGACGAAGGACGAAAUAGAAGAACUUAAAGACUACGCCAAGUCUUGCGGCUACAAGUCAGGUGCCCUCCUAUUUGGGGGCAUUGAUGACGAACAGCUGGGCUGCAUUCGGGACUCAGCUGGAGCUAAGGUCAUCGGUACUCUAUCAAAGAGUAUCGGUUUUCCGAAGCUAGAGACAGACAUCAGCCGCUAUCGACGACAACAUAUCGUCGGCAGCUUAUUUUAUUCAAAUUUCAAGGUAAACAUCCUUCUCCCUAACUUCUAUUGCUUUUUAAUAAUGGCAAUAUUCUUUAACGAAGGUUGUUUAUUUGUAGAGCAUGCUUCUAAGCAAAGCUUUGAGGAUGCAGCAAGAUCUAGAAGAUAAGAAGCACGAAGCUAUAAUUGAAAAUUUAGAGAGCAAAAUAAAGGAGCAAUCAGAUGCUUUUGAGAAAAAGAACUUUGAGCUCCAGGCAGCCGAAGGCUUACUGGCGGAAGCUGAAGCAAAAAUAUCAGAACUAAACUCGAAGCUUCUCCGCCAGUCCGAGCAGUUCGAACGAGAAAAACAAGAUCUCAAUGAAAAACUUGAAGCCGGAGCUCAGCAGAAUUCAGAUUUGAGAAAACUACUGACAAAUCUUCAAGAAAAAUGCCUGGGAUUUAGCAACAAGUGCAUUCAACGAUUAAGAAAGAUUUUUUACUCGGUUGGAGCUAGCAGCGAAAAAUUUACCCCCUCAGCUGAAGAUCUACCGAAAACCUUUGAACACAUUGAGGGGGAAAUUGACGAGCUCGACGAAGUCAUAGCUGGGCAUGGUGACUUCUGUGCCUGGGUGGCUUCUCGAGGGACUGCUGCUGCAUUUCUGAAGGCCGGCUGCGAACACGGAAAAAUUGUCAACAGGCCCAACUUCACCUUAUCUCCAUCAAUCCUGGAUGAUAUGCCUGACCUCGCCCGAAGCAUCUCCAAUAGAUUUAUAAAAAUGAUAUGGACAAAAGGCGGGCGGGAGAAAGCUGGAGACGAAGCACGAAGUCAUCUUGAGCCAGUAAGAAAUGAUACUUCGGAGUUACCUUUUUCCUUUGCUCUUGAUUUUUACUCAUAAACUCUUAAUUUAUGUAGGAUGACGAAGGUGAAGAUGAUGCCUAAAUUAUGUCGUCGAAGCUGAAACUUAAUGAAGAUCAGUAGAAGUGUACUGUAGAAAAACUCAGGAUAUUUUUGUAACAAUUCUUGUAAACACAACUAGACUACCUUCAAGGAACUUUGUACAUACCUUGUAAUAUAUUCUUACCCUUUUGCUUGAGGCGCUUUGUUGUGGACGAAAUUAGUAUUUUGAGCCGAAGGCGAAAAAACACCUUCCCUUCUUUUCGUACACAACGAAGCCUAAAAGGUCGCUUCCUCUUUUUGCCGAAGCUUUGCUUUUUUGUACAUGGCAAAACAUAAAAGACUACUUCUCCUUUCUGCCGAAGCUUUCCUUUACAAAACAUAAAAAACUACUUUCUCUUUUCUGCCGAAGCUUUCCUUUACAUGACAAAACAUAAAAGACUACUACUCUUUUACACAACGAUUCAUAAAAAUCCAGUUCUCCCUUAUACUGAAACUUUGCUUUGUGCCAAAGCAACAGAACUUUUCACUUUUGCACACAACAUAACGUAACAAGUCAUAAAAAGGCACUUCUCCGAAGCUUUUUUGCCGAAGCAGCCACUUGGGAACACAAAUGCUAUGAAUGAAUGCUUAUGCAUGCGAAUGUUAUGAUGUAAUGUAAUGCACGAAUGAAUGUCCGAAGGAUAUGUCCGAAGCCAUAUUGUCAGCCAUUACUUGAAAACAACCACACAUUAGCUCUGCAUUCCCUUAGGAACGACUUUGGAGCUUCUUCGCCUCUUACUUAGGCAAUAUCAGCGUUGACUUUUCGCUGUAAGCUCUGCAUCCCCUUAGGGACGUCUUUGGAGCUUCUUCGUCUUUUACUUAGACGGUAUAAGCUCUGCAUUCCCUUGGGAACGUCUUUGGAGCUUCUUCGCCUUUUACUUUCGGCGGAAUCAGCGUUGACUUUUCGCUGUAAGCUCUGCAUCCCCUUAGGGACGUCUUCGGAGCUUUUUUCUCUUUUUCAGCUUCGGCACUCGAUGGUGCGCUCUCAGCUUUUACAUGUACAUCUUUGGGGGAUUUUGCUCUUAUAAAACUAAAAAGAAAAAUUACAUGUGAUGGCCCCAUUAAAAACCUUUCUCCCCCUUUUAGAAAGGAAAAGGGUGCCAUGAAAAAGAAAAGAAAAGUCAAAAUUACAUCGAGUUAUACAUAAAACCGCCGAAGCUCAUCCGCAUUCCAAGAUCUUGGAAUUUCAUUGCCAUCCAUGUCCUUCAGUCUGUACGAACCAGGCCUUGACGAAGAUGCUACUAAGAAAGGCCCUUCCCAUUUCAGUUGCAAUUUGCCCACUGUAUCCGGAUUGGCCACUCUCCGAAGCACCAAGUGUCCUGGCUCAAUAUUUUUUAGCCGGACCUUUCUAUCUCGCCAUUUAACUGUUUCAGCCUGGUACUUAUUGAUAUUCUCCACGGCCUGGAGCCUGAUCCCUUCUAAGGCAUCUUUUUCCACGAGACAAGUAUCUUCGGGACCUGAUUCUGCCGAAGCUACCACUCUUAUUGAUCCAGCUUUGGCCUCUUCCGGGGUUAUUGCUUCGUCACCAAAUAACAACUUAAAUGGGGUAAAGCCUGUAGAUCUUGAUGCUGUUGUGUUAUGGCUCCAUACCACUUUGGUAAGCUGAUCUGGCCACUUUCCCCUUGGUUGAUUGAAGAUUAACUUCAUUAUUCCUGUCAUUAUGAUGCCGUUGGCCCUUUCAACAAGCCCAUUUGACUCCGGGUGCCUGACUGACGCAAAGUGGAUCUUCGUGCCAAUUUGAUCACAAAAAUUUCUGAAUUCUUCGGAGUCAAAUUGUGUUCCAUUAUCUACAGUUAUAGCCUUCGGCACUCCGAAGCGACAGACAAUAUUCUGCCAGAAAAAUUUUUGGACAGUGGCCGAAGUUAUUGUAGCUAAUGGCUUCGCCUCAAUCCACUUGGAAAAAUAUUCCACAGCAACUACAACAUAUCUCAGAUUGCCCUGAGCCGGUGGUAAUGGGCCCAGCAGAUCGAGGCCCCACCUUUGCAGUGGCCAGAUGGGUUGUAUUAGCUGUGUCAAAGACGAAGGUUGUUUUUGAUCUCUUGCACAUUUCUGACAACCUUCGCACUUUUGAACUAACUCAGCUGCAUCCGAAGCUGCCUUCGGCCAAUAAAAUCCUUGACGGAACACUUUUCCAAGUAACGGCCUGGAUCCGAUGUGGGAUCCACAAAGACCUGCAUGUAUCUCCUUCAUUAACUCUAUACCUUCGGCUCUAGACAAGCACUUGAGUAGCGGUGCACAAACUCCAUGCUUGUAUAACUCCCCUUCUAUAAUGAUAUACGGUCGAGCUCUUGCCUCUAUUCUUUUAUUAUAAGCUUCGUCAUCUGAUAGAAAGUUGCCCUGAAGGUAAGAAAUUAUUUCAGUUCUCCAAUCUUCACUGUACACAGGAGAAAUAGUAAGAACUGCUCUUUCAAGUAACUCCACCGAAGGUGCCUUUAUUGUUUCGAAGAAUACAUCCGAAGGUAGCGGCAGCCCCUGUGCUGCAGACCUGGCUAACAAAUCAGCAUGUUCAUUCUGCCCUCGAGGGAUAUUCUUAACAGAAAAUCCUUCGAAGGAAGCUUCAAUCCUUCGGACUGUGUCUAGGUAUUUUUCAAGCUUCGGGUCUUUAGCCUUGCAACUUUUGUCAAUAUGUCCCGAAACAAUCUGAGAAUCAGUUUUAAGGAUCGCUCUCCUGAUCCCCAUCGCCUUUAGUUUCCGAAGACCCAGGAGCAAGGCUUCGUACUCAGCAAUAUUAUUUGUGCAGCUGAAAUCCAGUCUUGCUGCAUAGCAAGUUUUAAUCUUGGACGGUGAAACCAAAACAGCAGCUGCUCCUGCUCCGAAGGUUCCCCAGGAGCCAUCACAAAACACUGUCCAUGCUUCGGCAUCUUUAUUCGCUUCUUCGCCCUGAGCCCCAGGCGUCCAGUCGGCAAUAAAAUCUGCCAAUGCUUGAGACUGGAUCGAGGAUCUGUGCACAUAAUCAAUGUAAAAUUCAUUAAGCUCCGCAGCCCAUUUUCCAAUUCGGCCAGUAGCUUCUUUAUUUCUCAUGAUAUCUUUCAACGGCUGCGAAGAAGGAACAAUAAUAUUAUAUGCCUGAAAAUAAUGCCGAAGCUUCCUGGAUGCCAUUAGAACGGCAUAUAACACCUUCUCCAGUUCUGUAUAAUUUUUCUUUGAGACACUAAGGACCUCAGAUACAAAAUAUACUGGGACCUGCUUCUUGAUUUGUCCAUCAAACUUCUCCUGCACAAGUGCCGCACUUACUGCUGAGUGCGAAGCUGCCACAUACAACAACAGAGGAGCCCCUGGCAUUGGUGGAGUUAAUGUUGUUAGAUCUAUCAGGUAUUGCUUGAGUUCUUCAAAAGCUUUUUGCUGAGCUGGGCCCCAUUGAAAGACUUCAGCUGAUUUUAGUACUUCGAAGAAGGGUAGAUUUCUUUCCGCUGAUCUGGAUAUAAAUCUGUUAAGAGAUGCCAGUCUUCCUGUCAAUCUUUGGGCCCCCUUUCUUGUGGUUGGUGGCUCCAUUCGAAGUAUAGCUUCGAUUUUAUUUGGGUUAGCUUCAAUUCCCUUUGUUGAAACCAAGCAUCCAAGGAACUUACCCUUCUUUACUCCGAAGACACAUUUUUCUGGAUUCAGCUUCAGACCAGCUUGUCUGAAGCUGGCGAAGGUCUCCUGCAGAUCAGCAAUAUGGUCUUCUUGCUUCGUGCUUUUUACAAUAAUGUCAUCAACAUAGGUCAACACAUUUCUGCCUAUCUGAGAUUGGAGAACCUUCGCAGUCAUCCUGCUGAAACUCCCUCCAGCAUUCUUAAGCCCCUCAGGCAUCCGAAGAUAGCAAUAUGUACCACUUGGGGUUAUGAAACUAGUCUUCGGCUCAUCCUCCUUUUUCAUCCAGAUUUGAUGAUAGCCUGAGUAACAGUCCAGGAGACUCAUGAGUUCCGAAGAAGCUGCUGCAUCAACUAAAGAGUCUAUCCUUGGCAGCGGGAACUCAUCCUUCGGACAAGCCUUGUUGAGAUCUGUGAAAUCAAUACACAUUCUCCACUUUCCAUUGGCCUUCUUCACCAUAACAGUGUUAGCUAGCCAUUCUGGAUACUUUACUUCUCUGAUAACUCCUGCACUUAGGAGUCUUUUUACUUCGUUGCGGGCCCCUUCGGCCUUGUCAUCAGACAUUUUCCGAAGCCUCUGCUUGCGGGGUCUAAAGGAUGGGUCAAUAUUGAGCGAAUGUUCAAUAACAUCCCGAUUCACUCCACAUAGAUCAUUGGCUGACCAUGCAAAAACAUCUUUAUUGUUGAAUAAAAACCUUAUCAAGGUUUUCUCUUGAUCUUCAGAUAAUUGCGAGCCCAAUAGCACCUUCUGCUCUGCUAUAUCCUCACACAGCAGCAUGGGCUUCGGCUGAUCAGCCGAAGCUGCUUUUUCCCUCCUGAACUUGUACUGUUCACAAGCUUCAGCUCCAUCUAUAUUAUGGAUUGCCUUGGAAUCAGUCCAGCUUCCUUCGGCCCUUCUGGCAGCUUCCUGACUCCCAUGAAUAGCAAUAGGCCCUUGGUCCGAAGGUAUCUUCAUGCAGAGAUAAGCUGGGUGAAGAAUUGCUUCAAAAGCAUUUAGAGUACCACGACCAAUGAUGGCGUUGUAGGGGUAUUCCAUGUCAACAAUAUCAAACACAAUUUGCUCAGUCCUUGUGUUAUUAACAAAUCCGAAGGUUACCGGCAUGGUAAUCUUCCCGAGUGCCACAAUCUGCCGCCCUCCGAAGCCACAAAGAGGGUGCGUAGCAUCAUGAAUCUUGUCUUCAGGCUCUUGCAUCUGUCUGAAGGCUUUGGCAAAUAUAAUGUCAGCUGCACUGCCUGUGUCAACUAGAACAUUGUGAACCAGAAACCCUUUGAUCACACAAGAAAUGACCAUAGCAUCAUUGUGGGGAUAGUCCUUGAGCUGAAGAUCUUCCUGAGAGAAGGUAAUUGGAAUGUGAGACCAUUUUGACUUAAUGAAGGGUCCCUGCACUCCAACAUGCUGCACCCUUCUCUGAGCCUCCUUCUUCUGCUUUUUGUUAGCUGGCUCUGAGCAAGAACCGCCUGUUAUCGGGAGCACCAGCUUCGAAGCCGAAGCAGCUCCAGCUUGAGUGUUGAACGAAGCCAUCAGCUCAGAAAUGUGGAAGUGAGUUGACCGGAGGUGGGCGCCAAUGUUGGGGACUUGUUCUCAAAUGCUAAGAAUUAAGAACAAGGCAACACAAAAAAUGUUAAGCGUUAAGGUCCUUCGUCCUCCAUAACAAUAUAUCCCCUCGGGAUAUAUAGCAUCUCGGACGAAGGUUACGAAGGUCAUACCUUCGUAAGCAUAACAAAGAAGAAUGAAGCAUUCACAUAAAUCAUAGAAUAUGAAAUAAACAUUUAAAUAUUGUCAUAGAAUUAUCUCUACUUAUAUCAAUGAAUAUAAAUGAUUUUGAAUUACAAACGUACCUUCGGUCCUGCGGAAGGCAAAAGUACAAGCGUGAUGCGAAAGCAAAUGAUAAGUUCGCUUGAACAGUACAGAGGUACUGUUCAUCUAUUUAUAGGCACAGGUCGCAGCCUGUGACAAAUUACAAUUAUGCCCCUUGCGAAAGUUUACAGCAUUGACUCAGACCUAUAUGUAUAAAAAGGUCAUUCUAUCUCUAUGUCGGUUUAAAACGCCGAAGCUCCAUGAAAAGGGACCUUCGGCCAUCUCCUGGAGACGACUUCAGCCGAAGCUGCUUCUUCGUGUGAGACCUUCGGCGCACCGAAGCACGACCCCAACAAGUCUUCAACAAAUCCACUGGAUUAGUUGAGGUUUCUUGUGACAUUGUGUUUGAUGAGACUAACGGCUCUCAAAUAGAGCAAGUUGAUCUUGAUGAGCUAGAUGAUGAAGAGGCUCCGUGCGUCGCGCUAAGGAACAUGUCCAUUAGGGAUGUGUGUCCUAAGGAAUCCGAAGAGCCUCUACAAGCACAAGAUCAACUGUCAUCUUCCAUGCAAGCAUCUCCACCAACCCAAGAUAAGGAUCAAGCUCAAGGUGAUGAAAAUGAAGAUCAAGAGGAUGAGCCACCUCAAGAGGAGGACAAUGAUCAAGGGGGAGAUAACAAUGAUCAAGACAAUAAAGAUGAGGAAGAAGUACAGGGUCAAAGACCGGCACACCCAAGAGUCCAAGUGAUUCAAAGAGAUCACCCCGUGAACUCCAUCCUCGACGAUAUUCAUAAGGGGGUAACAACUCGAUCUCGAGUUGCUCAUUUUUGUGAACAUUACUCUUUUGUGUCUUCUAUUGAGCCAUACAGGGUGGAAGAUGCAUUAAGAGAUUCGGAUUAGGUGUUGGCAAUGCAAGAGGAACUCAACUUUACAAGGAAUGAGGUAUGGCAUUUAGUUCCACGUCCUAACCAAAAUGUUGUAGGAACCAAGUGGGUUUUUCGCAACAAACAAGAAGAGCAUGGUGUGGUGACAAGGAACAAAGCCUGACUUGUGGCCAAGGGCUAUUCACAAGUCGAAGGUUUGGAUUUUGGUGAAACUUAUGCACCCGUAGCUAGGCUUGAGUCAAUUCGCAUUUUACUUGCCUAUGCUACUUACCAUGGCUUUAAGCUUUACCAAAUGGAUGUGAAAAGUGUCUUCCUCAAUGGACCAAUCAAGGAAGAAGUCUAUGUUGAGCAACCUCCCGGCUUUGAAGAUAGUAAGUACCCUAACCAUGUUUAUAAACUCCCAAAGGCGCUUUAUGGGCUCAAGCAAGCCCCAAGAGCAUGGUAUGAAUGCCUAAGAGAUUUCCUUAUCACUAAUGGCUUCAAAGUCGGAAAACUCGAUCCUACUCUCUUUACUAAAACAAUUGCAAAUGAUUUGUUUGUAUGCCAAAUUUAUGUUGAUGAUAUCAUAUUUGGGUCUACUAACAAAUCUACAUAUGAAGAGUUUAGUAGGAUUAUGAUUCAAAAAUUCGAGAUGUAUGAUGGGGGAGUUGAAGUAUUUUCUAGGAUUUCAAGUGAAGCAACUCCAAGAGGGCACCUUUAUCAGCCAAACAAAGUACAUACAAGACAUACUUACCAAGUUUGGAAUGAAGGAUGCCAAGUCCAUCAAGACACCCAUGGGAACCAAUGGGCAUCUCGACCUCGACACGGGAGCUAAAUCCGUAGAUCAAAAGGUAUAUGGGUCGAUGAUAGGAUCUCUACUCUAUCUAUGUGCAUCUCGACCGGAUAUUAUGCAUUGCGUAUGCAUGUGUGCAAGCUUCCAAGCCGAUCCUAAGGAAGUUCACCUUAGGGCCGUGAAAAGAAUCAUGAGAUAUUUAGUUUAUACACCUAAGUUUGGUCUUUGGUACCCCAAGGGAUCCAGCUUUGAUUUAAUAGGUUAUUCAGAUGUUGAUUGGGCAGGGUGUAAAAUUUAUAGAAAGAGCACAUCAGGGACUUGUCAGUUUUUGGGGAGAUCCCUGGUGUCUUGGGCUUCAAAGAAACAAAAUUCAGUAACUCUUUCUACCGCCGAAGCCGAGUAUAUUGCCGCAGAUCAUUGUUGUGCGCAAUUACUUUGGAUGAGGAAAACCCUCAGGGACUAUGGCUACAAAUUGAGCAAACUCCCUCUCCUAUGUGACAAUGAUAGUGCAAUCCGCAUGGCGGAUAAUCCCGUUGAACACAGCCGCACUAAGCACAUAGCCAUUCGGUAUCACUUUUUGAGGGAUCACCAACAAAGGGGGGAUAUCGAGAUAGCUUAUGUUAACACCAAAGAACAAUUAGCUGAUAUCUUUACCAAGCCAUUAGAUGAGAAAACCUUUACCAAACUUAGGAACGAGCUAAACAUUCUUGAUUCUAGGAACUUUGAUUGAAACUUUGCACACAUAGCUCAUUUAUAUACCUUUGAUCAUAUCUCUUUUAUGUCUAUGACUAAUGUGUUUUCAAGUUUAUUUCUAUGCUAAGUCGUAGAUUGAAAGGGAAAUGGAGUCUUCGGCGAAGACAAGGCUUCCACUCCACUCUAUCGGUAUUAUUUACCCUUCACCAUCACUCCACAUCACUCUCACUUUGGUAUAAUCUUCACUCAUAUUUACUUGUACUAAUGGGAGAGAAAAAGGGCUCACAAAGUCUCUGUUUUUGGCGAUUAAUGCCAAAGGGGGAGAGAGUAUUAGCCCAAAGCAAAAGGACCGCACCACCACCAAAUUUUCAAAAAAAUUCGAAAUAAAGUUUUCAAUUGGUAUCCAUAUUUCAAAUUGAUAUAUUUAAAGGAGGAUUUUUCAAUUGGUAUCUAAAUCCUUUUCAUAUUGAUAAAACCCUCUUGAAAACUAAGAGGAGAAUUUCAUCCGGGGGGAGUUUUGUUUUAGUCAAAGGAAAAGCAUUUGAAACAGGGGGAGAAAAUUUCAAAUCUUGAAAAUGCUUCUCAAAAUAUUAUUCAUAUACCUUUGACUAUUUGCAAAAAUACUUUUAAAAAAAGGAUUUUCCAAAAGAAUUUGCAAAAACAAAACAAGUGGUGCAAAUGUGGUCCAAAAUGAUAAAAGAAAGAAAGCAAUCCAUGCAUAUCUAGUGAAAGUAUAAAUUGGUUUAAUUCCAAGCAACCUUUGCACUUGCCUUAUGCAAACUAGUUCAAUUAUGCACUUAUAUAUUUGCUUUGGUUUGUGUUGGUAUCAAUCACCAAAAAGGGGGAGAUUGAAAGGGAAAUAGGGUCAAACCUUUUUCUAAAUGAUUUUGGUGGUUGAAAUGCACAACACAAAUAAUUAGACUAACUAGUUUGCUCUAGAUUAUACAUUCUACAGGUGCCAAAGGUUCAACACAAACCAAUAAAAAGAUCAAAGUUAAGGUUCAAAUCAAAGGAGCAAAAGAAACCGAAGAGAACCCUGGUCUGGCGCACCGGACUAUCCGGUGUGCCACCGGACAAUGUCUGGUGCACCACCGGACAGUGUCCGGUGCACCAGGGGCCGUACAGAUUGAACUCUUCACCUUCGGGUUUCUAGAGAGCCGCUCCGCUAUAAUUCACCGGACUGUCUGGUGUGCCAGCAGAGCAACGGCUGGUGAGCGCAACAGUCGACUCCAACGGUCGCCUGCAACGUGAACAGUGCACGGACAGUUCGCGUAGAGUCAGAGCAGCGCCAGAAGGCGCACCAUACAGUGAACAGUACAUGUCCGGUGCGGCACCGGACCCAAGAUGUCAGAGCUCAAACGUUCGAAACCGUCAGAACCCUAACGGUUGGGUGACGUGACUAGCGCACCGGACUGUCUGGUGCGCCCAUCGACAGCAACCCUCCCCAACGGCUGUUUUGGUGGUUGGGGCUAUAAAUAACCCCCCCAACCACCACUAUUCAAGGUAUCCAAGUUUCCAGCAUAUUACAUUCAAUACAAGAGCUCUAGACUUUACUCCAAGACACAAACAAGAGAUCAAAUCCUCUCCAAAGUCCAAAACCACUCCAAACACUUAGUGACUUGUGAGAGAGAUUUUCGUGUUAAUUUGAGUUCUUGUCGCUUGGAUCGCUUUCUUCUUCCUCUUUCUUGUUCUCAAGACACUUGUAAUCAAAGCAAGAGACACCAAGUUGUGGUGGUCCUUGUAGGGGUCUAUGUGACCCGUUUGAUUAAGGAGAAAGCUCACUCGGUCUAGGUGACCGUUUGAGAGAGGGAAAGGGUUGAAAGAGACCCGGUCUUUGUGACCACCUCAAUGGGGACUAGGUUUGCAAGAACCGAACCUCGGUAAAACAAAUCAUCGUGUCAUCUGCUCUAUUUCUUUGAUUGAUUUGUUUUUCCCCUCUCUUUCGGACUCGGUUUUAUUUCCAACGCUAACCCUGGCUUGUAGUUGUGCUUUAAGUUUAUAAAUUUCAGUUUUCGCUUAUUCACCCCCCCCCUUUAGGCGACUUUCAGGUAAUCUGAUGAAGGAAGAUCUGGUAUAUCUUCAACACUUCAACCACAAACUUGCUUAGUGGAAACCGAAGACCUGCCUUUAGGAAGCUUCGUGUUGGGGCGAAGGCAAAGACGCCACCCUUCGCUCGAGGCCUUCGCUGUAGUCGUUGGUCCAACGGAGAUAAAACGGGCAGGGACACCCUUCGCCCCAUACGACAUCAGACGAAGGCGUGCGACGAAGUCAUCCCACCGUGCGGCCUCGUCCAGCUCGGAGGCCCACGUGUGAUCCGGCCCACUCUAACGGGCCCUACGUGGCCGCUGUGUGUUACGGGCCUAAUUUGUAAAGGCAUCCCUGUAAUUACAGUCUGUAACCCUGCUUUAUGGGAAUAUUCUGGGGAUAACCUAGGUGUCUGAGGGCACAUGCGUCCUUAACACAAGACGCUGGGCGCUCAGACACCUAUAAAUACCCCCGCACAGUGCCCGUGAGAGGCUAGAUUAACCGAGCUAUUGCCAUCUUGCGCGAGAACCCUAUUAACGUCCCUGUUCACCCUUGUUGGAUCCCCUUGCAACUGAGAGCAAGUUCCAACAUUUGGCGCCCACCGUUCGUGCUACGAGAAAACCACCCGCGAUGGCACCCAAGAAAGCUAACCCGAAGGCUGACGAGGCUGCGAAGGCAGCACUACUUGCUGCAAGAAAGGGCAAGGCCCUCGCCCUCACCCAAUCCACCCACCAAGAGGCCACUGAAGACGACGUUCUCCGCACCUGCGAAGACGACACUCUCCGCACCUGCGGCCCUGAAGGACAAUCGCAGCCACCCCCAGGCUUCGCCACACUGGAGGGCGCGGACCUCACCGAGGACGGGGAAGUCCUCGGCGUCUCAGCGGAAGAACAGCUACAGCUGCGCGCCCUGCGCCUCAAGAACCGCAAUCUCCAGAGGCAGAAAGAGAUACUGGAGGCCAAGCGCCAGCGCGUGUCCGCACUAGCCAAAGUGUGGCAAAUGAUACGCGACGAAGAACAGAAGGCCCAGGACCUCAAGCGGGAGAUCGCGCUAAUGCAGCGCGAAGGCCACCUUGGCCUGCAGCACGGGCCACCCCUGCAGCAGCGCGCACAGCUGGAAGACAUGCGCGAAGGCCACCUCGGCCUGCAGCAUGGGCCACCCCUGCAACAGCGCGCACAACCGGAAGACCCGUGUUUCCCCCAGCGCGACCACACCUUCCCGCACGCCGCGCCAUUCCAAGGGGUCAACUACCUUGACGAGCGAAGUCCCCUGGCGCCACACCUGCAAGUGAUGCCUUGGCCCGCUAACUUCCGGGCAGGGACCUAUCCCAAGUACAACGGCAGCACCGACCCAGCACAAUACAUAAUGCGUUAUCAGGUCGCCGUUGCAUCUUCCGGAGGGGACGACGCCACAAUGGCCAAGUCUUUCAUCAUCGCCCUCGAAGGCCCAGCUCUCACCUGGUUCACCAGGUUGCCUCCGUUGUCCAUUGAUUCCUGGAGAAGCCUCCGGGACAAGUUCCUGCUCAACUUCCAAGGGUACCGCCCAGACACCGACGCCUUGGCCGAACUCUCGCUCUGCAAGCAGCUGGAAAAGGAGACUCUGUGGGAGUAUUACCGCAAAUUUUUAACACUCAAGUCACAGCUGCCCUCAGUCGAUGACCAGAUCGCUAUCCACUACGCUAUCAGUGGCCUUCGCGCCGGCGUCCUCUAUAGCCACUGCAUCAGAGAUCCGCCCAAGAACCUCCAGGAAUUAUAUCAGCUGUUUGAAAAAUACGCCAAAUCCGAAGAGCUCCACCAGCGCAAGGUUGAGUCCCAAAGGAAGCCCAAAGAUGCUCCACAGUCCAGCCGCACGUGGACGAGGACUCCACAGCCAGACUCCGGUCGAGACGGCCGCAAUCAACAGCAAGUGCACAACAUCGCCAACCAGCACCCCGCUGCUGACGCCCCUCGUCGCCAGGAAUAUCCCCCCCAGGGCCGCGGAAAUGGAACUCGCGGUCGGGGUCGAGGCGUGCGCAGCCGCCGCGCCGAUUCUACUGCCUCUUCCAUGGCGAAGACUGUGCCCACCAAACCAAAGACUGCCCAGAAACAAAGGCCACUAGAGACAGGAUGGCACGGGCGCAGCCAGCCGACAACCCCAGAGUUGUCGCACACACAUACCAGCAACCCCCUCCACCAUAUAUCCACGCCCCCGCCCCGCAUCCACCGCACCACGCUUACCAACACCAUCAGGAAGUACAAAUCGUACCUCCCCCACCCCCACCACCACACCAGCAACAUCAAAACAUCCCCCACGCCCCGAAGCAGGAAGACUUCGCCGAUCAGCCGUAUCGCGGAGUCAUUCACAUGAUAACUGGGCGGUCCAGCACUGACUUCGACACAAAGCGGCAGAAGCGGGACCACUACCGCAGCAUCAACCACGUCGCCGUCACUGGCCCAGUCGUGCAGACAAAGUGGUCCCACAUACCGCUAACCUUCGAUGCACGAGACGUCGACCUGCGCAGCGCCGCCCACUGCGACGCCAUGGUUAUCAAUUGCAGCGUGGCAGGCUGGGACCUGCACAAAGUCCUAGUCGACAAUGGCAGUCAGGCGGACAUCAUCUUCCUCCAUGCCUUCGAUCGCAUGGGCAUAAGCCACAGCCUGCUCAAGCCUUCAGACAACCCGUUGUAUGGCUUCGGCGGCAAGGGCACCUUUCCUGUCGGCAAAAUAGAGCUGCCUCUCUCCUUCGGUGUAGCACCCAAUGCCCGAAGUGAGCAAGUAACCUUUGAUAUUGUGGAUAUGGUAUAUCCAUACAAUGCCAUCAUGGGCCGGGGCUCCAUCAAUAAGUUCGAAGCAGCCAUUCACGGACUGUACCUAUGUAUGAAGAUACCAGGUCUGUUAGGCGUUAUUACGGUCUACGGCAAUCAACAGACUGCGUGCAACAUAGAGCGGGACUUCGUACCCGGUCAGAGAAACGUGCACUGCCUCACGGCCCAGCGCGAGGUCCCCGCGCCCGCCAGCCCAACCGAUAAACAGCACGACAAGGCACAGCUGCAGAGCAACGACGGGACCGAGACUGUCCCCCUCGACCAGGCCACGCCCAUGCAGACAGUCACUAUCAGCGAAGACCUCACUUCGCAUGAAGAGGAGAAGCUCCUCUGCUGCCUGUCCAAGAACAAGGAUGUCUUCGCCUGGUCAGCCCUCGACCUGGUCGGGGUCAGCCGAUCCAUAAUCGAGCACAGCUUGGGAAUCGACCCUUCAGUGAGGCCGAAAAAACAGAGGCUUCGCAAGAUGUCCGACGAGAAGACAGAGGCCGCCAAGGCAGAAGUGCACCGCCUCCUGGAAGCCAAAUUCAUCGAGCCGGUGGCUUACCCCACAUGGCUCUCCAAUGUUGUGAUGGUGCAGAAAAAGAGCGGGAAGUGGCGAAUGUGCAUCGACUUCACCAGCCUCAAUAAGGCCUGCCCAAAGGACAACUUCCCGUUGCCGCGGAUCGACAAAAUAGUCGAUAGCGCGGCCGGAUGCGAAGUCAUGUCACUCCUUGACUGCUUCUCCGGGUACCACCAGAUAUACAUGAAGGAGGAAGACAAGGCUAGCACCAGCUUUAUAACACCCUUCGGCACAUAUUGCUUCAUCAGAAUGCCGGAGGGACUCAAGAACGCCGGGUCCACCUUCUCCAGGCUUACCAAGAUAGUGCUCGACGGGCAAGUUGGCAGAAAUAUAUUCACAUAUGUGGACAACAUCGUCGUCGCCAGUAAGAGCAAGGCGGACCAUCUCACUGACCUCGCCGAGACAUUCGCCUCAUUAAAACAGCACCUGUCGGAGUUGGCAGUCCUUACAAGCCCCGACCCUUCACUACCUCUGUUGCUCUAUGUUGCGGCUUCGCCGCAUGCGGUCAGCGCGGCACUGGUGCAGGAGCAGACAGUUGAGGGCGUGAUCAGGCAGUGCCCAAUUUAUUACGUCUCCGAAGUGCUGACGCCGUCCAAAUGUAACAUGAUAGAGCUGGAGAAGAUUGCCUACGCAGUCGUCAUGUCUUCGCGCAAAUUGCGCCAUUAUUUCGAAGCAUUCAAGGUACGGGUCACCUCAGACAGGGGACUCGGCGAAUUGUUCAGAAACCCGGAAGCAUCGGUGAGGAUUGCCAAGUGGGUGGCCGAACACUCCGGCUACCACAUCAAUUUCGAGCCUAGGACAGCCAUCAAGUCACAAGUCAUGGCAGACUUCGUCGUCGACUGGACUGGGCCAAUAACACAGCCGGACCCGUCCGCAGAAAAGGUUUGGAUGAUCCACUGCGACGGCGCAUGGUGCCAUGCGGGGGCAGGUGCCAUGGCAGUCAUCACCUCGCCAGCCGGAGUCAAGCACAGAUAUGCGGCUCGCCUCAGCUUCGCUCUGGAAUCCGACAGAUGCACAAAUAAUAUAGCAGAAUACGAAGCAGUCAUCCUGGGUCUCCACAAGCUGAGGGCCCUUGGGGUCACCACCUGCAUCAUCAAAACAGACUCCAAGGUAGUUGCCGGCCAGGUCGAGAAAGACUAUGCAGCAAAGGACCCCGCACUCAUGCAAUACCUCGCGGCCAUCCGAAGUCUCGAGAGACAAUUCAAUGGAUUCACUUUGCAGCAUGUGGACCGGGCCAAGAAUGAAGAGGCCCAAGGGCUCCAAAUAACCAAUGACAGCGAGGGCCACCGAAUAGUCAACCUUAUCAUGACCGAAGACUGGCGGGCACCAAUAACUCUGUUCCUAAAGGGGUAUUACCACCCAACCGACAUCAACGAGGCCAAGCGCCUCAAACAUCGAAGCCGGGACUUUGCACUGAUUGAGGGCCAACUCUACAAGAAGGGGGUCAGUCAGCCAAUGCUCAAAUGCGUCACCGAAACCGAAGGUGUCCAGAUCCUACGCGAAGUCCACAGUGGUACCUGCGGCUCUCACGCAGGGCCAAGGGCCCUAGCUGCUAAGGUGAUCCGCCAAGGUUUCUACUGGCCCGCAAUGAUCUGCGCCGCAAAUCGGGUCACAAGGUCCUGCGAAGCCUGCCAGAAGUUUUCCCCCCGAUCAGGCAGCCUUCGCAAUUUACAAAGCUGAUCGCCCACACAUGGCCUCUCCAGCGCUGGGGCCUAGACAUCGUCGGGCCCCUACCCACGGCUCAGGGGAACCUUAAGUUCGCCUUCGUCGCUGUCGAAUACUUCACCAAAUGGAUCGAGGCAAGGGCCGUCUCCACAAUAACAUCAAAGACUGCCCAAAAAUUCUUUUGGCAAAACAUUGUUUGCCGCUUCGGAGUACCGUCCGAACUAACAGUCGACAACGGCAAGCAGUUUGACAGCCAAGACUUCAAGGAUUUUUGCUUCUCCAUCGGCACCAAGCUUGCCUUCGCCUCAGUCUAUCACCCGCAGUCCAACGGAGUUGUGGAACGAGCCAAUGGAAAAAUCUUCACAGCUGUCAAAAAGAUGCUCCUUGACGAAAAAAGGACAAGUGGGCCGAUUUGUUACCUGAGGCGGUCUGGGCACUAAACACGACUGAGUGCAGGGCGACCGGGUUCACUCCUUUCCGCCUUCUAUACGGAUCGGAGGCCAUGACCCCACAAGAAAUAAAACAUGGGUCCCCGCGAACAGUCCCUUCAGCCGUCCCCGACGUGGACGAGCCCACUUCAAAGGAUCUCAUCGAUGGAGACCGAGUCUUCGCCCUACAAGCUCUGAACAAAUACCAAGCCCAGACAAAAGCAUGGCGCGACCAUGCAGUCGUCCCAAGGGAAUUCAACGAAGGGGACCUCGUACUCGUCCGAACAGCUCGGACAGAGUCCAGGGGCAAGCUGGAGCCCAGGUGGGAGGGCCCCUUCAUAGUCAAGACGAAAGCUUCCCCCAGCGCUUACAGGCUCACAACGCCAAGCGGCGAAGACCUGAAGCACUCCUGGAACAUCGACAACCUCCGCAAAUUUUUUGUUUGACUCAUCAGGGCCGAUUCGCCCUUGUAAUUCGCAAAAACAAUUUUAUUCUGGCACGCACUCUUUUCCUCCCGGGGGGUGAGGUUUUUAACGAGGCGGAGCCAUGUAAUAUACAAGUGAAAAAUCCCCCACAAAAACAUGUGUCGAAAAAAGACCGCGACGACGGUCUUCGACAUUCAACCAAUACGAAGUCACCGCGAGGCUCAGCGCUAGCCACCCUCGCGUGCGACAAAUCCGUGCAAAAGUCGCCUAAGGGUGCAGCCGGACUAGCACAACAAGUGCGAAAAACCGAAGUCUACCGCGAAGACUAUCCGUGCAGAAGUCACCUAAGGGUGCAGCCGGACUAGCACAACAAGUGCGAAAAACCGAAGUCUACCGCAAAGACUAUCUGUGCAAAAGUCGCCUAAGGGCGCAGCCGGACUAGCACAACAAGUGCGAAAAACCAAAGUCUACCGCGAAGACUAUCCGUGCAGAAGUCGCCUAAGGGUGCAGCCGGACUAGCACAACAAGUGCGAAAAACUGAAGUCUACCGCGAAGACUAUCCGUGCAGAAGUCGCCUAAGGGUGCAGCCGGACUAGCACAACAAAAGCAAAAACGAUCACACCAAACUGUCCGCGCCAAGACCGACUAUAUGCGCACCAGUCCAGCAUAACAAAUACACCUGACUAAGUACAUAACGCCUUCGCAAGCAUAGCCAAAUGUGUGGGGGCACACAACCUCAUCACACAAGCCUUUACACAUGUACAAGCGAGGGCACCACACUCUACAUCGGCUCAACCUUAGGAAUAAUUCCCAUCUCCCUAUAGUUAAAUAACAUUAUCCUAAGCUCCUCACCCGCAAAAAGACUUCGCAAUUCCCCUUCACCUGUACUCACGGCGGCUGGCAAAGACAACAGUUCCUGCCGGCCAGCCCUACUCACACGAAGCCGACCUCCCUCCGCCCCACUCACUCUACGCUUCGCAACCGCCCUUCGCCGCCGGCGCCCGGUACUCGGACCAGGCACAUCUUCUGUGUCCGCAGCGUGCGAUGAAGCUUCCACCGCGGCCACAUCCAAGGCCGCAAAGUAGUCCAAGUCCUCCUCCGACGACUCCUCAGUCCACUCAACCGAGCUCCCAGAGUCAGCAAAAUCAAAAAACUCAGACGCAGACCCAUCAUAUUCAUUACCAUCAUCCACGGUCGAAGCCGCCAAAAAAUCAGUAGUGGCGGUUGCGUGCGCAGGCCCAAAAUCUUGAACCUGCGCAGCAACCAAAAUUCAGCAACAUAUCCAAAAUUCUCUAACUACCCACACCCACUACGCCACCUGCGAAGACCCAGCCAUCGCGGGAGCCUCCGCUGUCGCCUCCGCUGUUGCCUCCGCCGCCACCGUCUCAGGAUCCUCAUCCCUCGGCGCAGCGGCUGCGGGGGCAUCAGGAGCGCCUUCGGCAGUUUCCGGGGGCGGCUCCAGGGCGGCCUCAGACACGGCCUCCGCCGGGUUCGACUCCGGGUCAGGCAGCGCGCUGUUCAACGCCCCGAAAUCAUCCACCCUCUCGCCACGCGCCGCCUAAGACACAGCACACAAAUUCAGCAAACCCACACAUAGCCCACAUCCAACAAACAUCAAACAAAAGCCAAACGUUACCUGAGCCCUCGCCGUCUCGGCCCGCUCCCUGACCACCUCUCGACCGUGCGGACCCCACAUCCGAUCGUAAAUGGCUCCGGCGGAUUCCUUCACUAUAGGGUCCUCAACCUUGUAGAUAUCUCGUUCAAAAUCCUCAUCAGCUUGGUCGAAGACCUCAAAGUGCCGGCACCCUUCGCGAGAGAGCGCGUUCAUCGCCCCCUCGCAGGUGACCAGGGAGGCAUACGACAUGAACCCCUCCACGAUAGUGGGGAGUGCCUGCAACUCCUCCUGCACCCACUCCAGGCAGCGAAGUCCGGGCUCUCGGUCCGGCACUUCGAAGUCACAGGUCCGCGCGCCCAGCUCAUGGUAUGAAUCCAUAAGCUGUUUGCGCAUCCGCUCAGCCUCCGUGCGCGUCGCGGCCUCGGUCCUCUCCACACUGCUCUGCAGAGCGUUGAGCCGCUCCCCCAACUGCUCGGCGCGCUCCCUGGCAAGAUUGCCCUCCGCCCGCGCCAAAUUGGCCUCCACCAGCGUAGCCUGCGCCUUGGCGAGGGCCUCAUUGGCCUCCCUCCUCUCCUCCACCAAUCGGCGCCGGAGGUCAGUCUUCUCCCCAUCCAGCGCGGCCACCUUGUCCGCCAGCUUGCGGCACUUACUGUCGGCGACCGAUUUUUCCCUGACGGCGUCAGCAUGUUGCGUCCGAAGUCUCUCGACUUCGGCAGACACAACUGUCGUGAGGGCCCCCGACGCCGCGCGGUCUGCGAAGUCAACCGCCUGCAAAACACACGUAAGACCGCGACCCCAGCAAAGCCGAUAAAAAAAACCUAAGUCUAGCUCAACGUACCUGACUUAGCACCUCCUUCAUCUCCUUCAGCCGGCGGGACACAGCGCCCGCCUCGUCCCUGACAGCAGCGAGUGCCGGCAUCUCGCCUCCGGCACUAAGACCAGCGCCCUUCGCCUUCGGCACUACGGCAGCCGCCGUGGUCGCCGCGGCAGGCGCAACAAUAACAAGUUGGCCUUCGUCCGACCCUGCGACGUAUCAACGAAUUAAAAAAAAUCGAGCCAACGGCUUACCACCAAGAUAGUCGUCCACACUAAUAUCGGUGGCGAAGUCGGCGACGCGCUUGCCCGGCGACGGCAGCCCUCGUGCCACCUUCGCGACCUCCGGCACCCUGCCGGACGGCGGCACAGCCUUCGCAAACUUGGAACCACCGGCGCCAGCCGCAUCCUCCGGCGCCUUGCUAGAUGCAGGGACGGCCGACUUCGCCGCCAGCGGCGGCUUGCCUCCGCCGGGGGCAGCAGCCUUCGCAGCCCCUCGCUGCCUCUUCGGCCUGGCUUCAUGAAGCCUGACAACCGCCUGGCGCUUCUGUGCAGCUCCCUGGCGAUCCUUGUCCAUCACUGCCGACACAACAGCAGCAAUAUUCCGCCCGUAAGGAAACACUUUCCACUCAUGAACCAUGCGAGAUGUAAAAAAGUCUUCGCCGGCCGCGCGGGGGAUAGGAACAUUCCUAGGCCACCAACCCCCGGUAACCCUCAGCAUCCGCGCCGAAGACUCCCGGAGCUCGGGCGAAGACAUCCUUCCCCCCGGGGCCGCGCAUGUCCUCAUCAAUUCUCUAGCAAAACCAUCAGAAACCCCAAGUCCUCCCAUAGCAGUACCUAGUUUCCUCUUCUUAGAGGAUGGGGCGGCCGCCGGCGCAGGGUCGUCUCCAGUCUCUACCACCGGCUUCUUCCCGCGGCGGUCCACAUCGUCUUGGCCGGAAUAGCCGUUGUACGACAGUCGAUUCAAUUCAAAAACCCUGUUCAAACGGUCAUUCGACCCGCGGAUAUCCCAGCUACGUUGGCCCUCUGUCCUCGGCACGUACCGACCAACGAUCCGCACCGCCCCAUCCUCCGCCUCACGCACAAAGGCGGCCGGAUCGCGGCUUUGCAGAUCCAAUGCGAAGGCAGGACUUCGCACCAGCUUCCCACCAUGGGAAGGCAUCUGGCGAGGGCACACUUCGCCCAACGCCCAGCCAUGCGCCAAGGGCCAUACCCCGUACGCCACAAAUUCUUCAACCAAAUCGCGCCCACUGCUCAGGCCGGCGGCGCACCGAAGGGCCCCUUCGUCCGCAUCCUCCUCCGCCACCUCAAAGGGCGAGUAUGCUGAGUAAAAAUGUGAACACAUCUCGGACACGGGGAGCCCCUCAUGGUCUUCGACGGUACCCUCCGCGACGUAAAACCAAAACUCAUUCCAGUUGCCCCACUUGUUGCGGGCGCAAGGAACCAACUCGACUACCUCCAUCGUGGUCUUGCCGGUCUUCGGCGUAAACGUACAGGACCCAAACUAGGCAACUUCAUCUCCAAUCAUCCUCUUCUGCCAAUGCAGGCAAUAGUACUUCGCAAAGACUUCGACUGAUGGCUGUCCGCCGUACGAAGUCGUCGCCCAGACAUACUUCGACAGAGCCACCACGGCAUUCGGAGUCAGCUGAUGUAUCUGAACGUUAAAUCUGCGCAGGACUUCUUCAACAAAUCGGUGCGCAGGCAGGCGGAGACCGGCGGCGAAGAACGCCUCGAACACAACCAACUCGCCUUCUGGCUCGGGGACUUCCUCCGUCCCCGGGACACGAGCAACUCCGCCGCCAAAGUAACCCAGUCGCUGCAUAUCUUGCACGCGGACCGACGACAUCGGCGACACACCAAAAUCCACCGUAUCACCGGCGCGCAACUCCUCCGCCACCAAAGUACUCAGCGUCUCCUCAGACAAGGCGUCGACCGGCGGCGAGGCGUCGGCCGGCGGCGUAGCGGUAGCAGAAGAAGAGGAGGUCGGCAUCGCUACGUACCGUCGGCGGCGGCGGGCGGUCUGCUUCACUCGAGCCAGAUCUCCGGCGAACAAGAGCAAGGAGGGCAGACGAGCAGCAAGACGGUGGAAAAGGUGGCUAGGGUUUUCACCGAGCGCGGAAAGUGAAGUUCAAAAUGCGCCGACCCCCGCCCCUAUUUAUACACAGGGCGCGGCGCUUCGGGAAACCCGCAGUCCAACAGUACGGUGUCAAUCAACGGUCAUGUCAAAAAACCCCCGCGGAACCACUUCGGGCGAGGGCAGCGUCUCCGCCAUCUAGCGACGUCUUCGGCACCAGAUGACUUUGUCGAACUGGUCCCUCGGAGGGCAAAUGUUGGGGCGAAGGCAAAGACGCCACCCUUCGCUCGAGGCCUUCGCUGCAGUCGUUGGUCCAACGGAGAUAAAACGGGCAGGGACACCCUUCGCCCCAUAUGACAUCAGACGAAGGCCUUUGACGAAGUCAUCCCACCGUGCGGCCUCGUCCAGCUCGGAGGCCCACGUGUGAUCCGGCCCACUCUAACGUGCCCUGCGUGGCCGCUGUAUGUUACGGGCCUAAUUUGUAAAGGCAUCCCUGUAAUUACAGUCUGUAACCCUGCUUUAUGGGAAUAUUUUGGGGAUAACCUAGGUGUCUGAGGGCACAUGCGUCCUUAACACAAGACGCUGGGCGCUCAGACACCUAUAAAUACCCCCGUACAGUGCCCGUGAGAGGCUAGAUUAACCGAGCUAUUGCCAUCUUGCGCGAGAACCCUAUUAACGUCCCUGUUCACCCUUGUUGGAUCCCCUUGCAACUGAGAGCAAGUUCCAACACUUCGGUAUAUAACAACUUCGUUUUCCUCCGGAGCAGGGGCAGUACUAUCUCCUCCAACCCUGAUAAUAGACAUAUCACGAAAAUACCUCCCCCUCAUGGCGUCAAUAUGACUCUGUUUGAUAGUCGACUUUCCAAAGAUAGUAUGGCUUGGGCGCCACGGCCGGUCCUCAGAGUCCUCAUCCCCACUUUCCACAUCAUAACUAUCACUGUCACCAGAAUCUUCGGAUAAACCCUACAGGAUCUCCCUAGUAAUUUGCUCUGUAUUUGUUUUUGCCAUGGACUCAACAAACCUAGCAAUGAAAGGAUAUGCAACCUUUUUCUCCUCAUAUAGCUUCGUCUCCUUGGUCGUUUUCUUCUCUUCAGUCAUCUUCUUCUCUCCACUCAUCUUCUUCUUUUCAAAUUUGGAGCAAAAACGUCUUUAAACCGAAGCUCUAAAACUCGAGAAUCAGGCAAGAACUAGUGAGCAAGAGCUAAAAAUUUGACACAAUAACGCAAAUGGCAGAAAUUGCGUGCCAAAUGCUGCCGGUGUGGGUUCAUAUUUAUACGCCCGGUGCUUUGCAACUUGGUGGACCCCCUUUGUCAUUGAUUGUUGCUAUUCUAGCAAAGGGAAGGUGUUUUUUGGACCUUCGGCUUAAGGCCUUCAUUCACGUCGCAGUCUAAAUUCGUUAUUAUAACAAAUUAAUACUGCGAGGGGCUACUGUUGGGGGCCUUCGUCUUUCAAAGGUCCUCAAAAACAUGAUUAACAUUGUUCCCCAAGUGUAACAUAUGCACAAGAACCUUCGGAUUUGGAAUGAAGUUGUUCACAAUAUGAAAAGCAUGAUCGGGACAAAAUGUCGAAUCAAUUCCGAAGCUACGCGCAAGGAAGCUUCGCCUCAGUAGCAGAAAAAGGAACCGACUUAAAGAGGAAAAGGCUAUCUGUUCCUCGAUAGGUUGUCCUUAAGUCAAUUGUAAACAUGAAGGACAUGAAUGUAAUUUUACACAGGCUAUGCUCUGUGCCUAUAAAUAGAUGAACAGUACCCCCGUACUGUUCACGCUGACUUGUAUUCACUCGUGCGUCACGCUUGGACUUUUACCUUCUGUCGAAGCCGAAGGUACAAAUGUAAUUCGAUAUAAUUCACAUACAUUCAAGAUGAUUUAAUUAAGAUAUAUUAAUAAUGUCAGAUGAUUAUUCAUGUUGUCUCUCAUGUUUCAUAUGCUUCUUCUUUCAAUAAUAUAAACUGCGAUGAUGAAGGUAUGUCCUUCAUGACCUUCGUUUGAAGAUCAUUAUAUUCUAAGGGAGAUAAUGCUUCGAAAGACGAAGGAUCUUAACCAUUAACAUUUGUGUUGCCUUGUUCUUAACUCAUAGCAUUUGAGAACAAGUCCCCAACACUAUCUAUAUGUUUUAAUCGAUUGCAACCACCCAGACACUAUUAUGUGGAUACUAUGCUUGCGAGGACCUGAGAGAAUCUCACAAAUUCAACAUUAGGUACAAAUAGCUAAGUAAUGCACAAGUCUAGUGGACAAUAGAAUGUAUCACCCAAAUGCAAAUAUUGAGAACCGUAGGACAUAUGUGGAGUCAUCUUGCACAAAUGUGUGAUGCAUAAGUCCUAGUGGACAAUAGAAUGUAUCACCUAGAUGCAAAUAAUCAGAACCGUAGGACAUAUGUGGAGUCGUCUUGCACAAAUGUGUGCAUCAAAAUGCAAAGUUCUUCAACAACACGAACUGACAUUGGACAAGAAGUAUGACAAGUCCAGACACUGGGAGAAGCUACCAUUAGGUGAUCACAAGAUGCCUGGAGUGUAAAAUAUUACAAAUCAUAUGUAUAUGGCAUAUAACUACUAUUGUUCACGUGAAUAGCUUUUGUACUUAGUUUUUUAUAUCUUCUAAUUAAAAGAUUUAAUCACCCAACCAAUUUUAUAUUUGUAUUCCCUAAGAUUUCUUUUGAAAAAACAAGACCACACAUGUUAUAUAUAUUUUAAUUUUUAUUACCCAGUUAUUCUAAUGGUUUAUACUGUAGCACCCCAAAAAUUCAAAUCUUAAAUUUUUUUCAAACUCGCUCUAAAUUCAAAAUGAAUUUUAAAUUUCAUUUCAAAAUGUUUGUUUGCGAGUUGAUCUUAACAAAUAAAAUAUAAUGGUCUAUAUUCUCUCCAAAAUUCUCCUCAAAAUAUCCUACAAAUAUUAUCCCCAGUGAUCCCCUCUAAUUCUUUCUAGAAAUACGGCCCAAAUAUUCCACCGAUAAUUCUCCAAAUAUUCUCCUCCUGAGAAAUACAUUCAGAGUCAUUUUAAAAGUCUCCACAAAUAUUUUCUUCAUAAUUUUCCGCAUGCUCAUACGUAUACGUACGCCUCCGGUGUCAUACAGUGAGCUCUACAAGCUAAUUUCACUUAUACACGACUAAUACAUGCUUAUCUCCCACUAAUCCUCGCCUCCUCCCCCUAAUCCCCCCACCUAGCCUAUAAAUAGAGGGGCAAGGGCCUCCUCUCAAGCCACCCCAAGCCAUUUCAUGACAACUCUCUCCCCCCACACACGCCCACUCCAAGUCCCACACAAGAACACACUAGCACAAGGAUCGUUCGGUUGUUCUUCAAUCGUUCGUCCACCUGUUCUAAGUUUGUUCGUUCGUUCGUCUGAUCGUUCUAAUUAAAAGAUUUAAUUAAAAGAUUAGUUUAAAAGAUUUAAUUAAAAGAUCGUUCUAAUUCAAAAUGAAUAGCUUUUGUACUUAGUUUUUUAUAUCUUCUAAUUAAAAGAUUUAAUCACUGAACCAAUUUUAUAUUUGUAUAGUAUUUUAUAGUUGUAGUGGGGUAUAGAGGGAGAAUAUAGGGGAACCAUUGUGGAAGAUAAAAAAAUAGAGGAUAAAAUAUUGGUAAUAUGACAAAAAAAUAUGAUAUAGUAGGAAAAAUUUAAGAAAACCGCUGAAGAUAGUCUAAGCAUCGGUAACAGGAUUAGUGGCUUCCUACAAUAUUCAGAGUGAAAGGUUGCUAAAAUUUUGUCGGGUCAAAAGCAAUUCAAAUUUGAACCACAUUUGGAUCACAGGCAUUUUUGCUCAAAAGCCUGCGUAGGACCAGCUGCAACUUAGAAUAAUUGGCUCAUCAAAUUUGUUCAAACAACCCACUUGACGAAAGCCUUUCAAUUGACAGUAGCACACUAGCCAGGAUGACAACUUUAGAGACAAACCACUAUCAUCAACCAUUCUUCGAACACAUGCUCAGCUCUUGACUAGUAAUAUAUGUUCUCAGAAAAUAUAGAUGGAUUUGUGUGUGUGCACAGGGAGGGGAGGGAGCUAAAGCCACUGCGCUUUCUCAAUCUAAACAGCGAUGAGAAAGCAGUAGACACAGGUGAGGAGCAUUCGCUUUUUCCACUAGCAACAAUACAAACUCCUUAUCCUAAUCCAACCUAAAAUCUCCAAAUUACUACAACAUUUUGACCUUUAUACGAUUCAUAUGGAUCAGCGAAGACUACUAAAUAAUCUACUGAAUCUUUGAGCUGGUUCCAAAAACAAACCUAAUUGUAGGUAGUAAUAUAGGUUGACUUAAAUUGUUUAAACAAUCUUUCUGUAAAUGAAGCAAGAUGAAUUUCUCCAAUUUUAGACAAUUGAUGUUAAAACCUAAAACAUGUUGGAAGAUAACUUGUUUGCAGCCCUGAAAAUACCUCUAAUCUGAGUGUCUUUGAUCGCAAAAGAUCAUCAGCUGACUGGAGAGAAUCUACGCCAAGAUCUUGGAAUCCUUGCUUAACUGCUUGCAUUGUGUAAGGAAUAAACCUCAGUACAGAACCUUUGUCAGCUACUGCUCCAACAACGCCCUGCGCGACUUUGAGCUUGAGUGUAUCACUAAGGUACCUUGCAUCACUCCCUUUUGUCAUGGCUUCAAGAGAGCCCAUGCCUCUGUAUUUUUUGACUCGGCGUUCGUCCUAAAAGUAGUGUGUCAAGAGUUAUAACUCAAAACAUUUUCAUCAAAGAGCAGAUGAAAGUUUCAUGCGUCAGACAUAGAAUGACACAAAAUAAUAUAGCACUCAAACAACAUGAGUUAACAAUAUAUGAACAAUCUUACGUCGCCGUUUGUGUAGGAUACACCCUGAGAGAAGAGGCGCAACGCCGCGAAGCCGUCGUCGGCAAGGUCGAUGAUGCUCGACGCCAUUGGUGGAUUGGGGGUUUAGGGUUUUUUUUGCUGCUGCGGCGGCUGGCGUAUGGGGGAGAGAGAGACAGGGAGACGAAAAGAGGCAUGAAGAGAGCGUGAAGUACGCGCUGCUUGUGUUUGUGUUGGUCUUGCUAGAUAGUGAUUUUCAUUUGCUCUUUGUUUGGUAGGUAGUAAGGCGCAUAAUAGUUCGAUGACAAGUGUAACGCCCUGAAUUUGGGGGUAGAAUUUUUUCUUCUUUUCUCUCACCAAAUUCAGGCGUUACUCUUUCCUUUUUCCCUUUUCUUCUCGCUAAGCCUUGAUCUUUUCCAAAAGUUAUAGCGAGAAUUAGCUCGACAUCUUGUGUAACCAAAACCUAGAACUAUUUUUGUUUGUUGCAUCAUGCCGGAUUAUGCACUCUUUUGUUUGCAGUUGAGUGAAGUGGAGAAUUAGGCAUAUAAGAAAAUGUGGCAAUUAGAAAAAGAAAAGCCUUUUCUUUUUCUCUCUCCCCCUUCUCCCCUUUUGGCCUAGCCGCCCCUUCCCCUUGGCCCAAGCGGCCCAGCCGCCCCCCUCCCCUUCCCGCGUGGGCCCCGCGGCGGCCCAGCCACCCCUUCCCCGCCGUGGGCCGUCCUGGCGGACCAAGCCGCGCCCCCCUCCCCCCUUUGGGCCCAGCAGGCCCAACCGCGCGCCCCCUCCCCUUUUUUUCUUUUUUCUUUUUUUCCAAAAAUCCCCUCCCCGCGGGCCCCGCCCGUCAUCCCCUCUCUCUCUCCCUCUCCCUAACCCUAACCGCUGCCGCCCUUUCCCUGCCCUAGCGCCGCCGCCGCCCCUCCCCGGCGCCGCCGCCGCGCCGUCCUUCCCCUCCGGUGAGGCUUCUCCCCCCUCCUCCCUCCUCUCCUCCCCCUCCUCCCUCCUCUCCUCCCCCUCCCUCCUCCUUCCCUCCCAUCGGCGCCCUCCCCCGCGCCAUGGGCGCGCUCACCCGGCCCCGGCGAGCUCGGCCCCGGCCCCGGCCGCCCCCGGCUCGCCCGCCCUCGCCUCGGCCGCUCCGGCGAGCCCCCGACCCCGGCCUCGCUCGCGCCCGGCCGCGCCGCCCCCGCCCCGGCCCCGGCGACGCAGUCCCCAGCCUCGGCUCGCCAGCCCCGCCCGCCUGCCCCGGUGCUCGCCGGCCUCGCCCUCGGCCGCCCCCGCCCCCGGCCUCGCCACCUUCGUGCCCGGCUCGGCCGCCUCCCGGCGAGCUCGGCCGCCCGUCCUGUGCCCCGACCUCGCCCGGCCGUGUCCUCGCCCGGCCGCGUCCUCGCUCGCCCGUGCUCGCUUGCCCCGGCGUGCUUGCCCGCUCACCCCGCCGUGCCUUGCUCGCGUCGUGACGGCCCCGGCGUGGCCUCGAGCUCGGCCCAGCGAGCCUAUGGCGCGCGGCUUUGAGCUCGGCUAGCGCACGACCCCGACGUGCGCACGGCUAGUUCGUGGCGUGUGCGUGCGGCCUCGCGCGCAUGCUCGCGUAGUGCGCGUGCCAUGGCACGACCCGUCGUGUCCCCGUCUACCCCCAGACGCCCCAUCUACCCCCCCCCCCCCCCCGUACCCUAUGCACGCUAAUCCCGUUGUUCAUAUUAAUAAGAUACGAGUCUCAAUUUGGAAAUUGGUUACGUUAGUUAAUUUGUAUAGCUAAUCGUCUAACUCAUUCAAUGUUAAUCUACUAAAAGUGGUCACGUUUACAUUAGUGCAUGUAGCUAAUUCUUUUGUUAGAACCAAUUGGAACUAGAGCACGUGACGUCUAGUUAUUCGUUUACCCGUAGUGCACCUCGAGCAUAAGCCUUAAACCCUGUGAGACCUUCCCUCGUUUCUUUCUAACCAAGGUAAAUUCAUUAUCGUAUGUGAUAUUCUAUGCAUAUUUACUUUAUUUGUUCUCUUGUAUGGUGUACUGUUUGUUUCCUAAUUUGAAUGGAUGGAUGUAUGUAUGCUUGCAAUCGCAUAGAGAACGAUCCGGUUGAAGAGCCCGAGGAACUCGCAGGAGAAGCCCCUGAGCAGCAGUCGGUUGGUGGAGGCAAGUGUCGCUUGACCUAUCUCUGUCCUAUUCAUUCUUUAAUUCACCUCCAGCUUUACACAUUUAUGCCUAAGGAUGUACUAGCUUUGUUAUCCAUGUCCUUGUUUACCUAUUUGGGUUGGAUUAUUAUUGUUUAGAUUUAUGCUAUUGCUCAACUCUAAUCAAUGAACAUGAUGAGAUUAUCUAUGAUACGCUGUUUUCCCUUCUCUUAUUAUGAUGUUAUACUUGUGGUCUUCAAGGGGGCUCGAGCGGUUUCUCGAGUGCCUCUCUGUAAGGACCUGUUCUAUGGAUGACCGCCCGGGAAAACAGUGCAACCAUGAGGGUGGAAUGGGGUGCCCUUAGCUGAAUAAUUAGAGGAUCCGGGGUGUAGAUCACUUAGCCAUCGUGCCGUCAAUGGGGCUCGGUGUAUGCGGCUCGCUCUGCCAAGUUUGGGUUCGCCCCUUGGGGAGGAGUGCGGUGCAUUUAGGAAACCUAACGGGUGGCUACAGCCCCGGGGAAUCUUUGUAAAGGCUACAUAGUGAUGCCCUGCUGGGUCACCUUGGUAUUGAUCAAUGGAGAGUCAUGAUCUCUGGGCAGAAAGGGAAUCACGGCUUGUGGGUAAAGUGCACAACCUCUGCAGAGUGUUUGAAAACUGAUAUAUCAGCCGUGCUCGCGGUUAUGAGCGGCCAAGGGAGCUCCAGUGAUUAGUGGUACUUGAUCAGAGACAUUAUGGUUUCCAGGUGGCUAUGAGAUCGAUGGUUUUGGUUAUGGCUAUGGUGCUGGUAAGUGGUAUUCUUUCCGUUUGGAAAGGGUACAUUGGGCUAAUAACUUGGGUUAAUGCUAAAACUUGGCUUUCUAUUAGUAAAUAAUAAUCUGACCAACUAAAAGCAACUGCUUGACUUAUCCCCACAUAAAGCUAGUCCACUACAGCCAAACAGGAUACUUGCUGAGUAUGUUGAUGUGUACUCACCCUUGCUCUACACACCAAACCCCCCCAUCCCCAGGUUGUCAGCGUUGCAACCACUGCUCAGGAGAAGAUGAAGUUGUGGAAGGAGACUUCCAGGAGUCCGAAGACUACGACGAGUUCUAGGCGUGGGUUAGCGGCAACCCCCAGUCGGCUGCUUGUGAAGGCCGCGUUUAUCUACGUUUCUUUUCCGCACUUUGAUUUAUUGUAAGGACUAUAUGGACGUCUCAGACGUAUGAUCUAAUCGACUAUUAUUUCCCUUUUAAUACUAUUUUGAGCACUGUGUGAUGAUGUCCAUGUUAUGUAACUGCUGUGUACGUGAAUAACUGAUCCUGGCACGUACAUGGUUCGCAUUUGGUUUGCCUUCUAAAACCGGGUGUGACAUAGGUGGUAUCAAAGUCGUGCUGACUGUAGGACCGCUAACCUAGAAUAGAAUGGUCGUUCUAAGGACUAUAGACCUCUGUCCCUGCCUUGACUUUGAUAUCCCUUCAAAAGUUGGUCAUACCGACCAAACCUAUAUUCUACUAUAUGUUAUACCUUGCUGAAAAUUAUGUUUAUUUCUAAUCCUUCAUUUAUUUAUGGUUCAUUACUUGCUGGUCAUAUUAAUUCUGUUCUCACCCUUUUGUUUGCGGUGUCUUUUGUAGAUGGCUCGACUUAGACACACUGCACGAAAGUCCGUCAUCCCCUUCUUACCCUCCCGCCUUGCUGAGCGUCCACUUCGCCGUCCCGUGGCCGAACAGUCCAGCCACUUGGAGAGGCUGCACCACCGCCUGCAUGAGGAGCAGGAACGUCGACGACAGGAGCAGCAGGGCUCUUCUUUCUCGCUCCAGCAGGAGAUGGAGUCCGUGAGGAGCUGCUCCCAUGUGCUUCCACUGGAGGCGCCCCCUGCACCACCACUGGGCGCCCCAGCCUCUGGAGUAGCUGCUGGAGGAGACCCAGACGACGGAGGUGGCGACGACAGCUCGAGCCAUGACACCGACUUUUCUGCUGACUAGGAGCCAGAAGGAUGGGUUGCUCGACCCAUCACUCGCGACGCUGCUCGCGGGUGUCACUUCCAUGAUGCGCUCGACACCCUGCUACGUCAGGCACUUAACCGGCGUACUUGGUCCAUCGAGUAUCGCUGUGUGGUCCACCAGCAUAGUCGCGGGGUCUACCCGGACCGCUGGGAGGCGACCUGCUUGGUGCGCCGUCCGGAGAACAGUCUCCAAGGUGCUAAGGUCUGCUCAGAGCACUAUUCUAUCUCUGAGCGGGACUCAGCUGAGGCGGCCAUGCAAGAUGCUGCACGGCGUGCGCUUUCGCACUACUGCUCGGUUCUCGGUGGGGUAGCUGACGGUCUCGACCUGAAGUAUUACCCCCGCCGUCCAUCUGGCAGCACAGGAGGCGUGAUUGUUUCACCUAUCGGUGAGGACAAUCCUAGGUUGAGCAGCACAGUCAACCUAGCCGCCGUGCUAAACACGGAGCUGGACCAUGCACUAGACGAGCUGGGUAGGGCUCGUGCUGAGAUCGCCCUGCUGCGGGCUGAGCGUGCGGAACGUCGUCACCUGGAUGAUGGUUCCCCCGCCCCCGUCGGGACUCAGCUCCCGUACCGCUCACCUCGGCGUGGACACCAGCCUUAUGGCAACCCCGACUGCAAGACCAAGAUAAAUCUAGAACCAUAGAUCACUAGAGUUGAAUCUUGUAAUUAAUACAAAAUACAUACGUAGAAGCUACAGUCUUAGCGUUAGUCUCGCUCUUAGUUAGUCUUAGUUAGACAGGGUAGUUUGCUAUAUCCUGUGCAUUUAUGUUUGUCAUGAUGAACUAUGUUUGGUUUGGAUCUUUGUAAUGACUGUCACCAGAGUGUGGGUAUCCCCUGCAUUUUGGUUUACCUGUUAUAUGUUAAUGGAGUUAGCUAUAUAGUUGGGAAACCUUUUAUUCCACUUUCCUCUUUAUCUGAGAAGCUGUGUGGUCUGUGUUGGAGAUCAGUGAAGAUGCUCAUCUGUUCAGUGCUGUUGAAGAAUUCUAUACUCUUUUCUUAUGCUGCAAGAUUUGCAAGAUCAGUUCUGAUGUGUGGUUGCAUUCUGCAGAUGUCAGAGAACAGGCGCAGAGGAGGAAGGCGUGCUCAGCAGGAGCGAGCCGCUCAGCAGGAGGAGGUGCCCCAGCAACAGCACCUGCCGCCCCCGCCCCCGAUGUCCAUCGAGCAGAUAUUUCUGAUGCAGACUCAGGCAGUUCAAGCCAUCGGUCAGACUCUGGCUGCCAUUCAGCAGCAGCAACAACAACAGCAGCAGACCCCACCUCAGCCUUCGAUGCCUCAGAUGCCUAGAGACAAGCGUGCUGAGUUCAUGAGAGGUCAUCCACCAACGUUUGCUCAUUCUUCUGACCCCAUGGAUGCUGAAGACUGGCUGCGCACUGUGGAGCGGGAGUUGCAUACCGCUCAGUGCGAUGAUAGGGAGAAAGUCCUGUAUGGUCCCCGUCUGUUGAGAGGAGCAGCUCAGUCAUGGUGGGAGUCUUAUCUCGCCACCCAUGCCCACCCCGACACCAUCACCUGGGAAGAGUUCAAAGGAAGAUUUCGUCAGUACCAUGUUCCUGCAGGUCUGAUGACAGUGAAGAAGGAGGAGUUCCUGGCUCUCAAGCAAGGGUCAUCGUCUGUUAGCGAGUACCGAGACAGGUUUCUGCAGUUGUCUCGCUAUGCUCCUGAAGAUGUCAACACCGACGCCAAGCGACAGUACCGUUUCCUGAGAGGCUUGGUUGACCCUCUUCAGUAUCAGCUGAUGAAUCAUACCUUCCCGACAUUCCAGCACCUGAUUGACAGAGCAAUCAUGACAGAGAGGAAGCGUAAGGAGAUGGAGGAUCGUAAGCGCAAGAUCAGUGGACCUUAGCCUGGAAGCAGCAAUCGUCCUCGUUUCUCAGGCAAUCAACCUCAGCAGUUCAGGCAGAACCAGCGUCCACCUCAGCAGCAUCAGCAGUUCCAAAGGCAGUAUCCUCAGCACCAGUAUCAGAACCGUCAGAGCAAUCAGUCAGGAGGUCAGUUUCAGAGGCAAAAUCAGCAAGCACCUCGUCUUCCUGCCCCAGCAAACCAGCAGAACAGUCAGGCAGCACCAACUCAAGUUGGAAACAGAGCAUGUUUCCACUGUGGCGAGCAGGGCCAUUGGGUGAUGCAAUGUCCGAAGAAGGCAGCCCAGCAGCAGUCAGGCCCCAAUGCCCCAGCAAAGCAGAACGUGCCUCAGCCUGGAGCAGGCAAUCGCUCUCAGCCGCGCUACAAUCAUGGGAGACUGAACCACUUGGAGGCUGAAACAGUUCAGGAGACCCCCGGCAUGAUAGUAGGUAUGUUCCCAGUCGACUCCCAUAUUGCAGAAGUGUUAUUUGAUACUGGAGCAACGCAUUCUUUCAUUACUGCAUCAUGGGUAGGAACACAUAAUCUUCCAAUUACUACCAUGUCAACCCCCAUUCAAAUUGACUCAGCCGGUGGUAGAAUUCGAGCCGAUAGCAUUUGUUUGAAUGUAUGUGUGGAAAUAAGGGGGAUAGCGUUUCCCGCCAACCUCAUAGUAAUGGGUACUCAGGGAAUAGAUGUCAUCCUAGGGAUGAAUUGGCUAGAUAAGUAUCAGGCAGUUAUCAGUUGUGAUAAGAGGAUAAUCAAGUUGGUGUCUCCACUAGGAGAGGAAGUGGUGACCGAGUUAGUCCCGCCUGAGCCAAAGAAAGGAAGUUGUUAUCAGAUAGCUGUCGAUAGCAGUGAAGCAGGCCCAAUCGAGAGUAUCAAGGUUGUGUCCGAAUUCCCAGAUGUGUUUCCAAAGGACUUACCGGGUAUGCCACCAGAGCGGAAAGUUGAAUUUGCCAUAGAGCUUCUUCCUGGAACCGCCCCUAUCUUUAAGAGGGCUUACAGAAUAUCUGGACCAGAGUUGGUUGAACUUAAGAAGCAGAUUGAUGAGCUGUCAGAGAAAGGUUACAUCCGGCCAAGCACCUCGCCUUGGGCCGCUCCUGUCUUGUUCGUCGAGAAGAAAGAUGGCACCAAGAGGAUGUGCAUCGAUUACCGAGCUUUGAAUGAAGUCAUGAUCAAGAACAAGUACCCUUUGCCCAGAAUAGAAGAUCUGUUCGACUAGUUGAGAGGAGCCAGUGUGUUCUCCAAGAUUGAUCUGAGGUCAGGUUAUCAUCAGCUCAGGAUCCGACCUUCGGACAUUCCGAAGACAGCAUUCAUUACCAAGUAUGGUUUGUAUGAGUUCACUGUGAUGUCUUUUGGUUUGACCAAUGCACCAGCCUUCUUCAUGAAUCUGAUGAACAGUGUAUUCAUGGAUUAUCUCGACAAGUUUGUGGUGGUAUUCAUCGAUGACAUUCUGAUUUAUUCUCAUAGCGAAGAAGAGCAUGCAAGUCAUUUGAGAAUGGUAUUACGGAGAUUGCGAGAGCACCAGUUGUAUGCAAAGUUGAGCAAGUGCGAGUUCUGGAUCAGUGAAGUCCUGUUCUUGGGUCACAUAAUCAACAAGGAAGGAUUGGUUGUGGAUCCGAAGAAAGUGGUAGACAUUCUGAACUGGAAAGCGCCAACAGAUGCCCGAGGAAUCAAGAGUUUCAUUGGAAUGGCCGGAUAUUAUCGGCGAUUCAUUGAAGGGUUUUCGAAGAUUGCGAAACCAAUGACAGCGUUGCUAGGCAACAAGGUUGAGUUCAAGUGGACCCAGAAAUGCCAAGAGGCCUUUGAAGCGCUGCAAGAGAAGUUGACUACAGCGCCUGUUUUAGUCUUGCAAAAUGUGCACAAGCCCUUCUCGGUGUAUUGUGAUGCUUGUUACACCGGUUUGGGAUGUGCGUUGAUGCAAGAGGGAAGAGUUGUGGCUUACUCGUCCUGACAGUUGAAGGUUCAUGAGAAGAAUUACCUAAUCCAUGACCUAGAGUUGGCAGUAGUGGUUCACGCACUGAAGACAUGGAGGCACUAUCUGUAUGGACAGAAAUGCGAUGUUUACACAGACCACAAGAGUCUGAAGUACAUAUUCACUCAGUCAGAGUUGAAUAUGAGGCAGCGAAGAUGGUUAGAGUUGAUCAAAGACUAUGAGUUGGAGAUCCAUUACCAUCCAGGCAAAGCAAACGUAGUGGCAGAUGCUUUGAGCAGGAAGAGUCAAGUCAAUCUGAUGGUCGCUCAUCCGAUGCCUUAUGAGUUGGCCAAGGAGUUUGACAGGUUGAGUCUCGGGUUUCUGAACAAUUCGCGAGGAGUCAUAGUCGAGUUGGAACCUACCUUGGAGCGUGAAAUCAAAGAAGCGCAGAAGAAUGAUGAGAAGAUCAGUGAGAUCCGGCGACUGAUUCUAGACGGCAGAUGCAAAGAUUUUCGAGAAGAUGUAGAGGGUGUGAAAUGGUUCAAAGACCGCUUGUGUGUUUCCAAUGUCCAAUCCAUUCGGGAGUUGAUUCUCAAGGAAGCUCAUGAGACAGCCUAUUCGAUUCACCCUGGCAGUGAGAAGAUGUAUCAGGAUCUGAAGAAGAAAUUAUGGUGGUACGGAAUGAAGAGGGAAAUCACAGAGCAUGUGGCUAUGUGUGUUAGUUGUCGAAGAAUUAAGGCAGAGCACCAGAGACCAGCUGGAUUGUUGCAACCGUUGCAAAUUCCCCAGUGGGAAUGGGAUGAAAUCGGUAUGGAUUUCAUAGUCGGAUUGCCUCGCACUCGAGCCGGCUACGAUUCUUUUUGGGUAGUAGUGGACCGUUUGACCAAGUCAGCCCACUUCAUACCUGUCAAGACUAACUACAGCAGUGCAGUAUUGGCAGAGUUGUAUAUGUCUCGGAUCGUUUGUCUUCAUGGAGUGCCAAAGAAGAUAGUGUCAGACAGAGGAACGCAGUUCACCUCUCACUUCUGGCAGCAGUUGCACGAAGCCUUGGGCACACAUCUGAAUUUCAGCUCGGUAUAUCAUCCGCAGACAGAUGGUCAGACCGAAAGAACCAAUCAGAUUCUGGAAGACAUGUUGAGAGCCUGUGCGUUGCAAGAUCAGUCCGGAUGGGAUAAGAGAUUGCCUUAUGCAGAGUUUUCCUAUAAUAACAGUUAUCAGGCCAGUUUGAAGAUGUCACCAUAUUUCAGGCGCUCUAUGGGAGGAGUUGUAGAACUCCGUUGCAAUGGGAUCAGCCUGGAGAGAAGCAAGUGUUUGGGCCAGACAUUCUACUUGAAGCUGAAGAGAACAUCAAGAUGGUCCGAGAGAAUCUGAAGAUUGCGCAAUCGAGGCAGCGAAGCUAUGCAGACACAAGAAGAAGAGAGUUGAGUUUCGAAGUCGGAGACUUUGUCUAUCUGAAAGUGUCACCGAUCAGAGGAGUCAGAAGGUUCGGAGUCAAAGGCAAGCUAGCACCCCGCUACAUUGGUCCGUUCCAAAUUCUCUCAAGGCGUGGAGAAGUGGCCUAUCAGCUCAGUCUGCCAGAGAAUUUGUCCGCUGUGCAUGAUGUCUUUCAUGUGUCUCAGUUGAAGAAGUGCUUGCGUGUGCCAGAAGAGCAGUUGCCAGUGGAAGGUCUCGAAGUCCAGGAGGACUUGACCUACGUUGAGAAGCCAGUGCAAAUCCUUGAGGUUGCAGACAGAGUCACCCGAAGGAAGACCAUCAGAAUGUGCAAAGUUAGAUGGAAUCACCAUUCAGAGGAAGAAGCAACCUAGGAGCGUGAAGAUGAUCUGAUGGCCAAAUACCCUGAGCUCUUUGCUAGCCAACCCUGAAUCUCGAGGGCGAUAUUCUUUUAAGGGGGAUAGGUUUGUAACGCCCUGAAUUUGGGGGUAGAAUUUUUUCUUCUUUUCUCUCACCAAAUUCAGGCGUUACUCUUUCCUUUUUCCCUUUUCUUCUCGCUAAGCCUUGAUCUUUUCCAAAAGUUAUAGCGAGAAUUAGCUCGACAUCUUGUGUAACCAAAACCUAGAACUAUUUUUGUUUGUUGUAUCAUGCCGGAUUAUGCACUCUUUUGUUUGCGGUUGAGUGAAGUGGAGAAUUAGGCAUAUAAGAAAAUGUGGAAAUUAGAAAAAGAAAAGCCUUUUCUUUUUAUCCCUCCCCCCCUUCUCCCCUUUUGGCCCAGCCGCCCCUUCCCCUUGGCCCAAGCGGCCCAGCCGCCCCCCUCCCCUUCCCGCGUGGGCCCCGCGGUGGCCCAGCCGCCCCUUCCCCUUGGCCCAAGCGGCCCAGCCGCCCCCCUCCCCUUCCCGCGUGGGCCCCGCGGCGGCGCAGCCGCCCCUCCCCCGCCGUGGGCCGUCCUGGCGGCCCAGCCGCGCCCCCCCUCCCCCCUUUGGGCCCAGCCGGCCCAACCGCCCCCUCCCCUUUUUUCUUUUUUAUUUUUUCCAAAAAUCCCCUCCCCGCGGGCCCCGUCCGUCAUCCCCUCUCUCUCUCCCUCUCCCUAACCCUAACCGCCGCCGCCCUCUCCCUGCCCUAGCGCCGCCGCCGCCCCUCCCCGGCGCCGCCGCCGCGCCGUCGUUCCCCUCCGGUGAGGCUUCUCCCCCCUCCUCCCUCCUCUCCUCCCCUCCCUCCUCCUUCCCUCCCGUCGGCGCCCUCCCCCGCGCCAUGGGCGCGCUCGGCCGCCCCCGGCUCGGCCGCCCUCGGCCGCCCCGCCCCGCCCUCGCCUCGGCCGCUCCGGCGAGCCCCCGACCCCGGCCUUGCCCACGCCCGGCCGCGCCGCCCCCGUCCCCGCCCGCGCCACCCCCGGCCUCGGCUCGCCAGCCCCGACCGCGCCCGCCCCGGUGCUCGCCGGCCUCGUCCACCAUCCCCGGCCGCGCCGCCCCCGCCCUCGGCCGCGCCGCCUCCCGGCGAGCUCGGCCGCCCCGUGCCCCGGCUCGGCCGCCCGCCCCCGCGCCCGGCCUCGCCCGGCCGUGUCCUCGCCCGGCCGCGUCCUCGCUCGCCCGUGCUCGCUUGCCCCGGCGUGCUUGCCCGCUCGCCCCGCCGUGCCUUGCUCGCGUCGUGACGGCCCCGGCGUGGCCUCGAGCUCGGCCCAGCGUGCCUAUGGCGCGCGGCUUUGAGCUCGGCUAGCGCACGGCCCCGACGUACGCACGGCUAGUUCGUGGCGUGUGCGUGCGGCCUCGCGCACGUGCUCGCGUAGUGCGUGUGCCUUGGCACGACCCGUCGUGUCCCCGUCUACCCCGAGACGCCCCAUCUACCCCCCCCCCCGUACCCUAUGCGCGCUAAUCCCGUUGUUCAUAUUAAUAAGAUACAAGUCUCAAUUUGGAAAUUGGUUACGUUAGUUAAUUUGUAUAGCUAAUCGUCUAACUCAUUCAAUGUUAAUCUACUAAAAGUGGUCACGUUUACAUUAGUGCAUGUAGCUAAUUCUUUUGUUAGAACCAAUUGGAACUAGAGCACGUGAUGUCUAGUUAUUCGUUUACCCGUAGUGCACCUCGAGCAUAAGCCUUAACCCCUGCGAGACCUUCCCUCAUUUCUUUCUAACCAAGGUAAAUUCAUUAUCGUAUGUGAUAUUCUAUGCAUAUUUACUUUAUUUGUUCUCUUGUAUGGUGUACUGUUUGUUUCCUAAUUUGAAUGGAUGGAUGUAUGUAUGCUUGCAAUCGCAUAGAGAACGAUCCGGUUGAAGAGCACGAGGAACUCGCAGGAGAAGCCCCUGAGCAGCAGUCGGUUGGUGGAGGCAAGUGUCCCUUGACCAAUCUCUGUCCUAUUCAUUCUUUAAUUCACCUCCCGCUUUACACAUUUAUGCCUAAGGAUGUACUAGCUUUGUUAUCCAUGUCCUUGUUUACCUAUUUGGGUUAGAUUAUUAUUGUUUAGAUUUAUGCUAUUGCUAAACUCUAAUCAAUGAACAUGAUGAGAUUAUCUAUGAUACGUUGUUUUCCCUUCUCUUAUUAUGAUGUUAUACUUGUGGUCUUCAAGGGGGCUCGAGCGGUUUCUCGAGUGCCUCUCCGUAAGGACCUGUUCUAUGGAUGACCGCCCGGGAAUGCGGCUAGCUUAGCCAUCGUGCCGUCAAUGGGGCUCGGUGUAUGCGGCUCGCUCUGCCAAGUUUGGUUUCGCCCCUUGGAGAGGAGUGCGGUGCACUUAGGAAACCUAACGGGUGGCUACAGCCCCGGGGAAUCUUUGUAAAGGCUACGUAGUGAUGCCCUGCUGGGUCACCUUGGUAGUGAUCAAUGGAGAGUCAUGAUCUCCGGGUAGAAAGGGAAUCACGGCUUGUGGGUAAAGUGCACAACCUCUGCAGAGUGUUUGAAAACUGAUAUAUCAGCCGUGCUCGCGGUUAUGAGCGGCCAAGGGAGCUCCAGUGAUUAGUGGUACUUGAUCAAAGACAUUAUGGUUUCCAGGUGGCUAUGAGAUCGAUGGUUUUGGUUAUGGCUAUGGUGCUGGUAAGUGGUAUUCUUUCCGUUUGGAAAGGGUACAUCAGGCUAAUAACUUGGGUUAAUGCUAAAACUUGGCUUUCUAUUAGUAAAUAAUAAUCUGACCAACUAAAAGCAACUGCUUGACUUAUCCCCACAUAAAGCUAGUCCACUACAGCUAAACAGGAUACUUGUUGAGUAUGUUGAUGUGUACUCACCCUUGCUCUACACACCAAACCCCCCCAUCCCCAGGUUGUCAACAUUGCAACCACUGCUCAGGAGAAGAUGAAGUUGUGGAAGGAGACUUCCAGGAGUUCCCAGACAACGACGAGUUCUAGGCGUGGGUUAGCGGCAACCCCCAGUCGGCUGCCUGUGAAGGCCGCGUUUAUCUACGUUUCUUUUCCGCACUUUGAUUUAUUGUAAGGACUAUUUGGACGUCUCAGACGUAUGAUGUAAUCGACUAUUAUUUCCCUUUUAAUACUAUUUUGAGCACUGUGCGAUGAUGUCCAUGUUAUGUAACUGCUGUGUACGUGAAUAACUGAUCCUGGCACGUACAUGGUUCGCAUUCGGUUUGCCUUCUAAAACCGGGUGUGACAACAAGUGGGCCCUAUUAUCCCGACGGCUAGCUAGAUUGUGAGCUGGGCGGGUGUCACACCCGGUUUUAGAAGGCAAACCGAAUGCGAACCAUGUACGUGCCAGGAUCAGUAAUUCACGUACACAGCAGUUACAUAACAUGGACAUCAUCACACAGUGCUCAAAAUAGUAUUAAAAGGGAAAUAAUAGUCGAUUACAUCAUACGUCUGAGACGUCCAUAUAGUCCUUACAAUAAAUCAAAGUGCGAAAACGAAACGUAGAUAACCGCGGCCUUCACAGGCAGCCGACUGGGGGUUUGCCGCUAACCCACGCCUAGAACUCAUCGUAGUCUUGGAACUCCUGAAAGUCUCCUUCCACAGCUUCAUCUUCUCCUGAGCAGUGGUUGCAAUGCUGACAACCUGGGGAUGGGGGGGGUUUGGUGUGUAGAGCAAGGGUGAGUACACAUCAACAUACUCAGCAAGUAUCCUGUUUGGCUGUAGUGGACUAGCUUUAUGUGGGGAUAAGUCAAGCAGUUGCUUUUAGUUGGUCAGAUUAUUAUUUACUAAUAGAAAGCCAGGUUUUAGCAUUAACCCAAGUUAUUAGCCCGAUGUACCCUUUCCAAACGGAAAGAAUACCACUUACCAGCACCAUAGUCAUAACCAAAACCAUCAGUCUCAUUGCCACCGGGAAACCAUAAUGUCUCUGAUCAAGUACCACUAAUCGCUGGAGCUCCCUUGGCCGCUCAUAACCGCGAGCACGGCUGAUAUAUCAGUUUUCAAACACUCUGCAGAGGUUGUGCACUUUACCCACAAGCCGUGAUUCCCUUUCUGCCCGGAGAUCAUGACUCUCCAUUGAUCACUACCAAGGUGACCCAGCAGGGCAUCACUACGUAGCCUUUACAAAGAUUCCCCGGGGCUGUAGCCACCCGUUAGGUUUCCUAAAUGCACUGCACUCCUCCCCAAGGGGCGAACCCAAACUUGGCAGAGCGAGCCGCAUACACCGAGCCCCAUUGACGGCACGAUGGCUAAGUGAUCUACACCCCGGAUCCUCUAAUUAUUCAGCUAAGGGCAUCCCAUUCCACCCUCAUGGUUGCACUGUUUUCCCGGGCGGUCAUCCAUAGAACAGGUCCUUACGGAGAGGCACUCGAGAAACCGCUCGAGCCCCCUUGAAGACCACAAGUAUAACAUCAUAAUAAAAGAGGGGAAAACAGCGUAUCAUUGAUAAUUCUCAUCAUGUUCAUUGAUUAAAGUGGAGCAAUAGCAUAAAGCUAAACAAUAAUAAUCCAACCCAAAUAGGUAAACAAGGACAUGGAUAACAAAAGCUAGGCAAUCCUUAGGUAUACAUGUGUAAAGCGGGAGGUGAAUUAAAGAAUGAAUAGGACAAAGAUAGGUCAAGGGACACUUGCCUCCACCAACCGACUGCUGCUCAGGGGCUUCUCCUGCGAGUUCCUCGGGCUCUUCAACCGGAUCGUUCUCUAUGCGAUUGCAAGCAUACACACAUCCAUCCAUUCAAAUUAGGAAACAAACAGUACACCAUACAGGAGAACAACUAAAGUAUAUAUGCAUAGAAUAUCACAUACGAUAAUGAACUCACCAUGGUUAGAAAGAAAUGGGAAAAGGAAUCGCGAGAGUUAAAGCUUAUGCCCGAGACGCACUACGGGUAAACAAAUGACUAAACGCUACGUGCUCUAGUUCCAAUUGGUUCUAACAAAAGAAUUAUUAGCUACAUGCACUAAUGUAAACGUGACCACUUUUAGUAGAUCAACAUUGAAUGAGAUAUAUGAUUAGUUAUACAAAUUAACUAACGUAACCAAUUUCCAAAUUGAGACUCCAACCUUAUUAAUAUAAACACAUGAUUAGCGUGCAUAGGACACGGGGGGGUAGACGGGGCGUCUGGGGUAGACGGGGACACGACGGGUCGUGCCAAGGCACUGCGCACUACGCGAGCACGCGCGCGAGGCCGCACGCACACGCCACGAACUAGCCGUGCGCACGUCGGGGUCGUGCGCUAGCCGAGCUCAAAGUCGCGCGCCAUAGGCACGCUGGGUCGAGCUCGAGGCCACGCCGGGGUUGUCACGACGCGAGCAAGGCACGGCGGGGCGAGCGGGCAAGCACGCUGGGGCAAGUGAGCACGGGCGAGCGAGGGCGCGGCCGGGCGAGGACACGGCCGGGCGAGGCCGGGCGCGGGGGCGGGCAGCCGAGCCGGGGCGCGACGGGGCGGCCGAGCUCGCCGGGAGGCGGGCAGGCCGGGCACGGAGGCGGCACGGCCGGGGACGGCGGACGGGGUCGGGGAGCACCGGGGCGGGCGCGGCCGGGGCUGGCGAGUCGAGGCCGGGGACGGCGCGGCCGGGCGCGGGGCGGCCGAGGGCAGCCGAGCAGGGGGCGGCCGGGGCCGGGGCCGAGCUCGUCGGGGCCGGGCAAGCGCGCCCAUGGCGCGGGGGAGGGCGCCGACGGGAGGGAAGGAGGAGGGAGGGGGAGAAGAGGAGGGAGGAGGGGGGAGAAGCCUCACCAGAGGGGGAGGACGGCGCGGCGGCGGCGCUAGGGUUAGGGAGAGGGAGAGAGAGGGGAUGACGGGCGGGGCCCGCGGGGAGGGGAUUUUUGGAAAAAAAAAAGAAAAAAGGGGAGGGGGCGGUUGGGCCGGCUGGGCCCAAAGGGGGGAGGGGGCGCGGCUUGGGCCGCCAGGACGGCCCACAGCGGGGGAGGGGCGGCUGGGCCGCCGUGGGGCCCACGCGGGAAGGGGAGGGGGGGUGGCUGGGCCGCUUGGGCCAAGGGGAAGGGGCGGCUGGGCCAAAAGGGGAGAAGGGGGGAGAGAGAAAAAGAAAAGUCUUUUCUUUUUCUAAUUUUCCAUAUUUUCUAUAUGCCUAAUUCUCCAAUUCACUUAACCACAAACACAAGAGUGCAUAAUCCGGCAUGAUGCAACAAACAAAAAUAGUUCUAGGUUUUGGUUACACAAGAUGUCGAGCUAAUUCUUGCUAUAACUUUUAGAAAAGAUCAAGGCUUAGCGAGAAGAAAAGGGAAAAAGGAAAGAGUAACGCCUGAAUUUGGUGAGAGAAAAGAAGAAAAAAUUCUACCCCCAAAUUCAGGGUGUUACAAACCUAUCCCCCUUAAAAGAAUCUCGCCCUCGAGAUUCAGGGUUGGCUAGCAAAGAGCUCAGGGUAUUUAGCCAUCAGAUCAUCUUCACACUCCCAGGUUGCUUCUUCCUCAGAGUGGUGAUUCCAUCUGACUUUGCACAUUCUGAUGGUCUUCCUUCGGGUGACUCUGUCUGCAACCUCAAGGAUUUGCACUGGCUUCUCAACGUAGGUCAAGUCCUCCUGGACUUCGAGACCUUCCACUCGCAACUGCUCUUCUGGCACACGCAAGCACUUCUUCAACUGAGACACAUGAAAGACAUCAUGCACAACGGACAAAUUCUCUGGCAGACUGAGCUGAUAGGCCACUUCUCCACGCCUUGAGAGAAUUUGGUACGGACCAAUGUAGCGGGGUGCUAGCUUGCCUUUGACUCCGAACCUUCUGACUCCUCUGAUCGGUGACACUUUCAGAUAGACAAAGUCUCCGACUUCGAAACUCAGCUCUCUUCUUCUUGUGUCUGCAUAGCUUCGCUGCCUCGAUUGCGCUAUCUUCAGAUUCUCUCGGACCAUCUUGAUGUUCUCUUCAGCUUCAAGUAGAAUGUCUGGCCCAAACACUUGCUUCUCUCCAGGCUGAUCCCAUUGCAACGGAGUUCUACAACUCCUUCCAUAAAGCGCCUGAAAUGGUGACAUCUUCAAACUGGCCUGGUAACUGUUGUUAUAGGAAAACUCUGCAUAAGGCAAUCUCUUAUCCCAUCCGGACUGAUCUUGCAACGCACAGGCUCUCAACAUGUCUUCAAGAAUUUGAUUGGUCCUUUCGGUCUGACCAUCUGUCUGCGGAUGAUAAGCUGAACUGAAAUUCAGAUGCGUGCCCAAGGCUUCAUGCAACUACUGCCAGAAAUGAGAGGUGAACUGCGUUCCUCUGUCUGACACUAUCUUCUUUGGCACACCAUGAAGAUAAACGAUCCGAGACAUGUACAACUCUGCCAAUACUGCACUAAUGUAGUUGGUCUUGACAGGUAUGAAGUGGGCUGACUUGGUCAAGCGGUCCACUACUACCCAAAUAGAAUCGUAGCCGGCUCGAGUGCGAGGCAAUCCGACUAUGAAAUCCAUACCGAUUUCAUCCCAUUUCCACUGAGGGAUUUGCAAUGGUUGCAACAAUCCAGCAGGUCUCUGGUGCUCUGCUUUGAUCCUUCGACAACUAUCACACAUAGCCACAUGCUCUGCGAUUUCCCUCUUCAUUCCGUACCACUAGAAUUUCUUAUUCAGAUCUUGAUACAUCUUCUCACUGCCAGGGUGAAUCGAAUAGGUUGUCUCAUGAGCUUCCUUGAGGAUCAACUCCCGAAUGGAUUGGACAUUGGGAACACACAAGCGGUCUUUGAACCAUAUCACACCUUCUGCAUCUUCUCGAAAAUCUUUGCCUCUGCCAUCUAGAAUCAGUCGUCGGAUCUCACUGAUCUUCUCAUCAUUCUUCUGCGCUUCUUUGAUUUCGCGCUCCAAAGUAGGUUCCAACUCGACUAUGACUCCUCGCGAAUUGUUCAGAAAUCCGAGACUCAACUUGUCGAACUCUUUGGCCAACUCGUAAGGCAUCGGACGAGCGACCAUCAGGUUGACUUGACUCUUCCUGCUCAAAGCAUCUGCCACUACGUUUGCUUUGCUUGGAUGGUAAUGGAUCUCCAACUCAUAGUCUUUGAUCAACUCUAACCAUCUUCGCUGCCUCAUAUUCAACUCUGACUGAGUGAAUAUGUACUUCAGACUCUUGUGGUCUGUGUAAACAUCACAUUUCUGUCCAUACAGGUAGUGCCUCCAUGUCUUCAGUGCGUGAACCACUGCUGCCAACUCUAGAUCAUGGAUUGGGUAAUUCUUCUCAUGAACCUUCAACUGUCGGGACGAGUAAGCCACAACUCUUCCCUCUUGCAUCAACACACAUCCCAAACCUGUGUAACAAGCAUCACAAUACACCGAGAAGGGCUUGUGCACAUCAGGCAAGACUAGGACAGGCGCUGUUGUCAACUUCUCUUUCAGCGCUUCAAAGGCCUCUUGACAUUUCUGGGUCCACUUGAACUCAACCUUGUUGCCUAGCAAUGCUGUCAUUGGUUUCACAAUCUUCGAAAACCCUUCAAUGAAUCACCGAUAAUAUCCGGCCAUUCCAAUGAAACUCUUGAUUCCUCGGGCAUCUGUUGGCGCUUCCUAGUUCAAAAUGUCUGCCACUUUCUUCGGAUCCACAACCAAUCCUUCUUUGUUGAUUAUGUGACCCAAGAAUAGGACUUCACUGAUCCAGAACUCGCACUUGCUUAACUUUGCAUACAGCUGGUGCUCUCUCAAUCUCUGCAAUACCAUCCUCAAAUGAUCUGCAUGCUCUUCUUCGCUUUGAGAGUAAAUCAGAAUGUCAUCAAUGAAUACCACCACAAACUUAUCAAGAUAAUCCAUGAAUACACUAUUCAUCAGAUUCAUGAAGAAGGCUGGCGCAUUGGUCAAACCAAAAGACAUCACUGUGAACUCAUACAACCCAUACUUGGAAAUGAAUGCCGUCUUCGGAAUGUCCGAAGGUCGGAUCCUGAGCUGAUGAUAACCUGACCUCAAAUCAAUCUUGGAGAACACACUGGCUCCUCUCAACUGGUCGAACAGAUCUUCUAUUCUAGGCAAAGGGUACUUGUUCUUGAUCGUGACUUCAUUCAGAGCUCAAUAAUCGAUGCACAUCCUUUUGGUGCCAUCUUUCUUUUCCAUAAACCGGACAGGGCGGCCCAAGGCGAGGUGCUUGGCCGGAUGUAACCUUUCUCUGACAGCUCAUCAAUCUGCUUCUUAAGCUCAACCAACUCUGGUCCAGAUAUUCUGUAAGCUCUCUUAAAGAUGGGGGCGGUUCCAGGAAGAAGCUCUAUGGCAAAUUCAACUUUCCGCUCUGGUGGCAUACCUGGCAAGUCCUUUGGAAACACAACUGGAAACUCAUACACAACCCUGAUACUCUCGAUCGGGUCUGCUUCACUGCUAUCAAUGACCAUCUGAUAACAACUUCCUUUCUUUGGCUCAGGCGGGACUAACUCGGUCACCACUUCCUCUCCUAGUGGGGACACCAACUUGAUUGUCCUCUUAUCACAACUGAUAACUGCCUGAUACUUAUCUAGCCAAUUCAUCCCUAGGAUGACAUCUAUUCCCUGAGUACCCAUUACUAUAAGGUUAGCGGGAAACGCUAUCCCCCUUACUUUCACACUUACAUUCAAACAAAUGCUAUCGGCUCGAAUUCUACCACCGGCUGAGUCAAUUUGAAAGGGGGUUGACAUGGUAGUAAUUGGAAGAUUAUGUGCUUCUACCCAUGAUGCAGUAAUGAAAGAAUGCGUUGCUCCAGUAUCAAAUAACACUUCUGCAAUAUGGGAGUCGACCGGGAACAUACCUACUAUCAUGUCGGGGGUCUCCUGAACUGCUUCAGCCUCCAAGUGAUUCAGUCUUCCAUGAUUGUAGCGUGGCUGAGAGCGGUUGCCUGCUCCAGGCUGAGACACAUUCUCCUUUGCUGGGGCAUUGGGGCCUGACUGCUGCUGGGCUGCCUUCUUCGGACAUUGCAUCACCUAGUGGCAUUGCUCUCCACAAUGGAAACAUGCCCUGUUUCCAACCUGAGCUGGUGCUGCUUGACUGUUCUGCUGGGCUGCUGGGGCAGGAAGACGAGGUGCCUGCUGAUUCUGCCUCUGAAACUGACCUCCUAACUGAUUGCUCUGACGGUUCUGAUACUGGUGCUGAGGAUACUGCCUUUGGAACUGCUGAUGCUGGUGAGGUGGACACUGGUUCUGCCUGAACUGCUAAGGUUGAUUGCCUGAGAAACGAGGACGAUUGCUGCUUCCAGGCUGGGGUCCACUGAUCUUGUGCUUACGAUCCUCCAUCUCCUUACGCUUCCUUUCUGUCAUAAUUGCUCUGUCAAUCAGGUGCUGGAAUGUCGGGAAGGUAUGAUUCAUCAGUUGGUACUGCAGAGGGUCAACCAAGCCUCUCAUGAAACGGUACUGUCGCUUGGCAUCAGUGUUGACAUCUUCAGGAGCAUAGCGAGACAACAGCAGAAACCUGUCCUGGUACUCACUGACAGACGAUGACCCUUGCUUGAGGGCUAGGAACUCCUCCUUCUUCACUGUCAUCAGACCUGCAGGAACAUGGUACUGACGAAAGCUUCCUCUGAACUCUUCCCAGGUGAUGGUGUCGGGGUGGGCAUGGGUGGCGAGGUAAGACUCCCACCAAGACUGAGCUGCUCCUCUCAACAGACGGGGACCAUACAUGACUUUCUCCCUGUCAUCACACUGAGCGGUAUGCAACUCCCGCUCCACAGUGCGCAGCCAGUCUUCAGCAACCAUGGGGUCAGAAGAAUGAGCGAACGUUGGUGGAUGACCUCUCAUGAAUUCAGCACGCUUGUCCCUAGGCAUUUGAGGCAUCUGAGGCUGAGGUGGGGCCUGCUGCUGUUGCUGCUGCUGCUGCUACUGAAUGGCGGCCAAAGUCUGACUGAUGGCUUGAACUGCCUGAGUCUGCAUCAGAAACAUCUGCUCGAUCGACAUCGGGGGCGGGGGCGGCAGGUGCUAUUGCUGGGGUACCUCUUCCUGCUGAGCGGCUCGCUCCUGCUGAGCAUGCCUUCCUCCUCUGCGCCUGUUCUCUGACAUCUGCAGAAUGCAACCACACAUCAGAACUGAUCUUGCAAAUCUUGCAGCAUAAGAAAAGAGUAUAGAAUUCUUCAACAGCACUGAACAGAUGAGCAUCUUCACUGAUCUCCAACACAGACCACACAGCUUCUCAGAUAAAGAGGAAAGUGGAAUAAAAGGUUUCCCAACUAUAUAGCUAACUCCAUUAACAUAUAACAUGUAAACCAUAAUGCAGGGGAUACCCACACUCUGGUGACAGUCAUUACAAAGAUCCAAACCAAACAUAGUUCAUCAUGACAAACAUAAAUGCACAGGAUAUAGCAAACUACCUUGUCUAACUAAGACUAACUAAGAGCGAGACUAACGCUAAGACUAUAGCUUCUACGUAUAUAUAUUUUGUAUUAAUUACAAGAUCCAACUCUAACGAUCUAUGGUUCUAGAUUUAUCUUAGUCUUGCAGUCGGGGUUGCCAUAAGACUGGCGUCCACGCCGAGGUGAGCGGUACGGGUGCUGAGUCCCAACGGGAGCGGGGGAACCAUCAUCCAGGUGACGAUGUUCCGCGCGCUCAGCCCGCAGCAGGGCGAUCUCAGCACGAGCCCUACUCAGCUCGUCUAAUGCAUGGUCCAGCUCCGUGUUUAGCACGGCGGCUAGGUUGACUGUGCUGCUCAACCUAGGAUUGCCCUCACCGACAGGUGAGACAAUCACGCCUCCUGUGCUGCCAGAUGGACGGCGAGGGUAAUACUUCAGGUUGAGACCGUCAGCUACCCCACCGAGAACCGAGCAGUAGUGCGAAAGCGCACGCCGUGCAGCAUCUUGCAUGGCCGCCUCAGCUGAGUCCCGCUCAGAGAUAGAAUAGUGCUCUGAGCAGGCCUCCGCACCCUAGAGACUGUUCUCCGGGCGGCGCACCAAGCAGGUCGCCUCCCAGCGGUCCGGGUAAACCCCGUGACUAUGCUGGUAGACCACACAGCGAUACUCGAUGGACCAAGUACGCCGGUUAAGUGCCCGACGUAGCAAGAUGUCGAGCGCAUCGUGGAAGUGACACCCGCGAGCAGCGUCGCGAGUGAUGGGUCGAGCAACCCAUCCUUCCGGCUCCUGGUCAGCAGAGAAGUCGGUGUCGUGGCUCGAGCUGUCGUCGCCACCUCCGUCAUCUGGGUCUCCUCCAGCAGCUACUCCAGAAGCUGGGGCGCCCAGUGGUGGUGUAGGGGGGCGCCUCCAGGGGAAGCACAGGGGAGCAGCUCCUCACGAACUCUAUCUCCUGGUGGAGCGAGAAAGAAGAGCCCUGCUGCUCCUGUCGUCGACGUUCCUGCUCGUCAUGCAGGCAGUGGUGCAGUCUCUCCAAGUGGCUGGACUGUCCGGCCACGGGACGGCGAAGCGGACGCUCAGCAAGGCGGGAGGGUAAGAAGGGGAUGACAGACUUUCGUGCAGUGUGUCUAAGACGAGCCAUCUACAAAAGACACCGCAAGCAAAAGAGUGAGAACAGAAUUAAUAUGACCAGCAAGUAAUGAACCAUAAAUAAAUGAAGGAUUAGAAUAAAACAUAAUUUUCAGCAAGGUAUAAUAUAUAGUAGAACAUAGGUUUGGUCGGUAUGACCAACUUUUGAAGGGAUAUCAAAGUCAAGGCAGGGACAGAGGUCUAUAGUCCUUAGAACGACCAUUCUAUUCUAGGUUAGCGGUCCUACAGUCAGCACGGCUUUGAUACCACUUAUGUCACACCCGGUUUUAGAAGGCAAACCGAAUGCGAACCAUGUACGUGCCAGGAUCAGUAAUUCACGUACACAGCAGUUACAUAACAUGGACAUCAUCACACAGUGCUCAAAAUAGUAUUAAAAGGGAAAUAAUAGUUGAUUACAUCAUACGUCUGAGACGUCCAUAUAGUCCUUACAAUAAAUCAAAGUGCGAAAACGAAACAUAGAUAACCACGGCCUUCACAGGCAGCCGACUGGGGGUUUGCCGCUAACCCACGCCUAGAACUCGUCGUAGUCUUGGAACUCCUGGAAGUCUCCUUCCACAGCUUCAUCUUCUCCUGAGCAGUGGUUGCAAUGCUGACAACCUGGGGAUGGGGGGGUUUGGUGUGUAGAGCAAGGGUGAGUACACAUCAACAUACUCAGCAAGUAUCCUGUUUGGCUGUAGUGGACUAGCUUUAUGUGGGGAUAAGUCAAGCAGUUGCUUUUAGUUGGUCAGAUUAUUAUUUACUAAUAGAAAGCCAGGUUUUAGCAUUAACCCAAGUUAUUAGCCUCAUGUACCCUUUCCAAACGGAAAGAAUACCACUUACCAGCACCAUAGUCAUAACCAAAACCAUCAGUCUCAUUGCCACCGAGAUACCAUAAUGUCUCUGAUCAAGUACCACUAAUCACUGGAGCUCCCUUGGCCGCUCAUAACUGCGAGCACGACUGAUAUAUCAGUUUUCAAACACUCUGCAGAGGUUGUGCACUUUACCCACAAGUCGUGAUUCCCUUUCUGCCCGGAGAUCAUGACUCUCCAUUGAUCACUACCAAGGUGACCCAGCAGGGCAUCACUACGUAGCCUUUACAAAGAUUCCCCGGGGCUGUAGCCACCCGUUAGGUUUCCUAAAUGCACCGCACUCCUCCCCAAGGGGCGAACCCAAACUUGGCAGAGCGAGCCGCAUACACCGAGCCCCAUUGACGGCACGACGGCUAAGUGAUCUACACCCCGGAUCCUCUAAUUAUUCAGCUAAGGGCAUCCCAUUCCACCCUCAUGGUUGCACUGUUUUCCCGGGCGGUCAUCCAUAGAACAGGUCCUUACGGAGAGGCACUCGAGAAACCGCUCGAGCCCCCUUGAAGACCACAAGUAUAACAUCAUAAUAAAAGAGGGGAAAACAACGUAUCAUUGAUAAUUCUCAUCAUGUUCAUUGAUUAAAGUGGAGCAAUAGCAUAAAGCUAAACAAUAAUAAUCCAACCCAAAUAGGUAAACAAGGACAUGGAUAACAAAAGCUAGGCAAUCCUUAGGUAUACAUGUGUAAAGCGGGAGGUGAAUUAAAGAAUGAAUAGGACAAAGAUAGGUCAAGGGACACUUGCCUCCACCAACCGACUGCUGCUUAGGGGCUUCUCCUGCGAGUUCCUCGGGCUCUUCAACCGGAUCGUUCUCUAUGCGAUUGCAAGCAUACACACAUCCAUCCAUUCAAAUUAGGAAACAAACAGUACACCAUAUAGGAGAACAAAUAAAGUAUAUAUGCAUAGAAUAUCACAUACGAUAAUGAACUCACCAUGGUUAGAAAGAAAUGGGAAAAGGUCUCGCGAGAGUUAAAGCUUAUGCCCGAGACGCACUACGGGUAAACAAAUGACUAAACGCUACGUGCUCUAGUUCCAAUUGGUUCUAACAAAAGAAUUAGCUACAUGCACUAAUGUAAACGUGACCACUUUUAGUAGAUCAACAUUGAAUGAGAUAUAUGAUUAGUUAUACAAAUUAACUAACGUAACCAAUUUCCAAAUUGAGACUCCUACCUUAUUAAUAUAAACACGUGAUUAGCGCGCAUAGGACACGGGGGGGGCGGGGGGGGGGGGGUAGACGGGGCGUCUGGGGUAGACGGGUCGUGCCAAGGCACUACGCACUACGCGAGCACGCGCGCGAGGCCGCACGCACACGCCACGAACUAGCCGUGCGCACGUCGGGGCCGUGCGCUAGCCGAGCUCGAAGCCGCGCGCCAUAGGCACACUGGGCCGAGCUCGAGGCCACGCCGGGGCCGUCACGACGCGAGCAAGGCACGGCGGGGCGAGCGGGCAAGCACGCCGGGGCAAGCGAGCACGGGCGAGCGAGGACGCGGCCGGGCGGCCGAGCCGGGGCACGGGGCGGCCGGGCUCGCCGGGAGGCGACCGAGCUCGCCGGGAGGCGGGCGGGCUGGGCACGGAGGCGGCGCGGCCGGGGGCGGGGGCGGCGCGGCCGAGGACGGCGGACGGGGUCGGGGAGCACCGGGGCGGGCGCGGCCGGGGCCGGGGCCGAGCUCGCCGGGGCCGGGCGAGCGCGCCCAUGGCGCGGGGGAGGGUGCCGACGGGAGGGAAGGAGGAGGGAGGAGGGGGGAGAAGCCUCAUCGGAGGGGGAGGACGGCGCGGUGGCGGCGCCGUGGAGGGGCGGCGGCGGCGCUAGGUUUAGGGAGAGGGAGAGAGAGAGGGGAUGACGGGCGAGGCCCGCGGGGAGGGGAUUUUUGGAAAAAAAUAAAAAAGGGGAGGGGGCGGUUGGGCCGGCUGGGCCCAAAGGGGGGAGGGGGGCGCGGCUUGGGCCGCCAGGACGGCCCACAGCGGGGGAGGGGCGGCUGGGCCGCCGCGGGGCCCACGCGGGAAGGGGAGGGGGGCGGCUGGGCCGCUUGGGCCAAGGGGAAGGGGCGGCUGGGCCAAAAGGGGAGAAGGGAGGGAGAGAGGGCUUUUCUUUUUCUAUUUUUCCAUAUUUUCUAUAUGCCUAAUUCUCCAAUUCACUCAACCACAAACACAAGAGUGCAUAAUCCGGCAUGAUGCAACAAACAAAAAUAGUUCUAGGUUUUGGUUACACAAGAUGUCGAGCUAAUUCUCGCUAUAACUUUUAGAAAAAUCAAGGCUUAGCGAGAAGAAAAGGGAAAAAGGAAAGAGUAACGCCUGAAUUUGGUGAGAGAAAAGAAGAAAAAAUUCUACCCCCAAAUUCAGGGCGUUACAGCUGGCAACCCAGGACGACAGAGGCAACGAGACGGUACCUCCCGACUCGAGUGUAAUCACUGAACUUUUGAUUUGCCCAAGUGAUUUUACAUGUUAUGAACCAUGCUUCUAAUUUUUAAUCCUGGAAUAGGCAGUAUCUUGAGAGAUUUUCUGUAUAUCUGUAUAUUUUUUUAUUAAGCAAGCUUGCUGCAGCAUUGUUACCCUGGACCAGUGGAUUAAAUUUUGUACGGUUUCCUGUAUGUGGAAGGUUGGAGUAACUUUUAUGGAAUCAUGCCUACGUAGCUGCAGUUCAUACACUGGAUGAUCAGAAUGUUGUUAAUCUUCUAGUUACUACUUAUAACCCCUCUAUAUAUCUGCCUGUUCAAAAUUGAACAAUUAAUCUUGUAUUUCAGUUUUCUAGCCUUGGUUUUCUUUUAUCGUCUGCACAAUUCCUAGGUUAUUAAAACGAUAAAACGUUGAAACGCUCAUGGGUGAAAUUUUGACAUUUAAACAACAUAGGAAAAAUACCAAUAUAUCAUAAUUUCAGCACAAUUCUCCUGAGCGUUCGAUAAAAAAAAUAAUUUCAAACAAUAACAUGAAGUUAAAUACCAAAACCGAGAAGUUAGUGGUUUACCAAAACUUCACCUAUGAGCCAGAUUGGACCCCAAAAGUAACUAACAGACUAGGCCCAAAAGUAGCUAAUGGUCUAAAACACAUGAAACACUGUGUUUUACAGUCUAGAACGCCAAAACGCGGUUUCAACCUCUAAUUAGAAUUUUGACGUUUAAAUGUAGUUUUAAGAAAUAACACUGCACAAUUCUAUGCAGUCAAAUGCUUCUUCUGGCAUGGGAGUUGCUCCUAACAUUAGGGAGACGUUUGUCGAGCUCCAAAUGAAGAAGGCAUUCUGAUAUGUUAUCUUCAAAAUCGAAGAAAAGCAAAAGCAGGUAGUUGUGGAGAAGACGGGGGCGACUACUGAAAGCUAUGAUGAUUUUCUGGCCUCUCUCCCGGAGAAUGACUGCCGAUAUGCGCUGUAUGAUUUUGAUUUUGUUACUGGGGAGAAUGUGCAAAAAAGUAAGAUUUUAUUCAUUGCCUGGUAAGUUUCAGAAUCAUAUAUGCACGCAUCUUUAUUUUGUUUCAUACAUGUUUAGCAGUUCCGUUAAGUUGUAAAGCCAAUGCCAAUGAAACUAGACUAGAAUACUAGAUCCAUAGAAAUAGCUAAAGAUGUGAACUGUUGAUGAGUUAGUCAUUCGAGGAUCUGAAAAAAUCUUAAAAUGCACCAAUCACAGUUAACUUAACAUACUAGUUGUUUAAGUACUUAAUCUUUUAAAGUGUUAUUAACUCAGUAUUGAACUGUAAAGUUGGAUUGGAUCUUGUGAUGUGUGAUCUUGCUAUGAUAGCACUUGCCACCUCUACUUUAUAGUGUUUGCUGGUAACCCAUACUAGUUAGCAUUUUAGUAGCUCAGACCAAAAGGAUUAAUAAUGCAUGUGGCGCAACAGUUAGGAAUAUUCUUGGCAAUAAUUGUUAAUCUAUUAUGUAGAUUCUGAUGUGGUCUUUUUGGACUGCACUAUAUGUAUCCCUGUGGUGCCUCAUAUUCUUUCAUGCUCAAUGCAUCCGCUCUGGCCUUCCUGCUGGUUUCACUUCACCAAACCUUUUACCUAAUCCACCGUUACCCCAGGUGAUACGACCACGCUAUUAAGAAACACGUUACAACCUCCAAGGCAUACUACAUCAACUCAGGUACAAUCAACAUCAUCACAAACCCAAGCCUUUGAUGGACCAAUUACACGUAGCUGAGCUAAGAAGCUACAACAAGAGGUGCACGCGCUACUUUAUGAAUUUCAAUUAAACACUAAUGAGAACUUUAUGCUACCUAAGUCGUGUAUGUUGAUAUUACUUAGGUUCACCAAAGAGCAAGGACAAAACAUAUCAAGGGCGAAUCAGUAAGAAGAGUUAUGUCCGAGUGAGUCCAGCGCUACAGAACCGUCCAGAAGAAACAGUCAUAUCUUUUGAUUCCCAAAAGCUAUGAAGGCCCAUAAGUACUUUUUAGAAAGCUCUUGAAGUCUAGUUUCCAAUGCUUCUAAAGCCGACUUAAUCAAAUCUACCAGAAAGGCAGCCGACCUACUUUAGUGCUGACUGGUCAGAAGGUCAACAGUCUGCUUGAUGACCAAGUUUUUGUAUUAAACUGCAUCAUUCUACGAAGUUUCAUUAAGCAUGCUAUACAUGGUGAGAAAGCUUAUCAAGUCAGCUUUCCAACGCAUCCAGCCCCACGUCAUUUGGAGAUUCCUAGAAGAAGUUAUUGUCAAAAUACUGAAGGCUGCGCAGAAGUCAAACAGCCACACGGAAAUCAGCUCUGCAGAUCUCUCGAAGAGGCUCCUUCACAUUAGCACGUGAAAAUACUUUUGUUUCGUGUUUAUACCUUGCUAAGGCUGGUUCUUACUAGUAUAAAUACCCCCCUAUGUCUAUGAUGUAAGGCAGCUUUUGAUAAUCUAAAACAGAACCCCCUUUGUUCAGCUGUGUGCUAACAAAUAUUGAGAGUGAUCUCUACCCCUUUGCUCUUGUGAAUUCCUUCGCGGGAUUGCAGAAGCGGCGGCUUCAUCCGCUCCCAAGUGGUGCUCCUACUCCCUUCGAGGUCUCCUCGAUUGAUUGUAGGUUGUGUUGGUUGGUUCUUUGAGAGUAUGGUUGGGAGAAUCCUCGAUUCAGGCUGCCGGUUAAAGACGGUGGUUGGCUUCGAGUUUUAUUUGUCUGGUUGCACUAGUUAUCGCUGCUUGCAGCAAGUUAUCUUGGCUUCUUUGAAGGUAGUUAUCUGAAGAUUGAUCCUACAUCGUGAAGAUCGGGCAUCAUGACGCAUCAUCUGGUAUCAGAGCCUCAGUUGCCACGGUAGGAUUCUUUACCCUUAGCUACAUAUAUUUUGUGUUCGUCCUAUCCACCAAAAAGCCAUAAAAUAUUUUUGCCAUAGCCCUUUGUUUCAAUCUGUUGUUCCAGUGAGUUUUGUUAAGUUUCAGUCCUUAGAGUCUUUGUUUAGUUGAUGGUCACUCUAUCCUUUGUGUUUCCUUUGAGCCUCUUAUAUAUAUCUGAAAAUAUCCACAAAAAGAAAAUUCUGAAAAAAAAACUUAUCAUUUCCUUCGCGUUAACUUUGAUCCUAUUUAAGUUAUAGCUGCUGGUUGAGUUCUUUGUUAAUUAUUAUAAAGUGUGCAAUAUCAUAUCAGAUCUCUGUGUUUAGUUCUAUAAAAAAGAGUAUAAAAAAAGUGCCAAAAAAAGUGUUGAUCAAGAUUGUGAAAGAAAAGUAGAACAAUCAAUUUGUUUAUGUGCACAAGUGCUGAAAGUUUUAUCAAGUUGUUCAACUAGUUUGCUAUUGUCAUUUGGUGCAAAAUUUUGGUUGGAUCUGAUUGCAACACUUGCAUUCCAAUCAUACUCCUUGUCUGCAUCAAAUCUGAAAUUUCUUGCGCGUGUGUUUGAUCUAUUUACAUCACUCGUAUCUUGUGGUCAGCACUAAGCAGGGAACUUCUAGUUGGAUGGUUAUUUAACUUAACAACAACUAGGAUUCAGAUUGCAUCUCUUGUUUAUUAUCCCCCCACUAAGCUCCACAUAUAAGCCAUCGUAAUCGGUACUCUGGUCUUGUAUUCGCUUAACCACCACUUUCGUGCUACCACCACACAUUUUCUUGCAAUUGAAGAAUGUGUCACCAUGAUACAAUUCAAUGAGCUCAAACAAAGCAUAGAAGCCAAGCAAGAUCUGUUGGCACAAGAUCUUCAGACACUUAUGGCUGAAAUCAGAGGUCGUCGUCGACUCCCUAACGGUGUAAGAAACCAUGAUGAAGAUGGGGAAGAAGGUGAAGGAAAUUAUUCUAGAAGGGCAAGUGAACAUGGGAGGAGAAAUCAAGGUGCUGCACGUGGUAGAGGAAGAGGCCGGAAUCGAAGAAAUGAUGACAAUGAAGAAUCUGAAUUUGGGAAUGAUGAUGAUCAGUCCCAACAUCGCUAUGGUCGUCGUCAUCAUAGAGGCGUCAACCAAGAAGAGAGAUUUGGGAAACUUAAGUUUACCAUGCCAAAAUUUGAUGGUAGAUCUGAUCCUGAAGAUUAUUUCAUAUGGGAAUUGAAGGUGGAGAAAAUAUUCCGCCUACAUAAUUAUUCAGAGGAGAAGAAACUUGCAAUGGCAUCUCUUGAGUUUGAAGGACAUGCUCUGAUUUGGUGGGAGCAACUUCUUCGUGAUUGUGAAGAAGAUGGAGAGGACCCUAUUAUUACUUGGCAAGAGAUGAAGCGAGAAAUGAGAAUUCGUUUUGUGCCGAAGCAUUAUCGGCGUGAUCUUUUUGAUAAAUUGCAGAAUUUGAGGCAAGGAAGUUUCUCUGUUGAGGAGUAUUAUAAGGAGAUGGAGAAGGCCAUGAUUAGAGCCAAUGUGUAUGAAGACGAAGAGCAAACCAUUGCACGUUUCAUGGCUGGGUUACACCGCAACAUUCAGCGUAUUGUUGAGUUUCAGCCGUACCAAAGUCUUAUUGAUUUGGUACAUCAAGCCACCAAAGCUGAACGCCAGCUGCAACAAGAUGCUAAGAGCAGCAAGCCCUUGUCAUAUGGUGCACGAACCAUGACUGGAAGAAGCAAAUCGAUCUCAAGGUUUACUGUUGCAUCCUCAGCGACAAAAGGUUCAACUGGAGGCUUGCGAUCCAAUAUUCAAGGCAAUUCUAGUGGAAAGAAUGGUGCUGCUCCAAACACGAGUUAUAAACCAGCAGCAUCCACUUCAACAUCAGUGGGUUCAACAGCCAAGAGUAGUGGUAUUCAGUGCUUCAAGUGUGGAGGUCGUGGUCAUGUCAUAAAAGAGUGUCCAAAUAAUCGUGUGAUCCUUGUGACUGAUGAUGGAGAAUAUACAUCAGCUAGUGAAGAAGAAGCUGAAGCAGGAAAUGAAGAUGACAUUGAUAAAUCUGAAGAACAUACGGGAUGUGAAUUUGAGCAUGGUACUACUCUUGUGGUUACACAAAUCUUGAGUGUUCAAAUGAAAGAAGCUGAAAUUGGACAACGACAUAAUCUUUUUCAAACGCGAGCAAAAGUGCAAGACAAAGUAGUAAAGGUGAUCAUUGAUGGAGGGAGCUGCCAUAAUCUUGCAAGUCGUGAGAUGGUUGAAAAGCUUGGUUUGAAGUUGCAGCGACACCCUCAUCCAUAUCAUGUCUAAUGGUUGAAUGAAUCGGGAGAUAUCAAGAUUGGUUAUAAGGUGAAAGUUUCGUUCAAGAUUGGAGAGUAUGUUGACACAGUGGAGUGCGAUGUUGCACCCAUGUCUGUGUGUCACAUGCUGCUAGGAAGACCUUGGCAAUAUGACCGAUAUUCUCAGCAUUGUGGAAGAACAAAUCAAUACACGCUAGAUCUGAAAGGGAGAAAGUUUGUACUCAAGCCUAUGACCCCUCAACAAAUCAUGGUUGAACAUUUACAAAAGAAAACUGAAAUUAGUGCAGCAAGUAGAGGAGGAGAAGAGCAAAAUAAAUUGAGUGCCAUCCACAAUUCGGUAAGCGAGUGCUACAAGCCAAAUUCAAGAGAUAAAAGGAAGGAAGAGGGAGAACAUCUAGUUAUGCUAGCCAAAAAAUCUGAGCUGAGAGAAGUGAGGAACAACCCAUAUCAAGUACUCUUUGUACUUGUGAACAAAGAUGUUUUGAUUUCUCCUAACGACAUAACAUCUCUUCCUAGUGUUGUGGCUGAUCUUUUGUAGGACUUUGAAGACGUGUUUCCACAAGAAACACCGGCUGGACUACCUCCAAUUCGAGGGAUUGAGCAUCAAAUCGAUCUUAUUCUAGGGGCUGCACUUCCUAACCGUCCACCAUAUCGAACCAAUCCUGAAGAAACUAAGGAAAUACAAAGGCAAGUGCAAGAACUUCUUAAUAAAGGUUUUGUUCGUGAAAGCUUAAGCCCUUGUGUUGUUCCUGUGAUUUUAGUACCUAAGAAAGAUGGAUCUUGGAGGAUGUGUGUUGAUUGUAGAGCUAUAAAUAAUAUUACCGUUCGCUAUCCUAUUCCACAGCUAGAUGAUAUGCUUGAUGAAUUAAGUGGUUCCACAUUUUUUACUAAAAUUGAUUUGAGAAGUGGAUACCAUCAAAUAAGAAUGAAAACUGGAGAUGAAUGGAAGACUGCAUUUAAAACAAAAUUUGGGUUGUAUGAAUGGUUAGUGAUGCCCUUUGGGUUGACUAAUGCUCCUAGUACUUUUAUGAGAUUAAUGAACCAUGUCUUAAGAACUUUCAUUGGAAAAUUUGUUGUUGUCUACUUCGAUGAUAUUCUAAUUUACAGCAAGUCUUUUGAUGAACAUGUGAAACACAUUCGACAAGUUUUAGAUGAGCGUAGAAAGGAGAAAUUAUUUGCUAAUCUUGAGAAGUGCAGUUUUUGCACAGACCAUGUUGUGUUUCUUAGCUUUGUUGUUUCAGCAAAAGGAAUAGAGGUGGAUGAAUCCAAGGUGAAAGCCAUCAAGGAUUGGCCAGCUCCAACGAAUGUAAGUCAAGUAAGAAGUUUUCAUGGUCUUGCUGGUUUUUAUAGAAGAUUUGUGCGAGAUUUUAGUACCAUCGCUUCCCCUUUAAAUGAAUUGACAAAGAAAUGUGUUGAAUUUAAAUGGGGAAACUCACAAGAAGAUGCUUUUCAAGAAUUGAAGAAACGUUUGACUGAAGCACCUGUACUUAUUCUUCCUGAUUUCACUAAAACUUUUGAAGUAGAAUGUGAUGCUAGUGGGAUUGGGAUAGGAGGAGUUUUAAUGCAACAAGGAAAACCUAUAGCAUAUUUUAGUGAAAAAUUGGGAGGUGCUCAAUUAAAUUAUUCUGUGUAUGACAAAGAAUUGUAUGCUUUGGUCCGAGCGCUUGAAACAUGGCAGCACUACUUAUGGCCAAAAGAGUUUGUUAUUCAUUCCGAUCAUGAAGCUUUGAAGUAUUUGAAAGGACAAGCCAAACUGAACCGUCGCCAUGCCAAAUGGGUUGAGUUUAUCGAAACAUUUCCAUACAUUGUGAAAUAUAAGAAAGGUAAGGACAAUGUGGUCGCUGAUGCCUUGUCUCGAAGGAAUGUGUUGUUGAAUCAACUAGAGGUAAAAGUUUUGGGUCUUGAAAAUUUGAAAGAAAUGUAUCAUGAUGAUCCUGAAUUUUCAGAACCAUACAAUCAUUGUAAAGAUGGAAAAGGUUGGGAAAAUAUCAUAUACAUGAUGGAUUUUUGUUUAGAGCUAACAAACUUUGUGUACCAAAUUCUUCGGUUAGAUUGCUUUUAUUGCAGGAGUCACAUGGAGGCGGUCUAACAGGUCAUUUUGGACAAAAGAAGACUUAUGAAAUGCUCAGUGAUCAUUUCUAUUGGCCAAAGAUGAGGAGAGACGUCAUCAGAUUUGUGGAGCGUUGUGUCACCUGUCACAAAGCUAAGUCAAAAUUGAACCCUCAUGGUUUAUAUACUCCUUUACCCGCUCCUAAAAUUCCUUGGGAAGACAUAAGCAUGGAUUUUGUUUUAGGACUGCCGAUGACUCUAAAAAAGAGAUUCUAUUUUUGUUGUGGUUGAUAGAUUUUCAAAAAUGGCUCAUUUUAUCCCAUGCAACAAGAGCGACAAUGCUUCACAUGUUGCCAAUUUGUUUUUCAGAGAAAUCUUGAGGCUACAUGGAGUGCCCAAGACCAUCGUAUCUGACCGUGAUGUGAAGUUUGUGAGCUAUUUUUGGAAAACAAUGUGGGCAAAGCUUGGGACUAAACUUUUGUUCUCCACAACAUGCCACCCCCAAACUGAUGGACAAACUGAAGUGGUGAAUCGUACAUUAUCAAUGCUGCUGCGAACAAUGGUAAAGAAGAACUUGAAGGAUUGGGAGGAAUGUUUGCCACACGUGGAGUUUGCUUAUAAUAGGGCAGUACAUUCUACAACUAAUUUAUGCACCUUCGAAAUUGUAUAUGGGUUCAAAUCUAUUGCUCCGAUAGAUUUGUUGCCCCUUCCAUUGCAGGAAAGAACUAAUAUAGAAGCUUCCAAGUGUGCUGCCUAUAUAAAAAAGAUACAUGAGAAGACUAAGGAAGCAAUUGAGCUCAAAGCAGUGCGCAAGGCUACAAGCAUGAACAAGCAUAGGAAGAAAGUGUUAUUUGAACCGGGGGACUUGGUUUGGAUUCACUUGCGCAAGGAGCGUUUUCCUGAGCAGCGCAAAUCCAAAUUGAUGCCACGAGGGGAUGGUCUAUUUCGUGUUUUUGCCAAGAUCAAUGAUAAUGCAUACAAGAUAGAUCUUCCACCAAGCUAUGGCGUGAGCAACACGUUCAAUGUUGCUGACCUCUUACCAUAUACAAGUGAAGACACUUCAGAGUCGAGGACGACUCCUUUUCACGGGGAGGAGGAUGAUACGACCACGACAUUAAGAAACACGUUACAACCCCCAAGGCAUACUACAUCAACUCAGGUACAAUCAACAUCAUCACCAACCCAAGCCUUUGAUGGACCAAUUAUACGUAGCCGAGCUAAGAAGCUACAGCAAGAGGUGCACGCGCUACUUUAUGAAUUUCAAUUAAACACUAAUGAGAACUUUAUGCUAUCUAAGUCGUGUAUGUUGAUAUUACUUAGGUUCAACAAAGAGGAAGGACAAAACAUAUCAAGGGCGAAUCAACAAGAAGAGUUAUGUCUGAGUCAGUCCAGCGCUACAAAACCGUCCAGAAGAAACAGUCAUAUAUUUUGAUUCCCAAAAUCUAUGAAGGCCCAUAAGUACUUUUUGGAAAGCUCUUGAAAUCUAGUUUCCAAUGCUUCUAAAGCCGACUUAAUCAAAUCUACCAGAAAGGCAGCCGACCUACUUUAGUGCUGACUGGUCAUAAGGUCAAAAGUCUGCUUGACCAAGUUUUCGUAUUAAACUGCAUCAUUCUACAAAGUUUGAUUAAGCAUGCUAUACAUGGUGAGAAAGCUUAUCAAGUCAGCGUUCCAACGCAUCCAGCCCAACAUCAUUUGGAGAUUCCUAGAAGAAGUUAUUGUCAAAAUACUGAAGGCUGCGCAGAAGUCAAACAGCCACACGGAAAUCAGCUCUGCAGAUCUUCCGAAGAGGCUCCUUCACAUUAGCAUGUGAAAAUACUUUUGUUUCGUGUUUAUACCUUGCUAAGGCUGGUUGUUACUAGUAUAAAUACUCCCCUAUGUCUAUGAUGUAAGGCAGCUUUUGAUAAUCUAAAACAGAACCCCCUUUGUUCAGUUGUGUGCUAACAAAUAUUGAGAGUGAUCUCUACCCCUUUGUUCUUGUGAAUUCCUUCGCGGGAUGGCAGAAGCGGCGGCUUCAUCCACUCCCAAGUGGUGCUCCUACUCCCUUCGAGAUCUCCUCGAUUGAUUAUAGGUUGUGUUGGUUGGUUCUUUGAGAGUGUGGUUGGGCGAAUCCUCGAUUUAGGCUGUCGGUUAAAGAUGGUGGUUGGCUUCGAGUUUUAUUUGUCAGGUUGCACUAGUUAUCACUGCUUGCAGCAAGUUAUCUUGGCUUCUUUGAAGCUAGUUAUCUGAAGAUUGAUCCUACGUCGUGAAGAUCGGGCAUCGUGAUUGCACUAUACGUAUCCCUGUGGUGCCUCAUAUUCUUUCAUGCUCAAUGCAUCCGCUCUGGCCUUCCUGCUGGUUUCACUUCACCAAACCUUUUACCUAAUCCACCGUUACCCCAGGUCCCAUCGACAUCCCGCAUCCGUGCUAAGAUGUUGUACUCGACCUCGAAGGACCGCAUCAAGUAUGAGCUCGAUGGGUUCCACUACGAGACCCAGGCGACCGACCCAUCCGAGGUGGACAUUGAGGUCCUGCGGGAGUGGGCUCACUGAAGCUAGUUCGCCUUUGAAGAAGAAGGGACCUGUGGAGGGCCGUGAACCUUUUGGUCAGAUGCAAAUCCUAUUACCAAUGAUGAAAGCUCCCACCUUGGUAUUUUUUAUUAAGUUUCUGUAAGCAUGUCGUUUAGGCGCGACACGUGACUCUAGCUGGUGAAGCAUUAACAAAGCUGUAUCUGUAUGAGCUUUGGUUGUCGAGCCUAUAAACGAAGCAAGGUUUGCGAACUUGUUAUAUUGUGGUAUUGAUGGUACUGGAUUACUGGUUGUGGGUUGCUGGGAAUGCCUCUGUUGGUCUGGUAUGUGGGCGUGGUUGUGGUUCGACUGAGAAUGGGCCUUGUUGGUUUGGACGUCCGAAUCUGUGGAUAGACUGGUGUUAAUCAAACGAAUGCUAUUGUGAUGCUGGAGACUGGUUUGGAGGAAGCUUUGUCUGUUGUUGUCGUGUUGGGAACUUUAGGUUCUCACAUUUUCCAACUAUAUGGAUCAGUAUCUCUCGUUAUAUAAGCUAUGACUAUGGUUAGUCUUUAUAGACUAGCGCUUUAGUGCAUAGUUUAGUUAUCUCAAUGUUACGUUAGCUUUUUAACAAACUUUUAGGUAGCAUAAAAAUAAGUUAUUUUAUUAAAACAAAAGUAUAUCUGAUUACAUAAACAAAUAACAUUACAUAAUUUGUAAAUCAUAAAUUAAAAUGAUAUAAUUCAGUAAAAUAAAAGGUUAUAUUAUUUAUAAAUAAAACCUAAUUAUGUAGAUUGUAUAUAUGCUUUAUUAAAUAAUUUUGAAGCUCCUCAUGGACAAGAUCAGUAUGGAUUAUGGCUUCAUGUUAAAUGAUGGUUGCAUAGUUCGGUUCAUGGAUGCUUCAGAGUGAUGAUUGAUAAUGCAGUAUAGGACUUGAAUAUCCCAUAGUCAUCCACAUCAAAUGAUCUUCUAUACUCAUACUCAAUGAUUAUGUUGUGUUGAACAAUACAUGAACAUAUGGUCAUACUGAAUAUUCACUGGGAAAAAGAACGACUUAGGCUAGCCGGAAUAUAGAUGCUAGCAUUAGGUCUUCUAAAAUACAACAAAUACAUGCCAUUUUAGAGUCUAUGAGAGAGAACUAGUCUGCACCGGUCACUAGGAGUAGAUGCCAUCGACAAGGUUGUACUCUUAGUUAACCUCAUGUCCAUUCAUUGUGAAGUCCAGUUUGGUGCUUCUCUUUUAAGCACGUCAGAACAACGACAAUUGGUUGUGCACCUUGACAUCAUUGAUCGGCCUCGCUACCCAAAAGGGAAUGUGAAAUUAAGUCAUACACAAGAGUAUUGAACAUGCUCUUUCCUCUAGGAUAUAAAUCAUUUAACACACCUUCCAAACUUCUAUAGCUUGAUCACCAAGAAGAAAACCUCAGAGUAUGGUUGAUGACAUUAGGCUCAUCAUUAAAAAUAGUCUCGAACGUCUAUUUUCUUUUAUUUAUGAGAUAAUGCAUUUUUAUAGAAAUUAAUAGCCAAGGCCCCUCUUAUCUGAACAAAACAAAUAGUUAGAAUAGACACGUUUGUAGUACUUUUGACAACAAAUACAACAACACAUCUCACGUUGAUUAACUAUAAGGGGUGUUUGGUUUGAGGAAUCACUUCAUCGAAGAUAAUGUGAUGCAUCAUGAGUCUAUUCAUCAAAUUUAAUAGAAUGAUCUCAUUCUUAUAUUAGUACUAACUAUGAGAAAUGAGGUGAUGAUGAAUCAACUCAUUCCAUUCCACGAACCAAACAAAAAAGUGAUGAGUGAGAAGAUGAUGGAAUAACUCAUUCCUCGAACCAAUCACCCUAUAAGUAUCUAAACAAUAUUGUUUGUCAGAGUAUAAAUCCCAAAGCGACCAAUUGUUUGGAAACAGACACUAGUAUUUUGGAUCAGGUGGUGGACAGGUGGACUACAUGACACUAUACUAACAAAAAAGAGCUGCACAUAAAGUAGGGAACUAGUCUCGCAAACCUCUACUGUCCUGGUACUGGUAGUAGAAUCAUAUAGGAGUAUUUGUAUGAGCUGUGUUUAAGCACAAAAAACUGCUUUGGCCAACAGAUACCGUCACUUUGGACGCAUCAAAUAAUGAGGUGGUUUUAUAUGGCAAAGAUGAAAGGUUGUAGAAGUCUAGAAGAUGAGUCAUUAAGGAAUCAGGGUUACUAGCUCGUUAUUACACGUGUGAAUUGUGCAUUUACAAUCCCUUUCGAAAUGACUGAGCGAAAGAGGGCAAAUGUGCGAGUUCUUUGCUCAACCGUAAUCUCAAUCAGAUGGUGGAACAUGCUACCACGGAUGAAGAGGUCAGAAGUACAACAAGGUGCAGGGCAUUCGUCACUCGACCGUUGCCUCUAGGUACAGACUCUAGCCAUGCCAGGCCAGCUCCCCUCCCUCCAGGACACCAGCACCAACGACAACGGUCACUUGCCGCUACGCUAUCAGACAGUAGCCAGCACACUUCACAAGCUUCUUCUCUUGCAGGCUCCAGCUGCAGCCCGACCGGCCUCCUUCCCUAGGAUUCUUUUGCAGCUUCCAUUGUCUCCCCAUCUAUUUAACCCACCCACCCCCGCUUCGUCUCCCAUGUCCCAAAGCAAAGCAAAACAAAGCUUCAAAGCAUCUCUGCUGGGAUUUUAGCAAGUGGCAACGACGAGCGACCCAAAAAAGCAAUCAAUAGUCACCAUAUCAGCUCCUCUCGCUCCACACCCCCCUGCUCUGUGACUUGAGGUAGGACAGGAGGCAGAGGCGAGCAAUGGGGUUCGUGCUGGUGGUCUCUCUGCCCUUCAUCUUCCUCUCCAUCCUCCUCGGCUUCGGCUUCUACUUCCUCGGCAAGCACUGGGGCCGGGAGGAGAGCGGACCGGCGUCGGCGCGCAGAUCUACGGCAUGUCGCUGCCGCCGCCCGGCGUCAUCGGAGCCUCCUUGCCGCCGACUCAGCCAUUCCACAGCAAGAAACAAGGGUCCGAGGCUGUGUGACUGAGAUUCAGACGUCUCUCCAUCCAUCCAUCCAUUCUACUACUACUACUACUACUACAUAUAUGUCUUGGUGGUGAUGUUGGAUUUAUAUUCUUUCUUCUUUAAUUUCGCCCUGGUUGUCUUGAGAGUGUAGAUUGAGAGUCAAAUCUAUGCUUGUGUCUAAAGAUGGUGUGUGUGUGUGGAUGUUGUGAUAUGAUUGCAAUCACACUUUAUAUCUUCUGUAAUCAUGCAAUGGCGUUGCAGUAGAAUGGCUUGUGUGUGUGACUCCUGGAGGCUAUAUAUGUGUUUGAAGAUUGCAACUGAGCAUCUCCACAAGAUCUUUCAAUUUAGGAUAAUUCAAUAAAGAAAUGUUAUAGCAGGAUCAUCUAAAACAUUUCUGUCGUAUUUCUUGAAAUGUGCUAUCAGAUGUCUGAAGUUGGGGAAAUGUCUGAAGGAGCGUUCGAUAGGGAGAAAACCGAGAUACCAAAAUGCUGCCAAGUUCCAGAACCAGGUUAGCCUUAUUUGGGUUAUUUGGGAAUGAUUUUAAGGUUUGGUUGGCCGCCUCACCGUCCACGCCACAGAUUUUCCGCCAUCGCUGUGGCGGCCAAAUUGAGCGCCGCUGCUUAGGUAGGGUGUGGCAGCGUUAGCGCCAUACCAAACAUGCCCAUAUGGACUAGGAUAGGAACGAACAGGCCCUCAAAAUCCCCUCCAAUGUAGAUUGGAAGGAAACCGAACGAGCCCCUUACCAGUUCCACCAAAAUGAACUCACAAGCAUUAACAUUAAUAGGUAUCAUCGUAAAUUCAUAAUACCGAGAGCAUUUACUCUCUGUUACAAUCAGAUCAUUUCCUUAUUAUUAUUACAAAUAGAUAAAACCAGCACCAAAAUUCGCAGAAAAACAAUUCUGCCCAGAAUGAACAAGGAGGAGAAGAGGCCAAGAAGGCAAGGCAAGCAACACGUGCUGAUCGCUUCCCCACCUGACCUGGCUAAUUGCAGAGCAAGAACCUGGUGAGCACGAGCACCCCGCAGGCGGCGGCGAAGAGCGCGAAGACGGCCAGGUCCCUAGUCUGCCACCUCCUGGGCCUGUCUGCUGCGCCCUUGGCCUCAGCGCGAAGGUUCUUGGCCCUGCGCAGUGUGUCCACCUCCUUGAGCAGGUCGAAGCGGAGGCCCUUGCGCUUGAGCUCGGAGACGCACCUGGCCAGGUACAGCGCAUCCUCGCGCUCUCGCGCGAGGACGCGCUCCAGGACGGCCUCCGUGUCGGACUUGUACCACAGCGCCCAGAGCAUGGUGAGCGAGGAGAGCAGCGAGACAAGGUAGGGGAUCCACGACCGUCUGCAUGCUGUUGUCGCUGCCGCCGAGGCAGCGGAGGAGGAGGAGGAGGAGAGGAAGAGGAGCAGCACGGAAGCGGCGUGGAAGGCGAAGAAGGCGCAGUAGAGGAAGGCGAUCUCUUUGCGGGCGCCGUUGAGGCAGGCCUCCCAUAGCGCCACGCGGCGCGCCAGCAGGUCCUCCUCCUUGACCCACUGCUUGAGCAGCAGCCGGUGCGUCUCGCUCGCCGCGAUCUGGCUCAGCGGGUGUUGCUGUUGCGCCUCCGUCACGACGAGGGCGCCGGAGUCGGCCAUGUGGGACGGCGGCGGUUUCGUCUCGUGCGCGUCCUAGUUCUGUUAGGAUGGAUGGACCGAUGGAGGGAAGGGAGUUUAUUUGGGGUACAAGUGCAACGAUCGGGGGAGGGCGCGUGGGCUGAAAAAGGUUUGGGGAAAAAAGCCGAAAGCAAACGAGUUCGCGCACAUGAGCGGCGCAACAGUCGGAAUUUUCUCGGGCCGAAUCAUUCACGUUUCGUGGUGGCCGGUGGACCUACCUGGCACACAUUAAGACUGGGUCACUGUGGACUGAGAUUUUGGUCCACUAGUCAGUCUCAGUCCUGCAAGGGAUCGGCCCACUAGACCGUCGGCAGUUCUCGGACUCGAUAUUUUUACGCAAAAAAAACAUGUCAAUCAAUACUGCAAUAGAGGAUAGCGGCAUGAAUUUCAUACCCCAGAAAAAUGCUUCAAAAAGUCUUCACAACGCCCCAGUGGAGACACACUAAACACUAUCCCGGUGGUGUCACUGUCCUUGGUCAAUAAAAGGAUCAAGUACUCUCAUCGUUCUGGUGUAGUGAACCGCUCACAAAAGUGUGCUGUGUCAAAUAUUUUUUGUGAUCCCAGUUACCUAGUGUACUUGUACACCAGACAUAAAAGUUACAAUAAGGGUGACAACAAUCAUGCUGUAGGCGGGCGCUCAGUCACAUUGGACAUUUGUGUAAUGCAUCUAAACGACACUACUACAAAAGGCUAGCUGCAUAGGAGCUAGAAUUUUGUGAAACAACACAAGACCUUAUAACUCUAAUCCGAGUUCAUACAACGUGCCAACAAAAAUGAUCGUAUUGCUACAGGAAUCAAAUGCAGCAGCUUCCAACCUGAGUAAAAUGUCCAUGUGCAAUCCACACUCACUAUAUUAUACUAUAAUGAGUAAAAUAUUGUUGUAAUGAAUGUUCAACUCCACAAUGGUUUGCUUAUUAACCUAGCUUUGUCCAAGUAUGGAACUCAUUUCCAGUAAUUUUUGGCUUGAUUUUAUUUGGUGGAGGCUCUAUACCUUAUUUUCCCCCUUUGGUGGCUCCCAACCCGAGUAUGUCACUUAUUAACAUGAGAGUGUGGUGUUAGUGGAGAUCGUGUUCCAUUACUGCUUGUCAGGUUCACACCAUAAAUCAUAAUGAUUACCCCUUUAUAUGAUACACACAAUGAAGGUAUCCACUAUUAGAAAAGUAGACAUUUUUUGGAUUAAAACUAGAAUAGAGACCAUGACCUCAAGACGAUGGAGAUAAGACCAUUGUUAUUGUGCCAAGUUGGCUUAAUUAGUGGUGCUCCAAACAUAGUUGUAGCAACAAGUGUAGGCUACCAGUUACCACAAAGGUGACCACAUGAGUGAUGAAAUACCACUACCCGAUCAAUGAUAUUCUAAAAAAACAUUGUGCAAGCUCAAGGUUCCCUAUGACAGAUAGAUGAAGAAAGGACUUGUUCCCACAUUUUCGUUUUCGAUAUACCCUGUUCCCGUUCUCGUACCGCAAAAUAAAUAUGAAAAUGAAAACAGUAGAGGUGUUUUACCGACCGCUUUGAUCCUUAUACCAAGCUCAAUGAGAUCAAUGGUGGUGCACAAUAAUUACUCCCUUAUGAACUAAUGAGAUUGCUAACCAAGCGAAUUUCAACUUUCAAAUCCCUCACUAGGUAAUGAUUCUUUCUCACACUCAAUAUGAGUAUAAAUGCAUGAAGUGGGUCGAAGAAGAUGGGUAUAUUUUCGCCCCCUACUACUUCAGGUAACUAAAAAGGUUGUUUUAAACAUAUAUGUAACUAUUGGGAUCAACCUUUUCAUGUAUCAAGAUUUCAAACUUGUAAUGUUUGAAUGGUGCAAUCCUGACACUAUGGCGCACUAGACUACAUUUCUAAUUUAUCCAUAAUAUGGACAUGCAGUUAUAUUAGACUCUUUGGAUACUCUAAAAAAGUGUACAUUGACUUUGAAAGCAUAUUGAGCUUGCAAGUGAUAGUACUUAUUAUUUUGUAUUUAACAUACAUGUUAAAUUUGUCGUUUACUCCUAUGGUUUUUAUACACUGCUUACAAGAUGUACCUCGAGGAUUCUAAAUCCGUCGAUCCAAGAAAUGAGAAGAAGAAAGAACAUGAUUAACUGUUAGGCGUGACUUCCUGGUACGUAUCAAUGUUCGUAUUUUGUAUUAUAUCAUGCAUGCUAUCUAUAAGUUUUAAUCGAUUGCAACCACCCAGACACUAUUAUGUGGAUACUAUGCUUGUGAGGACCUGAGAGAAUCUCACAAAUUCAACAUUAGGUACAAAUAGCUAAGUAAUGCACAAGUCUGGUGGACAAUAGAAUGUAUCACCCAAAUGCAAAUAUUGAGAACCGUAGGACAUAUGUGGAGUCAUCUUGCACAAAUGCGUGAUGCAUAAGUCCUAGUGGACAAUAGAAUGUAUCACCUAGAUGCAAAUAAUCAGAACCGUAGGACAUAUGUGGAGUCGUCUUGCACAAAUGCGUGCAUCAAAAUGCAAAGUUCUUCAACAACACGAACUGACAUUGGACAAGAAGUAUGACAAGUUCAGACACUGGGAGAAGCUACCAUUAGGUGAUCACAAGAUGCCUGGAGUGCAAAAUAUUACAAAUCAUAUGUAUAUGGCAUAUAACUAGUAUUGUUCACGUGAAUAGCUUUUGUACUUAGUUUUUUUAUAUCUUCUAAUUAAAAGAUUUAAUCACCGAACCAAUUUUAUAUUUGUAUUCCCUAAGAUUUCUUUUGAGAAAACAAGACCACACAUGCUAUAUAUAUUUUAAUUUGUUAUUACUCAGUUAUUCUAAUGGUUUACUGUAGCACCCCAAAAAUUCAAAUCUUGAAAUUUUUCCAAACUCGCUCUAAAUUCAAAAUGAAUUUUAAAUUUCAUUUUAAAAUGUUUGUUUGCGAGUUGAUCUCAACAAAUAAAAUAUAGUGGUCUAUAUUCUCUCCAAAAUUCUCCUCAAAAUAUCUUACAAAUAUUAUUCCCAGUGAUCCCCUCUGAUUCUUUCCAGAAAUACUGCCCAAAUAUUCCACCGAUAAUUCUCCAAAUAUUCUCCUCCUGUAAAAUACCUUCAGAAUCAUUUUUAAAGUCUCCACAAAUAUUUUCUUCAUAAUUUUCCGCAUGCUCAUACGUAUACGUACGCCUCCGGUGUCAUACAGUGAGCUCUACAAGCUAAUUUCACUUAUACACGACUAAUACAUGCUUAUCUCCCACUAAUCCUCGCCUCCUCCCCCUAAUCCCCCACCUAGCCUAUAAAUAGAAGGGCAAGGGCCUCCUCUCAAGCCACCCCAAGCCAUUUCAUGACAACUCUCUCCCCCCACACGCCCACUCCAAGUCCCACACAAGAACACGCUAGCACAAUGAUCGUUCGGUUGUUCUUCAAUCGUUCGUCCACCUGUUCUUAGUUUGUUCGUUCGUUCGUCCGAUCAUUCUAAUUAAAAGAUUAGUUCAAAAGAUUUAAUUAAAAGAUCGUUCUAAUUCAAAAUGAAUAGCUUUUGUACUUAGUUUUUUAUAUCUUCUAAUUAAAAGAUUUAAUCACCAAACCAAUUUUAUAUUUGUAUAGUAUUUUAUAGUUGUAGUGAGGUAUAGAGGGAGAUUAUAGAGGAACCACUGUGGAAGAUAAAAAAAUAGAGGAUAAAAUAUUGGUAAUAUGACAAAAAUAUGAUAUAGUCGGAAAAUUUUAAGGAAACUACUGAAGAUAGUCUAAGCAUCGGUAACAGGAUUAGUCGCUUCCUACAAUAUUCAGAGUGAAAGGUUGCUAAAAUUUUGUCGGGUCAAAAGCAAUUCAAAUUUGAACCACGUUCGGAUCACAAGCAUUUUUGCUCAAAAGGCUGCGUAGAACCAGCUGCACGACGAUGGCGGAAACGAAGGGAAGGCGGCGGGACUUGGCAGCGCGGACGAUGGCGGCCUGGGCGUGGGGCUCGGUGUUGCAGUGCACGACGGCGGCGAUGCCGAGUGAUGCCAUGGCCGCGGCCAUAGCGGCCUCGGAGACAGUGUCCAUCGGGGACGCGACGCAGGGGAUGGAUAGCGGGAUGCGGCGGGAGAGGCGGUGGAGAGGUCGACGGCGUCGGCGGGGAAGCCGAUGUAGCCCGGGAGGAAGAUGACGUCAUCGUAUGUGUAGGAUACUCCCUACGAGAAGAGGCGCCGCGAAGCCGUCGUCGGCAAGGUAGGUGCUGCUCGACGCCAUUGGUGGAUUGGGGGUUUAGGGUUUUUUUUGCUGCAGCGGCGGUUGACGUCUGGGAGAGAGAGACACAGGGAGACGAAGGGAGGCAUGAGAGAGCUCUGCUUGUGUUCGUGUUGGUCUUGUAGGUGUACAUUCGGGCCGCCCGGCCCAAGCCCGAAAAGACCCGUAUUGUUUGAAUUUCGGGCCGUGCCAAACCGGCCCACGGCCCGACCCGUAAUUGCUUUAACGUGUCGGGCUCAUUUCGAGCGGCCCGAAAUUAUAAAAGCCCAAAAUUCACAUUAGGACCCAAAAUUCAAUUUUUGGUCUGAAAUUCACAUCAGGGCCCGAAAUUCACAUCAGAGUUAAUAAAACAAAUAAAAAGAAGACAAAUAAAUUUAACCAAAAGCAAACUUAAUAUUUGUAUUACGUUACCAGAGCUAUGCAAUGACUACCUCGUUUACAAAUCAUUUUGUUAGAAAGAAAUAGAGUAUAAUCAGCUCUAUAUAAAGUUUGUAAGUUCAGUUCGUUAUAUAAUGUUCAUAACAAAAAUAAAACUACAUCACAUACUCUAAUUCAAAGCUAUAAAAAAUAUCUAACUAACAUUAUCUCUAGCUUUGUGUUCUUUAUCAAGUACAUGAAAAUAUGGAAUGAAGUGUGGUUUUAAUAAAUAUAUGGGCCUUUUCGUGCCUCUAUAUGGGCCAUUUCGUGCCUGCCUUAAACGGGUCGUGCUCGUGCCCGCCCAUGGGCCGCGACCUCGGCCCAAACCCGGCCCGGCACUAAAAUAUUUUUGGUCGUGCCGUGCCUAGGCCAUGCUUUUUUUCUAUGCUUCGGGCCGAUACAUCAGGCCCGGCCCAAAUGUACACCUAUAGUUGGUCUUGCUGGAUUUGCAUUUGCUCUUUGUUUGGCAGGUAGCAAGGCGCAUAAUAGUUCGAUGACAAGUGGGCCCUAUUGUCCCGGCGGCUAGCCGGAUUGUGAGCUGGGCUGGCAACCCAGGACGACAGAGGCAACGAGACGGUACCUCCCGACUCGAGCGUAGUUCAAACUUCAAAUAUGCGGUCUUUGUUUCGGCUUUUUCCUAACUUCUCACCACCAAGCUGCUGCAGAUUAAAACACUUAGCUUUGUUGUCUGUAUUUUUAUAGUCGUUUAAUUUAAAAUCGUCUAAAAUCAACGUAAACAUUGAAUCGGUCAAGUCAUCGCGAUAGUAGAAAACUAAGAAUCCAUCACAUUCUAGAUUCUAAAUCUUAUUCUUUCAUCUUUCUCCACGCGUAAUCCUCUUGAUAAUCAGAUUCUCCUCACGACUAUAUUCUUCUCAUAGCCAGAUUCUCAAAAAAACUCAUUAAAACAAAGCUGAACAAACAUGCCCUAGCAAAAUAAGCGGUCUUUCUGUCACAUCCAUAUAUCGCUUUUUAGAGCCUGAUUGUAGGGAUUCUUGUCGCCUACCAUUUUACUCGCAUGUAUAACAGUUAACUCUUCACUAUUAACGUAGGAUCCCACAUGUCUCUCUCACAAAAGUGUCGGAGAGGCCCACUAGUUAGCAGAAGGACGAUGAAAAGAUUCGCCGUAGAAGGACCCACCCUUGGAUAGUCCCGAGGCAAUGAGCCCCAAAUCGGGCGAGGCGGAGCCAGAACGGGGUCAGGUGAAUUGAGAGAAAGCCAAUCUAGUGCAUUUCACGCGUGACCCAGGAUAGACCCACCAUAAGUGAUCGACCACAUUAACCGCGUUUGGCACUAAGCCGCAGCAGGGGUAGUGGCGGAGCCAAGGGGGGCCCGGUAGGGGCCAUGGUCCCUCCCAAGGCUCGCCUCGUCUCCAUAGAACCUCGUCGUUCAUCUACCAUAUAUCGUUUACGUUACCGUUGAAAAAAUUAAGGGGAAAACCCAAUUAUAAGGUGACACAAGGUUAUAAUCACAAUUAACCCUGAAUUAACAAUGUUAAAGGUAAGGAGCAAAUGACGACUUCGUUUUCAAAGCAGAUGGGUAAAAUCACAAAGUUGUAAAACUAGAGAUAAAAUCACCAUUGUAGAUCAGAGAAAAGUAUGGUCAUAAUUACCCCUAAUAAUAAUUUGAGUGAUAUAAGUUGGUACUCCUGUCUUGCUCUUCCCCAAUACUAUAUUAUCCAUUCAAGACACGCGAGGAUAGUCACAGGCUCAGCCAUUUUGUCCACGUGUGAGAUGCUGCUCUGCCUCUGUGUCACUGUCACUGUCAGAUUUGCUUCCUCCUUCGCAAAUCAAAAGGGCCACAUCCCACCACGACACCACUGGAGGGCCCACUAGCCCAGUCAGAUCCAGCGGGCCGAACGCAUCGCGGCCGUCCAAUGCACCGCCGCCGAGCACCACCCACCCCACCUCCCCUCCUACGGCCCAGGCCCGCCGUCCACUGGCCCCACACACCUAGCCGAGACCGAUGGACUGACCGACACCCUGACCCUACUGUCACCCACGAGGCGUGUAUGCCACACAGGCCCCCACCCACGCACACCGACACGAAGCGGCGGCGCGUCCGCGUCUAUGGAGAAUUUCGCCCCACCACAAGAAAACGAAAACCCGCAGCAGCCCCGUGGAAGCAGCCCAGAUAUAUAUAAAAAAAUAAAUAAAGAAAAGGAACCUCGUAGCCAACAGAACAGUAGGGGCUCCCUUCUCCAGUUCUCCUUGCUUGCGUCUUCCUAGUCUCGUCUGCGUGUGUGUGAUCGACGCAGAGGCACGGGCGCUCGCACCAAGCCGAUCCGAUGGCCUUCAUGCGCUCCCGCAUGAAUACCCCGCUCCUUCCUCUCGUCAAUCCGAUCAUGCUCUGUGGUGUAGAUCCGUGUGGGAACUGGGUCGGUUCGCGCGCGAUCUAGGUGUUGUACUUCAUUGAGUGCUGCCCGGGUUAGAUCUCCUUGGGAGGGUUUGAUCUGACUCUACCGACGGUUCGUCCGGCUGACUGCAAAUGCGUAUGGGUUCAUAGCCUAUAUGUACAUGUCUAUUCGUAAAAGCAACCGGAUAUGUAUUGAGUCGCUAGCAUAUAUUCAGAACCCCAAUUGGCAACCGGUGCGGGAAAAUUGUUUUAGCUAUGAAACUGGGGGAUGGGGCGAAAUUGGAGUAGAGGUGGAAAUGAAGACUAUUUUUUAGUUAUUAUGAUUUGGACUUUGGUGUUGUUAAUAGCUCAUUUCUUUAGAGCAACUCCAAAAGGAUGUUAAAAAUUUUAUCCCAAAAACUGAUUAUUAAGAGUAGGCUAAAAAGUUUUAAGAGUGAAUUAUGAUGAGUACUUCAAGAGUUCCUUUAAAUGUGACAUGUGGCGUAAUCUGUACAGUCGUCGGGAGGUUGUGGAUGAUCUGAUACGUUGAAAAAUGAAUUGGGGAGGGAUGGAACACACCAAAAUAUGAGGGAGAUGAGGUUGUGGAUGCGGGACGCUAAUUUUUUUGGGGAAGAAUGAUUGAGCUGUUGGAGUAAGAAAAACCACUAUUCUUGACUAAUCUGUUUUAGGGUUAGUUUACACGUUAUUUUGGAGUUGCUCUCAAGGAAAUAACGUUCAGUUCAUCCCUGAACGAAUAUUCUUGCUUGCAUAGACUUUUGAUCCUCUGAGGGAUGGCCAUGGUGGUAUAGUCUUAUUCCCGCUUCGUUGCUUCCACUAAGUGCAAAUAUUUGGAGUAUGCCUCUUACACCCGAUUUCCCGCUGCCUGCUGCCUUUUAGGUUAGUGUAGGGACGGUGAACUGCUUCUCAUACAGUUGGCGAUGCAAUUGAUUGAAUUAAAAUUAGCAUGGAUGGUUGAGCUUCUGUUUGGUGUUGUGCCUAAUCCUGUCCAUUAUUGUGCAAUCACUGAACUUUUGAUUUGCCCAAGUGAUUUUACAUGUUAUGAACCAUGCUUCUAAUUUUUAAUCCUAGAAUAGGCAGUAUCUUGAGAGAUUUUCUGUAUAUCUGUAUAAUUUUUUAUUAAGCAAGCUUGCUGCAGUAGUGUUACCCUGGACCAGUGGAUUAAAUUUUGUAUGGUUUCCUGUAUGUGGAAGGUUGGAGUAACUUUUAUGGAAUCAUGCCUACGUAGCUGCAGUUCAUACAUUAGAUGAUCAGAAUGUUGUUAAUCUUCUAGUUACUACUUAUAACCCCUCUAUAUAUCUGCCCGUUCAAAAUUGAACAAUUAAUCUUGUAUUUCAGUUUUCUAGCCUUGGUUUUCUUAUAUCGUCUACACAAUUCCUAGGUUAUUAAAACGAUAAAACGUUGAAACGCUCAUGGGUGAAAUUUUGACAUUUAAACGUUUAAACAAAGUUUAAACGUAGUUUUAAACAACAUAGGAAAAAUACCAAUAUAUCAUAAUUUCAGACAAUUCUCCUGCGCGUUUGAUAAAAAAAAUAAUUUCAAACAAUAACAUGAAGUUAAAUACCAAAACCUAGAAGCUAGUGGUUUACCAAAACUUCACCUAUGAGCCGGAUUGGACCCCAAAAGUAACUAAUAGACUAGGCCCAAAAGUAGCUAAUGGUCUAAAACACAUAAAACGCUAUGUUUUACGGUCUAGAAUGCCAAAACGCGGUUUCAACCUCUAAUUAGAAUUUUGACGUUUAAAUGUAGUUUUAAGAAAUAACACUGCACAAUUCUAUGCAGUCAAAUGCAUCUUCCGGCAUGGGAGUUGCUCCUAACAUUAGGGAGACGUUUGUCAAGCUCCAAAUGAAGAAGGCAUUCUGAUAUGUUAUCUUCAAAAUCGAAGAAAAGCAAAAGCAGGUAAUUGUGGAGAAGACGGGGGCGACUACUGAAAGCUAUGAUGAUUUUCUGGCCUCUCUCCCAGAGAAUGACUGCCGAUAUGCGCUGUAUGAUUUUGAUUUUGUUACUGGGGAGAAUGUGCAGAAAAGUAAGAUUUUCUUCAUUGCCUGGUAAGUUUCAGAAUCAUAUAUGCACGCAUCUUUAUUUUGUUUCAUACAUGUUUAGUUGUUUCGUUAAGCUGUAAAGCCAAUGCCAAUGAAACUAGACUAGAAUACUAGAUCGAUAGAAAUAGCUGAAGAUGUGAACUGUUCAUGAGUUAGUCAUUUGAGGAUCUGAAAAAAAGCUUAAAAUGCACCAAUCACAGUAAAUUUAACAUACUAGUUGUUUAAGUAGUUAAUCUUUUAAAGUGUUAUUAACUCAGUAUUGAACUGUAAAGUUGGAUUGGAUCUUGUGAUGUGAUCUUGCUAUGAUAGCACUUGCCACCUCUACUUUAUAGUGUUUGCUGGUAACCCAUACUAGUUAGCAUUUUAGUAGCUCAGACCAAAAGGAUUAACAAUGCAUGUGGCGCAACAGUUAGGAAUAUUCUUGGCAAUAAUUGUUAAUCUAUUAUGUAGAUUCUGAUGUUGUCUUUUUGGACUGCACUAUAUGUAUCCCUAUGGUGCCUCAUAUUCUUUCAUGCUCAAUGCAUCCGCUCUGGCCUUCAUGCUGGUUUCACUUCACCAAACCUUUUACCUAAUCCACCGUUACCCCAGGUCCCCGUCUGUUGGGGACUUGUUCUCAAAUGCUAUGAAUUAAGAACAAGGCAACACAAAAUGUUAAAGGUUAAUGCCCUUCGUCCUUCGAAGCAUUACCUCCCUUAGGAUAUAAUGAUCUUCAGAUGAAGGUCGUGAAAGUCAUACCUUCACCAUUGCAGUGUAUAAUAAUGAAAGAAGAAGCAUAUGAAACAUAAGAGAUAACGUGAAUAAUUAUACAACAUCUUUAAUAUGUCUUUAUAAAAUCAUCAUAAACGAAUAUAAACAAUAUUGGAUUACAUUUGUACCUUCGGCUAGACAGAAGACAAAAGUCCAAGCGUGACGCAUGAAUGAGUACAAGUCAGCGUGAACAGUACAAGGGUACUGUUCAUCUAUUUAUAGGCACAGGGCGCAGCCUGUGUAAAAUUACAUUCAUGCCCUUUAUGUUUACUAUUGACGUAAUGACAAUCCAACAAGGACUAGAUAGCCUUUUCCCCUUUAAGUCGGUUCCCUUUUCUGUCGUUGAGCCGAAGCUUCCUUGUGCAUAGCUUCGGAACUAGUUCAACCUUCGUCCUGACCCUGCUUUUCAUAUUGUGUACAACUUUAUCCCGAGUCUGAAGGUUCCUGUACAUAUAUUACACUUGGGAAACAUUGUUAGUCAUGUUUUUGAGGACCUUCGGGAGACGAAGGCCCCCAACAGUAGCCCCUCGCAGUAUUAAUUUGUUAUAACAACAAAUUCAAACUGCGACAUGAACGAAGGCCUUAAGCCGAAGGUCCGAAAAAAACACCUUCCCUUUGCUAGAAUAGCAAUACUCAAUGACAGACAGGGCCUACCAAGUUGCAACACACUGGGUGUAUUAAUAUAAACCAUAGCGGCAGCAUUUGAUACGCCAUUUCCACUAUUUUCUCAAACUUUUUAGCUCUUGCUCACUAGCUCUCGCCUGAUUUUCAAGAUUUUUGAGCUUUGUUUUAAGGACGUGUUUUCACCAUGUCUGGGAGAAGAUGAGUGAGGAAAAGAAAAUGAUUGUGGAAACGAAGGUAACUGAGGAGACGAAGUUGUUUGAAGAAAAGAGAACUGUGGAUCCUUUUAUCGCCGGGUUUGUUGAGUCUAUGUCAAAAACAAACACAGAGAAGAUUACUAAAGAGAUUCUAGAAGGUUUGUCCGAAGAUACUGAUGAUAGUGAUAGUUAUGACGUGGAGAGUGGAGACAAAGAUUCUGAAGAUCGGCCCUGGCGACCAAGCCAUACUGUCUUCGGAAAAUCAACUAUUAAAUAGAGUCAUCUUGACAACAUGAGAGGAAGUUACUUUCGAGAUAUGUGUAUCGUGAGAGCUGGCGGAGACAACACCGCCCCUGCCCCUGAGGAAAAUAAAGUUGUUAUCUUCUGAAGCUUUUUUAAGGCUGGUCUCUGGUUUCCUUUGAGCAAGUUUGUAGUUGAAGUGCUGAAGAUCUACCAGAUCUUCCUUCAUCAGAUCACCCCCGAAGCUGUAAUGAGGAUGGGGAUUUUUGUCUGGGCUGUAAGGAUUCAGGGGCUAGAGCCAAGCGUGAAGUGCUUCUGCAGUAUGCACGAGCUUUUAUAUGAGACGAAGGCUACUGGCAAAGAAUAGUACCACAACAACUUUGGUUGUUAUGGAUUUAUUGCUCGCCCCAACGCAAGCCACCCGGUGCCAACAUUUCGGAAGAGAUGGCCCGGAGCCUGGAUGGAGGAGUGGUUUUAUGUGAAGAAUGAUUUAAAGGCAAGAGAAGACAUUAAAGAAAUCAUCUAGCACCCUAUCUAGUCCCGCUUUGGUCUUUGAAGGCCGAAGGUGGAAAUUGAUGGCAAUGUCAAAGCAUGUCAGAGGGCUUUCAGCACUGUGUGUGCCUUCAUUGGCACAAGGGAUUUAAUUGGCACAAGCAUCCUUCAGGGUAUGGCCACUUGUGGAGCUAGGAUAUGCCGAAGGAGACCACCGCCGACUCUGGUGAGGGUGAUCUGGUCCGACUGAAGUAUACCUUCAGAUUGAGGGAGAAGUUUGAUGAGCCGAACGACAACUGGCUGAAGUGCAUCAAAGCUACCAGUGAUGAGCUGCUUGGAGCAUACUCCAAGGCCAAAGAUAAUGCUCUAUCCGCAGCCUUUGGAGGUCGAGGCAAGAAAAGAUUAAAUAGGGUAUUUGAUGCUAUUGGCUUCGUAUACCCUGAUUACCGCUACCCGCUGCGAGGGCAAGUGAAAAAGAGGAAGAUUGCUGCUUCGGUCACCCCAGCUGAGCCUAUGCCGAAGAGCAAAAAGGUGAAGGUUCUGACCCACCAACCAUGUUAUAUUGAACCAGCCGUAGUGCCUGAAUUUGGCGCAGGGUCCUCCUCAGCAGCCGAAGCAACAUAAACUGCUCUGAUUGCACAAAGCGCUGAAGAGGCGACCGUAGUGCCGAAGGUACCCAUAGCCGAGCCAGUCGAGGCUAAGGUUGAUAAGGCUGAAGAGCCAAAAGUUGAAGAAAUAAUAAAAGUGCCAAAAAUUCUGAGCCCUCCGACAGAGACAAAACUAUCGAAGGUGCAAAAGGCUUCUACCGCAACUCCCAAGAGGAGGACGAUGACUAACGUGUUGGAUGCUGUGCUCGAGACUACAAAGGCCUUGAGCCCUACUCCUACAAAGAAAAUUACUGAGGCUGCCAAAGCGCAAGCUGAAGCCGAAAUUGGACAAGCAGAAGCCGAAGCUAUGAAAAUUUAGGCUGAAGUCGAAGCCGGGCCUCCAGCGCCCGUCGCGGCGAAGCCUGCCGCACCUAAGGAAAAAACGGCAGGGCAAGAGAUGGCAGAAAGGGCAAGAUCUCCUGCCUCCGAAGCGCAGGCCGAAGCUGCUGAUUACAUUUAUCGACAUGCUUUGGGGAAGAAAUUGUCCGAAGAUGAAAUUGCGGAAGCAAGGCAUUAUGCUCAAAAGCUGAAAUAUUCGAAAGGAGCCUUAGUAUUUAACAGAAGUAAUGAAGAUGAUUUCCUGUACUGUCUCCCGGACAACAAAGAAAUAUUCGUUUGUCGGGAGAUAUGUAAGAGCAUGGGAUCCCCGAAGCUAGAAGAUGGUCUUUCGAUUUUGUCGAAUGAUGAUCUUACUGAUAGCCUAGCAUACAACAGUAUAAAGGUAUAGAAGUUAGCUUUGAAUUUGAGAAUGACGUAUUUUAUUUGUCAUGCUCAAUUCUUUCUUCUCUUUUGUUACAGGGCUUGAUUCUUAGUAAUGCCCUGAGGGCACAGAAGAAUAUUGAAGACGAAGGUUAUACAAUGGCUCUGAAUAACCUUCGUUCAGAGGUGAUUGAAUUGAGAAACGAAGGUCCUGAAAAAGACAAAAUCUUAAUUUCAUUGGUAAACAAAGUGAAGGAAGACAAAGCUAGUUUCAAAGCUCAGGCCGAAGCCAAAAAGACUGAAAUUGAAGACCUUCGGAGACAACUGGCCGAAGCUAAGGAAAACUGCGCACUCGCACAAGCUAACCAAGAAAUUAGCGAAUAUUGGAAAAAUCAUCUAGAGAAAAAUGUUGAAGAACUUCGCACAUCCAAGGAAAGGUUCUUUGAAAAAUCCUUGGAUUGCGUGAAGAAAAUAAAAGGUAGCUUCGCCAAAGUGGGUGCCUACUCUGCUGAAGAAAACUUCAUACGAGGCGACCCCGAAGGCGUUGUUGAAUGGAUAAGCGGAGAAGCUGAGACCUUCGAAGAAAUUUUGAGUGAUCGCGGGGAUGUUUGUGCGUUUUCCGGUGCACGGGGAAUUUCAGCCAUCUUGGAGAAGGCGGGAUGUGAUCAUAUUAAAGCCGUAGCCCAGGCCGAAGCUGCCUUCUCCGUAGAUGAUACGAAGGAUCCUUCAGCUGAGGCAACCUUGAUGGGCGGGAAAUUUUACAAUGAUGUCUGGGUGAAUGGUGGCCGAGAGAUGGCCCAUGAAAUUAUAAAGAAAAGUGAAAAAGACACCCAUGACGCCCGAGCAGAAGCAAGACAAGCUGAAGAAGCUGCAGAGCGCGAAAAGCAUAUAGGUAUUAUUUUUUGGUUUUUAGCUUUGGCAUUUAUUUUUGUGGCUUCGGACUGAUUAUUUUUCCUACUUCAGCUGAACUAUCUCCGCCACCGGAACUGUUCGAUCCCUUAGCUGAUCCAGAAAUGAAGGAAGCGCUGAACAUCAUAAACAUGGCUAAAUCCAUUAUCGACGAAGUCGUCAACAAAUUGCUGAACGAAGUUGCAGAGAAAGUCCUUAAAGAGGAAUGGAUUUUAUUGUAAUAAACAUUCUGAAAAACUUGAUGUAUAUAACAAAUGAAGGAAGAUUAGUUUUCUACUGUAACAAAACUUUGUUAUAUUUGGAGUGUGUAAUGUUGAAUUGAAUAUGUAAAUUACUGCAGUUUAUUUCUUUGCGAUGUAUGAAAUUUACACACAUAUCGUUUUUGAGCUUCGACGAAAAAACACCUUCCCUUCUUUUUAUGAUUCGUAAAGAAAAAGAUCCAUUAUUCGUAAAGAAAGAUAUCCAUGCUUUGUAAAGAGAGAUCCCUUCUUGUGACAAGGCUGAUAAGACUGUAUUUCCCAAAACUUACUUCGUGCCUUAUCACCUUUUUAUUUUGACGAAGCAUUUGCCGAAGAUUAGCUUCGUAUUCCAUUCUCGUGUCAUUGAUGCAAUAUGAUGUAUGAUGUGAUGUUAUGCGAAAUGACGUGAUGAUAUGAUGCAAAAUGAUGAGGAUGCCAAAGACACACACCCACACGCCCACACUGGAACACACAAGCUCUGCAUCCCUUUAGGAACGACUUUUGAGCUUCUUCACCUUCUAUUUCGGUGAUAUAAGUUCUGCAUCCCGUUAGGAACGACUUUUGAACUUCUUCGCCUUAUAUUUCGGCGGUAUAAGUUCUGCAUCCCCUUAGGAACGACUUUUGAACUUCUUCGCCUUAUAUUUCGGCAGUAUUUGGCUCUGCAUUCCCUUUGAAACGACUUUUGAGCAGAAAACUUACGCUGCGCUCCCUUAGGAGUGACUUUUUGUAGCUUCGGCAAAUUAGGCUCUGCAUUCCCUUAGGAAUGACUUUUGAGCUUAAAACUUACAUUGCGCUCCCUUAGGAAUGACUUUUUUGUAGCUUCAGUAAAUCUAGCUCUGCAUUCCCUUAGGAACGACUUUUGAGCUUCGUAAAUUUGUGAAGAAGAUAUAUUUCAUUCUGAUAGAAGAAAAAUCAUUACAAUAAAUUAAUACUAAAUUUACAUUGCUUGUUCCUUAUUAAAAAGAAAAAUGGCAUAGAACAUAAAAUUCAGAAGCAGUAUAUCGCUCAGUAUAUGUGCUUCGAUUCUGGUACAGUACUAUUGACUGUAUGAGCUUCGGAUUCCUACCUGAAUUCACGUUGUUGUUGGGAGUGCUGGCGCCCUUCUGGUUGCUGGCUUCGGGAAUAAGUAGGUUGCAGUAGUGGUGGCGGUGGGAGUUGAGGCCAAGAAGCCUGUGAAUGGCUUGCCGAAGCAACAGAAGCUGCAGGUUGGUUGCCCACAUAUUCUGGUAUGUAGGGAGAGUGGCACGAAGCAGUAUGUAGGACUUGCUUUGGCUUAUUCUGUCGAGCUUCUGCUUCGGCAAUCUCUUUUUGCUUCAGAAUAGUGAUCUGGCAGGUUCUUGUAGUGUGGCCUUUGUCCUCACCACAGAAUAAGCAAUAAAUUUUUCUGGGCUGAUCCUCAUAUCUUCCUCCGAAGCCCCUGCCGCCUCUGUCUCUUGGAGCUGGUGGCCUGAAGGAGCUUUGCUGCUGUCCCGAAGACUGUGAGGUGUGAUGUGGCCUCUGAAGCUAGCUUCUUUUGUCAUCAUUCUGACUGGAGUUGUGGAUUGAUCUGACAUGCCUAGGGUGGAUUCUUCCUCCGAAGCCCCUAGUCAUCUCAGAGAAUCUGUAAGCUUUCUCCCUUCUUUGGUGGAAGUCGUUGUCAGCCCGGAUGUACUCAUCCAUUUUUUGAAGCAGCUUCUCUAGACUCUGGGGGGGCUUCCUGGCAAAGUAUUGGGUCGUAGGUCCUGGCCGAAGACCCUUGAUCAUGGCCUCAAUGACAAUUUCAUUGGGCACUGUGGGUGUUAGUGCUCUCAGUCGCAAGAACCUUCGGACAUACGCCUAAAGGUAUUCCUCAUGGUCUUGUGUGCACUUGAACAAGGCCUAAGCUAUGACUGGCUUUGUCUGAAAGCCCUGAAAACUGGUAACCAGCAUGUCCUUGAGCUUUUUCCAUGACGUGAUUGUCCCUGGCCGAAGAGAAGAGUACCAUGUCUGGGCCACGUUUCUGACUGCCAUGACGAAGGACUUUGCCAUGACAGCUGCAUUGCCUCCAUAUGAGGAUAUUGUUGCCUCAUAGCUCAUCAAGAAUUGCUUUGGGUUCGAGUGCCCAUCAUACAUGGGUAGCUGAGGUGGCUUUGUAAGAUUGUGGCCAUGGGAUAGCUUGCAAUUCUGCUGCCAGGGGAGAAGCAUUAUCAAAAGUAAAGCUACCAAGAUUGAAAUCAUCGUACCAUUCAUCUUCAUUGAACGAGCCCUCCUGACGAAGCUCCCGGUAUUGAUGCCUUUGGUCGUGAUCAUCUUGAGUAAGAUGACGCACUUCCUCAGUAGCUUCGUCGAUCUUUUUCUGAAGGUCGGCCAGCCGUGCCAUCUUCUCGUUUUUCCUUUGCACCUGCUGGUUAAUGAUUUCGAGGUCCCUGAUCUGCUGGUCCAACUCCUCCUCCUGAAGUGUUGGACUGGUGGCUUUUCUCUUUUGGCUUCUGGCUUCUCGGAGAGAGAGAGUAUCCUGGUUUGUGUCCAGUGGCUGCAGUGCAGCCCCUGGCGCUGUUGUCUUCUUCGGCGGCAUGACGAAGGUUAUUGCUUUGUCGAAGAUUGUGGAAGUGAGUACACCGGAGGUGGGCGCCAAUGAUGGGGACUUGUUCUCAAAUGCUAUGAAUUAAGAACAAGGCAACACAAAAUGUUAAAGGUUAAUUCCCUUCGUCCUUCAAAGCAUUACCUCCCUUAGGAUAUAAUGAUCUUCAGACGAAGUUCGUGAAGGUCAUACCUUCACCAUUGCAGUGUAUAAUAAUGAAAGAAGAAGCAUAUGAAACGUAAGAGAUAACAUGAAUAAUUAUACAACAUCUUUAAUAUGUCUCUAUUAAAUCAUCAUAAACGAAUAUAAACAAUAUUGGAUUACAUUUGUACCUUCGGCUGGACAGAAGGCGAAAGUCCAAGCGUGACGCACGAAUGAGUACAAGUCAGCGUGAACAGUACGGGGUACUGUUCAUCUAUUUAUAGGCACAGGGCGCAACCUGUGUAAAAUUACAUUCAUGCCCUUUAUGUUUACUAUUGGUCUAAUGACAAUCCAACAAGGACUAGAUAGCCUUUUCCCCUUUAAGUCGAUUCCCUUUUCUGUCGUUGAGCCGAAGCUUCCUUGCGCAUAGCUUCGGAACUGGUUCAACCUUCGUCCUGACCCUGCUUUUCAUAUUGUGUACAACUUUAUCCCGAGUCCGAUGGUUCCUGUACAUAUAUUACACUUGGGAAACAUUGUUAGUCAUGUUUUUGAGGACCUUCGGAAGACGAAGGCCCCCAACACCGUCGACAUCCCGCAUCCGUGCUAAGAUGUUGUACUUGACCUCGAAGGACCGCAUCAAGUAUGAGCUCGACAGGUUCCACUACGAGAUCCAGGCGACCGACCCAUCCGAGGUAGACAUUGAGGUUCUGCGGGAGCGGGCUCACUGAUGCUGGUUCGCCUUUGAAGAAGAAGGGACCUAUGGAGGGCCGUGAACCUUUUGGUCAGAUGCAAAUCCUAUUACCAAUGAUGAAAGCUCCCACCUUGGUAUUUGUUAUUAAGUUCCUGUAAGCAUAUCGUUUAGGCGCGACACGUGACUCUAGCUGGUGAAGCGUUAUCAAAGUUGUAUAUGUAUGAGCUUUGGUUGUCGAGCCUAUAAACGAAGCAAGGUUUGCGAACUUGUUAUAUUGUGGUAUUGAU
rnacentral:lncRNA from 1 species